rnacentral:lncRNA from 1 species
AGGUGAUGCUUUUCACUAAGAAGAGACUCUAAGAUUAGAUUCCCAAUGUAUAGAGUGUUUGCGCAGUAAACAAAUCAAUCACUUAUCAUUUAUAUAACAGUAGAAGUGUAUGGAGAGUGGGACUAACCUUGGAAGCAAAGGUCCCCUGAGGCCAGUUGAGCAACCCGGCAACCAUUUGCCCUGUUUGAUUGCAAUCGUCAUCAAUGGCCUAGAAAACCCAUGCCCACAUCAGAAAACAACAAUCCACCAUAAAAAGAGUCUAGGAUUUUCACGGAAUCCGCAAAUUUAUUUUUAAAUCGUUACCAAAAACCCUAAUCUCUGGGCACGAAUUCACAGACCUGUUUGCCCAGAAUAAGGAGGCCAGGCUUCUCCACAUCGACGAGAGCUUUGAGAAGCUUAGCAACUGAAAGUGGGUACAGAGUGGCGGAAGCUUCGACGUGGAUGGCCCUAUCGGCGCCCAUGGCGAGACCCGUUCUGAGCGUGUCGACGCACUGGCUGGGACCCACACUGACAGCGAUAACCUCCGACGCCAGACCCGAUUCCUUGAUCCUCAGAGCCUCUUCCAAACCUAUCUCACAAAAGGGGUUCAUCGACAUCUUGACGUUGCUGGUCUCCACGCCGCUCUGAUCGUGGGUUGGCGAUUGUUAUUGGAUGAUGAUGAAAUUACAGAUACUGAAUAACUUGAGAGUUUGGAUUUGGGUUACCUUGUCGGAUUUGACUCUGAUCUUGACAGCGUAGUCCACAACACGCUUUAUCGCCACCAUUAUCUUCAUCUCGUAUAUGGGUGGUUAUCUUCUCCGGCACAAGGGUAUUGGCAAAUGACUGAUGAUGAAGGACGAGGAUAUUCGCCCGAGCCCUACUGCACGACACCACAUCCGCUUAUAAAAUCUUUUGAUACGGAUAAGUACAAGGGAAGUGGAAAAAAAGGAUUAUUAAGAAAAAUAAAUAUAUUACCAAAAAAAUUAUUUAAAAUUUUGUUCAUGUAGAAAGAACCCGUGAAUCAGAUCGAAAAAAUUAUAUUAAAACUGCUGUAUAGCCGAAAAUUGUGUACAGAAUUUAUUUUAACAUUGUAUUAUUGAAUUUUUUAUUCAAAAAUUGCUUAACGUGAGAUAGAAAUUAAAAAAUCAUUAGUAAUUUUGUCCGAAAGUUGUUAUAUUUCAUGUGUUUUAAAAAUAGAUGUAAUUUAUUCCUAUUUGCAUUUUUAACGUACAUUUAAUUAAAUAACCCAAAAAGUUAUUGAGUUCACAUCAUCUAUGGAGUCUACCUCUCUUUGCUUUUGUUGCUUCCAAAAAUACCAUACUCCCAUAUUUUUUUGGUUCUACUCAUUUUACUUUAUUUUUUUCAUUCCAUUCAUUCCACGUGAAGUCUUCAAUCCUAAUAACAUUUACUAUAUUACAAUUAAGUUUAAUUUUUAAAAAACUUAAUUAGGGUUAAAUUUCCUUUGAGAGAACUUCAUUACAAUUAUUUGAGUUGUACGUUAAGUUUCAUUUAAAAAUAACUUAUUUAAAAAGAUGUUAAGCUUCCCCUAUUUUAUUUAUAAAGUUUAAUAUCUAUUUGAUUUUAUAUUUGAAAUCCAACUAAAACCUAAUAACGAAUUGUUGUAAAAAAACUCCAAUCAAAAUACUAACAAAAAUUAAAACAUAAAACUCUGAUAAAAAAUUGUUAAAAAAUCCAACAAAAAAACAAUCAUAAAAAACCCUAAUCAAAAACAUCAUGGAAGUUUAAAUGAAAUUGCCAAAAAAUAAAAAGUAUAGAAAACCCUAACAAAAAAACAACACCAAAACACCUGACAAAAAACAAUUACAAAUUCUAGCACAAAAACCCCCAAUUAAAAAUAUCUAUAAAGAAAAACCUAAAAAAAACCAAUUAUAAAACCUCCAACAAAAAAUAAAGAGAAAGAUGAAGAAUAUGAAAAAUUUUGAAGAAGAAAGAAACAUGAGAGAACUAUCAUUGAUCUUUAUUUGUUAAUCUUUGUUAUAUGUUUGAACUUCACUAGAAAAUGAGAGAGAGAGCAUAAACCUAAAGAGAGAAAGAGCUGAAAAUGAGAGGAGAAAUGAAUCACAAUGAGGGGAAUGACAAUUUGAGGAAAUAUAGAAGGGUUAAAUCAUUUGAACUAGGUUAACGUUUUUAUUAAAAAAAAAGAGUAAUGAAGGUCCUUGUUCUAAUUUCAAGAGUAUGUCUGUUAAUUACCAAAUGUGGCAACUCUAAAUAAAAUCCUUUGUUAUCAACUAAAACUAAAAGUCCCAUUACAUCAUAUCCAACUUUCAUUUGUUAUCAACAAAGUAAAACUAUAUACAACUAUUAUCACCAUCUCUCCUAUUUUGAUGUUAUUUUCUUAGAUGAAUUUGUAAAUCAAAAUUUACACCACCCAUAAAUUUUUUGAGCUUCCUAUUUAACACAACUUCAAUUUGUUAUACUUUGAACAUCACAAAGAUAAAGUAAUCAACAUUUUGCUUGGACAAGUUUUUCUUCUCUAAAGUUUAGAGUCCUAUUUCACUUCCCGUUUAUGGGUUGUUAGUUCAUCUAAUAUCUCACCAUCAUCCAUUCCAUGUACUGUGUUUCCGAAAUGAGUUGAUUCCACAUCCUAAAUGUCUGUGCAAAUUAAUAAGGAAUGUCGAGUUACCAAUUUUCUUAAAAGCUUAAUCUUGCAAGAUUUGGAUUCAAAAUGCAUAUCAUGCUCUCUUUAACACCCCUCCCCCCUCUCACAUGUAGCCCUAUACCCACACGUAGAGAAAUAGACUUAUAGGAAAAUUGGUAGUUUAAUAUAGUAUCAGCACUUGGUUUGGUGGGAGGUCUCCUGUUUGAGUCACCUCUCCACAAUUUACAUUUCUCCUAUUUGUUUAAUUUACAGUUCUUCCCUUAAUCUGUAAUUCUUUGGAUAUAAAUUUUCCCCCUAAUUUGUAGUUUUGUGGAUAUGAAUCUCUCUUCCAUGUUCAGGUAUGGGGCCACACAUAAGAGAGGGUGUUAAAGAGCAUGAUAUGCAUAUUAAACCCAAAUCCUAUAAGUUAAAACUUUUAGGAAAAUUGGUAGUUUAACGCUUUUAGGAAAAUUGGUAGUUCAACAUGUGUACACCCCAUUUUGGGGACUGCUAUUGCUCCCACUUCUUUUUGUCAAAUGGUGGAGCUUUUUAGGAGCACAUGUUGUAUUUGGAAAGGCUAUUAGAAAAUGGCAACAUGACUGUUAAUGGAAGUAAUGAUUUUCUAAAAAGGCAACCAUGGGAAGACACAUAACAAAGAUGUUUGGGGAGGAGGGAGAGUGUGCAUCAAGACUACUCAUGAGGGGUAAGAAACAAAAAAAAAAAAGUGUCGAAGAUAACUAAAAAAUUGGAGAAACAUAAAGGAAUAAGGAUUUUAGGGCUAUGGAUGGUGAACAAGAGUGAAUUAUGGGUGUCUAGGACAGCUAGGAAUGGUGAGAGGAGUAGGGAGCUGUAGAAGGUGAUGAGCUAGGUAAGAUGUAUUUUCGAGAAAGAAAAGAACCAAAGAAAGAAGGUGGUGAAUUAAGUGAGACACGUCUCAGAGAAGCAGAGAAAGUUGGCUUGAAGCCAAGCAAACUUUUGCUUGAGAUGAGCAUUGCCUAGUAAGAUUGUUUCGAUUCAUCGAUUAUUACUGAUCAUCAUACUUCUCUUGUCUUAUAUUCAUGUGAUUAUUUUACAUUGAUUGUGGGGUUGCUUUGGUUUGGUUAUUAUGGCUUCAUCCUCUAUUUCUUUAGUUUUAUUCAAGGAUAAAUCUAAUUGUGCUUUGAUUAGUUAUUCCAUAUUUGAAAAUCUUUGUGUAUUUUGGGUUUUUUCUCUUUAGAUAUUUUCUAGAUUAAUCCACUGACCUUUAAACCCACAAAUAAAGAAAAAUGAAAUGAGUUUUUUCAUAUUUGUUGGGUGUUUGGCCCUUGUUUAUCUUUUUUUAAAGCUUUAUUCCUUUAUAUUCUCUAUUUCUCCCCAUUUUGUACAUGGGUGUUUCAAUCAGAGUCUCUAUUUUGGCUUCCACAUUUGAGAUUUCUUUUAUGAGCGAAGACCCAAAAAUGGAGACUGGCUUCUUGUAAUUGAUAAAAUAGUUAGUCACCCAUUAGCUUAGAUGAAGCAUAGAUGUUAACCGGAUUGUGAACAUGGAUACUCUAUUUUGGGCCUAUUAGGCCUUCCAAUCCUCUCUUAGUUUCAUUAUUCUUGAGGAUAGUGUUUGGUUGUGUCUGCUACUUAUUCUGUGGCUUCGGUGGUCUGUUUGUUUAUUCUUGGCUAUUAUCAAUGCUAACAAUGGGAAAGAGACUGGUUUUGGUUAUGCUCUUACGGAUUUGAAGGUGAUCAAAGGGUCCAGUGAAGAGAAGAUUAGUAGGUCAUAUUAGGUUAAUUAAUUAAUUAGGACAUGUUUUGAGUUAUAUUAAGUAAUACAAGCUCUUAGUGGGCUUAAGUAACUUAAGCCUAGUGGGGAAUGCCAUAAAUACCCCUUAGGGGUUAGCAUUUCCAUAGGUUUUUCUAGAGAGUCAUCUUUCACCUCCAAAGAAGGAGAGUCAUAGCCUUUACCAUUUUUUCCAUCAUUAUCGAAGUGUGUCAAGAUUAAGGUUUAAGUCAUUGAGCGGAAGACUCCAGGUUUAUGAGACUUCAUACAACUUCGUUUUUCAUUUUCAUCAAAUGGAAUUAAUUUGAAAACAUUUGAAUCUGAAGUAUGGUUUUUGUUAGCAUAUUUCGAAUCCCUUUAAAGUUUAAAAAUGCAAAUUUUCCACUAUGUAUAGGAUUUAAAAUCGCUUAAGAUAGUUAAACAUGUUCCCCACUUGAUCUGAAUUGGGAAACGGAGAAAUCUGAUAUUUUCCCAUCACAAGGUAGGAUAAGAACUUGUGAUUGAUCUUUAUGGAUUGGACUAAUUAAUUAAUUGGAACCUAAUUAGGCUAAUUAAUUAAUUAAGACCUAAGCAAACUAGUUUAAGUUACACAAGCCUAGGAUGGACUUAAGUGACUUAAGCCCAUGGGAAGCUUAUAUAAACUCCUUUAGGGGUUAGGGUUUCAAACUUUUAUCAUCUAGUCUUCAAUUCCUUAAAGAGAAUAGAACUCGAGCCAACAACUCUCCUAAAGGAUUCUAUUGCUCCGUGUCAAGAUUCGAAAAAAAACUAUUUGAUGGAAGGUUGUUAUGUUUAUGAGAUUCGUUAUGUUUUUUUACACCUUUUCACUAAAUGGAAUUGAUAUAGGAAUGUUCAUAUCUCAAGUGCAACACACUUAUUCUCUUUAGAUUUAUAUUGCUUAUGGUUUUUUUUUUUUUUGUCAUGGUUUUCCGUUAAGAUUAGAUUAAGAGAGCCCUAUGUCAUAGAAUGCUUCAAAUGAGCCUCCCCGGGGGUUUGUAUAGAGCCCAUGAAGCUUCUAGAGACUCCUAUACUUAGCCAUUGGUGGGAAGAGUGUGAAAGGUUCUACAGAUGUCUAGAGAUAUUUACACAUCUCUACACUAUGGUGGAAGGCAUGAGAGGAGUCUAAGGCAUUCUAAAGAAUUAUAAAGAUCUCUUAUAUAUUCUUGUACAUAGGCUUGUACAUAGAAUUGUGUAGGAAGUUAUAGAUUAUUCUUGAGCUGUAAGGAACCCUCCAAGGUUCCAGAGAGUUCCAUUGGUGCCUAUAAAUAGGUGAAUGCCUCAUUUGGCCAAGACACUAAGCAAGUGAAUUCCAAAACACUUGUAAAGCUUCCUUUGAAUAAUAAAAGUUUCAAUUCUUCAAGAGUUGCCUAUUAUGCCUUCUAAAACUUCUAAGUCAUGAGCAUCUUAACCUAACAAGUUAAGCAUUGGGAGUAAUGCUAACUUAGCAAGAUCAAGGAUCUUGACUUGUCUAAGUGUUGCACGAUCUUAGGAAAAGAUUAAGUUUGUGACAGUUGGUUUCAAAGUGUGACUACGAAGUGAGCAUAGUAAAGGAAACAUGUCGAGCUUCAACAUGGAGGAAACUAGUGAGCAAACCCGUGGGAAAGAAACCGAGCCUACUGCAUAGGACAGGGACAUGAAGGAUAAAUCUCGUAAUGCCAUAGCCAACGUGGAGGCAAGGCUAGCCAAGGUGGAGCUAGCCAUGGCAGACACCCGGGAAGGGGUGGACUUAAUCGAGCAAGGCAUGGAAAAUGGCUUAGAGGAUCUAAAUGAGCAUAUCCAAGACCUUCAUGAGAGAGUGCUAGGCUUACAAGUUCGGCCGAUGUCAUAUGAGGAGUUCAUGUCCUUCCAAAACGAGGUCAUGAGCAUGUUUGCUAGCAUGGAGUCGAAGGUGGAGGCCUUGGCUGCACGCAUAGAGGCCCAAGACCAAGAGGUUCAACAAGAGCUAGCUAUCUACAAGACUGUCUUAUCAGCACGAGUCAUGGCCACUCAUGAGGCACUAAGGGUGGAAGUGCCCAAACCACACACGUUCAAUGGCAAGAGGGAUGCCAAGGAGUUGGACAAUUUCUUGUGGCACAUGGAGCUCUACUUUGAGGUUAUAACACUAAUAGAUGAAGCCACUAAGGUAUGUACCACAACCCUCUACCUCACCAAUAAAGCUACUCUAUGGUGGCGUCAGAGGUUUGCCAAUAUAGAAAAAGAAAUGUGCACCAUAGACACAUGGGAUGCCUUUAAGCAAAAGAUCAAAAAACAAUUAUACCUUAAUGAUGUGGCUUACCUAGCAAGGAAAAACACAAAAUGUCUUAAGCACACAGACUCGAUCCGUGAGUAUGUCAAAGAAUUCUCUACACUUAUGCUUGAGAUACCCAACAUGUCUGAGGAAAAGCUACUAUUCAACUUCAUGGACAACUUGCAAAGCUGGGCCGAGCAAGAGUUAAGGAGAAGUGGUGUCCAAGACCUAGCCACGGCCAUGGCGGUAGCGAAGUCCUUGGUGGAAUACAAAAAGGGAGACUCUUUUAAGCCCAAGCCACAGUCUAAGGGUAAUCAUGCUAAAGGUGGGGAAACAAGGGAUCAAGGAGGUACACUCCUAAGGAAUGAUCAAGCAAGACCUCUGGUGGCAAGGAUGGUAAGGGUAAGGAUAAACGGAAAUAGUUCACGCCUAAGAUCAAUUGCUUCCUAUGUGAUGGUCCACAUUGGGCGCGAGACUACCUCAAAAGAAAAGCCCUAAAUGCCAUGAUCGAGGAAAAGUAGAAGGAAGACAAUGCUCAUGUGGGAUCAUUACAACUCUUAAAUGAUAUCAAGGCUAAGUCAGUGCUUAAGACACCUCAAAGUAAAAGUCUAAUGUACAUAGAAGCCCUUGUAAAUAGGAAGGCUACCAAGGCUUUGGUGGACACUAGUGUCACUCAUAACUUUGUCUCGAAGGAUAAGACAAAGAACUUAGAGCUCCAAGCAUCUAAGGAAGGAGGUUGGCUCAAGGCAAUUAAUUAAGUUUCCAAGCCAUCACACGAAGUAGCACGCAGGGUGGCAAUGCACAUUGGCUCAUGGGAAGGAAUGGUCGACUUCACAGUGGCACCCAUGGACUACUUCAAGAUGGUACUGGGAAUGAACUUCCUAUAGAAAGACAAGGUCAUGCCACUACACUUCCUACAUUUAAUGGUUAUCCUAGAGGAUGAAAAGUCAUGCAUAGUCCUUACGGUCACCGAAGGUUCACCCAAGACCCCUAUGAUAUCGGUUAUGCAAGUAAAGAAGGGAUCAAAGAGGAAAGAGGUGACCUACCUCACCACUCUUAAGGAGGAAAAUGAUGAUGAGUUGGGGGAGCCCAUGCCUAAGGAAAUCAAGAGAGUCUUUGAUGAGUUCAAGGACGUGAUGUUGCCUAAGUUGCCUAAAAGACUCCUUCCUAGAAGAGAGAAAGAUCAUAAGAUCGAGUUAGAUGCAGGAACUAAGCCCCUUGCUAUGGGGCCAUAUAGGAUGGCACAACCCAAGCUGAAAGAGCUAAGGAAACAACUUAAGGAGUUGUUGGAUGCAGGGUUUAUCCAACCAUCCAAGACUCCCUAUGGCGCACCGAUUUUAUUUCAAAAGAACCAUGAUGGGUCCCUACAGAUGUGCAUCGAUUACCAAGCACUCAAUAAGGUAACAAUAUAGAAUAAGUACCCCAUUCCACUCAUUGUUGAUCUAUUUGAUCAACUUGGUAAAGCAAGGUAUUUCACUAAGUUGGACUUGAGAUCAGGCUACUACCAAGUGAGGAUUGUGGAAGGAGACAAACUGAAGACUACAUGUGUGACCCGAUAUGGCUCAUAUGAGUUCUUAGUGAUGCUCUUCGAUCUCACCAAUGUACCAACAAUGUUUUGGACACUCAUGAAUAAGAUCUUCCAUCCCUAUUUAGACUAGUUUGUGGUGGUAUACUAAGAUGACAUAGUCAUCUACAAUAGCAUCUUAGAGGAGCACGUGGAGCAUUUAAGGAAGGUCUUCAAGAUCUUAAGGUAAAACGAGUUAUAUGUAAAGAAGAAGAAAUGCUCAUUUGUUAAAGAGGAUGUGAGCUUCCUAGGGCAUCGCAUCAAAGAUGGCAAGCUGAUGAUGGAUGACAACAAGAUGAAGGUCAUCUAGGAAUGGGAUCCACCUACUAAGGUACCUCAACUAAAGUCUUUCCUUGGCUUGGCUAACUAUUACCAGUGGUUCAUCAAGGGUUACUCUACAAAGACAGCUUCACUCACUAAUCUUCUUAAGAAGAACAAGGCAUGGGUGUGAGACAAAAGGUGGCAACAAGCCUUUGAAGAUCUAAAAAGUGUUGUGAUUGAGGAGCCAAUGUUGGCAUUACCCAACCACAUGAAGGUUUUUAAGAUACACACAGAUGCCUCAAACUUUGCUAUUAGGGAAGUUCUGAUAAGAUAGACAUCUAAUCGCCUUCAAGAGUUGCAAGCUAAAUGACAUAGAGAGACGCUACAUGGUACAAGAAAAUGAUAUGACUGUCAUUGUCUAUUACUUGCACACCUGAAGACACUAUCUUCUAGGGUCUCACUUCAUAGUGAAAACCGACAAUGUUGUCAUUAGUUACUUCUAAACACAGAAAAGUCCUAAGUAAGCUAGGUGGCAAGACUUUCUGGUUGAGUUUGACGAUGCGCUGGAGUAUAAGACAAAAAGUACUAAUCAUGUGAAUGACGCCCUAAGCCGUAAUGUAGAGCUAGCAUUCAUGACGAGCCAGCCCCAAUGAGACAUAAUAGAUCUUCUAAGAGAGGGGUUGCAACAUGAUCUAGUGGCUAAGAGCCUUAUUACCUUGGCCCAUGAGGGAAAAACUAAGUGUUUUUAGGUAGAGGACGACCUACUCUACACUAAGGGGAGACUACUCUACGUGCUUAAGUGGGGGAACAUAAGGUAGAACUUGAUUAAGGAGUGCCAUGACACCAAGUGGGUUGGGCACCUUGGGCAACGACGCAUAAAGAGCACUACUCGAGUCAGCUUACUACUGAUCUUAGAUACAAGAUGAAGUUGAGGCAUAUGUGAGGACUUGUCUUGUGUGCUAACAAGACAAGGUAAAACAACAACAACCUAGAGGCUUGUUGGAGCCACUACCUAUAGCAGAGCGUCCAUGGGAGAGCAUCACCAUGGACUUCAUCAUCGGGCUACCUAAGUUGGAGGGCUAUGGCUCGAUCAUAGUGGUAGUGGAUAUGUUCUCUAAGUAUGUGACCUUCAUAGUAGCCUCUACUGACUGUACUGCAAAGGAGACAGCAAGGCUAUUCUUGAAACACAUGGUCAAAUACUGGGGGUCGCCUAAUUACAUCAUCAGUGAUCGCGAUUUGCAUUUCACUAGGAAGUUUUGGACAAAGCUCUUUAAGCUUAUGGGUUUGAAGCUUCACUUCUUCACAAGCUUUUCACCCGUAAACAGAUAGGCAGAUUGAGAGGGUGAACGCCUUAUUAGAGUUAUACUUAUCCUUCAUGAGUGUCAACCAAAAGGAAUGGACUAAGUUGCUAGAUGUAAUCCAAUUUUCAUACAACUUGCAAAGAAGUGAGACAACCAACAAGAGCCCGUUCAAGCUAGCCAUAGGGCAGCAACCAUUGACUCCUCACACACUACCAAUAGGCUAUACGAAGAGAAGUUCAGCGGCUUUGAAGUUCACUAAGGGGUGACACGAGCCAACUGACAUAAUAGCUCAUACUUGGAUAGGGCCGCUAGAAAGAUGAAGAAGUGGGCUGACAAAAAGCGACAUCACACUGAGUACAAGGUCGGAGACAUGGUCUUUGUCAAGCUCCUUCCUAAAAAAUUCAAGUCACUAAGGCCGGUACAUAAAGGCCUUAUGAUGAGGUAUAAAGGACAUUUCCCCAUACUUGGAAAGGUCGGCAAGGUGUCCUAUAGAGUUGAGUUACCACCGAGGUUGAAGAUUCAUAUCGUCUUCCACGUAAGUUACAUAAAAUCAUAUCACGAAGACAAGAAUUAUCCAAGCCAAGGGAUGUCCUAGAUGACACCUACAUCGAUUAUGACCUUCUAUGACAAGGAAGUAGAACACAUCAUUGCAGGCUGAGUCAUCAAGAGAUGAGGCGUGCCUCCUGCUACGGAGUACUUGGUGAAAUGGAAGGGACUACCAGAGAACGAGACUAGCUGGGAGCCAAUAGAUGCACUAUGGCAAUUUCAGGAGCACAUUAAGUGGUUCUAGGUGGAAGGUGCGACAAGGACGUUUACGGUUUAGGUAGGGGAGAGUGUCAUAGAAUGCUUCAAAUGAGCCUCCCCAGGGGUUUAUAUAGAGCCUAAGAAGCUUUUGGAGACUCCUACACUUAGUCAUUGGUGGGAAAAUGGUGGAAGGUUCUAAAGAUGUCUAAAGAUAUCCACACAUCUCUACACUAUGGUGGAAGGUAUGAGAGAAGUCCAAGGCUUUCUAGAAAAUUCUAGAGAUCUCUUGUAUAUUCUUGUACAUAGGCUUGUACAUAGAAUUGUGUAGGAAGUUUUAGAUUAUUCUUGAGUUGUAAGGAACCCUCCAAGAUUCCAAAGAGUUUCAUUGGUGCCUAUAAAUAGGUGAAGGCCUCAUUUGGCCAAGGCACCAAGCAAGUGAGUUCCAAAGCACUUGUAAAGCUUCUUUUAAGUAAUAAAAGCUUCCAUCCUUCAAGAUUUAUCUACUACGCCUUAUAAAGCUUUCAAGUUGUGAGCAUCUUAACCUAGCAAGCUGAGCAUUGGGAGCAAAACUGACUUAGCAAGAUCAAGGGUCUUGACUUGUCUAAGUGUCGCACGAGCUUAGGAAAAGACUAAGUUCAUGACACCUAGGACUAGUAGCAUGCACCCUAAGUAAUCCAAGGCUAGAAAUGAAAUGAUACAAGGAUUCCCAACACUUGACUUAAUUCCUUAGAAAUUGAAACUCAAUAAAAAACAUUAGUGUCAUUAACCUCAUUUUUUUUAUUACCAAUACUUAAUUAGGGGAAACCUUGAGCUAACAACCUCCUCAUUUUUUAUGAUGAUAAAACUGUACCAUCUAAAGAAAGCUUUCCUUAAUGUAUGCAUAUUAUAAGCAAUUUAAACAUUCAUCAUAAAAGAUGGAAAACAUAAACUCAAAUGGAGACAUGGAUAUAUAGAUAUAAGAGACAUCAUAAAGGUUGCAACAUGAUCGUAUAUCCGAAAUAGCAUCCAAAAGCAUGUCAUCCAAAAAAAAAUCAACCAUAAUAACCAUGUUCAAAUUGUCCCAAAAAGGAAAAAAAUAUAUAUAUGAAACAAAAAGUAUUAAAUAGUUUACUAAAUGUUAUGCCCUAGAUACCUAAAGAUAUCUCCCCCUUAGGCAACAUCGAAACAAUGAGGGAACUAUAUGGCUCAAGGUUGAGGUGGUGGAAACAAGGAACAUAGGACAGCUAUUGAAGAAGCUAAAAUUCUUCAUAAAUGAUUGAAUUUUAUUUCACCAUGAGAAACAAUACAAAGAGGGAUUUUUUUUUUUUUUUUUUUUUUUUUAUCAAGGGGAAGACCCCUUUCUCUUUACUACUUAUCCCUUUUAAUAAAAAUUCUUCCACAUUUUUCCACUUUAUUUUGCCAACAUUCUUUCAACCCCUUUUGCACAAAAAUGCCAAAGAUAGUAUUAGGAUAACCUUUUACAACCAUUGCUAACUUUUGACACAAGUUGCUAAAAAUUGUUGAAGAUUUGCUUUUAAUGUCAGGUAGGAUAGCAGAUUGGUUCUAAUUGAAGGUCAUUUCUUGUGGAGGACCUUACUUAUAAGUGAGAUGAUUGUUCCUAUCUUCAUGGUUUUAUGUUGUAUAGUUAUAGAGACUUUUUAGAGGCUAUCAGCUUUAGAGCAAAUUUAUGUUGUUUGUUAGGGAUUAAGUAUUUUAUUCAAAUUGGGUGAAUGGUACUACCUCUUUACUUGAGAUGGCUUUGAGAUUGGGUGGUUGAAUAGUAGUACUUUGGAAUGGUCUAGUUUUUGUUCGCUUUAGCUAUCAUUUUCUUAUGCUGUGUCUAUAGACGAGUGGAGACGUCAUUUGGAAAUUGGUCAAAUUGCCCGUGAAAUUGAUCAAAUUGUCAAGUUGUCAUCCUAAAAUUGACUAAACCUAGUUUGUAAAAAUGAGAAACGACCGUCACUAGCGACUAACAUCUUCUCAAGCUAAGUAUUAAUAGAUCCAAUCUGAGCAUAAAGGGCAUCUUAAUGUUGCAGGUUCAAUGCUCAUGAAGCAUAAUAUUUUGGAUACUUGGUGUGAGACACCUCAGCAUAAGUCUAAUCCAUAAGGAUAGUCUCCUCAGGAGGUUGAGAUGUGGGCAAUUGAAUGGUGGCAUCCAUGCCCUUGGUUUGCAUCUCCUGUUGAACAUCCUCACCCCCUAAUCCUUUAUGGUCACCCUCAGUCUCUAUCUAUAGAAUCUCUGCCUCUUACUCAACCCGGUCUUCAUUCAUAGCAGGACCCUUUCUUUUUCUUUCCAAUGAUCCAUUAGGCAAUUUCUCAAACAGCAUUCGGUCUGGAUUUUACGUUAUAGGUAUCAUAGGAUGAGGCCUGAAUGUUUUUUUCUCUUCUUAUGUCCACAUUGAAUGCUUUCAGGAUUUUUGUGAUCAGUCUUCUUCCGUUGGCCACUACUUUAGAAUUGCUUUUACAACAGUUUUUCAUGUGUUGAAAGAUGAUAAGGAAACCUUAGAAUGGAUCGGAGUCAAUAGAAAAUGCUACAUAAUAGGACACCUUGUCUCUAUGUCCACCCUUAGGUAGAAAAAUAUGUUUGAUCAUGUGGUGGUGCACCCUAGAGAUAAUGCUCAAGGCAUGGGCAUGGAGCUUUGAAGUCACUGUGUCGAUGGGUAAGUUACAUAUCCUCUAGAAAGCCCUACCUAGGUUAAAACUAGACACUAUAGGCCAUCCCUUCGUCUCAAAUAAACAAAGUCCCCCACAAAGGAUCUCCAAAAUAUCACAAAGCAUAUCAAUAUUUAGUUUAAUUCAACUCCUCUAACAAAUGUGCUAAUUGGCCUUCAUAUAUUUUAGGUUCAAGUAAAAUACCUGAACAAGGUUGGGGUAUGUAGGCUCUCUUGAUGAGAUGGUAUUGGUGAGUAUUUUUUUUUCUUCAAUACAAAACUAUUACAACACUUGGUUUUUUUUUUUUCUAAAAAAAAAAGAAAAAUAAAAAUAGUUUUAUAUUAUACUUAGUUUCAAGAAAAAUAAUAAUCAAAGCAAAAUGAAAAAAAAAUUCUCAUAUUGGUUUCUCGUGAAAAAUAUAAAAGCAAAUAAAAUACAAUUAAAAUUAAUUAAAAUCUUAUGUAUUUUUAAAUUAUUAAUUUUUAUAUAAAAAAUGAAAAAUAGUAUAAUGAAUUUAGAAGAAUAUAUAAAAAUAAUGUAUUAACUUUAAAUCUUUUUUUCUUUAUAUAUAUAUUUUCCCUUCAAUUUUCUAAUACCAACACAUAAUAAGGUUAAUGUCUUCUAGCCAACCAAUUGUAAGUCAAUUUUCAUAGAGCUUUUUUUUUUUUUUUUUUUUACAUGCCACCAAGUAGUUAUAUAAGCAUUUUUGCAUGUUAUUGUUAUCCAACAUACAAUAACUAUAACAUCCAAUUAUUAUGAACAUGAACAAUAAAAUUAGAUGCAACUAACUAUUUAGUGUAUAACAAGAAGUUGGUGAAGUAAUUCAUCCUAACAUGAUUCAACAAUUUUUGUUUAUUUUUCAAGAUUAAUUAUAACAUACCCAUUCUAUUAAAGUUGUUGAGAUAUUUGAGCAAAACUAAAAAUCAACAUUAAUUCAUUUUAUACCCACAAGAGAAAUAAGAUUUGUUUUUUUGUUUGAUAAUAAAGUAGUUGUAGUUAUUAAUGAUAAUUUUGAUCCUAAUUUAAUAGGUAUCCAAAAAAAAAGGAAAAAUGCAAGUAAACCAAUUCUUAUCUAACACAAUUAUUACCACCUUAAAAUCCUGAGGGGUAGCUCAGUUGAUCAGUUCGAGUCCCUUUAGGACCAUGAAAAGCUUACCCGAUGGUUCACCUUAAGAAAAGCAAAGCAUUUAUAUAAUUCAACUGGUAGUUGAUAAGUCUUAGAAAGGGUUUUGCCAUCAUUGGCUUCUCAGUAAAGGGCAAAUUUGGGUUGUGGCUGACAAUUAUUGAAUUUGUGAAGAAAUAUGUGAAGAAAGGAAACAAAAAGAGUUGAGGACAGAAUUCUUCAAUUAAAAAAUGGUUAGCCCAUGAACCCAUUCUUCAAACAGUAAGCCAAUGAGCCAAUGAGCCAAAAAGAAAGAAGAACAGCUGGUUUCAUCUUUUUAUCUUAAUGACUUUGACAACCCAUCUUUCUUUUAAAUACUUGUGACUUUGGAAUAUAAUUAAAAUGAAACUUUGGAAUGCCCACAUCUGAUUCACGGCCUUUUUACCUGUUUUCUUGUUUAACAUUUUUUUAAAUAUUAUAACAGAUGGAAAAACAUGAUUCUAACAGGCUGGAAAAUAGUGGAAGUUGGAACACCAACCAUAACCAAACUAUACCUUCCAUCUUUCUCCAACACUCGGAAUUAUUGAUACAAGUUGGUGGUUUUAUGAUUGUUUCUAUUGAGGGGACCCCUCUCCAUUUCCAAUUUCAAUGGAAAGGUUCUUCUUUCCCUACUUUUUUUUUUUGUUUUUCAAAUUCUUGUAGUUUUGUCUGUCUCUCUCAACAAAGCAAACUGCAAUCACUAAUUCAAAGAAAAGGAAUCCUAAAUGAAAAGAAAAGAAAGGAAAGGAAUGGUAAUUUAGGCUAUGAUGAUGCUCCUAUAUAAUGGCUGUAAGUCAAUAACAACACACUGGACCCGCCUCCUAUCUCAAAAGAUCACAAACCCAAAUAUCAUAUACUUCCAAAUUUCAAUUUGGUUCCCUGUUUAUAUCACAAUCUGUCCUAUAUCCUCUUAAUACAUCUAAAAUCUCUCUAUAUCAUAAAAAUAAUGAUGGAAAAAAAAAUUAAAAAGAAAGAAGGAAAAAAUGACAAAAAAAAAAAAACCUUGGUGCUGCUAUGGGUCCAUAGGAAUUGGCAGGACUGCACUUCUGGAUCCCCUUCCAUGGCCAAAAGAAAAGAAUGAUCUUCGGAAUCUGCUGCUGCAACCUUCACUAGGGCUGAAGUCACUGACAGGCCUGUUCUGUUGCAAAAUCUCUUGAAUUGCUAAAUACAGCUGCCUGUCGUUGGAUGAGUCCAUUGAAAAAGACCUCCUGAUGGGUUGGAUUGAGAACUGAUCAUCUUUGCCUCUAGUGUCAAUGCACUCAUCACCCAUGCUUGCAACAUGAUGAAACUUCCUUGCCUUUUUAGGCACAAUUCUCUGCUCUAGCUUCCUAGGUGAUGGACUAAUUGAUGGCGCAGAUAACUCUCUGGAAUUCAGUCUUUCUGGUGGCCUAAGCAGUGAUGAAUCAGCAGAACUAUCAUUUCCCAAUUCAAUUACUACAAAAUCUUCAUCCCCUCCUAUGUAAUUAUUGGCGUAGGGGCUUGGAUCUUGGGGGGAAGAGCUAGGAGCAAUGAUUUGGUGAACAGGAAACCGGGGUGUGGUUGAAAUGCUUGUUCUGCAAAGUGGGCAAUUAGCAUUGCUUUGAAGCCACACGUCUAUGCAAUCUAUAUGAAAUAUGUGACUGCAGUUUGGUAUGAUUCUUAGCUUCUCUUCUUCUUGAAACUCAUUCAAGCAAACCGCACACUCGCAAUGGCUUCUUUCUCCAAACUCUCUGCCACCUCCUUUCCUGAACUGGAAUAUUGGGAUUGAUCUGAUGACUGACUCGUCCAGGCCUCGACUCUCGAUUGCUGGGGAGUACACCAUUAAAGGGUCUUCCGGGUGCCGACUCCUUGAGAAAGAAAAUCGUCUCAGCAGAUCAAUCCGGUGCCAAUUGAGGCAGCAUUUGAUUACAAAGAUGUAGUAGCUCACCAGCAAGAAAGCAGUGGCCAGGAUUCCUAUUACGGCAAUGGCUAUAAUGGGGAAACUGGUGUCCGAGGAAUGAGAGGGAGAAGGAAGCACUGAGCUCGCCUGGCUUUUGAUGGGAGAAAAGGCUUGUGAUCCAUGGAUGGAGGAGUCUGUGCUCACAAGAUCCAUGAGAGAGGCUAUGAAAAACAUUUAGAAAUGAGUCUAUUCGGAUCUUCAAUUCACAGAAACAUGCAAAUGCUAGAAUAAAAUCGACAGACACUCAGAUAUAGACCCUACAGUUGUAAUGCAGCAUACCAUAAAUGUGAUUGAGUGAGUGAGGCUGAAACAGCAAAUGGGUCACUUCAAGAUCUCAACAAGACAGAAAACCCAUGUUGAAUUCACCAGGAGAGUAUUGAAAAGGGAAAAAUUAAGGACAUAUAGCUGUAUUGAAAGUUGAAACAAAUGCAGAAACAUAGAGAAGAGAGAGAGAGGGAGAAAACCCAGGAGGGUUGAAUGAGAGCGCUGCUGGGGAAGACAUCAAAACGCUUCAAAUUCAAUGAGAAUCUGUUGGGGACCUCUUUAAGAGGACUGCACAAAGCCUGAGCGUAGGGUACGUGGUUGGUUGGUGAAUUUCUCGGCUUCCAAAAGAGAAAUUUGGUGAGAAAAUUUUCAAGUCUCUUGAUUAUAGUAACGUAGCGUUUAUUUUAAUUUUAUGUAACCGAAACUAAUGGGCUGGUUCAAAAAAAUAAAAAAUAAAAAAAGGAACUUUCUAGGAUAGGCCAGCAGUCCACCGUUGGUCAUGUGGUUUCUUUUGCAUGUCCACAUCUUCCAACUAGUGGAGGUCCCUGUCACAACAGUAAGAAAACACCCAAUUGAAUAAAAGUAUGAACUUUUGGCUCCCAAUAUUACUUAUGCCCUCAUUCAAUACCUCAAAUAAAGCAGAGAUUUUGUGUCCCAACUUUUAUGAUUUCAUUUCAUCUUACUUCAAAUGCUAAUGACAAAAGUCCAAGUAUAUUCUGUAAUCACCCACACCCCAAUAGUUUUGAAUCACACUUGAAAUAGUUCCCAUGCUUUCUUAAUAAUUUAGAUAAUUAUUUACAGAAAAAAAAAUUCAGAACAGGAUGAUAAUCAUUUUGUGAUAGCAUGGAAGAAACUUUACUAGCCACUUUGGCCCCAUGAAGUUGAGUACUUGAUGCCAAUUAAUGGCAGGGUGGAAAAUAGAGAAAAGGGAUCAUAGUCAAAUCUAGAGUACAAGGCAUUGAAUCUUUGUUAAUAAUUAACAAAUGGGUAAAGCAUGGGUCACAGGGUCUACAGUUUGGAUUGCAAAAACCUCAGGCUUCUAUAAAAAGCUCAUCCAUUAUCAAUCAUCAAUCUGAAAGCCAGAAAGUCCAAGGCACAUGCAACCCACGACAGGGGUAAGAUUUCUGCAUCAUGUCCCUGAGUUGCAUUCACAUCAUAUGUUUCCCUCCGGGCCGUUCCAAUUUGAAAUCUCAUGGAAAUCUUCAAGAGCAAGGCUACAGAGUUUAAGAUAAUACUAGGGGUGGGUCCUGAUGGGAAAAGAGGUAGUGUAGGAUAGUCAAUAAAGGGCAUGUGUCUCUGGUGUGAAGUCAAAUCCAGUGUACCAUCCUCAAUGGAAAAUUUAGAAAUAGAACCGACACUCUACAGACUGCCGUGUUGACAGAUUAGAGAAAGACAAACCCACUUACACUUGCCUCAAAACCCAGUCCUGCCAUUUCAAAGGCAAAAAAAAAGGGUUUCUUUUUAUAGUCAAAGGUUGAGGCCUGGCCUGGCCUAGCAAAGAAACUUCACCUACUCUUUUCUUAUUUUUCAAAUUAAGGCCAUUCAACUUUUCCUGUUUGCAGGCUUGCUGCCAUAUCUUACUCCAAAAAAGGUGAAAACCCAAAAGAAAAAGAGUGUUUGCUUCAAUGGAAAACUCAUGUUUAAUAAAUUCACCGCACGAGUUUUGUUCCAGCUUUUCCUAUGAAAGCUGUGAUGCGUUUGGUAUGAAGUUGAUUUUGUUCCUAAAAAUUUUGAUCUUGGCGUGGAAGGCAACUUUUUCCUUUUCCCCCUUUUUCUUUUUGAAAAGUUCGGCAUUAGUUACCAAAUGUCCUUUUACUUGCAUGUAGGACAGCGGAAGCAUUACACAUCGCAGCAAAAUCCCAUUUACCCGAAUUUUCCACUAACUCUUUUUAUUUUUUACCAUCAUUUUUUAAUAGAAGUGAUGCACUCUUCAAAUUACAUGAAGCUUUUAAGAAGGUAAUAACCCGUUUCAAAGCGAACUUAACCUACAGAGUAUGUUUUAAAAAUAUUUAGGUAUUUGAUAAAAUUUAAAAAAUAUUUUUUAAAAUCUUUAAAAUGAUUUGUAAUAUUGAAAAUUUAUUUAUACUUUUUUUAAUAAAAAAACAUUUUAUAGGUAAUUUUUCUAAAAUACUUUUAGAGAAAAUGUCUUCCCUUCACUAUAAAUAUUAUAUACUAUCAAAUACACUUUAAAAAUCUGUUUAACAAUAAUUUUAUAAAGUGUUUUUAAUUUUAAAAAUAUUUUUAAAAACAAAUUAAAUUUUUGAUAAAAUUUAAAAAAUCUUUUUAAAAAUUUUGAAAAAUAUCUCGUAAUAUUAAAAAAUAUAUAUAUUUAUAAUGUUUUUUAUAUAAAUACUCAAAAUUCAUUUAAUAGUGAUUUUAGGAAAUGUUUUUAAUAUUUCUAAUACUUGAAAAUUUUUUAUCAUUUAAGUAUUAAAAAUAUUAAAAACACUUUAUAAAAUCACUUUCAAAUGGACUCUUAAUGAUUUUACUAAAAACACUUUUCAUAGAAAACAUUUAUAAAAAAUAAUUAUGAAAUACACUCUAAAUUAAGUAAAAGUUGUUUUUAACAUUACCACUAUUUAUUAAUAGUGCAUUUGUUUAAAAUAUUUAUAUGAAAAAUUCAUUAGGGUGGGAUAUAAAUAUAGAAGUGUUUUUCUUUAUAUAUUUUUUAUAAUAAAAAAUGAUUUUUGAAAUUAUAAAAUUUGAAUUUAAGAAUCAUUUGAUAAUAAUUUUUGUUAAAGCACCUUUAAUACGUGGUGCUUCUAUUGAUAGCGCUUUCAUUUCUAUGAAUGGCUAUAAAUUAUAUUUGAAUAAAUUUUUUAUAAUGUAUUAUAUAAUAAAAAAAAAGUCAUUUUUAAAAAAAUUAUACAUUAAAUGAUUAUUCAAAUAGUAUUUCCUAAAUUUUAUUAAACAUUUUUUUCAAAAAAAAAAAAAAAGUUUUCAAAUACUAGAAAACGUUUUUAAUCUCUCACACGAUCACAUCCAAACAAGUCCUAAUGCUACUCCUAGAAACACUCCAAAACAAAAGUCUUCCUCUAUUAAUGUUCAUAAAAUCCACAUAUAUUCUUCCAUCGUUUUUUCAAAAUUCAAAAUCAUUUCUAAAACAUCAAAUCAUGUUCUUUGGAUUGGCUGACUUGUUUUUUGAAAAUAGAAGGCUCAUUAUUGACGUCCGUUGACUUCAUAACCCAGUCUUGAUCUCUUGAUGGAGGGCAUAAAUGUAAAUUGGACGAAACCCUAGGGUGCGCUAGAGUGUAGAGGAUGAAAGGUUGGAAAAAGGAUGAGGUGGGGGUGUAAUAAAGAGGAGGGUUGGGAGAAUGGGACAUGUGUAGGUGAAGCAUUAAAUUCAAGACUAUGCUUACCAACAACAUAUAAAUAAAUAAAUAAAUAAAUAUAGGAACAGCACAUGGGGUGAGUAGGAGACAUCAGAAGAUGUGAACAACCCCUUGUCAGUCCAAUUUGCGUCUUUUAUCUACUCUAUUAUCUAUAUCGAUUUUCGUAUUUAUUUAUUUAUUUAUUUAUUUUUACCAUUUGAUUUUGCAUGGAUGUCGAAGGGUUUAUUGGCUGCCACGUGUAGGGUUAUGGUCAAGAUCACGUGGGGUGCCUACAUGGGAGUCACGUGAGUGCAUGAGGCAGGCUUGAAUUGCAGGAGGAGCAGGAGCAGAGCAGUGGCUGUUGUCUUAAGACUUUGCUCUCUUGGUGGAACUGCAGCUUAAGCAGCAUCCACGUGUUGUCACGUGCAAUGCGAGCCAUCCACACCACCAGUUUCUUUUUAGUGAUUUUCUAAAGUCAGUUAAGGUUGCAGUCAAUACCUUCAAAUGUUGACAGAGUUAGGGAUCUUUGUUAAAUGGAUUUUAUUAAGAUAUUAGUAAGUUAAUUAAUUGAGGGUCAACAUAACAGAUGGGUCGGGUUGGGUUGAAUCUGAAUUUAAAACGAUUUAAUUUAUGUUUAAUCAAAUUUAACAUUUAACUCGAAGCACUCAACUUAAGUUUAAUUGAAUCUUAGUUUUCAAAACAUUAUUUAAAUUUGGGUCAUUUGGAUUAAAGUCAAAUGGGUUAGAUUAAUCGGGUUAUAUGGUUCAAAAUCCACUUACCUUAUUUUUUAUACAUUAAUAUUAAAAUUUAAAUAAAAAAUAUUAGAAGAAAUUUCAAACUUGGGAUUAGUUGAUUGUAGCCAUGCAUUUGGAUGUUGGUAUUCUUGUUUCUUGUCUUGUUUCCAAAUACCCUUUCAAAUCGCUUUGUUAUUCAAUAGCAUCCUCCCGAUCAUUUAAAAAUUUAAAGAGCAUUGGUAUGAUGGAGGAAUUCAGAAAUUUUAGUUGAAUAAGUAAAAUUUUUCUCUCAUAAAACCAAAUAGCCUCUAUAGCUCAGUGGUAGAGCGUCAGUCUUGUAAACUGAAGGUCUGUAGUUCGAUCCUGCAUGGAGGCAACUUUUUAUAUUUCAUGAUCCAUUAUGCUCUAGUGAUUUAGUUUUCAUUAUAAUUUUAGAUUAAAAAAUUACAUCAACAUUUGAUAAGUUGGUUAUGACUUUGAUAUAAGGAUGAAACUAUCAAUAAUAUAUAUAAAUAUUUUGACACAAAAUAUCUAAUAUAUUAAAAAAUUAAAAAAAAACUCUAAAAAACAUUAUAAAAUUAUAUAUAUAAUUUAUCAUAUUUAAUAAUAAUAUCUUCUACCCUAAUAAAAAAUAUAAAUUUUAUAAGCAUACAUUUAUUAUUACAUUGUAUUAUAUAUUAUUUUACAAGAAUAUUAUGAUAACAUGUCUAAUUUUAAAAUAUAUUUAAUAUUAAAAUUAUCAUCAAUUUUAAUUUAAAUGUAUUUAAUGAUAUCAAAUAAUAUAUAUAUAUAUAAUUUUUUAAUAUUUAUAUAUUUUUAUAUUUAAUAAAUAUAUAAAUUAUGUAAAAAAAAAAGACCUAUUAAGAAGAUUAUGUUUUUAUAUUUGGAUCAAAAUUAAGUUUUUCCGAUAAAAUAUAUGAAACUAUUGAUAAAUUAUUGAUUGAAACGUGAAAAAAAAAAUUCAAAAAAUAGAUGAGAUAUUAGUAAAAUAUCCGAAAAUAUUGAUUGAUGAAUAUAUCAUUUCAAAUUUUGCAUCAACAUCCACAUAUGUUGGAUAUAUUGGCCAAAUAUAUUUAAACCUUGUUUCCAUGAGAAGUCUUUCCUUCAACAAUUUCAAAAGGUUAAUGAGGUGGUUUCCAAGAGAUGUGUGUAGGGGUCUCCAACGGGCGGGCCGGGCCAGCGGGCUUUUUGAAAUAAGCCAAAAUGGCUUUCAAAAAAGGGAAGGGAGAGGAUUUAAACCCCUUCCUUCAUGCUUAAAUUUCAAGGUUCUAACCAAUUGAACUACAUUCCUUUAAUGUUUAUUAAUUGAGUUAGUUAUAUAUAUAUAUAAAAAUAAAGUAUAUUAUUUUUUAAAGGGGCGGGCCUACGGGCUGGGCCGGGCCGAAAGCGGGCCACGGGCCACGGGCUUUUUGGAGACCCUUGGAUGUGUGCAAUCACAUUUGGUAUUAUAGGUGACAAAGUUUGAUAAAUGAGUAAUUAUUAGGUUAACUUAUAAAAUCCGAAUUUGAUUUAAAUUGAUUCAUUUAAUAAUCCCAUUUAUUUACCCAAUUAAAACUUUAAAUUAUUUAACUUAUAUUUAAUUUAAUUAAAAUUUGUUUUUAAAUAAAUAGAUCAAUUAAAACAUAAACAUAUUUGAUUGAAACAUUAAUAAUAUAGAUUUAAAUAAGACCUAAUUCAACCUAACGAUCAAAUAGAAAUAUCUAAUUAUUAAAUAAAUUAAACAUGUUACUUGCUUAAUAAUUAUGUGACAUUUGAAUUUAUGCUUUUGAUAUAAUUAUUAUUUAUAUCAGGUUUAUAUAAUGAAAUAUCUAGACUUUGACACCAGUCAACAUUGUCCACCAAUACAGAUUGCAACUCUUAUAUGCUACAUCACAUCAUGUUGAAGGAAGAGGAUGACGUUCAUUGGCAGCAGAGCCUCCAAUCAUAAGGAGCUUGAGCAAAUUCAAUCUCAACACUGAAAUUCACUAGAAAAAAAGUUUAUUAUUGAUACUUCAUUUGUGUAAAAGCAUUAUAUUUCUUGCAUCAAUCGUAAAGCAUGACAUUCCAGUAGGUACGGAAGAGAAAAUUUGUUAUGAAUUGAAAAAUCUGUCAAGCUUAAUUUGGAGGGCCCAAAAUUGACACGUUUAAGAGCUCUAUCAUUAGCCCAAUGAUAAGAGUCCAUUUCUUGAGUUUCAAGGAAGGCCCAAGUUUAACUUAGAGGGCCCAAUCUUGGUACCUUCUAAAAGGUGCAAACUUUGGCCCAAUUAUAAAAGCUUAUCCUUGCUUCCUAAGCAUCAAUGAUAUAUUUGAUCGAAGUAUUCACAUAACUAUCACGAAAUGAAAUGAAAUGAAAAUGUAUAAGUAAAUGAUGAUUUUGAGUUAUUUACUGACAAUAAAGAAUUAGGUGGUGUUUGUUUUUUUUUUUUUGGCUUUUUACUAAAAGCAAUUUGUUUUCAGAAUUUAGGUUAUUUAUUUUUCUAUUUUUUCAUGACUUAUUAUAAACUUUUUACUAAAUAAGAAAAUCCAAAAUAUAUAGUUUUUUCUAAAUAGAAAAAAUAACAUAUUGGUUUUCUUUUUUUUUUACUUUUUAAUAUUUAAUAGAAAUAAAAUAUUAUAAAAACAAACAACCUAAUAUUUAACACUAUUAAGUAUUAAGGUUUUAUUUAGAAUUAAGUAAAAAAACAAACACUACCUUAAAAUGAAAAGUAUGUAUAAUGACCUUAUACAAAAAAAGUCUCAUUAUUUUCUUCCAAAGAACUCAUACUUUUGUUUUUCAACUAUUACUUUGUUUUUAUUUUUUAAAUAAUAUUUCAAGUUUUUUUUAAUAAUACCUUUCUCUUUAUUAGAUAAUUUUAAUGACUUUAAAAGUAUUUUAAUAUAUUAAUUUAUUAUAUAAUUUUAAUGAUUUAAAAAUAUUUAAAUGUUGAAAUAUUUAUUUUCAAGUCUAAUUUUAAUUAUUUAUUUUUUGAAGUAUUUAAAUAUAUAAUAAAUGUGGGAUUAUGUAAAUCUAGUUGUAAUUAUUUAUUUCAUUCUAUUCAUGUUUUUAGUUGAAUUUGCUCAAAAUUUACACCUCUUUAUUUAAAGAUCAUGGAUUAGUUAGGUGUCUUGAGAUUUUUUUUCUCUCAAGACACUACUUGUUACACUAGAAAAUAAUUUGUGGCUAUAUUUUUUAGGCAAAAAGAAUUAUAUGUUAAAACUUCCUUUAUUGACUAGUUUAUCAUAGGGUGUAGAGGAAAGUUUGUGAUGUCUUUUUAUGUCAACUUUGGGAGAAAAAUAUCACUUUAGCAUUUUCCUUAGAAAAUUUUCAUACAUAAUUGAUUUUGGAACUAUGGAGGAGCAUAAGUAGGGAUAGAUAAUUCGAUUUUGGAAAAAUUAUAAUAGCUUUUCAACUUGGUGUUAAUGAUAUAUUGUUUAUUUCUUAUUUUUUUUCCAUUUUAAUAUAUAAUUGGGGAUUUUAAACUUGUAGAACAAGGCUUUUUCAAUUGAAUUGACACGUACAUAUGAAAGUUCUCUUUGGUUGCUAAUCACAUUUUUUUUUCUUUUGCUUUUUGUUUUUAUCAUAAUGAAUAUUGAACUCGAAAUUCAGUUUUUAAAAUCUUAUGAUGUUUUAAAGUUUAUAAAUAUUAUUGAUUUUUAUAAAUGAUGUUAUUCAUAUCUUGGUAAAGACAAUAUUUUCAUAUCGGUCAAGAUGAUUAAUAACAUAUAAGUUCAUAAAGAAAAACCUAUUGAUUAAUGGAUAUUUAAUGAUUUUUAUUAGGAAUGUUUUUUAAUUAGUUUCAAUACUCAUCUUUUAGAGCAUACAUAUAGGGUUUUAGAUGCUACAUUGGUUUUCAGCUUGUGAUUUAAAUUAUUGAAGCAAAAAAUGAGGGUUUUGCUUUAUGGAACUAUCUAAAGGGAGGUGAAUUAGGCGGUCUUCCUUUUUAAAAUCCAAAAAUUAGAUUUUUAAUACUUAUAUUAGUUAUACAUGUGUUCAAUAAUUAAAACAAAGAACAAGUCCAUAAUUUACAUGUGAUGUGCAUGGAAAAACACCUACAAAUUCUCUCAAAUACUUUACAAAUGAAAAAAAAAUCAAGGAUCGAUCAAUCACAGAGCAACUUCACUAAAUAUGAAAACAUGACUAUACAAUUUUACUUGGAUGAGGUGCUACCUUCUCUUAAGGGUUUUUACACUAGCCAACAAUUACACUCACCUUCACUCUCACCAUGCACCUCUAUUGUGCUCCAUAGUAAACACUUUAAUGACUGUAGCAAGAUUGCGAUAAAUUACUGCGAUUAAUUUGAGAGUGUUGAUAAUGAACAAAAAAUAAUGAUAAUUAACUAGAGAGCAUAUGAUUUUGUAAAAACACCAAAAAGAGGCAUAGUUAUAAGUGAAAACUUUAAUGGAUUGGAUUGAAUAUAUAAUUGAAGUAUGAAUGAAAAAUUACCAAAACAAUGUUCAAAACCGUGCUAAUCAAAGCACAAUCACUUGAGUACUCUCAUGGGGCACUUGAAUGCUCCUUUUAAUCACCGUAAUGCUGAAAUUAAUAAUUUGUCUCAAAUUGUUUUUCCAAAACAUAAAGCAAAAUAUUAUAAAUUUAUAUAAUCAAACCCAAUUUCAUCUUAAAGCUAGCCUACUUAGUCUUAAUUCAUGUCCAAAAAUACUCAUACUUGUCAAAGAAUGAAUAUGGUAUAAACAAAUUCUUUAUUUUCAAUUAUAUUCAAUUAUUGAAAGAAUAAAUCGGUUUACAUACAUUUUGAACAAAGGUAUAUACACAUAGACUAAAUCAAGGAAAUGAGGAAAUCAAUCACAAUCAAAUCAAAAUCAAAUGAUAGGUUGAUAUCUAGGAGAAGGUUAAGUUAGAACCAACUCAUGUAUUCAAUAUUCCCCCUUAAGAUGGCAUAUGGAGAUCAUGAAUAUCAAACCUAGAAAGUAAGGGAUAUGAAAUAUCUAUACCAAGGGAUUUUAUGAAAUAUCAACCAAUUGUUGUUGUGAUUAAACAAAUUGAAUAAGAAUAAUUUCAUUUCGAAUCUUUUCAUAGAUCAAGUGACAAUCAAUUUCAACGUGUUUAUUCUGUUCAUGGAAAAUUAGAUUAAUAGCAAUGUAUAGAGUUGUAUUAUUGUCACAAUAUAGAUGCAUUGACCAAGGAUGAUGAACUCCAAAAUCUAUAAGUAAAUAUUGCAACCAAUGCAAGUAGUAAUCAUUAAAUAAUAUUUCACUUUUCUUCAUGAGUGUUAUAUCAUUGAUUGCUUUUUAGAUCUUCAAGAGAUUGAUAGGCCACCAAGUAAAAUACAAUACCCUAUAAUUGAACAUCAAGAUUAUGCACAAUAGGCAUGGAGGAAGGCAAAAGAAUUCCUUGACCUAGACGAUUUUUUAAAUAGUAUAACACUCAUGUACUUGUGAGAUAAUUGAGACUACAUUGGCUUGUCAAGAAUUUGAACAUAAUUAGCAAUAUUAAGCCCUAUCAUUAUGAGUCAAAGUAACUUCCCAAUCAAAUGCCUAUAAUAAGAAGCAUCCAACAAAGGUUCUCUAUCUAAUUUACUCAAUUCCAAAUUUUGUUUCCUAGGAGUUUUUAAAGUUACAUGUUCCAAGAAAACCAAAAUCUUUUAGUACUUCUAGAGCAUGUUUUCAAUAACUUAAAUAAAUCUCAUUCUUAAAAUAUGUCAUUUCAAUGAUGAUGAAGUACUUUAAUUUUCCAAUCUCUUAGUUAGUUUGAAAAUGCUAUAUAGGUUUUCCUUGACCACCUUAAUUCCUUUAAGAUCAUUCAUUGUAAUAAUUAUAUCAUAAAUGUAAACAAGAAUGAUUGUGAAAUAGUUAUUUGAGGCUUGAGCAAAUAAGAAGUAAUAUGUACGUCUUGGCUUGCUUGUAAACCAUAAACAUCAAUGUGAUAGAUAAUUUGGCAAACCAUCAACGUGAAGCUUGCUCAAGGCCAUAAAGGGAUUUUUUAACUUUGCAAAUCAUAUUUUUGGUUCUAGAUUUCCUACAAACUUGGUGGAAGCUGCAUGUAUACCUCUUUAUCUAAGUCUUCAUAAAGAAAAACAUCGUUGAUGUCAAGUUGGUGAAGAUGUCAAAUUCUAAUUAUACAAUAAUUAGGGGUGACAAUGUGUCUUAUCGUGUUGAGGUGAGAAAUAGUGAAAAUUUACUUAAUCCGACUAUGACCCGUUUGAUAAUCGUGUCAAAAUAACCUAACAUGAAUACAAUUAGUUUAUUUCAUGUAACAUGACCCUUUUAACAUGUUUAAUAAAUAUAUUAACUUGGAUUAUGUAUUAAUUGACAUGAAUAACUCAUUAACUUGAUUUCAACCCCUUAAACUCAUUAACACAAUUCCAACCCAAUAAACUCGUUAAUAUGAUUUAACUCAUUAAACUUGUUAAUAGGAUUAUAACCUCUUUAACCUAUUUAAAAUUUUAAAUUUAUAAAUAAUAAAAUACUUCUAGAAAGUUUAAUUUUUAAAAUUUGAACUAUAAUACAUGUAUGCACCAAUUUCAUGAAGUCCUGAAAAAUUAGCAAAAUUAUAGAAAAAUAAUAUAAACAAAAAUUUGUAUUAAAAUUAAUAAGUAUGGGCUACAAUAUUAGUCAUAGUACUGCUUAUUUCUGAAUGACUUUAUUAAAAAGCGAAGAAUACAUGUGUAGUUCUUAUGUGAUUUCUUAAACUUGUAAGGCGAUUUUAUAAAGUUUUUUUUUUCUUUGUGAAACCUCUUUUUCUAUGUGAAAUUGUUUUGCCGAUUUGAAAUCUUCAUUAAAGGAAGUUACUAUUAUUUAUAAUUGAAAUUAGAGAAUGAAAUGUGGAAUCCCCAUGAUUUAGUUGCUUAAUUCAAGGAAUUUGAUUAAUUGAUUUUGGUAACUUGUCUCAUAAAAUUUUCUAACAAGAAUAUUUAUUUUUAAUCUCUUUUAUUUCAAUUGGAAUAUUUGUUUCCUUUGUAAAUUUGUCAAUAGAAUAUUUAUUUAUUUAUUUAAUUCUCUUUUGACUACAAUGAGAAGAUUUGAUUUUGUUUGUAAGACUAAAUUUUAUAACCUUUCAAAUUUGGCCAAGUGACACCUUUUGAAUAUAUGUCACAUGUCAAAUGUGUGUGACUCAUUAGUUGUUGAACCUAAAUUUUCUUGAAUUAGAAAGCUAUACUUUUGAAGACUAAUUUAGUGAUAAUUUAAUUCAUUAAAUUUUUUUGGUGUCUACAGUAUAUUUAUAAUAUGAAAAGUAAAUUAAAAUUUUAAUUUUUUUACUUGUUUAUUAUUUUAUUUAUUAUUUAAUGAUAAAUAUUUUUAUUCUUUAUUGAAAUAUAUAAAAUUUUAAUUAAUAUUUUAAUUUUUUUAAUUUCUAUAUAUAAAAUAUAUAGAUUUAUAUGGUCUAAUUGAGUCAUUAAAAUAAAUAGGGUAAAUAACUCACACAUAAGUGAUGGAUCAUUCUAACAUGAUUAAAUUAACAAGUUAGAUGAAUUGAGUAGUCAAAUACAAACAUGAUUUGUUUAUUAAAUAAGUUAUAUGAAUUGAUACGAUUAUGACAUCAACUCAAUUAAACUUAACUCAAAUAAGCUUUGUCUUUUAUUUUAAGUUGUCUAGUUGUUCACACAAAUUUUCUCAAAAUAAAGAAAUUAUAUAUAAAAUUGUAAAUUUGAUUAUUUGAGGGGACCAUUUUCAAUACUCUUUUUUAAGUAAUCUGGUGUUUAAUUUUGAAUCAAAGGGGCUUUCAUUAACAAAUAAUAGACUGUAGUUUUCAUAUAAGAAGAAAUCUCAAGCCUUUUUUUCUUGAAGGAAUCUUUAAAUUUUCUUUGAUACUUUAAAAAAUCAAUCUUCUUUGAUUUUUUAAGAAAUCUUUGAAUUUUCUUAAAGUCUUCAAAAAAAAAAAAAAAAAAAAAACUGAGUUUAAGGAAUUUUUUUAAUAACUCUCCAAAUUUCUUUGAUAUUCCAAAGUGUCCUUUAGAAGGGGACAAAUCCUCUAUUUACAGGAUUGAGAGUUUUAUUUUAAUAUUAUCUCUUAAUUUUUAAGAAAUAACUCUCUUAUUUAUGAUAAUUACUAUUUAUUUUAUUUAUCAUAAUUAGUUGCCUAUGAUAAUUAUCAUAAUUAAUUUUUCUAGAGAUAAAUAAUUAUAUAUAUUUAAUUAAUCAUGAUAACUAUAAUAUUUAUUUAAUUUUUUAUUAAAUUAUUUUACAUAACAUAUCAAUAUAUAUUAUUAGUCAAUUAUUAACACCGAAAAUUAAUGAGUUGGCAUAAAAUUUAUCUCUCUAUAAUAGUAUCAAAGCGAGCCUUAAUAAUAACAUUGCUUAUAGUCAAUUUCACAUGCCAACUUUUUACUGGGCAUUGGCGAUUUCAAUUUUGAUAGUCCGGUUAGAAAAAGUAGGUAAAGAUUAUUUGAUGUGGUAGGUCAUUUCUUUCAUAAAGACGAUGGCGGUGAAUUCAUGAGACAGGUGAUAAAGGAGAGAUUCUUUCUUUUGGCUUUGGAAUUUUAAUGAGGUCCUCGAUCCUCAUCCAAAAUACACCUCUCCAAUUAUAAAAAUCUUAUUAAAAAAAAAAAGAUUUGACAUGUGCCUUUCGAACUGCUGGUUUUCUGUUCCAAAAAUGAGAAUGGUUUCAAGUGGAUGAAGGAAGGUGAAGAACCCUUGGUUUUGUUAAGCGAAAAGCCACAUGAUUAAAUAAACAUAAGGCGGCAAAGGCUGAAAAUUUAAAAUUAUACUAAGGAACCCACCCCACAGGGCGACUACACUUUUGGUGAAGCCACGAGAAUGAAAGAUAUCGAAGGUGACACCAAGACAUUAAGCAGCACCAAGGUUUCGAUAUAUUAUAAGAUGGGAUCUUAUGAAAGACGAUCUCUAAUCUCUCUCCAAUCUCUUCUUUAACCUUUUCUUACUUAAAUCCAUUUCCAUGGUAGGGCACAUGUCCAGCUGACCCUACCCCCUCACCUACCUAUACUGCUAUACCCUUUUGUAUAAUUUGAUAUGGAUUGGAAGCCACCCCAACAUCUUUCUAAUUGCUCGUAAAUGUUGAGGUGCCUUUCCAUUUUGAGGCUGCCCUAAUGUGUGGCUGAAGUACGUAGGAAAAAAAAAUUGUGAUACAUGCACUGACGAAUCAAAUCCCAAUGUCAAAUUAUUAGACUCACCUGGUUCUUAAAUUAUUGUGAAUGCCGCUGGCCAUGGAUAAAUGGAAUUAGUGCGUGGCUUAAUGAAAAUUUAUUUUGAAAGGGAUAUUAAUUUGAGAGAAUUUUGGCUGAUACUUGGAGUUGAACGUAAGCAUAUAUGACCUCAUUUCGGGUGUGAUAUUGUGCUUAUAACGAACCUUUCGUUCUUUCCAAUUCCAGUGGGUAUUAAAUAAUUAAAGAAUUCAUGGUUCGAAGGCGAAAGGUAGAAGACCAAAAAGGGAUUACAAAGCCAUCGGCUUGACCAUCCAGAUGCAAUGGAUACAAACUUUGGACUCUAUCGAAAGUUCUUUGGGCACGUGCCCAAGUGUCCUACCCAUAUGAUAAGUUACACGUGGCUAAUUGCGGACCGGUUGCUCGUGCUAAACAGGGUACUUUUUCUACGCAUAUAAGAUGUUUCACUAGUGGGGCUUCACCAUGCAAACUCAUGGAUGAAGACCCUGAGGCCAAGAUGAAGGAACAGAAAGAAGGCGGAGGAGAGGUUCGGUAUCGAGGCGUUCGGAGGCGGCCAUGGGGGAAGUUUGCUGCGGAGAUACGUGACUCGACUAGGCAUGGAGCGCGCGUCUGGCUCGGGACUUUCAAUUCUGCGGAGGAGGCUGCAAGAGCAUAUGACCGAGCUGCUUAUGCCAUGAGGGGUUCCUUGGCGAUUCUCAACUUCCCUAAUGAGUAUCAUACACCCGGCACGGCUAGCUCUUCAGCUUCAUCCUCAAUGCCCGAAGGUGAUCAGCAGGGAAAACAAGUCAUUGAAUUGGAGUACUUGGAUGAUAAGCUGCUAGAGGAUCUUCUCGACUCUGAAGACAAAAAGAACAAGAAAACCUGAAGUUUCUGCUGCCUCGAAUCCCCUGAAAUCUAGUGCUUCAUCGAAAAAAAAUCCCCUCGCUCCUGAUUAACAACAUUUUUAUUUUAGUCAAUGAAUGUGUUCUCGGAUCAUUAUAAGUAUUUCUGCCGAAGUCCAUUGAUUUUUGGAGACUGAAAAAUGUCAGAAAAAUUGGUGCGAACAGGUUUACUCCUUUCUAAAUUAUGCAAUUGAAGUAUUUGGAUUAGUGCGCAGUGUAAACAUCAAGGAAAGCAUGAUCCACUAUUUUAAGGAGCCUAAGUGCUUUCCCCUUUACUCUUUUAGGAUGUCUUUUCAGUGAAGAAAGUUGGGAGACCACCACUUACCCUUUUGAUUGGUAUAUAACUGCCAACUAAUAACUGGACUAACAUUUGGCCCGUCUGGCCCUACUUCUUUGACUUUGUUGUUAAUUUAUAACUUUAUGUGAAGUGGGGGCUGUUUGGGAAUGUGUGAAGCAAGGAUUUGAGCCGACUUCGCCUAAUCUGAUUCUCCAUAAGUGACUUCAUUUUAUCAUAUUGGUGUUUUUUUUCUUCUUCUUUUUAAAUGGCUGGGGAGGAGGGGAUUUGGGAGGGAUGCAAUGCCAUGGUUGCAUGCUGGAUUAUCCUUCCAAAUGAAACAUCCAUUUGGUUUCUAGUAACUAAUUGCAAACAAUUAAAGAGAAUAAAAUUUUAAGAUGAUUAAACAAUAAGUACCUAUGUCCAUGAAAAGGAGAGAAGUUCACUCAUGGGUGUUCAUGAAAGACAUCACAAAGAACCAUCAAUAUGAGAAGAAUCCUGAUACAAUUAACUUUCAUGCAUAAGAAAAGACGCUCAAAAAAGAAUAAUGCUUACAAGGAAAGAAUCUCACUACGAUCAACUGAAAAAAUAUUCCAAUUUAAUUGGAAAUCCUUACAUGGGAAGAAUAUCAAUAAAAUCAACUAAAAAAAUAUUUUAAUUUUAUAUCAAAAUAUUUGUGAUUUAACCCGUAUCAUUUCAUCAUGACUUCUUAUAAAUUUUGUUCCUUUUUAUCAACACCACCCCUUGAGUUGGAGCAUAAAUAUUUAUUAAGCUAACUUGAACAAGAUCUUGAGAAAUUUUGUCGCAGGAUUUGUUUGCACUUUUUUUUUUCAAAUAAAGUCAUAAUUAACUUUAAUAUGUUUAAUCAUUUCAUGAAAUACUAGAUUUUAAGCAAUGUUGAUAGCAUACUUAUGCCUGAAAGCUUUAUCCCAAAUCACAUGAGUACAUGAAGUGAUUGCAUCAUUAAUGGUAGUAUUAUUACUUUAUAUUCAACUUCUCCACUUGAUAGGAUGCAUGAAAGCAUUGUGCUUUCUUCUGUUUCAAGUAAUAAAGAUUAUCACCAAGAAAGGUGCAAUUAAUACCUAGUAACAGAGUACCUAGUGGUAGCAUGCACCUAUCCACUGAACUUGUACUCGACUCUAUGAGUGUACGUUACAUAGUCCUUUUUUCGAAGUCUAAAUGUCCCUUGAUAAAACCUUCUAAUAUUUGAGGUUUUGGUAACAUUCAUGUAUCAAUGAACAAAUUAAUUUACUAGCUAAACUUUAAAAUUAGGCAAUGUUUUUCAAUGGGUGAUCAAGAUCUUGGAAUUUUCAAUGUUGUUUGAAUAGCUUCCACACACAAGCAUAUUUUCUCCUAUUUAGGAAUAAUCCCUUUUUUGAAGGUGUGAUCUUUAUGCUCAAAAAAUAAAGAUACUCAAAAAUUUAAUAUUGACCUUCUCGUGAAGGAAAAGCUUUAUAACUAAUUUUUUUUGUGCAUUAUAUAUAUCCUCAAUAUAGACUUUAAAAAAAAAAGAAGUAACUCCCUCUACAAAGAGUGAAGAGUCAAUUAAACUUUUUUUUUUUUAAAAAAAAGGAACCAAUUACUCGUAAAAGUAAUGAUUAUUUUUACAUACCAAACUUGAGGAGAUUACUUAAGAUCACAAAAGUUUUUAUUAAAUUGCAAGCUAGAUGCAUUUGAAACGAUCGUUGAUGUCUUAGCAACACCUUAUGUAACUCAUCAAUCUUUAUGUAAAAAUGCAUUUUUAACACCCAUAUAAAAUAAUGAUCAAUCCUAAUUUAAUAGAAACAAAUGGUAAUACAUGAAUAUCAUUCAUAUUAAUGAGAAAAGUAAAUAUUGAUUUAUAAUCAACUUCUUAAGUUUGUGUCAAUGCCUUAAUCAUUAGUUUAACUUUGUCAUUCAAUGAUACCAUCAUUACGACAUUUAAUUAACUUAGAUUUGCGUAAAUCCCUUAAUCACUAGUCUAGCUUUAUGUCAUUCAAUGGUACCAUCAUUAUGGUAUUUAAUUGAUCUUAUACCCCCAAUUUGUAUACCCCAUGUUUUUCUUAAUUUACCAUACAUCACUUAACAAUGUUCCAUGCAUGGAUUUUGUUAAGUGCCUUAAGUUCCUUUUGCAUAGCCUUUCUCCAAAUUGGAUGAGGAUUGGCUUCAUUAAUGUCAUUAGACUCAUGAUAUAUGGAACUCAAACAAUUGUUAAGUGAUUUUGUAUAUAUAUAAAAAAAAAAUUGUAAUUAAUGUGGUAGGCAUAAAAAUCUCACAAAUGAGGAUUGAUUAAUUGUUAUAAUUGAGCAACAUGCUUGAGGCUUAGUCACAAUACUAGAACUUGAAGUCAGACAUUCUCUUCAAAUAAGGACGUAUAUACAUUAUAUUGGAUCUCCAUUAAACAAGUAAAGAACUAUUUAGUAGACAAUGAAACCUCAUUGAUCAAUGGUGGUAGAGAGACACAUGAUGACCAGACUAUUCCCCUGGAAAUGAGAAUAAAAAAUAUCAUUAGCCGCAAAAAUCUCAAAAAAAUUUAGAUAAUGGGAUAUAAAGAGUUUAUGAAUUUUACAAUCAUAACUCUUAUACUGGUUUAAGUGGUAGAGUAAUCAAGAACACAAAACGAGUUUGAUGAGUGGUUGAGAUAUGAACAAAGCAAAGAUUUCCAAAGACACCAAAAUCAGAAAUCUCAAUUUUUGGGCUAAGGAUUUCAAGAAGAAAUUUAAAAUUAACUACAUGACUAGAAAAUUUGUUCAUCAAGGAAAUAGAAGUAACGAUAUCAUAACAUCAUAAUUAAUCAAUAUUUUUAAUAACAUGCAUUUGGAACAUGAUAUACCGGCUUUCUAAUAAUCAAUGAUUUUUGGUUCAACCACACCAUUUUGUUUUGGGAUGCCAAUACAACAAGUUUAACGAANNNNNNNNNNNNNNNNNNNNNNNNNNNNNNNNNNNNNNNNNNNNNNNNNNNNNNNNNNNNNNNNNNNNNNNNNNNNNNNNNNNNNNNNNNNNNNNNNNNNAUGUAAGUGCCAAAUUAGGUAGUGUCGACAAUGAAAUGGAAAUUUUGGAAUAUAGAAACAACCUCAUUUUUAUGUUCUAAUAAGUAAACCUAUGUAGCAUAAGAAUAGUCAUUAAAAAAAAAGGUAACAAAAUGUUGAUUUCCAUCCUAUGGAUCAAUUAGGACACAACCCCAAGGUAAACUAAUUUGAAAGUUGCAACAAAAAUGGAAAGAGAUGAAAAAAUAAUAGAGGAAUUUAAGGUUGUUUCAAAAUUUCAAGACAUGCUAAGAAACACAUGAGAUUAUAGAUGAUUAGGUAACAACCUUGGUUAAGUAUAUUCAACAUAUAUAUCCCACGAGGAUAAAUAUCUUCACUAAACUUUUCCUAUUAUUCAAUCCCCUAAUACCAUACAAGUGAAAAAUUAAUGUCACGGUCAAAAAUUUUAAUAAGCUUCCAAAGAGAUAAUAAUUUUGGGGAAAAAAACAACCUAAGAAACCUAUGAAUUGAGAUAAUUUAGGAAAAAACUAAAUGUUCGUUAGCUCUAGAAGGGAAUUGAAGCUCAUCAUCAAUAAAGAUUGUUGCUAUCUCGAAUAAUAUCAAGUAAACCAUUAAGAUCGCUAUUAAUGGUAUGAUUAGCAGCACCAAUUAUCGACAAAAAAAUUAUUAAAAAUAUAAGAAAUGAGAGCUUUAAGAUUAUCUAAUUGAUUUGUAAACCUAGGUAAGUGAAUCAGUAUUACGUUUUGUUAAGGAAGCUUAGAUCCAAUUGGUAUCAUUCACCAAGUUAUUGGAUUAAAUUACACUAUCAAACUUUGGCUUUAAAUGAGAAUGAAGAAUCUAACCACAAUCCUUAUUGGGAUUAGAUAUGUUAUUGCAAUAAUGUUUACAAUCGGAUGAGUGCUAAUUUCUAUUGAAAUCAUGAAGCAAUCUCUGAUCAUUGGUCUUCUUUGUAGAAACAUGAGCAUUGAAUUUAAAAUUAAUAAUUGUUACUUGGGAUUCAACCUUCAUAAUCAUUGCCUGGGUUUCCUAAUCACUUUCAAGAAUUACUUAUAUAGUGAAGGCACUCGAAACUAAUCAAAUUUGUCCUCUUAUAAAGUUGUCAUAUUCAAGCUUCAGAAUAGCCAAUAAUUGAAAAACUUAUCAUACUCCGCAAUUUGUUGAAGAAUAUUUGGGUCUAUUGAAGGGGACAAUAUAGGGAAUAUUUGUCCCAUAUGCUCAAAAUGUUCAAUUAACAAAGUGUUCUGUAUGUUUAGGGAUUUGUUAGCUUUAAUUACACAAAACAUUAGCAGUUUUAGAGAAAAUUAAUUUUUUUUUGCAAUCUUAGGUUCCAUGAAAUUAAAAAGCCAAUAACAAGUCAAUAUGGCUUGAGACCCAGUCAUCAUAUUCAAAGUCAUCCAACUUAGAAGCAUUCAUUUUGCCACUAACAUGUGCUAAUUUCCAUUUUCUAUCUUUCAAGAGAAAAAGACUGCUCUUAACCAUGGCAAAUAAUUGAACCCAUUAAGAAGAUUGAGGAAAGUAUCAUAUGAGGGUUGUCAUUUUCCUCCAUGACAAAGAAAAAGCAACAGAGAAAAACUCAUAAUAUUAGAAAGAGAAUGAAAGAAAUUGAGUCAUAGAUACACACAGAAGAAUCCAAAAAUAAAGCAAUAAUACAACCACAAAUAUGAGAAGAAGCUCAAUUACAAAGAAAGGAACUCAAUACAAUCAACUAAAAAGCGUUCCGAAGUUCAUACGAAAAUAUUCAUAAUGUGAAGAUCAUUUCAUGAUUCCUACAAUUUCUUCCUUCUACCAGUCCACUCCAUACAAGGUUUGAUCAACAACUUCUUCAUUGAUUUUCUGGUCUCUCUCCGGUGUAUCAUAGAGCAUUUUUGACAUGUUUCUGCAAGAUACACUUGUUAACUUUAAGCGACAUAAGUGCAAAAAAAUAAGAUCAUGUUGUAUUGCCUGUGCUUCCACUCUGCCUUGUUUAGUACUAUUAUGGAGCAGUACUUCCAUAUAGAACCAGUGAUCUCCAGUUCAUUAUGUUGCCUUCUUUAAACUAACUUUAAUUAUCUAUACAUAUAAAACAAAGUGGUCCCAUCAAGGGGCUAAAUCAAGAAUCAAGUGGGGCGAACAGGAAACAGUGGCAUCAAUUUUUAAGUCCAUAAGCUUUAAUAAAAGGAAUAAAACCAAGGAUAUGAAUAUGUUAUUUUUUCAUUUGUUCAUGCACUGGAAGAUCUUUCCUCUUCAAGCAUUGAACCAGCAUCCUUCUGUGCAAGUUGCUGUCGGAACCUUCUAUAAUUGUCAGAAGUCUGUUUCUGAAAUAUACAGAUAAAACUUUUAGCAAGUCUUGACAUUGCUCAUCACUAGGACAUUGUACUAGGAUACCAAUUCAUCUAAUUAGGGUUAAGUUGGCAUCUCGUACACUAUUUUUUAUUUUUCCUUCAUCUUUUGUUCCCAUUUGCAGUGGAAGUGGCACUUAGAAUAUCUGAUCAUGAAGAAUUAGCUUUCGGUGAGAUGAUACUAGGUCAAUUGCCAUUAUCUUUUUGAGUUACUGUGCGAGCAAUCUUGAAAAUAUUUUGGGAUAAAUAGAAUUUGUGCUUAUCAUAAACAUGCUAAACAUCCAAAUCAAGUGCUUUUACUAUUGAUAUCAAAUCAGUAAUUGAUUUUAACCUUUAUGCUUAUCUUUCAGAUUCUCAAUUAUGUAUCUUGAAUAAUGAUAUUAAGCAGAAAUCAUGAAUUGAAUUGCUUUAAUUAACUGUGCCUUAUCAAGCUUGUCAGCAGUGCUAUUGCUACCGCGAAUCAAAUUCGCUGUGCUUCCCGCCUUCUCCAAAUAAGCCACAAGCCCAAUUAUAUCCGCCCUCCUCCCAUCUCCAAGGGAUCAAAAAAUAAAAUGACUUCAAUCAAUUUUCAAGUUUUCCAUCUUGAUCAGUAGACCACCCGGCAUGAAUGUUACCCUCAGUUUAGGAAUAGGAAUUCCUUUUACUAAUCAUUUGGCACUAAAAACUAUGACCCCUAGCAAUUCAUUCCCUCCAUUAGAUAUCUGGGGGCAUCUUGGCUCAGCCAAAAAUGAUAAGUCAUUGCAUUUCACAUUGCAUUCAUUUGUAUUAAUGAGCUAAUUUUUUUUCACAGAAUGUGAUGUGAAUCGAAUUACUUCCAACCAUGUGUCUCUAUAAGGGUUUAACAAAUGUAAUUUGCAUUGUCUGUACACUUUUUUUUCGGUUUCUUUUCUUUUUUAUGCAUGAUUCAUUAGUCCACGGAUCUUCUAUGCAAAGUGUGCAGGCCAAACACCUCCUUCAAUGCAUUAUUCUAGAAGUUAAGACUCAGUUUACUCCUUAAUUGAUCUGUUCCAUUUACUUCAAAUCAUUUGAUUACAUUAAAUGAAUCUUGAAAUUCAAAAAUGCAUCAAAGUUAAAAGACCUUCCAAUGCAUUAAGAAAUCAUCUGAUACAAAUAUAUGUGAACCUGCAACAACAAUAAUGUCAAAAUGGAAAACUUAGGUAGAAAAUAUUAGAACGGAAACUUACGACGAACUCAAUUUUUGGCGCCUUUCUUCUUCUCAUCUUCUGAUCCAAGAAGCUCUUCCAACACCGUGUCAUCCAAACACUCGAACUCAAUGACUUGCUUUUCUUGCCCAGAAGAGGAACCUCCCAUCUCUAAACUCCUACAAGGCCCAGAAGAUGACGAGGAAGACGAUGAGGAUGGUGAUGGUGGGGGGCGAUGGGAGCCCAUGAUUUCAGAAUAGUACUCAUUAGGAAAGUUAAGAAUGGCAAGAUGACCCCUUAAGUUAAAGGCCGCUCGAUCAUAGGCGCGAGCUGCAUCCUCCGCCCUGUCAAAUGUGCCUAGCCAUAGACGAGCACCUUGCCUAGACGGAUCCCUAAUCUCGGCUGCAAACUUCCCCCAUGGCCUCCUCCUCACCCCUCGGUAUCGAACUUCUUCCUUUUCCUUCCCUUCCUGCUCCUGCUUCUCAUUCCCUUUCGAAUGAUCUUCCAUGCUAAACGUGUCGAUUUGCUAGGCGCAAUUUUUUUGGUUUCAAAUGUGCUGGUUUACGAGAGGCAUGGAUGCUUAUGUAUAUAUAUGGUUGCCACAGUCAGGUCUGACGUCACCGCUCAAUGUAUGUUCCACAGCGUGGGUUGACGAGCUUUCUGAGGGGGUUUCCUCGAAUUCAAAGCAAGUAUAAAAAUUCGAUUCUCCGACCUUUCCAAUGAGGAUCGAACAGGCCUUUUAUUAGAACCGUAUGAUAACUCCACACUGUUUUCAAAUAGUCAAUGUGAUCUAGAUUCUUCGUUAAUUUUUUCCACCUGACUGAUUGUUUACAAUUUUAUUUUUCACCGUCCCAAAUUUAAACCAUUUACGCGAUUCCCUGGAUUGCAUUUUUCUUUAAUGUUGACUUUACGAGGCAAUAGGACCCCCCAGCAACCCCACUAGGGCGACUUCAUGGGAACCAGAUUACUUUUGGAUCCAGAUAUGGUCCAGAAGAAAUAAGACAAAUCAAUUAAUGUCCACUAAAGUUUUGAUGGAACCCUUAGUCCGUGUUUCCUGUGGAUGUAUGUAUUGUAUGCACCUCAAUUUUCACCAAUCCCUGCUACGAGUCCCUUUAAUUUUGACGUUAUAAAUGUUUUUCCUGACAUUAGCAGAGUGUUUUUCUGCCGUCUUUGAGGACCUUCCACGGCCCAUAAACUAAUAAGGAUCGUCCAGUGAAUUUAGUCUUCCCCAGUUAAUUAUCCUGCGAGGGAAACUUGGGCAGUAAGUUGCCUACAUGAGUGGCUCCCGCCUACAUGAGUCAAGGGACCAUACGUCAGGACGACAACCAGUGUGGUCACACCAAAGUGGGUUGCCUGGACUCCAGGGUGGUCGCUUCAAAGUUGUCAAAUGAAGGCUAGCUUGGCAAGUUUUGGAAAACAAUUAUUGAAAAACAUUUUUCAUGAAUAACAGUUUCUAUGAACAGAUUUUAAGAAAGUUUAUUUUGUGAUUUUUAGGAAUAUUUUUAAUUUAAAUUUUUAUAUUUUUAAUUUUUUAUUAAUUUAUUGAUUAUUUAAUAUUAGCUUAAUUAAUGGAUUUUUCUUGGUCCCAAAUUAUUAAUUUAUCAAGAUUUAAUCGCAUCCAUAAUUAGUCUAAUUUCUUUUGGAGUGAGUGUGACAAAGUGCAAAUUUCUAGAGUUUUAUUAAUGUUAUUCAAUGUCAUAAUUUAACUAAUUAUAUUAAUUAUUUAUUAAUCAAAAUAAAUCAUUCACUUGAAAUAUGAUAAUUUAAAUUAAAAGUUUCAAUUAUUUAUUAAUUAGCAAAGUAUGAACUUUUCUUCUUGUUUUAUUAUUGUUAUUCCAUGUAUAUAAUUUAAUUAACUGUUUCCAAUAUUAAUCAAUAAAAAUAGAAUAUAAGCAUGAGAAGAAUUAGUAAAAUUCAUUGAUUUGGAAUUAGAUAGCUAGAGGAAGAACUUCAUCAUCUUCCCAUUACUUAAAUUUGUAUAAAUUCUAAAUAUUUAAACCCCCCCCCCCCCCCCCCCCCCCAAAAAAAAAAAAAAUGGUAAAGAAAGACUCCCCAAGCUUUCUUGGUUGGUGUUACCCUAAAAUUUGUACAAUAAGAUGAACCAUUUGGCUUAAAGCUUGGUGCGAAACCCCUUAUCAAUUGAAAAUAUCAAUGAAGUUGUUGAAUGGUUUUAGAGGACUAUUCUUAUGCAGAGUGGCAUAAGAAGCGAGGAGAUGAAGAGCGGAGAGACGUUAACAUCGGAUGCUGCUACGAAGGUGGGAAUACGGUUAAUUAAUUAGAUUUUGUGAUGGCUUUGAGUUUGAAGGAGUUAGUUUAAUGGGUAUUAUUAGUGAACUGAUAAUUGGAUUUGAUGUAAAGAAGGUUGGUCCAUUGGAUUAGCAAUUGGUUUGGCCUUUUGGGGGCCCCAUUUCCAAAUGCAUUGCCUUUUACAAGCAUUCAACAUCGCUGGACGUAACCAGGCUUGGUUCACCUAAAAGUAUCGCAUGGAUUGAAUUGACUAAGUUUUCAUUGUAGACUAGCCUUGAUUUUCCCUUGACCUGCCCACCAAAUCCUGAUGCCCACGCGAGGGAAUACCUCAAUUUUCUAAUAAUUUAUGCAGUUUCUCUUCAAAGCUCGUGUGAUCACUUGGGUCGGUAAAAUAAUGCAUUCCUCUACUUUUUCUCCCUUCCUAGAUGCAUGUUAUACCAUUAAUUCAAAUGUGAACAUGGGCUUGGCUUUGAAACUUGGUUCAAGGCCCAACAUGUUGACCCACAAUUGAGGUGUAAUUGAAUUUGUACACUUUUCGACUUUGAUACCAUUUGUCAUUACCAUUGACAUUGGGUCAUUGUUGAUUUUGAGUCCACAACUUUUAAGGUUGUUAUUACAAUUUUAAAUUGCGCCCACCCAAUUUAUAUGCAUUAUCCCUUAUAAAUACCGAUAACCUCUCUUUCUUCGAUAAUAUAAAAUGUCACAUAUAUUAUAUAUCUCAAUGUUUUCUUUUACUUUUUUUUUUUUUAUCGAUCGACAUUCUCUCUCAGAUGAUAUGAGAUGUCACAUAUAUUAUAUGUUUCAAUGUUUCUUUUACUUUUUCUCUUUUUCCUCAUGAUUGACAUUGUCUUUCUCAAAUGAUAUGAGUUGUCACAUAUAUUUUAUGUCUCAAUGUUUUCUUUAACUUUUUUUCUCUCUUCUUUAAUGAUCGACGUUCCUUUUCUCAGAUGAUAUGAAAUGUCAUAUAUAUUAUAUGGCUUAAUGUUUUCUUUUACUUAUUCUUUCUUUAUUAAUAAUCGACAUUUUAAGCAAUAUGUGAAUAUAAAGCAUUAAAAUUAUCUCCAUCGUUUUUGGAUGUGGUAUAAAUACACAAUUCUUAUUUUUGUUUUAAAUAUUUCUAUUGCUAUCUAUUGAAAUUUUAUGCAUGAAGCUACCAAGUUAAUUAUACAUAUAUCUUAAGAUUUUUUUUUUUUUUUUUUAUAGGAUAUAUUGUCCAUGAAUAUUUUCUGCAAUGGUAUCUUGUUUGAUUACUAUAAGAAAUAAUAUAUAUAUAUAUAUAUAUAUAUAUAUAUAUAUAUAUAUAUAUAUAUAUAUAUAUUAUAUUUCAAUGUUUCAUAUUUGCUUAAAAUAAAAAUUAUAUUUUAUCACAAUAUUUGGUAUUAAAAAAAAUGAAAUCUCUCUCAUUUAUUAUUACAAAAAAAUUAUAAUUUAUAAUUUUCUAAAUAAGUUUUAUUUAUUUGCUAACUAUAUUCAUGAUUAAAAGAUUUAAAAUUUAUAAAUAAAAAAUAUUAUGUCAUGUCAUUAAAUAAAUAAAAAUAUAUGUAUAUAUUAAAAUUAUGUUUUAUUGUAGCUUUUAAUAUUUUUUUUUUUAUUCUUUUCUUUUUUGAACUACAAUUUUAAUUUUUUUUAAUCAAAAUUUUUUAAUUUACAAAACGAGUAACAUAAAACUUGCCUUUGAACUUUAUUGGAAUGUUAUAUACUACCAUUUGGCUUUCAAGACAUUAGAAAAGGCAUAAGUGUCCCUUUUAUUUUUCCGAAAGGCAUAUUAGACUAUAGUAGGAAGUGUUGUAUAGAGGCAACUAAAAGUUGCCUUUAACUUUAUGAAGUCAUAUACUCCUCUUUGGCUUUGAUGACAUCAACUAGCAAAUUGGAUUUUGUUUCCUUUGCAACAUUUUUCCAUCCAUUAGCCAGUUUUUUUAUACUGUUUGGUGCUUGCCAACAUGGCACACACUAUGGUUCUUAAAAAGUAUUUUUUUUUUUAAGAUACUACGAAAUAAAAUACACGAUUGAAAGAUGAGUCACAAUAAUUUUCAAAACUAAAUUUUUUAAUAUUGUUAAGAAAAUUUGACCACCAAAUGAUUGAUUUUAAAUUACAAAUACUUUUGUUAGCUAAGAAAUUUGUUGUUCUAUUUGUUUCCCUAUAAAUAUGACAACAAUCAUAAAUAUUUUCAUUUUAAGAUAAUUUUCAAAUAUCUUCCAUUAAUAAUAUAAUAGAAUUAGGAAUUUUUUUUUUAGUUAUAACAAUCUAUAAUUAUUUAAGAGUCUUCCUCAAUCUCUAGGUUUAAGAACUUAUUGUUCUUAACAACUAACAUGUCAUCUCUUAAAAUAAUACAUUCUGCAAUAAUUAUUGAAAUAUGAUAUAAUAUAUAUAUCUACUUACAACCAUUUUUGUAGUACCAUUAGAAUUUUUAAUUACCCAUUCUAAAGUAUUUUUAUUCUCUAUUCUUAAACCAUCAAAAUUUAAUUUAAAUCUUUCAUUAAUUGGAUAAAUCCAAUGAAUCUAACAAGUUAAAGGAUUAUGAAUCCGACAAAACAGUUGAUAAUAAAUUAAUAAUGCCAUUAAUAUGAUUUUAAUGUGAAACACAAUUAUCACAUUUAAUACAGUUAGUCCUUGUAUGAUUAAUGUUUUGGAAGCUAAAAUCAAUCUUUUGACUAUAAUAAGAGUUUCUACUAUUUCUAUUUUUGGAUGAUUUUAUAUUUUUCUUAUUGUUUUAGUUUAAUACAAAAAAUAAAAAUAAAAUUACAUUAGUAGAAUUUUUUUAACUUACUCAAAAACCUAUUUUAGUUGAAUGAUUUUUUUAAAAAAAAUAUAAAUAUUUUGUUAAAAGGGAUAAAAUAACCUUACCUUGUGAAAAAGACCUCUUCACCCAAGAUUACUUGUUCAUAAUCCUUUUAAGACGAAAAUGCCCCCUUCCUAAAAAAUAUUUCAUCUUAAACUUAUUUUUCUUUUUAUUGCCCUUUGUUCCAUCCUUCCGGCUUGGGAGAGAAAUUCAUUCUUCUUUUGCGAAGAAAAAUUCCUAUUGCGAUUUUUCAUUUCAAGUGGAAAAAAAAAUUCUUAUUUCAUUUUAAAGAAAUUGUACAUUUUCAAUCUUUCUCUUUGUUCCUAGUUGAGGGUUUUUUUUGUAAUUUUAUCUUAACACUACAAAUUUAAAGGUGAGAUUAAAUCUUAAUGGUUAUUAGUUAAAUCACAUAUCUAACUUUGUUUUUGUCAGGACCUAUAAUAUGAUUGGAACCACCAUCCAAACUUCAUUAGGUGGGAUACUCCCCACCCUCCCCCUCCCCCCGCGAAAUCCUUGGAUUUUAGUUUUGACUUGGAUUUCAAUUGCCCGUAUCAAUUUUUCUUUAUUUAUUAAUUUAUUAAUUUUCAACUUUAACAAAAGCCUUGAAUCAUAUUUAAAUUCAAAUAACUUAAUCCUAAUUAAGUUCUUUUUAAAUAAAAAUUAAUCAUUGAAAAGUUCAUGUGACUAUUAUAAUUGAGAAUUUAUCCCAAGUUGGGUUUUUUGCAAAUAAAAUUUUAUUAUAGGACAUCAUGAUGCAACAUAACAUAAGGUUGUUACUUAAGUUUGUUUUGACCUUGUAAUAUGUUAAAAUGAAAAUGAAGCCAUUGUAACAGGAGAGAAUGAUGAAGCUGUGGAGAGAGCUUAACAAAGCUUGGGUUGGAGAGACUUCACAGGAAGAGAGAGAGAGAAAUAAAGGGUAAAAUUAUCAAAAGAGAAAAGAAAAAAAAAAAAAAAAAAGAAGGUUAUGUCUUCAAAUAAUCAAUAAGAGAUGUCAUUUUUCUAAUUUUCAAAGUUCUUUUGGUCCUUCUCUACAAAUAUCCCUAUAAAAAUAUUAUAAUAUCAAGUUAAUUUGUCAAUACCAAAAUUUAUAUUUUAUAUUAGGGCGACUAAAUAACAUAUAGAAAGAAUUUUAAAUGAGUAAAUCAAAUCAAUUUUGAAACCAAAACUUAAUAAUUACCAAACUUGUAAUCUUAGUCAUUAAAAGUGUACGAUGAAAUCUAAAUUAUUAAGCAAUGAAACAAAAAAUUAAGAUUAAAAUACAAAACGUUAAAAUCAAGAUACAAACUAUUAAAAUGUAAGUGGGAUAUGAGAUGAUAUUAUAAAAAAUAGUGUGAUCCAACAAAAAGUCUAGUACAUCAUUAUCUUCACUUCCAACCAUGUUUAAAAGGUCACAAGUUCUAGCGGUUUCCAAGGACAAUGUUAAAAAUAAUAAAAAUAAAUCCAAUUAAAUAUUAAUUAAUUUAUUUGAAUUUGAGUCCGACAAAAUAGUUGGUAAUAAGUUAAUAAUGCCAUUAAUAUGAUUUUAAUGUGAAACACAAUUAUCACAUUUAAUACCCGUUAGUCCUUGUAUGAUUAACUUUUUAGAAAUUAAUAUCAAUCUUUUGAUUAUAAUAAGAGUUUCUACUAUUUAUAUUUUUGGAUGAUUUUAUAUUUUUCUUAUUGUUUUAGUUUAAUACAAAAAAAUAAAAAUAAAAUUACAUUAGUAGAAUUUUUUUUAACUUAUUCAAAAAACCUAUUGUAAGGUGAAUGGUUUUUUUAUUUUUUUUUUAAAUAUAAAUAUUUUCUUAAAAGGGAUAAAAUAACCUUACCUUGUGAAAAAAGGCCUCUUCACCCAAAUUUACUUGUGCAUAAUCCUUUUCAGACGAAAAUGCCCCCUUCCUAAAAAAUAUUUCAUCUUAAACUUAUUUUUCAUUUUUAUAACCCUUUGUUCCAUCCUUAUGAUUUGGGAGAGGAAGUCAUUCUUCUCUUGUGAAGAAAAAAUUCCUACUGCCAUUUUUCAUUUCAAGUGAAGAAAAAUAUUUAUAUUUCAUUUUAAACAAAUUGUACAUUUUCAAUCUCUCUUUGUUCCUAGUUGAGGUUUUUUUUUUUUUUUUUUUUUUUUGUAAUUUUAUCUUAAUUGUACAAAUUCGAAGAUGAGAUUAAAUCUAUAAUGGUUAUUGGUUAAAUCACUUAUCUAACUUUGUUCUUGACAGAUCGUAUAAUAUGAUUGGAACCACCAUCCUAACUUUAUUAGGUGGGAUCCCUUUUUUUUUUUCCCCAAACCCUUGGAUUUUAGUUUUGACUUAUAUUUCAAUUGUCUGUAUCACUUUUUCUUUAUUUAUUAAUUUUCAACAAGUUCUUUAACAAAAGCCUUGAAUCAUAUUUAAAUUCAAAUAACUUAAUCCCCAUUAAGUUCUUUUUAAAUGAAACUUAAUCAUGUGAAAGUUCAUGUGACUAUUAUAAUUGAGAAUUUAUUCUUAGUUGGGUUUUUUGUAAAUAAAAUUUAGUUAUAGGACUGUGAUGAUCCGUUCUCAACCGUAUAAAUAUUGUUCGUUUUGAAUUCAAAAUAACUUUUACGGCUUUAAAACAUGUUUACAAGAUUAAGAGGAGUCCAUAUUUAUAUAGCUUCACGAACUUUCCCCCCUAUUCGAUGUGGGAUGUCACAAGGACAUCAUGAUGCAACGUAUAACAUAAGAUUGUUUCUUAAGUUUGUCUAACCUUGUAAUGUGUUAAAAUGAAGAUGAAGCCAUUAUAACAGAAGAGAAUGAUGAAGUUGUAGAGAGAGCUUAACAAAGCUUGGGUUGGAGAGACUUCAUAGGAAGAGAGAGAGAGAGAGAGAGAGAAAUAAAGGGUAAAAUUAUCAAAAAAGAAAAAAGAAAAAAAAGAGGGUGAUGUCUCCAAAUAAUCAAUAAGAGAUGUCAUUUUUCUAAUUUCAAAGUUCUUCUGGCCCUUCUCUACAAAUAUCCCUAUAAAAACAUUAUAAUAUCAAGUUAAUUUGUUGAUACCAAAAUUUAUAUAUUAUAUUAGGAUGACUAAAUAACAUAUAGAAAGAAUUUUAAAUGAGUAAAUCAAAUCAAUUUUGAAAUCAAAACUUAAUACCUACCAAACUUGUAAUCUUAGUCAUUUAAAGUGUUCCAUGAAAUCUAAAUUAUUAAGCAGUGAAACAAAAAAUAUAAGAUUAAAAUACAAAACGUUGAAAUCAAGAUUCAAACUAUUAAAACGUAAGUGGAGACGUAAGAUGAUGUCAUAAAAAAUAGUGGGAUCCAACAAAAAGUCUAUUAAUCAUUAUCUUCACUUCCAAUCAUGUUUAAAAGGUCACAAGUUCUAGCGGCUUUCAAGGACGAUGUUAAAAAUAAUAAAAAUAAAUCCAAUUAAAUAUUAAUUAAUUUAUUUGAACAAUAGAUAGGACCAAAAUAAUAUUCUAAAAGGAAUCAUAGGGAAGUCCUUGGACAACCUACGACAUUGAACAAAGGUACAGUGAGACAAUGCACUUAGCCCUUCCUUGUCAUUGCGAUGAAUAUAAAAAGACACCCUGAUUGAGGGUGCCCCACUAAGCCAAGAGUGAUUCUUUUGUAUUGUAUAACGUGAAUAUUUUUGAACUUUGAAUGACCCUUCCUAUAGUCAUCAUUGUCAAAACUAGAAAAUCAGAAAGAUGCGAUGUACGAAGGCACCAUUGAAUAAGAGGCUUAAUUCUCUUUGGCAAUUAGGAUAAAGUUUCAAAAUAGAAAAAUUAAACAAAUGUACAGUGUACGGACACUUGGGCAUUGCCUAUUUGUUUUGUUCUUCUAGAGUUGUAUAUGGUAAAGGUCAUAUUGGGUUGGUUCUAUUUGGUUAUUGAAGUCGGCUAGAAUAUUAGAUUUGGUUUCAAUCUAAUCCCAUAUGAUAUUAGAAUACCAGCCCAUACAGAAUUUUUGACCAAAUAUAAUAUUUCUUUUAAAUAUAAAUAUAGUAAUUAAUUUUAGUCUAAGAUUAAUUAUGUAGUUUCCUAAAGAGACCACUUCCUAAACGGUAGCUAUGUGGAAGUUGGGCCAGGUCCUGCCGAGAAGGUUUCCACGAGCUGAGCCCAAAACUGAGUAGCUGUGAUGGGAUCAUUCUAGCAUUCAGCCUGAAACUUGUAACAUAACGGAUCGAGAGGCCUGAACUCCAAGACCAUGGUUCGUCAGCCCAUUAACUUCAACAGCACGCAUUUUAGAGGACUGGGCUUGCAAGGGGUGAGGUUUCCGGGCCGCGACCCCAAAUAUGAACAGCCUCAGAAGUGAUAUUGCUUACUGGCACGUGAAGAGCGCAAGCGUAACUAGAAGAUUUGUAAUGCCGCUUUAAUUGUUUGAUUAUAGAAUCCCACGCAUUACGCAUGGAAAGUGUAAAAGAUAAAAGAUGUAGAAUUUUUUCUUAGAGAAAAGUUCGUUUGGAUAUAGUUAUUGUUUUUUUUUUAAAUAAUAAUUGUUUUUUUUAUAAAUUAUAGAUAAUCUUAGAAAUUUAUCUUUAAAAAAAUAGUUUUUAAAAAUAUUUAAGGAGAAUAAAAGUGAUAAAAAAAAACUUUACAAUUUCAAAUUUUUAAAAAAUGAAAAUUAUUUUUAAGAAUAUAAGUUAAUCUCCUGCAUUUAAAUCUUAGGUGGUUUUUGUUUUUUUUACUUUUCGCUGAAAACAAUUUGUUUUCAAAAUUUAGGUCAUUUGUUUUUUCUAUUUUUUCAUGAUUUAUUAUAAAUUUUUUACUAAAUAAAAAAAAUCAAAAUAUGUAACUUUUUCUAAAUAAAAAAAAUAACGUAUUGAUUUUUCUUUACUUUUUAAUACUUAAUAGAUAUAAAAUACUACAAAAACAAAAAAUCUAAUAUUUAACACUAUUAAGCAUUAAAGUUCUAUUUAGAAUUAAGUAAAAAAACAAACACCACCUUAUAUUUUAUAUAAAAGUUACUUAUAUUUUGGUUUUUGGAAAUAAAAAAUAUAAAGCAUAUCCAAACAUGAGCUUAGCUAUUUUAAAUCAUAUCAAAAUAAUAAUCCCAAUAAGGUAAAUGGACUUUUAUACGGAGAAUAAUCUUUAAGGUUUUCAUUUUUAUUGGAUUUUUUUUUUGUGGUGUUUUUUCAAUCCAUCUUCUCAAUUAAUUCCUUAAAAUUAUUUUACUGUUUUUUUUUUUUUCAGUUUCUAAAUAUUUGAUUUUUCCAAAAUGCUUAAAUGGAAGACACUAAUUUUUCAAGAUAUUUGGUAUUACAAUUUUCCCUGUUCUCCCUAUUAUCUAUCAGAUUCAUGGCCCUUUUGUUUUUUCAUUGGUUUUCAAUUUAAUUUUCCAAAUAUUACAUUGUUGUGUUUUGAAUUUGUGAAACCAAUUUUAUAUAUAUAUAUAGUAUGUAAGUCUACUUUGGGUAACAUGUACAGAGAGGUUUUCAUGUGUUUGAAACCUUUUACCUCAAAAAUUAAUUAUUUUUAAUUUUAUAAUAAAUCUUUUUUUAUUUUUUAUUUUAUUUAGGAAAGCCUAUAUUUAAACUACAUGUUUGCAACGCAACACCAUACAUACUCCUAGUGGAACUUACCUUAGUGCUUGAGGGGGAUGCAGAUCUUCUUCUAAACCUAACUAAUAAGCAUAAAAUUGUUCACUAAUUAGCAUAUCUAGUAAAUCAUACAAAUUGGCAAUAUUUCAUGUUUUUCAUGUUUUGUCAAUAAAAGGCGUCUUGACCAUUUUGUGAGUUUUGUAAUAAAUAAAAAAAAAAAAAAAAAAAGGGCAAAAGGUGACUAAAAUGAGGCACUUUGGAAAGGUUAAUAACCUAAAAGGAAGAUGAAUUAAUACCCCCUUAUUCCUCUUCAAAAACCAUUGAGAAAAUGCAAGAAAUGCUCUUAGUUGUAUGCUAGGCUAACAGCCUAGCAACCAUAAUACCCUUCUUUGCAAUUGUAAGCAUUUUUUUUUUUUUUUUGAAGGCCAAACAACGUUGCAAACUUCCCAAAUCCCUUCUUUAUUUUUUAUUUUUUUAUUUUUGUUUUUAGAAGGAGAAUGAAUUUGAUGACAAACUCCUUGUCAAUCUUAUCCAAACCACGAUCGAACAGAACUCCUUGUCAAUCUUAUCCAAACCGUGUUCCACCUCAAAAACAUGUGUAGGACUUAAGGCAGCAACUGGCAAGCAUGACUGAUAGGGCCAAGUGCCCUUGUCUCUACAAUCCAUUAAGUUAACCAAGGGCAGUGAACCAUCAUUCUUUUCAAAAGCUUCAUUCCGUGUUGAAAAUGUGAGACUGAAGCAUGGUGCCCCCAAAAAUAACGAUCUAUUUACUAGCAGCAUGCCUGGACCCAUUAAAAAUACUCUACUUUAGGAAUAGAAAAAAUUACAUCUUUAUCCAAUAAUUUUAUAACAAUUCAGACGUUUCAGUCUAUAAAUAAUUGUACAUAGUUGCCAACGUUUAGCUAGUUUCAAAUGAAUAGCCUAGGUUCAUGCACCAGUUUGGCUGGUGGAGGAAAGGGAUUCGAGACAUUGAACCCUCUUUUUAGUGUGCCAAAUAUUCCACAAAAAUCACUACCUUCUCUUUGUGUUUGUUCACUUUUAGUUUAUAUUUAAUAAAUCUAUGUUUUCGAGUAGAGGUUGGGUUCAGGUGCGACCCACGUCACCUCUCGGACGGUCUUGAAAAAGGAGACCGGACCACGUAAUUUCAAAUGUAGUGACCAUCUCACUUUUACCUCCAUCCUUGAAGAUGGUUUCCCAAAUCAAUAUUAAUCUUUUGUUUACGACAAUAUCGAUCACUUUAUGUCUAUAUCGUUGUUAAUUUACCUUUUUUUUUUAGCCACAUUAUUUGAAAAUUGAUGCAAACUUUACCAACAUCUUGGUACCAUUUUAAAAUAUUAGAGUUAUUUGAUUAAAAAAAUAAAAUAAUCUCGAUAACUUGUUUAUAAAAUAAAUAUCUUUUAACAUUUAGACUAUUCUCACGCAUGCUUUAAAAUUGUAAAGAUAUUCAUAAAGUGGAACUUUAGACUUAAUCAAUAUCGAUCACUUUAUGUCUCUAUUGUUGUUAUAUUUUUUUUUUACAACAUUAUUUGAAAAUUGAUGCAAACUUUACCAACAUCCUAAUACCAUUUUAAAAUAUUAGAGUUAUUUGAUUAAAAAAAUAAAAUAAUCCCGACAACUUGUUUAUAAAAUAAAUAUCUUUUAAUAUUUAGACUAUUUUCACCAUGCUUUAAAAUCAUAAAGAUAUUUAUAUUCAUAAAGUGGAACUUUAGACUUAAACAUGAUAAUAGUUUUUUUACAAUAUUAUAAUUAUUUUAUCGUUUUAAUUAAGCCCUUUAUCAUACAUAUAAAUGUAAAUUAAUGCUAAAUUUUUAAAGCAACGUAUAACCUUUUACAUCUUUUUUUAAGAUGGUGCGAAAAUCCUAUGAAAAAUAAUAAAAGUCGAUGCAUAAGAAGAUUGUUUUGAUAAUUCAAUAGAAAAAUUCUUUUAAAAUGAUAUUAAAAAAUACCCAUAGAGCCUUUAUUAAAAAAAUCAAUUAUUUUCAUAAUAAAAAUUAUAAUUUUUUAUUAUGUAUUAUUAUUUUUAAGUAUCUUUAUUACAAAUACUUUUUUUGAGUUUAUGAGAGGAAUCAACAGGUUGGUACAAGCUUAGGCGUCCUCGUACAUGUUCCCGCUGUGCAAGGUUUUUGUCUUGUUUCGAGCUAGUCGGAAUUUACGUGUUUGAUAACGUUUUGUCCUAUUUUUGUAACGCUUUAAAGGGCGGCCCACCGUUGGAACAGUUCAAGCCAUCCAAAUCAGCCCGGAGGGUUAUGGCGACGUGGCAUGACGCCUACCACCUUAGUUCACAUGAACCCUAUGAUCGUACUACCCUCACAUGACAUCUGUGAUUCUUCACCUCCAAACCCUCUUUAACUUGGUAAUGUAUUCAAAGCUUCAUCAAAUCAUAGCGAUUAGCGACCCUCUUCCACCCUAAUUUUAUAAUAAAAAAUAAAUCUUAGUGGACAUUAAAGUAGUAUUUUGUGGGGGGAAAGAAAAACUCUAUGGGCGUAUCCACUAAAUACGAGCCAAGUAUAAGAGUUAUCACCAUGGAAUCAAAUUAUGAAGCAUUGACAUUUUAAUUGUAUUCAGAUUUGAGGAGGGCACCGCGGCACCAGCUGGCCCAGUGUAGUCUGCUAGCCUACCCGCCAUAAUGACCAAAUUAAUAAAGUAAAAAGGAUUACAGGGAUAUUCCCAACUUUAUUCUGGGUCUGAGCUGGAACUUGGGAGUUAUCACGAUCAACGGGAAAGAUGGUGGGUAGGGGACGAGGAUUGAGGGCUCCAUAUUCACAUCAGUGAAAAACGAAAUGUAUUGAGACAAGUCUUCUAAGGAUUUUCUAGCGUAUUAUAUGGUUUAAAUGAUUAUAAAUCUGUAGUUACUGGUAAAGAGUAGAGAGUGAAGACGAAAGACGUUGAGUGAAAAGGAAGGAGGAGAGGGGAUGGGGCCAUCUUACCGUGUCGGGGAGGAUCCAUAAAAGGACUACGUUCCCUGAAUCUGUAGGCAUCAUGCCUCGCCUAACGGGUUAGUCAAAAUACAGUGAUGUGUGUGAGUUGGGGGCCUCACUCCUCAUUUCUUUCCUUCUUUUCACCCCCACCCCCACUUUUUUUUUUUUUUUUUCGAAUUUUUCUUUGUCCUUUUCUCUCACUUGCGCACGCGGGAGAAGGACCACAAACUAGACAAUUCCUCUGCUCACGUGACCCCGAGUUUUUAAAUAUUUGCCUAUUUGGAAAAUAGUCAUGAAUCAUGAUCGUUAACAAACAAUCUUCACUUUAUUUAUUUAAGAUCUAUUUUUUGGAGCUCUAGUUUAGUUUAUUAUUAUUAUUAUUAUUAUUAUUAUUAUUAUUAUUAUUAUUUAGUAACUCCUCUUAUAUUAAUGAAAAAGAGAGGAGGAAUCCAAACUUGUUUAUUCUUCCUCUUUUAAGGUGUUUGUUUUUUUUAUUUUAUUUUUAUGCUUCAUAUGUCUUCAAUUUCUUAGCAUUUGUCUUAUAUUUCUUCUUAUCCGAUUCAUUAUUGCAUCCUUGGUCAAUCUUUCACGAGGAGUGCCUACUUUUUUCCUUUUUAUUAUUUAAUUCACUUUAUCUUUAUAUUUUCCUUUUACACUUUAUUUCCAAUUCAAAACGUGUCAAAAAAAAAAAUUGGUAACAAAAAAAAAAAAAAAAAUCAAUUGUAAUGAUUCUUAUAUAAUUUUAUUUAAUUUUUAUUAAACAAUAAAGAAAUUAAAAAUAUAUAAAUUUUUAAAUAAUUAUUAUAGUCUUUCAUUUUUGUGUAUAAUUUCUUUUGCAAGAAAUAGUGUAGGCUUUCCACGGUCUAAAGGAAAUGGAAUAUCAAAUGAGAAGGUAAUAAUAAUAAAGUGAGUUAUAGAUACUAAUCAAACUAAUCCACUAAUGAAUUAUUUAUUUUUAUUUCACAUGGACAAAUCCUAAAAGUUGGAGUUCUAAUUUACUUUUAUGUUAAGCUUUUUUAAGUAAAAAUCUUUUAUUAUUAUAAUUUAUAGACAAAAAGAAACCCAUUAAUGUGAUGGAUAAAAAAUUUCAAUUUAAAAAAAAAAAAAUUAAAGUUGCUAAAUUUUUGUAUUUAUUAUUUCAAACUCAUUUAAAUAAUUUAAAAAUAUGUCUUCAAUUAAUUUUAAUGAAACAAAGCAUGAUUUUUUUUUAAUUUUUUUUUCUUUACCAAAUAAAGCAUUAUUAUAAUACGUUGAUUAAAUUUUCAUCAUGUCUCUCAAGAUUUGGAUUAAAUAUACUUAGUUGUCAUAAAUUUGAAAUUUUAUUUAAUGUAUUUUUUAUUUUAAAUUAAAAAGAUGAAUGCAAAUAAAAAAAAUAUGUAUAUUUUAUAAAAUUUUAAAUUAAACGAAGGAUACGUGUAUUUAACCAAGGUGAAUGAAAUUAAUCCAAAUACUUUUUGGUAACUUGCAAAAUAUCUUGACGAAAUCAUUAUGGCAGGCAUCGUACAAGCUCAACCCUUGUCGCCUUGCUAGAAAUAGAGAAACAAAAAGACCCCCAAAUUGGGUUGCAUCCUAAAUAUGAAGAAGUGGUAACAAAGGAAGAAAAAAUGCUGUGUUAUUGAAUAGUUAAUACAUUGAACAUGAUAUGUUACAUAGAGAGCCAGAUUAAUCCUAGUGGAAUUCCACUGUCACGAUGGUAACCUAGGGUUAUGUUUGGUUAUUGAAAAUACCAAGAAAAGAAAAAAAAAUAUAAAGGAAAAUAAUUUUUUCAUUUUUGAUUGUCUUAUAAAAGAUAUAAAAAAAAAACAAAUAUAAUUAAAACUAAUUAAAAAUUUAGGUAUUUUUAAAUUAUUUAAUUUUUAUAUUAAUGAGCGAAAAUAAAUAAAAUAAGUUUAAAAUAACAAAAAAAAUAAUUUACCGAUUUUUAAUCUAUAUUUUAUUUUACUUUUUCUUUGUAUUUUUUUUUUCUUAUAUUUUCCCUCAAAUUUUCUGAAUCAAACAUAGCAAAAAAGGAGCUACCCCUUUCGAAAGAAACUCCCAAGAAUUUCAAAGAAACCUGCUGAGAUAAUGAAUGAGGGAUCACUGUCGGUAAACAGUAUCCAUUCUUUUGGGAGGACUUUCAAACUGAGAAGUUGUUUUCAUGACUUGGAAACAAAAUUUUGAGCUCUAAGGGGGUCUGUAUUUGGGCCCUAAAAUUCAAUCCAUCAAUCUGAAAAAUGCUUAGGAUAAUGAUUUGAUUUAGCCACAAUCACUAAACAAAUUCCAGAGGAAAAUUUCGCUACUCAUAGGUGGCUGAUUCUCAUAAAAAGACAUCGUGGUAGGGUGUCUCAAGUGCAGGCUCACCAUCAACUUGCUGCCCUUUUUAGAUUAUUGUAAAAUGAUUUCACAUGAAGCCCAAUGCAAAACUUUGAAAGAAAAGGUUGGUGGAGACGUGAAGAAUAUGUAACCCAUAGGCCAUAACUAGUACCGAAGAUUAUUGAACAAACAUUCAAGGUUUUUGUAUAGACGAAACUGAAAAGAAUGUGUACCAGACUCAGGCGUUCAGAUCAGAUGAUGCCGUAAUGUGGAUUGUGGAGGAGCAUUGUGCAGACAGAUAAUGAGAUUCUGAAAGCGAGGCCACUGAUGGGCCCUUGGAAGGGGGGCGUGCCUUCAAAAUUAUAUAUAUAUAUAUAUAUAUGUCAUUGAAAAUUGGAAGCAACUUUUCUUCUUAAGUUAUUUUAAUCGAAGAAGAAACAAAAAGUUAAAAACAUACAUUAUUCUUCCUUCUUACGAGGUUUCCGGGUCUAAAUUACUAUGGUCUCUGCAACUGGCGUCGUUUUCUCUCCCCUCUCUCUAUUUUCCCUUUAUUUUUUCACUUUUAGAAAGAAGCAUCCCAUCAAGAAUCUACUACAACCCUACGCUUCCAUUUUGAUUUAGAAAGUUAAAAAUAAGUUUAAGUUAAAAAAAAAUAUUUUCUUAUAUAAUUAUUUAAACUUAUUUCUUUUCCUUUUUAUAUAAAGAAACAAAUAUUUUGCAAAUAAAUAAAUUUCUAAUUAUUUUCAUUAACAUAAUAAUAAUAUUUUUCAUAUGACUUUAAUCACAAUUUUUUUUACCACUUGUCCAAGGCGGUGAGAGGUGAUAAAAUGUAUUAAAAAAACGAUUAAAUUGCAUUAGGUAUAGAAGUUUUGUGCUUCAAUUAUCACUUAUAAAAAUAAAAUAAAAAUAGUCAAAUUUGAGUGUGCAAGUUGGUAUUCGUAUGUAGAAGGAAUUGGGGGAUUUGGGGGUCCUAACAAAUUUGAUAUGAUUGAUGGAAGGAAAUGAUUAUUAUAGGAUAAAGUCCGAAUGAAACGCUGACGAGGGGGGAAAAACAACAGUGGCAAUGCACUAUCCACAGAUCCAUGAUUGAUUUAUGUUAGCAAUAAUGAAUUAUUUUGACUUUGAUAACCUUGGUUAAGAGAAUUUGGUCUUGUUAUUAUCAUUUUUUCAAAAAAAAAAAGUGUAGGUAACUAGGUAGUUGAUUUAUUAGAAUUUAGAAAUGAGGAUCCCCUCCUCCUGCAAGAGCCGUGACAGACAUGCCUGCUUUCUUGCCAGAUUAUACCAAUGUGCCCAAAUAAUCCCCCAUCUAUCAUCUCUGCACCCUGGAACACGUCACUCCCUCCUUUGAGCAAUAAAAUAUCUCUUUUAUUUUCUUUUGAACCACUCUUCUAUUUCUUUGUACCAGACUGGACCCAUUUAAAUUCUUCGCUACGCUGUUCCCAAGGACUACGAGAAUCAAAAUAGCAAAAUUCUUGAAUCAUUUUAAUGGGUUCAGAAACCACAUGUUUCUCUAGAUCAUAAGAGGAAAAUCUUUUUGGAUGGUGUUUGUGUUGUGUUGUGUUCAAUAUUAAAUACUCAAUUAAAUAAGCUAAAUCAAAUAUCACAUGAAAAAUAAUCAAAUUAAAAAUAGGGAGAAUUAUGUUUUGAGGGUAGAUGGACCCCAAAUUAACAAAAGGUUCAUGUAACUCUUCAAAUUGAGCCCAGACCCAAUGAAAAUAUGGAAAUUGAGUUGAAGUAUAUCAUCAUUCAGUAUUUCCAAAAAUGUCCUUUGUUGAUUUUGAGAAAAAAAUUAAUAUUUUUGAAAAAUAUUUUUAUGUAAUUUAAUAUUUUUUUAAAUACUUUUAUUUAAUUUAAUAUUUUUAAAAAAUAAAUUUAUUUAAUUUAAUAUUUUAAAAAAUAUUUAAUUUAAUAUAUUUUUUAAAUACUUUAAUUUAAUUUAAUAUUUUUGAAAAAAAUUUUAAUUUAAUAUUUUUGAAAAAAAAAUUAUUUAAUUUAAUAUUUUUUAAAACUAUUUUUAUUUAAUUUAGUAUUUUUGAAAAAAAAUUAUUUAACUUAAUUUUAUAAAAUAUUUUAUAUGUGUUCUUAAAGGGUAUAUUUGUCCGUUACUAUUUCAUAUCCUUCAACUCAAUUUAAAGAGUUAUAUGGACCUUUUGUUAAUUUGGGGACCCAUCUACCCUCAAAAGAUAAUUCUCCCUUAAAAAUAUAAAUUUAAAUAUGACAUAAUUAUUAAAUAUGUUAGAUCUUGUAUGAGUUUAUAAGAUUUAUGUUUCAAAAUAACAUGUUUAUAAUUCAUCUAUUGAUUUAUAAUCAAAUUUUAAAUAAAUUAAAGUUAUUCAAGUUAAUAAAUAUGAUUUAUGUUAUAAAGACUAACUAAAAAAUAAUUUAUUAAUUAAACGGAUCCUGGUCAAUAAAAAUUUGAUUUAAAUACGAUCAUACUUAAUCAAAACUUAGGUCAAAUUGUAUUGAUAAAUUACAUCAAAACCUUGUUGUGUUCAAUAUUUUAUAUUAAACUAUUUUUUAAUAAAAUUAUUUUUAUAAAUAUAAUAUUACAUCAUUUGGAGAAACAAAAUAGUAUUAUAUUGAUUUUACAUAUAAAGCAACCAGUUAACCCCUCAUUAUUUUGAUCCAUUUCACAUCCAUAUCAUUCUCAUAAUUUUUUUAUAAUAUAUUAACAUGAUGGACGGUAAUUGAGGGUAGAAAAAAAAGAUGAGAAGAAUAAAAUAAUGUGAAUCCUCUCUAAAUGUUACAUCUUCUGACAAAUGAAGUCUAUAGAAAUGUGUAAAAAAAAAAAAAACACUUAAUUGUGAGGUUCACUUGAUUUAGCAAAAAAUUAAUAUUUUAUUUGUUGUGUGAUUUAAAAAUAAUAUUUUAUUUUUAAAAAUAAAAAAUUAUUUUUAAAGUUUUUUAACACUAUUUUACUAUUGUUCUUUGAAAUAAUUUUUAAAAUUAAAAUGAAAUAACUAAUAAUUUUUAGAUAAUAAAUUAAAGUUGUUUUUAUUAGAUUUUAAAAAUAAAAGAAAAAUAUAAAACCAUUUGAUCAAAUUUUUUUAAACUUAUUUUUAAAAGGUUUUUUUUUUUUUUUUUUUUUUUCUAUCCUAAGUUAAAAGAUAAAAAAUAAUUUUUAAAGAUAGGUUACGAGCAAAUGCCACAAACUUUUUUCUUCUCUUUCCCUUGUUCGGAUAGAAGUGAAAAAUAUCCUCCCAUGGAUCGACAUUACGUGAGCCAUCACCAUUCCCCAACUGCAAUUCAACCGCCAAAGCUGAGGUGUCAUUAUUAGUUUGAACAAAAGUCAGCAUUGUCCACGUGGUGACAAGCGGAACUGACCCAACUUGCAAGGCAAAAAAAUAAAUAAAAUAAAAUGAAAAAAUCAGAUCACCAUUAUGACGUCAGUCCAAUUGCUGACCUGGCCGCCGUCCCCCAUUUGACCCACGUGUUCAUUUAACCCAUUCGCCGUAUGCCGUGGCUCCCCACCCAUAUGGCCAUAUCUGCCAUUUAUUUUAUCCGUUGCCUCCAUUCGGUUUUUGGAUUUUACCCAUUCGCCCUCGUCUAUUCCCAUUUCCGUAUUUGCCCACCAAGGAAAUUCAAUUCCCAUGCUUUUGUUUUACAUUCAAAUCCUCCCCCCUCUAUAUAAAGGAGGGAGUAGGGCUUGAAAGUUUCUCAAGCCAACAUGGACUGUUGAGAGUGAAAGACAGAGGAGCCACAAACAAAUAUCACUCACUCAAACCAAAGCCAAAACCAAUACCGAAUUCAAUUCAAAUGACUUCUUUCUCUCUCAUCAAUUCCCUGAAUUCCGAUUCCGAUUUCAAUUUGUUAUCGGAUUCUUUUUCCUGGGAAAACUCCCUACCUUUCAAUGAAAACGACUCCCAGGAGAUGCUCCUCCUGGGCAUGCUGGCCAGCUCCACUCAGGAAACCUCAGAAACAGUUUCUUUGAAUCGAGUGAAGGAGGAAGAAGUGACUUCCCAGGAAAAUCCCGAGAAGGAGAAGUCAUACAGAGGCGUUAGGAGGCGGCCAUGGGGGAAAUUCGCAGCAGAAAUAAGGGACUCGACCAGGCAUGGCAUAAGGGUGUGGCUGGGAACAUUUGACAGUGCAGAGGCAGCUGCUCUGGCCUAUGAUCAAGCUGCUUUUGCGAUGCGGGGCCCUGCGGCAGUCCUCAAUUUCCCGGUGGAAAGAGUGAAGGAAUCGAUGCAGGAGAUCAAGUGCAUCUUGGAGGAGGGGGGCUCACCAGUGGUGGCCCUCAAGAAGAGGCACUCUAUGCGGAGAAAAAGUCCUUGCAAGAAACAUAAAAGUGAAGAGGUGAGGUUAGAAAAUGUGGUAGUGCUGGAGGAUUUGGGUACUGAAUACUUGGAACAGCUCCUCACUUUCUCUGAGACCUCUAGUCCUUGAUCAUCAUCAUCCAUCACCUGGAUAGCUUCUUCUCUUUGCUCUGUUUCUUACUUUUCUCUCUCUCUCUCUCUCUCUCUCUCUUUUUUUUUUAUGUAAUUUUUCUUAAUGUAUUUUUGGAGAUGGCGGGGGUGUAGUGGUGGCAAUUAUCCAUCUAGAAUUUUUCAAAAGAUAUGUUCUUUUGUUUCUUUGUAUAAAGUUGAAAAGUGGGGAUCAAUUGUGAUGGUGCUCUAUGUUCAUCCACCCAAUUUAUAUAAUCAAGGUGAUUAAUGUUUUUUGAUAUCAACAAUUUGUGAAUGACAUAGAGAGAGAGAGAGAGAGAGACCUUAUUUUCUACACUCAUUACGGUGGUUUCCAUUUGGGGAAGGAAAAGGAAAUGGCUAAGAAUGUUACCAAAAGAAGUGGGGUGGCUUUCAUAUGCGUGGUGGCAUACUUGCAUACAAACUUUUCAAUUGUGUUCUGCAUGCCACUCGGGUCAAUUUCAUUUCUUUUACUCCUAGUAGCCUAAUUGGAUUUCCUUUUUCUCAUGAGACAUCAAAUAAAUUUCAUUUUUUUAUAUUUAAAUAGUUAGGUAAGUUUGAUAGUGAGUUAUAUUUUAUACAUUAAUUCAUCUUUUAGAAUGUUGUCUACAAUAUAAACAGUGUAAUUAAUUUCAUCAUUACAGAACAGUCAUCUUAUAAAAUAACAUAAAAAUUAUUGGAUCACUUGUAUGGCACCACUGAUUUGGACUUGGUAUGGCUCUGUUUGGCUUCAUAGAAAAAAUUUGGACCCAAUUUGAAUGUCUUGCAUAAAAAGAGAUACGUCCCACUUUGAAUGAUAUUGAAGAAAAAAAUUUCUGAUGAAGAAUAUAUUGUUGGCAGGGUCAUGCAGGCCAAUAGGGAAACGAUAAAUUCAGAAGAAUGAGUCCAAACCAGUGGGCUUGAAAAUUAAGAAGAGAAUUGCUGUAUAAAACAAUCAUUUCUUAAUCGAGUUCACUUUCUGAAUAAUCGUCACUUUGAGAAUGCAUACUUAGGAAGAUGAUGAUCCUUAAUGGGAAUAAUCAAAGGCAUCAAAAAAUUGUUCUGGAACAAUUCUUGAUUGUCUCCAGUAAAAUUCAAAGUCAAAAGUCAAAAGUCCAGUCGGUCAACACCAAACCAGGCCAGUCCAAAAGACAUUAAUUUGCAAUCUAGAAUCUAUGAUGAGGUGGCGAAAUCAAACCUUGGCUUUUCACCAGGGAAUGGUACUCUGAAUUUGGUCAGUUCACUGUUUCGAGUGAAUAGGGUGUAGUAAUUAGUAAAUCAUAUUUUAGAUUUGUGUCACAAGUUACAAGGGAUAUGGGCUGACGUUCAAUUUUGGCGACAAUUUGUGGGCCCGUAUAUUUGUUGAGAUGUGGAAAUUGGGUGUGUGCUUUUUUCUGCUACCACAUAAAUAUAUUUCUUUGAAUUGAAGAGUGUUUCAGACCAUUUUUUUUCAAGUCACAAAUGGACAACUGAUUGAGAUUGUAUUGGUGAGAGUAGGAGUUUAUUUUGGGCUGGUUGAGCGAAGUUGAAAGUCGAGUUGGACCUAACCCUUGAAUUCAGCAGACUACAGUCCGAUCCUGUAUUUUGGAUUUAGGGAACCUUCUUUCCCAGAAGCUUCGUCUGGGUUUUAAAGUCUAAAUGUGGCUACUCUUAAACAUUGGAGAAAGGAUGAGCGUUCACAAGCAAAUGGGUAAUUGUGGAUGGUUCAAGGACCUGGCCAGCUGGUCUUCAAGUUUGGAUGCCGGUUUGGGCCUGAGAGAGUCUUUGCAAAGUGACUUCACUUCAGCCUAUGAGAUCAAGAUAUCAUGGUGAUGUCCGAUCACUUAGGUUUCAUUUUCACCUCGGAUUACCGUUACCAUGUUCAUGAAUAAAAAUAAAUAAAUAAAUGAAGCCUUAUAGAGAAAUUAAUGAAGUGAGCUAUACAAGCAACUGGGCCAGGAGCCUACAAGGCAGAAAUUCCCUGCCCUAGACUAGGCCGAAUAAAUUAGAUGAAUGAAUUGGGGAAACCUGGGCCAGCCACACAUCCUCCUGAAGGCUGAUGUCGAACUCGCUUACGAGGAAUGGACAUGGGAGAUUGGGCUGGGACCAAAUAACCAAUUGACAGCCCUAUCCUUGUGGCAAGACGUCAGUAAAAUGGUUCAUUCUGAUUUUACGCUGCCAUUCAAUUUAAUUUUAAUUUUUGUUUAAAGCGAUGUACAAAUUGAAUGGUGUCUAGUCACUUAAAGAGUGGUUCAUAAUACACUUAAUUUAAACAAAAAAGAAAUUAUUAGAUAGGGGAUUCUCCAAUAAAAACCACCCCAUCUUGUCAGCAAGUCCGGAAACUUCCUUCACUUAGGGCGUAUUUGUUUUUUUAACUUUAAUAUUAAAGAAAGUUGGUUAAACCUUAUGACACUUUUAUAUUAUUUUAUGAAUUUUUUUUAAUUUUUAUUUUAAUGGAAUUUUAACUUUAAUACAAGUUGGAGUAAUUCUUAUCUUAAAAACAAAUCAAAAUUACUUUAAUUUUAUAUAGAAAUAAACUUACAGUAAAUUUACCAUGAAAAUUUCUAAGUCAAAUACACCAUAAGUGCUAGUAUUUUAUAAUAUUUAGAAACAUGUUAAAUUAUUAUUAUUAUUUUUUAAAAUUAUUAGUUUUCAUAUUAGUUUUAGGGAAACUUGUGCUUUAGGUCUUUUAUUUGCAAAUAAUAUGGUUUUCAAAUCCUAAGAAUAGAAAAUAUGAGAAUCAACUGUUAAUGUGGAAAAUAAUAUCAAUUUUGUGCAAUCUCUAUUGACUCAUUUUUUUGUGCCUAGAUUGCCUUCACCCACUUCCAUGUCAACAACCACAUUAAUAGAUUGUUUUUUUUUUAUAAAACAAAUAAUUAUUAUGUUUAAAAUUUUGGGGAAACUCUCUAUCUCUCUUACUUCUUCACUACAUCCGAGACCCAUCUUCCUUAAACGUUUGCCUCUCAUUUUGCCCUAACCCCAAAUCUCAUAAAUUUCUCAUUUUCUUGCCUCAUUUGAAAUAUGAAGAUGACCGAUUCUCAAACAUCUCUGUCUCUCUCUUCACGUUUUGACCAGUCUAAUUGGAAACCCAUUUUCCAAAAACCUUCUUUCUUUCAUUUUGCCCUAACCCCACUAUCUCCCUCUUCAAGACCUAAUCACCCAAACUCGAUAUCUAUCUUCCCAAAACCUUCAAGCAAACUGAACUAGACCCAUAUCUUCUUUUUUCAUCAUCAAAGGUGAAAUUUUUUUAAGGCUUUUGGAAACCGAAUUGGAGCUUUCCCUUCUUCUGGGAUUAAUCAUUCGCAAGUGAGUUUUCCAUUUAAGGCUUUGUUUGGCUGUUGAAAUCUUGGGAUCAAAGGUCUUUUAUUUUCAGGUUUCUUGUAUUUUGCUUUAUUUUCUUGUAUAUAACAAUAAUCAUUGUAACAUAUGCUAGUAGUUACCCUUGGUGCAACUUUACAUUUCCAAAUACCCUAAAGUCCAAAGCUUUUAAUUCCCUUUUCAAAGCUUUCAACUUUGAAAGCAGACUAAACCAUAAGAACUAUGAAACUUAUAUCUCUAUCACCACUAAUUAAGCAUGUCUAUGAAUCCUUCCACUUUAAGUCACUUAUUCUCAAACCAAGAAGGGCUCCUCUCAUUCUCACCCCACCUCAUCUAAAUGAGGGAAAUGAUCAAUUGCAGCCAUGCUUUGCACCAAAUUAGAGAAGUGAUCCUCCCAAUCAUCCAUUACCAAAAAUUGAUCAUGCUGAUGAGAUCAUAAGAGUCUAUUCGGAACUCCCAGUUUACUUGCCUCUUAUCUCAGGAUCCUCCAUUACCCCCUGUCUUUCCAACAUCAAAUCAACUUGCAAACAAUUCCUUUGUAGAUAAAAUGUUUUUAAUAUUGCAAAAGGGGACUUAUCAUAAUGGUUGAAUCGAUUUAUUUGAUAUAAUCACUCAAAUUCAAGCUUAAAAUUGAUCAUAAUAAAAUGUUUUUAAUAUUGUUAAAAGGAGAUUAUAAUGGUUUUAUUUGAUAUCAUUACUAAAAUUCAAGCUUUCAAACAUGCUCUACAAAGAAGUUCUAAAAGACUACAAGAAAGAGUUUCCACUAAAGAAAAACAAUGAAACCAUUUCUACUAAAGACAAACAAUGAAACCACAGAUGCUUUGUGAAAUAUGUACCCGCACAAUCCAACAAACUUUAGAAAUUCACAAACACUACCUAGAAUUUUUGCUGACCAGCAAAAAAUUUAUGCAAUUUAAUUCUUAUUGUUAUUAUUAUUUUCAAUGUGAACAAAUAUGAUUGAAUUAUGAAGUAUUUGGCCAGAAGAGGAUCUUGCCUAAUUAUAGUCAUUAAACAACCAUUUAUACCAUAGCCUCUAGACUUUAAAAAGUUUAUAAAACUCAAGGGCUUCCACCCAAUUUCUAGAUAUCUCCAUAACAUUCUUCUGACUAUUAGAAAGCAAUUACCACUUUAAUUUUUCAUUUCAUGAGUGUUCAAUUCAGAAAAAGACCAGGAUCGAACUUGCGAUCAUGCAGUCGAAAAUCCACCUGUGCAUGAAACUAUUGCCUCACGAUUGCAAACUCAAGUUGGAGUCCAGUAACAACUCUAGGUUUGCUGAUGUGCUCCAUUUGAAAUAAAGGAACUAAAGAAUACUUUAUAAAGAUUAAUUACCUUCAUAUUUUAGGUUGGGGUUAAGGCAAAAUGUGAUAGAUUGAGAGGAAGAAAAUAUAUCUUGUUCAGGAAGCCAAUAUUUUGGAGUUCACCUUUCCAUUCGAGUCCACUCUGCUAUAGCAAAAUCAGAGUCACAACUAUGCCUCUUUAAGCUAUCCUUUAAUUGGAUGAAUUGCAGAUUUGGUUGCUGAGAAAGUGGAUAAGAAAGAAAAAUGCAUACUGUAGCUUGAGAUUAAGAGUUUGUUUUCUAAAAUGAGAGAAAGGGAAAGAGAAAAAAUGCAUAUUGUAGCUUGAGAUUAAGGGUUUGUUUUCUAAAAUGAGAGAAAGGGGAAGAGAAAUGUUCGACAACUUUGAGAUGACAAAUUUUUAGAUUUGGAAAAUUUGAGAUGAGUCUCAGGUUUUUUUUUUUUUUUUUUUGUCUUUGUCUUUGUUUUUUUUUUUUUUUUUUGUUUUUUUCCCAAAAACAACCUGUUAAUGUGGUUGUUGACAUAGAAGUGGGUGAGGGCAAAAUGGGCAUAGAAAAAAGAGUCAACACAAAGUGCACAAAACCCAUAUUAUUUUCCACAUUAAUGACUGAUUCUCAUAUUUCUUGUUCUUGGGAUUUGAAAACCAUAUUAUUUGCAAAUGGACCUCCCAAAGCACAGGUUUCCCUUAGUUUUAUGUCUCCAUCUACAUUUUACAUAUAAAUAGAUUAUUUUAUAAAAUUUGUUUUGUAGAUAUAUUAGUUAAUAAUUAUAUAAUUAAUGAUAUAGAAAACAUAUAAAAAUCAUAUUUAAAAAAGAUAAUUACAUAUUCCUCAACAAUCCAUCCCAAGAAUUCGAGGUUGAGUUGAAAACAUGUAGAGUCUUUGAUGUUAUUAUAAUCAUAUCCAACACAUAUGAUUAUUGUUUAUGAGAUAUUAUUAGAAAGUUUGUCUUAAAAUAAUUGAUUUAUUACCCACCUUUAGCAAAUGCCCAUUUUUGCGUCUUUCAAAAUUUUCAUUUUUUUUUUGUUUAAAAGAAGUAUUGUAAAGAAUGAUGAAAUAAGAAAUUUGUUGAGAAAGUGUGAGUAAAUAAUUUUACAUAAAAAGAGAUUUAAUACUUGAUAAAUAAAAUAAUAAAAUCAUGAUUUCUAGUUGUAUAGGGCCGGGUGGAUGGAGUGGCUAAGAUGUAAUUCUUGAAAUAGAGGAGACAACAUCAAUGUAUAAAAGUUUAACAGAGAAGGAAAGUGUGUUUGAAUGACUUUAUUUUCUUCAUUUAAAGUUUUGACGAUGAGUGUUUAUACAAGAUAAAUUUUCAAAUGAUAGGACUCCUAUUUACAUGGAGUUUGUGAUAUACUAUGAUUAUACAAAUUUAAAAUUCAAACAGAUUCAUGAGUUGAUAGGAGUCUGCUCAAUACGCCCCUUCAAAAUGGUGGGAGAUAGCACACCAAUCUUGACUCGAAGGGCCUAAACUCGUGCAGAAGAUGAGGGCUUUGUUAGAGCAUCGACAAGUUGAUCCGUGGUUGACAUAUGGGACACCUUGAGCUCACCUGAUUAAACCUUGUUUCAAACAAAAUGAAAAUCAAUCGCCGAUGUGUUUCAUGGAGAGUGAAACAUGGGAUUUGCACAAAGAUAUGUUGCACCCACGUUAUCACAAGAGAUAGGAGGUGGUGAUAAAUUUGAAACACUAAGUUUUGAGAGAAGAGAAUUAACCCAAAGAACCUUUGAGGCUGUAGAGGCCACGACGUGAUAUUUCGCUUCAGUGGAAGAGCGUGCUAUGAACUUUUGUUUCCUCGAUGACCAAUACACAAGAUUGUGACCAAGAAAAACAAUGGGAGCAUUGGUGGAGGAUCUGACAUAAGGAUUCCUUGCCCAUUCAACAUUCGAAUAUGCAUGUAGAUUGAUGGGCGAUUUCUUAUGCAAGAACAGACCAUGCACCAUUGUGCCGACUAAGUAUCUAAGCAAUCUUUUAACACAAGACCAAUGUGUUGAUGUUGGAUGGUGCAUAAAUUGAGAUAAUUUAUUCAUCAAGAAGGUGAUGUCAGGGCUAGUAAGAGAGAAGUAUUGAAGGCUUCCAACAAUUGACAUAUAUUUAGUGGGACCAGGAAAAGAGGUGUCAUCACACAGAUUUGGAACAUUGUUGAGGAACAUCAAUGAUUGAACUGGUUUGGUAGCCACCAUUUGUGUUUUCUUAAGAAGCUCUCGAAUGUACUUGAGAUAAAAAUAAUCCUUUGGAAGUAUGUAUCAUUUCAACACCAAGAAUAAAAGAUGAAGUCCUGAGAUCCUUAAUGGAGAAUUUGACUGCUAAUUGAGAGAUCACGCGAGCACGAAAAACAUUAUUGUUACUUGUUAAAAUAAGAUCAUCAAUAUAAAUAAGUAGGUAAACAAUGAGACCACUCUUUUUAAAAAUGAAGAGGGAUGUCUCGGUUUAGGAGUUGACGAAGGCUAUUGAGAGGAGAAAUUGGCAAAGUUCAUGAUACCAUGAUCGUGGAGCUUGUUUAAAGCCAUAAAAAGCCUUACAAAGUUGGCAAAUGUGAUGAUGUGUGUAUUCGUGAACCCAGGAGGUUGAAUCAUGUAAACAUCUUCAUGAAGUGUCCUAUGCUAGAAUGCAUUAUUAAUGUCCAAUUCAUGAGUUGAUAGGAGUCUGCUCAAUACAAUGUGGGAGUGUGAUUUCAAAAUUAGGGUAAUUUCGAAAUGGAUUUUGUAUUCACAAGUUGAAUUUCAAAAUUAUUUUGAAAUGGUCUUUUAACUUUAAGCAGUUGUGUUCAAAAGGUCAUAACUUCUUCGUUUCAAUUUUGAUUUACACAUUGUUUAAAACAUUGGACUCUUUACUUCCCGAGCUUCAAAACGAUAUAUAGUAUGCUCAAAAAUGACAUCAGGAUUGGUUCAAAUUUCAUCUUGAUAUUAGAGUACAUGUUGUGAUUAGAUUUUGAGUUCCAAAUUUCCAUGUAAACUUGAUUGCAUUUGCUUCAAACCUCCUUCAUUAUGGUUGCUUGCCCUCUAUCUCACUUUGCAACAUUUGUUACUAGUAUUUUAUGUCCAUGACUUACUCAUUUCAACCUUUCUUGGAUUCUUCAUGGUUCACAAAUUAUGGAUUCUUCAUGGUUCACAAAUUGAGUCUUUCAAUUAUGCAUGUUUAACUCCUAUUUCCUUGGUUGAUAAUGACUUUUACACUUAUCAUUUUCUUUUAUUCUUUAAACCUGAAUUUAGACUUACAAAAAAAAGUUAGAUCCAUAACUAGGGUCUUAGCAUCAAUUUGAGUUAAGUUGGAUGAUUUGAAAAUUUUAUAUUACAUAAAUCAUAUCAUACAUGUGCCAUUGGAGUGCACAUUUUGGCUCUAAUCAUGUUCCAACCCAUUGUUUUACUCUUGCAUGAAGUAUGUGGCCAUUGAUUUUAAUUUUAUUUGCGAUUAGGUUCAAAAUGGUGCUUUUGUGUUGCUCAUGUGUCAUCAGAAGAUCAACUAAUGGAUUCUCUAACAAAACUACUACAUCAUAGUCAUUUUUUUUUUUCUUAAGACCAAGAUUGAGAUCUCCAAUCGGAGCCAACUCCAUCUUGGGGGCAUGUUAGUGAAAGAUAAAAUUUAUCUUUAAUUUAAAUAUUAAUAUUUAUCAGUUAUUAGUUUUAAUUAGAGUAAAAGAUAGAGUUUAAAUUGGAGUAGGAGAUAAACUUGUGUUUGAACUAGAAUAGAAGAUAAAGUAUAAAGAUUUAUGUUUGAAUUAGAAUAAAAUAUAAAGUUUGAAUUAGAGUAGAAGAUAAACUUGUUCUUUAUUUGUAUAUAAAUAUUCAUCAAUUCUUGAGAAGAAGAUUAUUUCAUAGUUUUUCUAUCUUCUUUUUUCUUCAUACAUAUCUGCAAGAAAUUGAAGAUUUCAAGUAAAAUAUUUUCUGUUUUAAAUAGUGAAAAAAGCUAGAAAUUCACUUUGUUAUCUCUUGGGGUAAAUUGACAAGGUUUAACGUUAAGAAGGUGAAUUAUUUUUUCAGAAAAACUGAAGUAGCUAGGAUAUCUGGCCAGUUGUGAUCGAUAAAAAAGUUGUAAAAUCUCUCAUAUACUAAACAGGUUUUGGAUGUUGGUAUGGUAAAUCCAUCUGCAGUCAUUCGUCAUCUCAUCUAGUGAGAUGUUUGGGAGGUGGUGACCGCCGGAUUGGGUUUCAUUUGGUUAAAUCUGUCAGUGGGUUGGCUACUACCCGAGCCUCUUGCUUUGGGGGAGGUGGGUUCUAGAUAUAAUGUUCAAACCAUUUUAGUUAUCAUAUGCAUGACAUGUAAGCAUAAUCUCUUUAUCACUUCUUCAAUGGGAGUUCAUGGUUAGGAAUUGACUUCUUUUCUUCUGGGAUGCUUGGCAUGUAAUGGACAAAGUUACUUUUAUAUCGAUCGAAUUUCUAGUAUUAUAGUGAAGACUUACCCUUUUGACAUUUUAUAUCGAAUUAUAGAAGAUGAAAGGGACAUACAUGCAAUCGACUGACGCUUUAGUGAAUAUGCUGAAAAUAUGCUGAUGCUGUGGAGAUCGUAUGAGGACAGAGGAAAAAGAUAGAAAUGGAUAUAUAAUUAGACCUAGGUUUUUAUUAAAUGAGAUGGGGAACAUAGAGUGAGGGAAAAUCAAAAUUUUUGGCUGCAGUUCACAUUGGUGAUAUUUUGGAUUGACAAAGACUAACGACUUUUCUAUUUUUCUUUUCGGCCUGACUGGAUAGUUGGACAUGGACAAUACAGAAUCCACAGAAGGAUUGUUGGGACCGCUGAAAAUUAGCUAGAAGAAGCUGAGGAAGUAGUCUACGUAGUCAAAUACCAAACACAAAGAAAGAAAGAAAUGGAUAUCAUGGAUGCCUAGAGUUAUACUCCUAAUACCGUCACAGGUAUUUUUCUUUCCUCCUUUUUUUUUCUACGAUAAUUAGAGCAUUUCUCCUCCUCCUCCUCCUCCUCCCCCCACCCCACCACCAAAAAAUAAAAAAAUAAAUUAUUGCAAGUAACACUUCAAAUAUUAAUUUAUACAUUCUAAAGUAUAUAUUCAUGAAAUAACUUGAGUAUCAUACAUUAGUUCUCAAAAAAAAAAAAAAAAAAAAAAAAAAAUUACUGGAAGAGAAAAGUUUAAGAAAACAUAAAAAUAUUCAACUACUAUUUUAAAGAGAAAAUUUAAUUUUUACACUAUAAAUUUGAAGAGAACUUUUACAUGCAUCUUAUAUAAACUACCAUUUUUUGCUAAAAGGCUUAAAUUUGUCAAAAAUACCCCUUAGGUGCUUAACGUUCUGGUCAUAAUAUAAUUGGCAUCUUUUCUCAAACAUAAGGCCUGUGUGUGGGAACAAGAUUUAAUGUUAAUGAGCUUCGCCACCGACAUUUAGUUCCAGAAAUCAUUAUUUUAAUAGAGUGGGCUCAAUUUACAACUUUAAUUAAACUCUAACCAACUGCAUUGUGAAAUGAAUAUGUUUCUUUCGUGGUGAAUCCAAUGAGUUGGGAGUCAAACUUUGCUUCAUUGUGUAUAGAUGAAAUGUUAAGACUCCAUGUAACCUCAAACAUUUCCGCAAUNNNNNNNNNNNNNNNNNNNNNNNNNNNNNNNNNNNNNNNNNNNNNNNNNNNNNNNNNNNNNNNNNNNNNNNNNNNNNNNNNNNNNNNNNNNNNNNNNNNNUUCUUUCGUGGUGAAUCCAAUGAGUUGGAGUCAAACUUGCUUCAUUGUGUAUAGAUGAAAUGUUAAGACUCCAUGUAACUCAAACAUUUCCGCAAUGAGCGGGAGUUCUAAAUUUAAUAAUUGAAAUUGUCAGUGGAACCAGUGGACAAGAGUUGGUUUGUGGUUGACAAACUUAUCCGUUUGAUCUUUACUUGAACAGUUCCAGUGUGUGGAUGGGUACUGAUGAAGUGUGCGCAUUUAUUUUGAGAAGCCUGCUUGUUCGCAUAGAUUUUAACGACAUGAACAUUGUGGUAAGGUUAGAGAGUAAUGCGAAUGUAGGAGCUUAUAUUAGAAAUGACACAAACACGUAAAUAGAAGUAAUCUAUAUAUGAUAUUACUCAUGGACUACAAGCAAAGAAGUACAAUACAUGGAGUAAGUGAUGAAAUGAGCAUUCCUCACUACUACUGCUUGACUGAUGGAACAUGAUGCACGAGAUAGCAUAAGUAGUAGUAGGAAGCAGCUCUUAUUUGUGGCGUCGGUAUACAUCAUACUAGGUAGAUGGUUCAAUUGGCAUGGAUGGGUGGUGGAGCCUUGAAGUGCUUGUGAUGGGGAGCCCACGGCUUCUUCUCAGGAGUUGGUGGCUUCUUGUAUGGAGUUGAUGGAGGUGUUUCUACUGGAGGGUGGCCAGGGUAGUGACCCUGGGGUGGUGAAGGUUCUUUUGUCGGUGGUGGCCUCACUAUUAUUGGCGGUAGAGUUGGUGGCUUGGGCGUUGGCGGUGGUCUCACUACUCUUGGGGGUAGAGUUGGUGUCUUGUGUUUUGGUGGUGGAGGUGGCUUAACAGGAGUUGGUGGCUUGUAUUCUGGGGGUGGUUUCUCCACCGGAGGUGGCUUAUAAACUGGAGUUGGUGGCUUGUAUUCUGGGGGUGGCUUCUCCACUGGUGGUGGCCUGUAAACAGGGGUUGGUGGCUUAUAUUCUGGGGGAGGCUUCUCCACUGGAGGCGACUUAUAAACAGGGGUUGGUGGCUUGUAUUCCGGGGGUGGCUUCUCUACGGGAGGUGGCCUGUAAACAGGGGUUGGUGGCUUCUCCACCGGAGGUGGCUUAUAAACGGGGGUUGGUGGCUUGUAUUCUGGGGGUGGUUUCCCCAGUGGUGGAGACUUGUAAACAGGAAGAGGUGGUUUGUGCUCAUAUGGGGGUGGCUUGUGGUCAUUAGCAAGUGAGGGAGUGGUGAGGACCACCAAUCCAAGGAACAACACGAGUGAGCAAGCAGAAGACAUGUUUGGGCUCUGGUGAUGCACAAGUAGAAGAAAUGGGAACCAUUUAUAAUGCUUCGAGACCUUGGUUAGCACCAAAAUAUGUCAAAAUCUUGAUUACUUCAUUUCAUACAUAGAUUUAAAAUUAUUUCAAUCAACCAUGAUCCUUAAUUUUCUGGGUGGUCCAUAAAUGUAAUGGGGUCAAUUUGGGACCUAACAAGCUGAGAAGUUUGACAAUGCUGCAAGGCUUCAUCCGAAAGUCCGGGGAAGAAUAUUAGGAGUUACACUCCGUUUCCUUUUUUGGGUGCAUUUUUCUCCUUUAACAUUCUAUUCCCUUUUACAUUAGCAUUUGAUCUUAGCUCAUUUCAAGUACAAGUUUCUUGAACCCUAUACCAUUGUCAAAGUUGAGUAACCAUCUCUACUUUGCUCAAGAAACAUAAAAGACAAUGACAAUAAAGAAAAAGGAGAGAGACCAUACGUGACUUGGUUUAUAGGUGGCUUUGUGUUGACAUUUGAGUAUGGAAGCCGACAUGCAUCUUAGCUUCGAUUUUAAUUAAAUUUGUACAUUAGUGUCUGUGUCAUUCAUUUUGGUAUAAAAGGUCUCUUGAUUUCGUAAGUUUGGUAAGAACCGUUGAAAAUAGCAGUAGCAGCACAUGGUCCACUUUCUUUCACAAAAUAAUUUUAAAAGUUUAGAAGCAUAGGAGGUAACAUUAGUGGCCUUGUGGCUCAGCCACGAGUACUAUGUGGUGCUCGAGAAAUUGAGUUUAAUUUCCUUCCGAUAGUUCAUGAUAAGGUCCGUCACUGUCCUGAGACAGAUUGCGUUUUUUCUUUUUUCCUUUUUUAGUGUUUUAUUGACUAGCUAGGUGUGACUUUUCCUACUUUAAGGCACGAGGCAGAAAAGAAACUGGGAUUUAGUGCUUAAGAAGGCAAAUUUAAUUCGAUUUGGAUCUAAAAUUUGCCAGCAACAUGAGAUUUUCCAGCCUAUCGUUGCUCCACAUAUAGACAAGGCACUUGUAGAAGUGGCUUGUUUGUAGCCAUUCCCGAUAUUUGGACUCACUUGAUUCACCGGACACUUUGAUAAAAUUUAAUAUUUAUUAUUUAAUAAUUUAAAUUGAUUUAAAAUUAAAUUAUACCGAAGUUGUGAUUUAAAAAUUAUUAUUUAAUUCUUACUUUUAAAUAUGAAGAUUAUUUGAUAAAAAUAAUUUAAAAUUUAUUAUAAAUUAUCAAAUUAACAUAUUUAUCCUUAUAAAUUAUAAUUAAAACAGAAAAGGUCAAAUGAUUUGAGUAUCCAUAGAUGUGGUAAAAUAAUAAAAAAGAUUAUAAAAACAAUUAUGAUAAAUAAAGAUAAAAAGUAAAAUGAAUAUGUGAAUUUAAAGAAUAAAUUAAUUAUUUUUAUUUAUUACUUAAAAUUAUUUUUGACUUUAAAUUAUAUUAUUAAAUUAUUUUACCAAACAUACUUAAUUUAGUUAAUAAUUUAAAUUUAAUUUAAGUUAUUAAAUUGAUUCACCAAAUACCCACUUAAUCAAAGACUGAAGUAUACAUUAUUUGGCCAAAUGCAGCUAUUGAAAUUUAACUUUUUCCAAACUUAUUCAUUUUGUGGAAAUAUUUUUAGAAAUGAUUUUAAAAAUGCACUAUUCUGUGUGUUGAUUUUAUAUUUUGGCAUUAAUCCAACAUAGAAAACGGUUCUUAUUUUCGCUGUUAAAUAGGUACCAGAUCCUUAAUUAGUGCCGUGAAUCCGGCAGCUUCCAAUGAGUAAUUUGGACUUGGGUAUUGACAAUGUGUGGCCAUGCUUCUACUAUUUUAUUAUUCUUGAAACAUAUAUGAUAUAUUGGACUUUAUACAGGGAAAAAAAAAAAAAAAAGUCUUCACCAAAAAUGAUUCCUCCUAAAAAAUAGACUCCACAAACUAGGUUUAACAGGAAAAUGAUUCUAAUCUAGUAGUUUCCAGCCACAUGAGCAUUUACGUAACAAUAGUAUAGUUGAUAACGACUUUUAUUUUAUUUAUUUUUAAAUAGUUAAAGGGAUAAUUUUUGAGCUUAAAUUUUAUUUUUUUAUUUAGAAACAUUUUACUUUAUUUUUUAAUCAUAAUUCUAUUAUAUUAAUGUUUUAUUUUCUAUUUUUUAAUAUAUAAGGAGAUACUAAAUUUAUGUGAUUAUUUUUUAAAAAUUUAGUAUAUGAAAUUAAAUAAUUGGAUAUAUAUACAUAUAUCAUAUAAUGUUUUUUAAGUGUGAUUUUUGAACUUUUUAGUCAUUUUAUAAGUUUAAGCUUUUGAUUUUUUUUUUUAAACUUUGGUAUUUUUUAUUUUAUAUAAAACUAUUUUGAUUUAAUUUUAUUAAAAAAUAUUGGUAUUAUAAAUUAUUGUAUUAAUUAUUUUUUUAUAUUAUAAUGUAACUGGUAUAUACUAAAAAAUGUAUGCAAGUUCAAUUUAAGUUUCAAAUUAAAAAAUUUCAUUUAAAUAUUUAAUAACUUGUUCAUAAUAAAAAAUUAAACAACAUAAUACAAAUGAAAAGAAACAUAAAAGAAAAAGGAAAAAAUGGUCCUCUCUGUGUGUCACAUUACUAGGUCAUCCUCUUUUUCUAUGACCCUUACAAUAGAAUGGCAUAUUUGUCAAAUCUACUUAUGAAAGUUGGAAUGUUUCUACAUGUGUAGGGUCCAUUGGAACUAAUGGAGGAAAGGCUUAACGUCUAUGUAAAUCACAACGUUGCCUAGGUGGGCAUAGAUCUAGUUGUGUAACAUGAGAUGGUGUGAGAGUACAAUAUAUGCAUUGUAGUCUCUAUGGGAAGAGAGAUAGGUAAUGGUAGGGUGGUAGACGGUAGGGUGAUCUCUAAUAUAAUGACAUUUGAUGUGGUGGCUUCUAAGAGAGGAGAUAUAAGAGAUGGUAGAAUGACAUUUGGUGUAAUGGUCUCUAGUGCAAUGACAUGUGAUAUGGUGACCUAUAAAGAAGAGAUAUAGGUGAUGGUGAAGUGGUAUGUGGUGUAGUGACCUUUGAGAUAGAAAAUAGAGGUAAUGGUAGGUUGGCAGGUGGAGUGGUCUUUGGUGUAGUGACAUCAAUUAUAAAUGUCUCCAAGGGAGGAAAUAAAGGUGAUGGUAGGUAGUAAAUGUUGAGGUGGUCUUUGAUAUGUUAUGCUCUAAGAGAGAAGGUAUAGGUAAUGAUAAUAGGGAAUUUGACAUAGUGGUGUUGGAAAUAAAAAGUGAAAGUGACCGUAGAGGUGAAAGGGCAAGUGUAAAAGCCUCAAGUACGAAUGGAGUAAUUAAUGUGGAUGGUGCUAACAUAGUCUUAGGUGGAUACACAAAUAGUCAUAGUCAUCAACUAGCUUGCCCACCAUCUGUCUUUCUGCUAGUGAUAGGUUACAUCUUAAUAGUAAUGGCCAACAUAAGUGGUGUGGAUCCGAUUUUUUUACGUGUGUCCCCACUCAAUCGACAAGACUUAUUUUUUAUUAGUGAAAAAUUAAUUUUGGAAAAGUUGGAGUCACCACUUAUUUUAUUUUAUUUUAAAAAGGAAAGUAAAACAAGAAAGAGAACUCUAAAGAAGUGACUUCAUAGUUUUGGAAAAGUUAGUCUUAAAAAAUCCAAGUCUUGGUCCGGAGAUCAGGUUACUUAUUGGGAAGAUACCUCUAAGAGGUAAUACCCCUCUAAACCCUAAAGAAGUCUCUAAUGACUAAGUUGAGGAGAAUGUGGUAAUUAAUUAAUUGAUUGAGGGUACCUAGGUAGACUAAGGUGAUUUCAGAAUUAACAUACCAAGCUAGAAAGUCCAAUCAUGAUCAUAAAAGAGAGUCAAAGUAUGUACCUGAACUGCUUCUCAAACGCUAUCAUAAAACAUCAAAGUUAGUAUAGAAAUAUAACACAUAAUAUUUGUUUUAUCCAAGCAAAUAAAGCAUACAUCUAAGCACCCAAGAAUCACAUCAAGUAUGGAUAUAGUCAUCAAUAGCAUACGUGUCCAUAGAACUAUCGAAAGUAAAUGUGGAGGAGCGUAUCUGGACAACAUAGAUAACUUAUAAUGUGCUUCCACAAGACAUGGGGGUUAGAUAAAAGUUAUAAUAAUAAUUAGUAAAUGAAAGAAUUCUAGCAUGUUUGGUAUCUAAAUAACAUAGCAAAAAUGAACAAGAGUACACGAAAACAUCAAUUAUCACACGAGUCAUAUUGGCUAGUAUUUAAUCAAUAAACCAACAAUAAAUGACUAUAAACAUAUAAAAUGACAUAUUCAAAGAGACCCAAACAUAAAGAGCCUAGAACACAAGCUUACACUAAAUUUAGAAAACUAAAACAUGGAAUUUUAAAAGCAUAAAUUAGCAAACAAAUUGAUGGAAACUAAAUUUAGAUAACUUAAGAAUAUUUUUCUUAUCCUUCAAUUUAAAUCAGUAAGCCAACAAUAAAAAAUUAUAGAAACAUGGAAUAUCAAGAUCAAUGGGAUACCUAAACUAUAAUUUUUAAAAGAAAAUAAACUAAGCAUAAUAUCUACAAAGCAACUAAACUAACAUUUUUUUAAAAAUAAAUUAAACAUGACAUUAAUGGAGUAACCAAACUAAAUUAAAGUAAACUAAAAACAUUUAUGAAUUUUCAAACAUGGAAUCAGCUUUCUUAGUAAAUUAAAAUUAUUAAAAUAAAAUCUAAGCUUAAAAAUGAAUUAAAUACUAACUAAAGCAAAUCUAAAACCAAAUAUUUAACACAUAGGAUCAAUUAUAUUAACAAACUAAAAUUUUAUAAGAACACUUAAACCUAAAGUUGAAUUAAAAACUAACCAAUUUUUAAAACUAGAUCUUUAACCCAUAGGAUCAAUUAUAUUAACAAAUAAAUAAUAAAUAAUAAAUAAAUAAAACUCAAACCUAAAGAUGAACUAGAAAUGUACCAAAGUAAAUUCAAAACAAGAUCUUUAACACAUUAGAUCAAUUAUAUUGACUAACUAAAAAAAAAAAAAAAAAACACUCAAACCUGAAACGAUGUAUUAGAAACUAACCAAAGCAAAUUUAAAAUAGAGUCUUUAACACAUAGGAUCAAUUAUAAUCACUAACUUAAAUUACAAUUUUUGAAACAUGAACUAAUUAGUGUUGGAUUAAUUAAACUAAUUAACUAAAAAAAACUAUAAACUAGAAUACGGUGAAUCAAGAAUUCAAAUCAACAAACAUAAAAUAUGGGUACAAUGAAAUGAAAAUCUAUUAAACUAAUAAGACGGAAAUAUGACAAACUCAUGAACCCACAUUUUGAUCAACUAGGAAAUAGAAAUUAAUAGACCUGUAGCAUGGAUACAAUGAAAUGAGAUCAGUUAAAUUUAUUUGCCGAAAUUCUAAAAAACACAUACACUCAAAUAAGAUCUAAAUCUAAGACCAAGCAAAACUCAAACUUUCUCAAUCUAAUGCAAUGAAUCAAAACUAAAAUUAAAUAGAAAUCAAACCAUUUUUUUUUUAUCUAAUAUAAUAAAUCAAAGCUAAAACUAAACAAAAUCGAAUUUUCUUAAUUUAAUAUGAUGAGUCAAAGCUAAAAUUGAACAAAGUUCAAACCUUUAUAUAAUGGAUCAAAGUUAAAUCUAAAUGAAAUCCAUACUUCCACAAUUUGAUAUAACAAAUCAAAAAUAAAACUAGAUAAAAAAAAAGUCAAAGCCUUUCAACUUGACAUAGUGAAUCCAAACUGAAACGAAACAAAAUUUUAACUUUUCCAAUGAAACCCAAUAUAGAAAAAAUUAGCUUACCUUCUUUAGAAUAUAUGUAUGGGCCAUAAAGAAGUCACCUUGGUGCAUGUGUUCCUCACUUUGACGCCAAUGGACGACUUUCUAUGGUAGCAAAUGGAGAUCCUUUUUGGUGGUAACUUGCGUGUGGAAACCUAUGGUACAACCAAUGUCAUCUUUUAUUGUGCGUGUGGACCAAUUUCUUCUCGAGAACUCAUGUGUGUUGUGCUCAAAAUAUGUUGCCUGUGAGAAUCUAUUGGUAUACCCCACAUAUGGUUUCCUUGAGAGAAUCUGUGGUUGUGUGUGGGCGUUUUCUUCAUGACAGCAUGUGGAUGUUCCCAUCUAUGGUAGAUUGGUUGUGAUGCUUUAGUGCAUGGUCUCCAUAGGAAUAGUGUGUUAUGGAAAUUUGGUUUUUUUAUUGGUGCAUGUUGUCUAGACUUUCCCAUAUGCGUGGACUGUGUGUUCAUGCUUUUCUUUUCGGAUGGUCGCCUGUGUUAAUGUGUGGCGGUGUCUACAAUGAAAGAUACAACCCUUUCUCUCCUUCUGCGUGAUAGAAAAGUCAAUCCCCCAUGGUGCGACUAUGUUCCCUCGUCCUUUUUGAAAAAUUUUGGUGUUUUCCCCCCAAAAAAUCCCCUCCAAAAAUCUAAUUAUAAAUGUCUGCUUUGGCCUAAUGUGUGUGCUACUUUUUUUUUCCUUCUUUUUAUGGUUGUGCGUGCUUUUCUUGAUACGUGGCUUAUUUCUUAAGGAUAUGAUUCGCUCCCAAUUGGUGUCUCAGCUGAUUCAUGUCCUUUCAAUGGUCCCUGACAGUGGUGCCAUUUGAUUCGUGUCCAGCUGGUGUCCCUUGAUUGUGGUCCUCAGAAGGGAGUAAUCAAUAAAAUUUAUAACCUAUUACACCAUGUAUUAGGAUAGCCUUAGCUAGCAUAGCAUAGUGGCUCUAGGGUCGUUUAUUGGGAUGAGUUUUCACUUCACAAUUGAUAUUAAUUCAAGAGCUGAAUUGGUGCCUUUUCAUUUCAAGGUUAGCUUUAAAAGAAAACAUAAUCUUUGGUGGAAAAAGGUUUGGUUUUAAACUAACCAAAAAUAGUAACUGAUUUUACUUACAAAGAAAAGUGUUCUUUGGAGUUUAGAUCACUAGGCUCAGGUUCCUCAUACAAAAAGGAGAGUUCCGAUCAUUUGUUUCUUUUCCUCGCAUUAGAGAAUUAACAUAUAGUUAAUUCUCUAACCGGUGCGGUACAUAUGCUUCCCAUUAAUGGGUUCAAACACUAAAUACCUCUCACUGAUGCACCUUGCAAUGGCUCGUGCCUCUCACCUAGCAUUUAUCAUUCAAGGUGAUCUUUAACCUUGGAUUACCCAUCAAAAGCUCGCAAGAGAUAACUAAAGGAUGUCUCCUUAGAGUCCAAAAGCUUACCAAGUGUUGGUUAUUCUAGAAAAUCCUACCUUCAAACCACCUCCCAAAGGCUCGCAAGAGAUAAACAAGUGCAUCUCAAUGGAUGAAGAUCACUUGCCUUACCAAGUUUUGGCCCAGAUGAUUUAAUGACAUUUUAAGUUAACUAAAAAGAUAAAAACCAUUAACGGGUCACACUUUCUCUUCAUUAAAAACUAAAACAACAAAACUUCCAAUUUAUGCAUGAGGAAACUUACCUGGCUUUCUUCACUUCAAGAGAUGAAGAGCCUAGCCACUCAUCAUUUGAGGAAAAAUCCUCAGAGUUUGAUUUGCUAGAAAUAAAAAUAAUGAGAAAACAAAAAUAUAUAUAUGAAAAACAGAGCAAGUUCUCUGUAAUAUAUUUUUCUUCCUUAUACAAAAGGUUGUCUCUAAGAACAAGUUCCCGAGAUCUAUCUGAUUGUAAAUAAAAUUACAACUAUAUAUAAGAGGUUAUUCACCCCUUUGUUCUUUCUUAAAGACUAAGGAAUCCUAUGAUAGGUGGGUUACAAGGAGAGUUUGGGGAUUUAGACAUCAAAUAUCUAAAGCAAAAUAUCUCAAGAUGUUAGUCGGAAAUAUCAGGAAGCUUCAGGAGAACACCGCGACACUGUAUACUGAGAGAAAAACUCUCCGGGUAAGCUCUAUCAAAGGAUCCAGACAUGUCUGACUGGGAAAGUUGAAACGUCCUUCUCUCCCAUCCGGAUGUGAGAUAUCCGGAGAAAGUGAAAUGUCGGUCGGACAGAAUUCUUUCCCCGGGUGGAAUGAGUUGUGUUGCGCGUCGCAAGGGGGACCGUCUGCGUGUACAAGUUGUAGGGACCCCUCUCCCGGAUGACACCGAGCGCGUAAGGCUAUCCGGAUCAACUCCAUUCGGAUUCCCCAAGAGGACAUGUGGCGUGCUCCCCUAUCAGGACUCCCUUAGGGAGAAGCACACGACACUCGUGAACAUCAUACCCGGACGAUAGCAUGUCCUAUCCGGAUGUGUUGUCCGGAUCAUUGACUAAAGUGAGCAAGCCUUGCUACGUCAUUCGGACAGCUUGCCACAUACCAUGUUCCGUCGCCAUCUGAUGGUGUGUCCGAACGCCUUGUCCGGACAUCUUUUGCUCCUUGCAUUCCGGAUUUGCUUAUGACAAAGGACUUCAAAGCUUCGGUUCUUCAUGUUUCUGAGCUUUCCAUUGCUUUGCCAUGGAUUCCAAAGAACUCUCCUUAAUCACGGAUUGCUUUGGUGAUCAAAAAGUUAUCAAAACACAAAAACUUAACAUAGUUUGAUUAGAAUUGAUUGCAAGGGUUCUUAAUAUGUUAAUUGGGUUAAAAGGUGAUAACUACUACUCAAAAGUGUUUAUAAGAAUUAAUUACAAGCUAUGAAAUAACACUUUUUGAGUAGUAAUCAGGAUACAUCCUAGUUUUUCAUGGAAUUGAUAGUGGGUUGUUGUGCAUGAAUGCCACCAUUUCAACUAUGCUGUUGUUAUUUUUAAAAAAAAUAUGGAUUAUGCGCGAGUGGCAAUUCUCCACUAUGGAAAGUGGAUUGCUCCUUCAACCCAUGCAUGGCUACGUAUUCCUAUGUCUUUCUACUUGUGUUUGAUCCUCCAAAAAAAAUUUCGGUUUAGUGCUAGUAGAUUUUAAGUGGUGGAUCCCCAUUUUUUGAAAAUGAAGUGGCAGCCUCCCAUUUCAAGACAAAAUGGUAGCCUGCCUUUAAUCUUUGGAGAAAAAUCUGUGCAUGACCUUUUUUUUUCCCAAAAAAUCCGUGCAUGGUGUCCUUUAAUAUUUGGAGAAAAAUCUAUGUUGGAUCUUUUCUUUUCUAGAAACAUUUGUGUGGUCUUUUUUGUUAGCCCAAGGGUUCUUCUAAUCAAGUUUUGAUGAUAACAAACCAUGGUUAAGUGACUAAUUGGUUUAAUGAUUAAGAAUCUCAAACAUAAAAUCGAAAAUUCAUCAAAGGACCAAAUGGAUACAAGAUCGAGACGCUUGGAAGACUUGUAAUCAUAGGAAACUAAUGUAAGAUGAAUGCAUGAGUGCACUUAGGAUUUUCACACGUUUCAUGCAACUUAGAAAACCCAGUUUAUUCUUUAAAACUUCAUCCCAGUUUAUUCUUUUUAUGGUUGUGUGUGCUUUCCUUGAUACGUGGCUUAUUUAUUAAGGAUACAUCCCAGUUUUUCAUGGAAUUGACAGUGGGUUGUUGUGUGUGAAUGCCACCAUUUCAACUGUGCUGUUGUUAUUUAAAAAAAAAAAAAAUGGAUUGUGCGCGAGUGGCAAUUCUCCACUAUGGAAAGUGGAUUGCUCCUUCAACCCAUGCAUGGCUACGUAUUCCUAUGUCUUUCUGCUUGUGUGUGAUCCUCCAAAAAAAAUUUUGGUUUAGUGCUAGUAGAUUUUAAGUGGUGGAUCCCCUUUUUUUGAAAACUAAGUGGCAGCCUCCCAUUUCAAAACGAAGUGGUAGCCUGCCUUUAGUCUUUGGAGAAAAAUCUGUGCAUGACUUUUUUUUUCCCAAAAAAUCCAUGCAUGGUGUCCUUUAAUAUUUGGAGAAAAAUCUAUGUGGGAUCUUUUAUUUUCUAGAAAAAUUUGUGUGGUCUUUUUUGUUAGCCCAAGGGUUCUCCUAAUCAGGUUUUGAUGAUAACAAAUCAUGGUUAAGUGACUAAUUGGUUUAAUGAUUAAGAAUCUCAAACAUAAACUCGAAAAUUCAUCAAAUGACCAAAUGGAUACAAGAUCGAGACGCUUGGAAGACUUGUGAUCAUAGGAAACUAAUGUAAGAUGAAUGCAUGAGUGCACUUAGGAUUUUCACACGUUUCAUGCAAUUUAGAAAACCCAGUUUAUUCUUUAAAACUUCAAUUUCAUUAAAACCCGAGUUUUUAACUAAUGUACCUUAGGCAAAAUGUUUUAUAAUUGGCUUAAUAAUUCACCUAAAUACAUUUUCUAAGUGUUAGAAAAGAAAGGAAUUAAAAAAAGGUUUUCGGGGCAAAAAAGGCUCAACCGGUCGAGGCUAUGGUCAACCGGCUCAACCGGUUGAGGAACCAAUCGAUCGGUUGUGCUUGUCCGAUCGAAGACCAAUCGAGGGAUGCCAAAAAAUUUCUCUCUCUCCUAGUGGCCUUCUCUUCCCGGUCGAGGUUCGGUCUAGGCAACGGUAACAUGUCAAGCAUUAAAUGCUCCGACGACUAGUGAAUCGGUCGACCCCUAGCCCGAUCGGACGAGGUUGCCUUUUGCUGUUUUUGACUCCCGAGCUUAGAAACCUAUAAAUUGAGAGCUCCACUUCAUUUAUUGAUAAAAGAGAACACUUGCAUUCAAUAGUCUACCUACCUUUUCUUGAUCAAAAAGCUCUCAUUUCCUUCAUAGUGCAUUAAAUCAUCACUUGCAUAUCCUUUAGUGCACUAUUGUGUGUCAUCCUAGCUUUGUUUUGUAUUUGAGCUAUCCUUAAGCUAGGUUGAGGGAUUAUUUCUUAUAAAAAUCUGAGUGUUAAAGCCUUCAAGAGAUUUGAAUCUUGAAGAGAUUGUGUAAGAGCCCAUUGGAGCCGGAGUCCAAGUGUAAGAAGAUUGGAAGCUUGGUUGAAGCUUCAAGUUAGUGGAACCCUCACUCGGUUAGGAGGUUGAGGAGAGUGGACGUAGGUAAGGAAGUGUCGAACCAUUAUAAACCCGAGUUUGAAUUCUCUAACUCUAUCUCUUUAUUUUGCUUAUAUUGUGUUUGAAUUUGUUGUGAUUGAAAAGAUUUUAAAAACCUAAUUCACCCUCCCCCCUUUUGGGUUUUUUUUUCUUAAUUAAGCAUAACCUUUGUUUUCUAAUUUUCUUUUUAGGAAAAUCCAUGCGUGGUAUGUCCAAACUCUCCAAGUGGCAGUCUGCCUUCUUCUAAAAAAUUUGUUUCUAUUUCUUUAUUCGACUACCUUCCAUGUCUUCCUAAUGAGUGCUUGUGCUCAAUGGUCAAUCCCUGGUGGUUGCCUCCUUUUCCCAUAUAUACGUGUUGCAAAAUCAACAUCCCACUAUAUGUGGGUUGCCUCUAUGGCAAGUUCACAUUUCCCACAUGAAACCUAUGAGUUUCCACCAAAAAUUGCCAUGAAAAAGUCUUUAUAUGCAUCUCAUGCAAUAAAAAGUCAAGCCAAUACUCAUCUUAUCUCGAAAAAUAAGUAACCAAAAUCAAGAUCAUGCCUAAGUGAACUAUGCCAAAAGAAGUGUCCAAGUGACCUAUUAUGAAAAAAGUGCCUAAGUGACCUAAGGUGAAUGUGUGUAAGCUGGAAGGUGUCUAGGAUGUUUAGGACAAUGCCUAAGCCUAAAAUAGGGUUGCCAAGGGUCACAAUGGGGUUAGAUAAAUCUCUCAAUCAGAGUCUCCAAGGUGGCUCAUAAAAGAUAAGCUACACGAGUAAUGAUGGGCCACCAGGGAAUUAUUGUAAAGCACCAAACGAACACAUAAUAGGACAUGUGUUAGAAUGAAAAAAUGGAGGGUUUACAAGUGGUCUCAUGGAUGAGCUUGAUAAUUUAAAUGACUCACAUAAUGAACGUAUGUGAUGUUUCUCUCCAAUAACAAGCAAAACAUCACUAGCAAUAUGAUGAAUGUCUCCUAAAUCACUUGAAGUAGUCCUAGCAAAUCAAUUAGAAAAAUCACACAUAUUGCUCUAAUGUAAUAUUAUAUACAUCUGUCAAUGAAUGGGAGAACUAAUGACACAACCAUCAUGUUGAUAUCUCGAACCCUCUAAUCUCAUAUGUAGGUGGGAUCACACUUAGAAACUCAUAACACAGUAAUGACCAAUCUAAGUCAAAAUGUGUUGGUGAUCGGAGGCCCAUGAAUAUGAAGUUCUAGGAUGAUAAUGACAUCUUAUAAAGUAAUGAUCAUCUCCUUAAUAGAUAGGUGAAAUGUGUGUGUCUUAGGACACCAUCUCUCAACAAGACUUGUGAUCAAUCCCCAGUCUAGUGUAACAUGCCUAUUAUGACAUCCAUCGUAAAAUCUAGACUAGAUAAUAUAAGGACAAAUGUGAGGGUUCAUCUCCCUUUCCCACAUAAAUUUAAAAAAUUAUUAUUGACAAGUUAAGACCAAACUAAGUUGCAAAAUAUAAAUAAGUCCAUUAGAUAACAAAUUUAUGUUUUCUCAUUUUCUCAUUUUUAAAGAGAUAUUAUGUGCUUCCAUGUACAUACAUGCUAAAGUCAAUUAUACGAGACUUAUAUCCAUCUUGUAGAACCAAAUCGAACCUAUCUAAUAGAUCCAGAUUAGAAGUAUGUCCUCUAUACUCCAUAUUUAUAACACAUUUAUAAAGAUAAAUGCUAAAAAAAUGUUAAAGAUAUAAAUUUAAUGAACCAUACUUUAUGAUUUUAAUUCUCAAUUAUUGUUCAUAUUUAUAAGAGAAAAGUUAAAAAAAUUGAUAGAGUUUUCCCUCUAUCAUGGACAUUAUCCCAAAUAAAAAUAAAUUGAUUAUGCAAAUUACAUUAAUAUUUGUAACCAAAUGAUCAAUAACUAUCUUGUAUCAAUUUAGUAAAUAAAUUUAAGUAUAUCUUUUCAUUUAUGACUAACAAAUAACUCAUACUUGUCCAAUAAAAGCCACACCUAAUUUCUAAAAUUUUGUCUUCACCUCAAGUGAGUGUUACAUUGAGAAAGAAAAAAUAUGAAAGAAAAAAUGAACACCUUUUUCUUUUAAUAAAAAAAGGCCAUAACGAAACAUUAAAUCUCACUGUUACACCUAUCUUCAAUGGAAACAUGAGGAUGUGAAUGGUGGCGGUGAUAUUCUUUGCUUGAAGCUCAUAAACAAAUAUUCCUUACUAAGCCUAUGCCAUUUAGUAUUUCAAUAGUGGACCCCCCCCCCCCCCCCCCCCCCCUCCUUGCAUUUCAGAUUUAGCAAACUUAGAACCAAAUAACAAAGUGCAUUUGAACCCAUAAAGAAGUAAUGAGACUCUCCUAUAUUGGCAAUAGAAGAAAUUUUUGGAGGUAUAGGAGAUUCACGGAUGAAGAAGUUGGGCCCCAAUUGAGAUAAGACCCAAGAAAAGAUGGGGUAGAGAGGGAUGGUUGGAAAUUGUAAAGUAAGAUUUUCAAAAUGUAGUUGAUGACUAAGAUUUUGACAAUUUAAAAAAGGUUUAAAAAUGUAGUUAGCAAUCGGGGUUUUGUAACAUUUAAAAAAUAAAAUAAAAUCUCAGGCCACAUGGUAGCCCAUGUGAUUCAGAAGCUUGAGAAUUAUUUUAUAAGAAGACUUAAUUUGUGAUUUUUUUAUAACUAUAUUAUUUUUUUUCUUAACACACGAAAAAAAUUAUGAAAUAAGACAAUUUUCCUAAGAAAGCAUGUAAGUGACUCUUGGUUAUUUUAUUUAACUUCUUCUAGUUUGGAGAGGAUUAAUACCUUUGCUUUUACUCACUUGCUUGGAUAUGUACACGUUGUUCAUGUCACUUUUCAUUUAAUUUUCUGAUUAAGGGAAUUGGAACCGUACGUAACUGUCUUUAUUCCCUCUGAAACUUGGACUUGGAGUUGGACUUUCAAUCUCAUCAGUCGUGUUUCCAUAAAAAAGAAGAUGGAUUAACCAAUUUUCCUAUGCCUACUAAUCAUACACAAAACUCCACUUCCAAAUAAAAAGGAAUGGGAUAUCACUUGUUAAUAGUGGCUAAAGACUAUUAAUAACCAUGCAAAGAAAUGUCACAUUUUUUGUUCUACGCAAAUUUUAUUCAUCAACUACUAGAACCAUUUCAUACAAUAGUAGCUUUUCGAUCCUUUGAUAAAUGGACACUUGAUGUGAUAACACCAACUACACCUAUAUAUUCAAGCAAUCAUGCGUAUAUAAUAGUGGAUAUGGAUUACUUCUCUAAAUGGGCAAAAGUUUUGUCAUUCAAGGAAAGUGAACGAGGAAACACAAGUUUACUUUCAUCGGAACUAAUAUUAUAUAUUGAUAUGACUUCCCAUUAUUACUUACGAUGGAAUAUGCUUCCAUAAAAUGGCCUAGAUGAACAAACUAUCCAAGAAGUUUGGGAUCAAAUAAUAUAUAUAUAGUUCAUGUGUGAUUCUUUGGUUGACAACCUUGUUAAGGGGUGAGUGAAGCACUUUGGGCAUACCACAUACUACAUGCUAGACUUCCACCCAAGCUACCCUAUAUUCCUUAUGAACAAAGUAGAAGUUGUCAUCUCUCUUGAAUACCAAAUCCUUUCACCUAAUAAUGCUAUCUAAAAAGGUCUUAAAAAGGAUAAAAAUGCGCAUAUUUGAAUUUUUGAAUUAGGAGUGCUACUUAAAAAGAAGCUAGAUAUACAAUAAUAGAAUGUUAUCAAGCAUAUCUCUUCAAAGUUUUUGACCAAAAAAUAUAUGAUUUCUCAUUUUAGGUAGGAGACUUAGUACUCACUAUUCAAAAACCAAUUAUCAUUACUCAUAAAAACUAAUAGAAAGUUUGGGCCAAAGUAGGAUGGACCUUAUAUUAUGCAACAAUUAUGCCUAUAAAAUUGUUGCAAAAGAGGUUUUAGAAUCAAAUCAAUGAAUGAAAAAUUAUUAAAGCAUUACUAUGCUUGAAGGCUAGUCAUUUUCCCUUAAAGUGCAAUAUUAAGUUGCAUAGUACUAUGUGGAUCCGCAUUUUUCACAUGCGUUCCCACUCAUUGUCGAGACUCACUUUUUAGAAGUGAAAAAUUAGUUUUAUUAAAGUCGAAGUUGCCACUGGGGAUUUGAACCCUAACAAAAGGUUCAAUUUAAGGAUAAAAAUAUCGAUAAUCACAUAUAUAUAUAUUGGUACUUUGAUUUUAUGAAUAUAUUGAAGAAAUAUGGACAAAUAUUUUGACACAAAAUAUGUACAAAAUAAAAAUUAUAUAAAAAGUAAAAAUAAAUAUUUUAAAAUUAUUUUUUUAAAUAUAUAUAUAUAUAAUUUGACAUAUUUGAUAAUAAUAUAUAAGGGUCUCCAAAAAGCCCGUGGCCCGCUUUAGGCCCGGUCCGACCCGACAGGCUAAAGCCCGGCCCAAGCCCGCCGGGCCCAAGCUCGGCCCGAGCCCGUUUAUGGGUGGGCCGGGCCGCGAGCCCGUAGGCCUGCUCCUUUAAAAAAAAACUACAAAAAUAAAAAGUAUUAAAAAAAAUAUUCAUUUCAAAAUUUUAUUCAUUGAAUGUAUAAUUACAUUUGAAAAUGUGGGAAAAGUUUACAUCACUACAAAAUAAAUACAUCCCAACUAGGUUGGCACCUAUUUAUUUGUCAAUCAUCUGUAUUUUUCAACCACAAAAAAUAAAAAUAAAAAUAUAAUAUACAUUUAGUCAUUAUUUUCUGGCGGUGAUGGCGAACUAUCAUGCAUCCAUGAAGAUCUUGAUAAUUUUAAAGAUUCCAUAUCGGUAAGCAUCUUUGUUUCUCGAAUGGAAUCAUACAUCCUUUUAUCUGCUAUUUCCCAAUCUUUCACACAUAUCCCUGCUUUAAUAACAUCUGACGCUAAGUUGCAUCGUUUUUUACUAACUACUCUUCCACCUGCACUAAAAGCAGCUUCUGAUGCAACUGUACUCACAGGAACUGUUAGUACAUCACGAGCAAUUAUAGAAAGCACAGGAUAUUUGUGUUGAUGUGAUUUCCACCAUAUUAAAAUAUUAAAAUCUUCUUGAUCUUCAAAUGAAAUUAUAUCAGUAUUAAGAUAUUUAUCUAAAUCAGAUGUAUUAUUUGGAGAAUUAUUUGUUGUCUUUUUUCGACUUUUCAACAUUUCUAGAGCUCCUUUAUAAAAAGAUGAGGAGUUUGUAGAUGUAGGUGGUAAUUUAAUAGUAUUAAUAUCAUUACCAUAUUUUUCUUUAUAAUAGUUAUAUAAAUUAUAUAAUAAUGAAUUUAUUUCAUUUUUAAUUUCUUCAAUUUUUAUUUGGUCAUUAAAAUAAAUAAUUGUUAACCAUUCAUCCAAAGCUUCAAAUUUCAAUCUAGGGUCCACAAUUAAAGCAAUAUAAAAAAUUAAAGGUAUUUCUCCCCAAUAUUUUCUAAAUUUUUAUAUCAUUACAAAUAUUGUAUCAUUAAAUAUUUCAAAACUUAAAUAUUUUUGAAGUACAAUAAAAAUAUUAGUUAUUUGCGUAAUAACUCGAUUUGAAGUUGGAUAAUAUACACCACAAAAAAUGUUUGUUGAAGUAUCAAAAAUUUCAAAAAGAUCUCUUAAAACAUCCGCAAUAUGCCAAUCAUAAUCAUUUAAUGCAUAAAUAUCUGCUUCAUAAUCAUUGUUAAUUAAUUGUAUUUCAUAUAAUUCGACUACUUUUCUAUAUUUUGUAAUAUUUUCUAAAAGUUUAUAUGUGGAAUUCCAUCUAAUAGCCAUAUCCAAAUUUAUAUUUUUUCUUUUCAUAUUUAACAUUUUGCAACAAUCAAAAAAUAAUUCAUGUUUUGCUUGAAAACUAUUAAUACUAUAUGCAAUGCCUCUAAUUUUUUUCCAAUGUACUAUCAACAUUUUUUAAUCCAUCCUUUACAAUUAAAUUUAAAAUAUGUGCACAACAACGCACAUGAAAUAUUUUAGCAUGAUCUUCUUUUACUUGCCAAUAUCGUUUUAGUCUAUGUAUUGCUGCAUCAUUAUUAGCAGCAUUAUCUAAUGUUAUUGUCAAUAUUUUAUCACGAAUGCCUAAAUCUAUAAUUUCAUCAUUUAUUAAAGAUGCUAUAUUUUUACCACUAUGUGGAGUAUUUAUUAAUUUAAAUAAAAUUAUUCUUUUAUUUAAUUUCCAUUCAUUAUCAAUGUAGUGAACAAUUAUAUAUAAAAAACCAGUAUGAGUUAAAGAUGUCCAAAUGUCAGAUGUUAAACGAAUAUUUCCUUCAAAAUUUGCAAAAUUUUUUUUUAAAAUUUCUUUUUGUGUAUAAAUUUUUUUCAUAAUAUCUCUUUUAACUGUAUUUCCAGAUCAACCUUUAAAUUGAGGAUUAAUACCUCGUUGAAUUGUUCUUGCAAAAUCAUGAGUUUCCAUCAUGUUGAAAGGUUGUUCUGCUCUUAUUAUAUAAUCAAUCAUUUCUUCACAACAGUUAGAUUCAUCAUAAGAAAAUGUUUUUAAAUUUCCACUUUCAUUUUUACUUAAUUGCAUAUAAUUUCUAAUAUCUACAUUAUUUUUAGUUUUACAAUUUUCAUGAUGUCUUUUUAAAUGACUUGUAUCUGCAUUUGAGCCACCAGUAAGAAAUUUAUUACAAAUUUUACAUUUUGCUUUUAUUUUUUUUUUAUUAUUUUCUAAAAUUAUUUCUAUUCUAUCAAAAAAAUUCCAUAUAUUUAAAGUAAAUUUUUUGUUUGAUGAUAUUUCAUCACAUGGACUAGACGAAGAAGCACUUGUCAUAUUAUAAUUAUUGAUAAAAUAUUAUGCCAAAAAUAAUAAAGUAAUAAAUAUAAAAAAAAAUGUAACAAAAAAAAUAAAGUAGUAGGGGUGAAGUAUGUUACUCAAUUAGAGAACCUAUGCAGAAAUUCCUAGCAAAUUUGAACUCUUGGAGCCACCAAUGCUUGUUUUGCACCAUCAACAAUAUUGUAUAAUUUGAGGGAAAAAUAAAAGAAUUUAAAAUAUUGUAGAAUGUGAGAGAAAUAGAGAGAAUUUGAUGAAAAAAUGAAAAGGAAGAAAAUGUAUUUAUAGGAAGGUUAAAAAUAAUAAUAAUAAUAAUAAUAAUAAUAAUAAUAAUAAUAAUAAUAAUAAUAAUAAUAAUAAUUGGCCAUGUGACCGUUGGAGGCUUAGCUCCAACGGUCACAUGGGCUGGAGCUAGGCUCCAACAGUCACAUGACCGUUGGAGCCUUUAAUUUUUUUUUUUAAAAUAAUAUACUUUAUUUUUAUAUAUAUAUAACUAACUCAAUUAAUAAACAUAAAAAGAAUAUAGUUCAGUUGGUUAGAACCUUGAAGUUUAAACAUGAGGGGAGGGGUUUGAAUCCCUCCCUCUCCCUUAGGGGCUUUUUUAAAAGCCAUUUUGGCUUAUUUCAAAAAGCCUGUCGGCCCGACCCGCCCUGCAGCCCGCGGGCCUAGCAUUUUAGCAUGGCCUGGUCUGUUGACUAGUCAAAUGGCUCAUAGGCUCGGCCCGAACUGGGCCGCGGGCCUCUUAUUUACGGACCGGCCCGACCCGGCCCGCCCGUUGGAGACCCUUGAUAAUAUCUUCUAUAUUAAGUUACAUUAUAGUUUAUUUUACAAUAUUAUUAUGAUAAUAUGUCUAAUUUUAAAAUAUAUUUAAUAUUAAAAUUAUGAUCUAUUUUAAUUUAAAUGUAUUCAAUGAUAUCAAAUAAAUAAUAAUAUAUGUAUAAUUCUUUUAUUAUUUAUAUUUAUUAUUUUUAAUAAAUAUAUAGAUUAUAUAAAAAAGACCGGAUAUAUCUUUUCAAAUUUUGUAUCGCUCUCCAAGGAUAUUAGAUGUAUGGGAAUUUGUAUUGCUAUCUACGGAUACGUUGAUAUAUGGGUGAUUUAUCAGGAUAAUUAGAAAUUCUAAUUAUGUAAGCAGGUACGGAGUUCUGUGUCGGUGCGAUCUUGUCGACAACAGCUCCAAAUUGUGCAUCUUGCUCAUAGAGAGUAGCGGAAUGCACCAAUCGUAGGCUCAGAGUACCACUGAGUCGUCUGGCAGAGACCCAACUGAAGGUGCCUGUGUUGUUCCUGAUCUGAUCAGGCUUCAAACUACAAGGUGGAAUACUGGUUCCCCUAUAUCAGAAGCUGGAGAUACCCACCCCAUAUGCUCGUCUGGAUGUGCUCCUACCCUUUGAAGCCUUCUUCCGAGUCAAGUCCGAAUUGAUAAGGCUAGUGAGUUCCCAACCAACUGUACUCAGCAUGCUGCCAGGUGGAGACCCUCCAUAUUUGAUGGCUUCCUAAUAUUAAAAUGCUGACCACUGGUCUUCAUGUUCCACAGGCUUAAUUGUGUCCUUUGCUGAAAGAAUGGAUAGUGAUCCAUUUUAACACAUGAUUCACGCCGUCUUUGCCAUUCUUCAUGGUCUAGCCCUUUUAUAUAUAUGCUUCCUGAACUGUUGCUAUUAAUAAAAUGUGGUAUCUAUCCCGUACACCUUCCUGAUGGCCAGCGAAUGCAGAAGCUACAGAAACGGUUCCAUCUUUUGCUUCCGCCACUUUGGCAUCCUCCAUGAUGAGAUCGAAGGUGAAUAAUCAUAUUCUGGGGAUUUAUGUCCUGGAUAUUCUCAGUAAUGCCCAAUUUCCUGGUGCCGGCCUCAUUUCCAUGGGAACUGAUGGAUAACUUAAGGCUUCUACCAUCUGCGUGGUUCGCUUCUAACACAGGAAACUUCACGGCUAAAAGCAAGAUACCAAGAACAUCAAGGCUGUGACAAAAAUUAGUAUUUUUAACUUGUAGGAAUUUGAAAGGCAACCAACCAUCUAGCUCUGUUCUUAAAGCUCCCAUAGGAGGAUCAGAGGCUGGAUUGCUCAAGAUGAACUCAUCCAUUGUUGCACUUAAAAAGAAUUGGCAUGAAUUGUGGCCGCUCUAAUAGGUUCCCUAAACCAUCAUCCAAGUGGGCUUGCGGAAGGUAGCGAGUUUAAAACACCUAGGGCGAUGAACAGUGGACUGUGAUGCUCACAAAAGAGAAAAGGAAGAAUUCAAUAAUUCCUAAGAAUCCAUUUGCCUGUCAUCCAAAUUUUUAUAUUCUCUUCAGUCUGACGCGUUAUGCCAUAUAUUAAAAAUAGCGGCUUCUUCCAAGCCGAGACAGACUGUGCAAAGUUCGCAAGGCCAAUCAUCACCAUAAUCUGAAGUUGGCCUCCUCAAUCGCAGCUUGUAUCCGAAUGCUCACUUCACGGGAUGGAUUGUAAUGAAAACUAAUCUCAGUCCCAGCUAUGGCAGCAUCCUCACUUGACAGCAUUUUCUGCAUAUUCUAGAACAAAGCAAUAAACCCUCAAAGGCUCCUUCGGAUCAGAGUUAGAAGACUGUCCCUCAGGAACGUGAACACUAUGGUGGUUCUGAUAAGCAGUGAUAUUGCAUUAGAGCCUUUUGGAACAAGAGGAUCUUUUCAGGUGGAAACUGUAAACUGCUUCAUGUUGGGCUGCAACCUUUUCUUCAAGCAAUACUUUCUUUCUGUAUCACGACUUAUGUUGCUUCCGGAGCCAUCCCGUGUGGACUGCCCUUCAGUGAAAGAAUAUGUGUGUUGACAUGUUGGAUUGUAAUCUUUGUUCCACUCUAAUGGCUUUUGGUCCUCCUCUUUCUCUUUAUGACAGAGAACCAUUUAGUGAUCCAUCUCUAUAUUGUAGCAUUGCUGGUGCUUUGCAAUACUACACUCUCACCAAGCAUAACAUCUAUUUUUCCGUGACCAAAGUAUGUCGGUUUAUGCAUGCGCAAACUCUUAUUCAUUGGCAAGUUGUCAAGCGUAUCUCAUGAUUUCCCAAAGCCACAAGUUCUUAUGGUCUUUCUGUUCAAGCUUACAAUGAUCUAUCUUUUCUUGGUUAUACUGAUGUCGAUUGGGCUAGUUGCCCUGAUAACAAGCACAAUACUAGUGGGUACAACACUUUUCCUGGUCCUAAUCUCAUUUCAUGGGCAUUUUCAAAGCAGAAGGUUGUGUCUCACUCCAAUAACGAAUCUGAAUAUAGGGGACUCACUAAUUAAUGUUGUUGCCAAGGUCACUUGGAUUGAAUCUGUCUUACGUGAGUUGCGUGUUUCUCUACCCCAACCACCAAUUUUGUUGUGUGACAACAUUAGUGCUACACACUUGGACAAACCAUGUUGAAAUACACUAUCAUUUUAUCCAUGAAAGGCUUAUGCAUCACACACUCAAAAUUCAAUACACCUCUUCUAUAGACCAACUAGUCAAUGCUAUGACCAAAGCUCUUCCUUCAUCUCACUUGUACAAUCUUCAGUGCAAGCUGAUUGUUCUUCCCAAACCACUCAACUUGAGGGGAGAUGUUAAGCCAAUUUAAUAAAUUGAUUUCUUUUGGUUAAUUUGUUAGAAUCAUUUUUAUUAGAGGUUUGUUUGUACAAUUACAUCCAUUUAUCAGGAGAGUACACGUGUACAACUCCUCUUUUAAUCUCACCAUUGUAUAUAUAUGAUACACGACCUUACUCAGAAUUGCAUAACAUUUCCUCUGCUCAUUCCUUUUCUUCUUUGAAUUUUCCCUUACCUCACUGAUUUUGAUUUAUACCUGGUGUUUUCACCUUUGGUCUCUACCUUUCUAGCCAGUUUUCUAAUUAAUCCGUAUAUGGUAUACCUGUCAACUAAUGAGGAGAAAGAGAAAAGGGGAUUGCUGUUCCACCAGCUACAUAUAAUAAUUAAUUACAAUCAUGGUAAUGGAUCCUGAAAUCCAUCCUUUGUGGAUUUUGUACGGAAUAUUGUUGUUAUGUAUGUGGGCUCACUUAGAUGUAUAUUGCUAGCCUGUCUGGGAAAUGUGAUUGCAGGUCCAGAUUAUGAUGUUGAUAUUAGUGGGAUAAGCAAGAGAUGCAGUUAACACGUAUGUGAUGGACUUGAGUAACUUUUCCAUUUCAGUCCAUUUUUUAAGAUUAUGCUUAGUCUUAUUACAAGGAAAGACCAUAAGAAUCAUGAGUCAUUGGCAAGGUAAUAUCAUUCCCUCUUUACAGGCUUCUUCACCUUUUGGUUUUUUUAAUAUCCAUCAAGAUCUUUUAAUUGGAGGACAAUUACAAGUAUAUAUAUAUGUAUUAAAAGGGGAAAAUAUUAAAACAGGAAAUUUUAGGGAAAAUAUAAUAAUUAUUUCUUCCUUCUUUCCCAUAUAGAACUACACAAAAUAAAACUUUAAUAAUUUUUUCUUAUCUUUUUUAUUAUUAUUUUUUCUUAGAAACAUCCGUGGUCUCACAAGCUUGUAAUCCUAGAUUGUUAGGCUCCUUUAACAGUGCCCCAACAUCGUGGUCCAAUGACAAGCUUCCACGCCUUAAAAUCAGAAAAUGCCAUUAAACUUUAUCAGACAUUACAGUUCAAGACAAAGCUUUCAUUUGCUUAAUGUGAUAAUGAAAUUGUUAAUUUCAUUUCGUGGGCAUCUAAAUUUGGACGAGCAAGACCUCUGAAUUCCCUGUUUUUAUCACCAGCAGAGGAGAUAAAAUCUUAAUGGUGAGAAUCUCCACGUGAAAUUUAUGUGUACUGUCAACAUAUUUUUGUUUAUAUAGUCCAGUAGCUGCAGGAAGUCUAGAUUAUAUAGGUAGCAGUAGCACUAUUUAUAGCACUCGAUAUUCGCUGUAUGAAUACAUUAAACCUUGUUUUCAAUACGCAUCACAAGCAAGUACUAGAUACUACAAGGAGUGACAGUCGCAUCAACAUUUCUUGAUAAUAGCAGUGACUGAUUUAUACACAGAACAGUACUGUACACGUACCAGUCACCAGAGAUAGGAUCUUAUUCCUACAUACGACUCUUAUUGAUCGAAGUCACUCAGUUGGGGUAGCCUGGAGUUGGAGGUUUGUGUGGUGGCUUCUUCUUUGGAGGAGGCUUUAUCUUUGGAGGCAUCAUCUUUGGAGGCAUCUUGUGUGAGUCUUCUUCAGCAUUCUCUACAGGAGGAUGGCCAGGCUUAUGACCCUUAGGUGGUUUGCCAACUGGGAUUGGUGGCUUGUGUCCUGAGAGUGGCUCCUCUUCUUCGGGAGGUUUGCCAACUGACGUUGGUGGCCCGUGUCCUGGGGGUGGCUUGUGUUUUGGGGGUGGUUUCACUCCACCGGGAGGUUUACCAAUUGGUGUUGGUGGUUUGUGCUCAAUCGGUGGCCUCUCAACUGGGGGGCGCUUGGGGUAAUCAGCGAGUGAAGAAGUGGUGAGAACCACCACUCCAAGCAACAACACUAGCAAGUAUGUGGAAGACAUCUUUGAGUUUGGCUCAGAUGGUGUAGAACUAGAAUCCUGGGUGGCCUUUUAUAUUAGUUGGGCCCUAUGCCCGAACGACAAGUGUCAUGGUGACACAUAAAGUGAUGGGGUCGAUUUGGGCCUACCGGAUUUGAAAACUUGGACAAUUCGAGAAGCGUCUCCUGACUCCGGGUUGUAAAGUGAAAGAUUAGGUAUCGACCAUUGAAGUAUGAUCACAACUUUUGGCCUUUGGCUCUCUCUACUGCCGUAUAGCUUUUUUCCUUUGGAUAUUUUUCUUAGCUAGACACAAUUAUUGAGCAGUCUAAUCUCGAAAUGGGAUUAGUAUAGCUUUAAGCAAAUUUAUUAUAGUUAGUGGAGGACUUUUAAGAGUGCAGACGACAUUUAACACAUGCAUGCAGUAGUAUAGGGGACAUAACACUAUUCUUUUUCCAAAGAUUCACAUGAUUUUUAUAUUAUAGUAUUGGCACAUUGUAUGUAGCUGGUUUUGUGGUUAAAAUUCCAUAUGUAGACACUGGCGUUUCUCCAUUUCUCACAAUUGAUGUUUACCUCCACGAUUACUAGAUUAGAUAUACCAAACAAUAACACAUUGUAUAAUCUAUCCGCCCUUCAAAAUCUACUGUAUGAUGAAAUGUUUCAUGUGUGUGUGAAGUGUUAGAAAUGCACUAUAGGCAACAUCAUCUUCUUUUGUCUAGGCUUGGGCCUCAAAUUAUACUCCCAUGCCAUGAUAAAUUUUCAUGUGCAUUCUCUAAAGAAGAGUGUCUUGAAUGUGCCAAAUCAUUUUGAUUGAUUUUAUGAUGUUAAUUGCUCCGCAUAUGGAUGGGUAUGUGCUUUAUUUGCUUAUUCAAUCCACAAUUACCUUGAACUGAAGUCCUAUUGGAGCUCUAUUAUUUUAGCAACGUCCUGUCAAAUAGGCUGCUAACUUGGGGUGGUAUGGACCCAAUGAUCCAUCUUAAUCUUGGGUUGAUUUUGUCUGACUCUAUCUAUCUCAGAGAGAACCAGGAUCACCAGUGCUGGUCUGCUUAAAGAAGACUCAGUACUGGAUUAAUAUUGGUUUGGGUCAAUAGCUUAUAAUGCAUUGAAUGCAGAAUAAACAAGAUCAAUGAAACCCAAAACACACUGCCCACACAACUUCACUCUGGUGUCUGUUAUUCAUCAAUUCUAUUCCCACAUGAACUGGUUCAAGUUUAAGAAAAUGACAACGGAUCCACUGUAUUAACUUGGUUUUGCUUGGUUUUGAGCUAGUUGCCAAACCAGCCAUGAGUUUUACCUCUAAUGUCAAUGAACAAACCCCAAAUGAACAACUGCAACAGCUUAAAGAGAAGGAAUGGAGAUGAAAAUCCCUGUUUCUUCUCAUUCUGGGGACAAAUUAGAACAUAACUACAAAGGUUCUAUUAAUUGACUUACUCUACCAUGAAUUAUGGUUCUUUGGUUUUCCAAAUUUAAAUUGUACAUGAGAUUAUUUUUUUCCUUUAUAUAUAAACAUAUUAAGGUUUUCUUAUUUCGUGGGCAAAUGCGCUAAGGAUGAAAGUCAUUUCAUUUGGCUGCAACAGCAUCUUAUAAUCAACAUGCAUAAGCAGCAGUUUUAAUUGAUCGAUUGAACACCGACUCACAAGAAUAGAUAGAAUGGUACAAGACAGCUCUUAUUAAUUUAUACUCGUUACUCAUUUUAUGUAGCCCCAUUAAGAUGGCUGGCUGGACCACCGAGGUCUGGGGGUGGUGUUGCUUGUGUGAUGCAGCGGGCCGGGCAGACACUUCUCUAGUUGCUUCUAUUUGGAGUUAGAGGAUCAGUCUCUGCCAACCUUGAGGACUCUCUACCUCAGAGGGUCCAGGUGGUGGACUCUGGUGUCGGUAGCUUUGAACUCUCAGUAGACUAGUGUGUCUUAAUCAGUCACUGCCAGAGGCUGGCGUAGGCAGUGACGAUAAGGUGAGACAAAUUACCGAAUAGUCAAUAUCGACUGCACUUGACCAUUAUAGAUUUGUUCUGACAAAAGUGAGAAAAGGGAGAAAAUCGGAUGUUGACCUUUAUAGAAAAAGAUAAGAUUUACUGCAACACAGAGCACUGAUUUGUUACUUGGAAACCAAGUUAUGCUAUUAGCUAGCCUCCAUUAGCAGCAGGGUACCUUGCUGCCUGAUCCUAAUCUGAGUUCCCAAGGUUUCAAUCUUCGUUUGUUAACGCUUCAGGAUUUGGAUAUUUCAGCUUCGUUUCUCCAUUUAGCCAACGCUGCCUGGUUUGGAUUUCAAUCCUCAUCUGGAACAUUCUUUUUUCGGUCUGAUUCAGGAAGUGUUUGGUGAUAGUUGAUUAAAAUUAAACAGUACUAUCAUACAAAUAAAGCUGAUCUAAUUUUGGUGGGCAAUAUACCAACUCAUUUAUUCUUGAAAACACCAUGGGGAAUUGGAGGUCCAUCCGAAGUACUAUUUGAUGGGACUCACAAAAAGAACAGGUGCACAUUUAUGAGAUCCGUGGAAGAGAUAACUAUGACAGCUAUGCAUGUACAACAGAUUUAUGUCGAGUUCACCUCGUAGAUAUUUUGUUUUCAGUGUCGGUGGACCCCAAAAUGGAAAUCGGAAAUUAAGGUUAUAUUUAUUUUUUUAUUUAAUUUUAAAUAGAAUUUUAAUUUUUAAUAAUAUUAAGUAUUAAAUUAUUUUUUUAAGGGUAUUUUAUUUUUAUUAAGUAUUAAAAAGUAAAAAAAAUUAAUAUGUUGCUUUUUUAUUUUAAAAAAAUUAUAUAUUUUAAUUUUUUCUAUUUACUAAAAAGUUUAUAAUAAAUUAUAAAAAAAUAAAAAAAUAAAAAACUUAAAUUCUGAAAAUAAAUUAUUUUUAAUAAAAAAAUCCAAAAAAGCAAACACCACCUAAAUUUGAGAUGACUCAAAAUUUUAUAUUUUUUUUCACCUAAAUUAUAUUCAUAAAUUUAAAAUUAAAAAAUUAGGAAGUUGAAUUUUAUUUUGGAUAAUUGGAAACUACAAGAAAUCAAUAAAAAUAUUUGGAAAAAAAAGAAAAAGAAAAACUAUCUAUAUAUUCACCCCCUUCUAAGAAACAUAACUUUAGUUUUUAACUAUUUUUUAAAAUAAUUUUUGAAAAAUGUUAUAUAAUAUUUUAUAAAACAAAAAAUCUGUUUGACAAUUUGAUAUGUCUUUAACUUAUUUUUAAUAUUUAUAUAUAUAUAUUUUAAAAAUAAUUUUAUAUUUAGAACUUUAUCUUUAAUUAUUAUAUAUAUUUAUAUAAUUAUUUUUUUUAAAACAACUCUUAAAAAAUAAGUGAAAGUAAUUGAAAACAACUCAAAGAUAUUUGAUGAAAACACUCUAAUUUGUAUUUUUGAGAAUAAAAAAAUAAAUAAAUAAAUUUCUAGUUAUCAAAUGUAUUUUUUAAUUCUUUUAUUCUAAAAAAUAGAAAAUCGUUUUUGAAAAUAAUUAUUAAACAACAUUCUUAAAAAUUCACUCGUUACAAUCUAGAUUUAAUGCAAGAAUGAUUGAAGGAGUCCUCCAAUAGAACCCAAAGUUAUAAACAUGAACAAGAAGCCCUAGAAACACCAAAGAUCUCAUAUGGUAUAUAUAUGAGCUUGAUUGAGAACUGUUUUAAAUUCAGUUUUUUUUUUUUUUUUUUUUUUUUGUUUUCAAAGUCAAAACAAGUUUACUUUUAAUUUUUACUUCUUUUUUUUAAUUUUAUAAAUAACAGUUUUUUAAUAAUUUAUUUUGAAAACAUGAUUAUUUUUAAAACUUAUAAUGAAAAUAGGAAUUUUUUUUUUAAUAUCAUGGUUAUUUUCCCUUCUUUUAAGGAGGGCUAUUUUAAAAAUAAAUUUACAAAUAUGAAAAAUGAUUCAAACUAAAGCAGUACAAAUAAAAAACAUUUUUAAGAAAUAUUUAAAAAUAGAGAAAAUUAUUUGAGAACAUUUGAAGUCCUUAAAUAGACUUUUGUUUUAGAAAAGGCAAGAUAAUUAUUUUUGAAAAUUGUUUUCAUAAUGAUAUGCAAAAACCUACGUAAAAACCAUAAUUAUAAUCGGCCACAUAUCAAAUCUACUAAAUAUGAAAAGUAAGUACAUAAUUAUAUUUGACUUAGAUGCAAGGAGGAAAAUGUCGCGAUAUUAUCGCCGAAAUAUCGUGUGUCGAAGGGUAUCGACACGAUUUUUCUUGCAGAAAUAUCGGCCAGUCGAUUUUUCGGGAUAAAUCUCGAGAAAUCGGCAAUUUAUCGCGAUAUAUCGGCGAUUUUUCCUCGAUAUAUCUUCUGGUCAACGCGGGUCAACGGAGUCAACACGCUACAGUGAAAGUCAAAUGUGCUACAAUGUCCCCGCUACAAUCACCUCCCCAAACAAAUUGCCAAAUUGCUUCCGAGGGGAUUUGAACCAGCCUUCUUGCCAUUUGGGCUAACUCGCCCUUAUGAUAUAUAUUGCAUUAAACAUAUAUAUACUUAAAGUCCUUAUAUAAAGAAAAUGUUAAAAAAAUAUUUUAAAGAGCAAAUUAAUUAUAAUUAUUUUAUAAUUAAAAGCAAAAUUUUCUUUUAAUUAAUUACCAAAAAUAUAAAAAUUAUAUAAUUUUCUUCAUAAUGUUUUUAAUAUCAUUAAUAAUUAAUUAAAUAUUAAAAAAUUAUAUAUAUAUAUAUAUAUAUAUAUAUAUAUAUUAUAAUUUAUUUUAUAUUGUUUAAUACAAUUGAAUUAAAUGGAUCAUAUUUUAAUAUUAAUAUAUAUUUUAAAAUUAGACAUAUUGUAAUCAAAUAUCAUAAUAUUAUAUGUAAUUUAAUAAUAAAUGUACACUUAUAAAAUUCAUAUUUUUAUCGAUGCAUACAAUAUUAUUAUCAAAUAUGAUAAAUCAUGUUAUACAUAUAUCAAAAUUUUCAAUAAAAUAACUUUAAAAUGUCUAUUAUACUUCUAAUUAUAUUAUUAUGAGGUUUUCUUUACAUUUUCAUGAGUUUUAAACAAUUUUAAGCACCAAUAUUUUUUUCCAAAAUAUCCACCGAUAUAUCUCCGAUAUAUCCAAUAUAUCUCCGAUAUCUCCGAUAUAUCCGUAAAAUCGAAGUACCGAUAUAUCCGUGAUUACCGAUAUUUUCAUCAUUGCUUAGAUGCAACCUUCUUCCAAAUGACAUACUUUAGUCAAUACUUAUAUUUUUUCGUUUCACUUCUUUGAUACAACACCUCAUGGAUUUAUUGUUUAAUUUAUUUGUAAUUAUAAAACUAUUUUUCAUUUUUAAUAAGACUUGAAUUAAUUUAAUAAAUAUUAUAUAAUUUGAAUUUAUAAUUCUUUUUAUAAAAUCAAAGUAUAUUAAAAAAAAAACAAUUUAUCCGAAGAAAGUUUUUUAUUUUUUAUUUUUUAAAACCGAUUUUAAAAAUAACUAGCUAGACACCCUUAUUUUGAUAAAAUACGAAAUAAAAGUGUAAAAACAACAUGGCCAAAUAGGGGCUUAAAUUUUAUUUUUAAAACAUUUUUUUACACUAAAGUGCAUUUUAAAAACACCAUCAAAACCAACUACAAGUUAUGCUUCUUCCCGUAAUAGAAAUAUUUUAGGCCAAAAUAGAACCUCCCCAAAUAAAGACCCUAUACUAAACUCCUUUUCAUUUUAUUAAUACAAAAGUGGGGAAAAAAGGUCUAUGCUCACCUAAAAAACAUGAAUAUUGUGAAUUCACCAUUUCUAUAAGGAAGUUGAAAACUUCAAAAUUUUAUCAACAAAUUCUCUAAAAUCCUCAAAAUAUAUAGGGCCUGUUUCACAAAGUUUUUUAAAAUUUGUUUUUAUAAAUUGCUUUUAAAAUAUAGAAUAAAUAACAGUUUUUUAGAUUUUUUGAAAAAUAAGAGUGUUUGGUAAGAUGUUUUUUUUUUUUUUUUUUUUUUUAAGAAUUAAAUAAAAAAUAAAAAAAUUGUUUAGAUAAAAGAAUUUGUAUUGUUUUUAAAAACAAUGUCUUACUUUUAUGUUAUAAAAAUUUUAUUAAUUUAAUUUAUAAUAAUAUGAAAUGAAAUUCAAGUUAAGUCUUAUUAAAAAAUACAAAUUAAAUCUAUAAUUAUGCAUGAGUUAAAGAUAAAUAUAUAUUUUUUAAAACUAUAAAAUAAAUUUUCUAUUAUAGUGAAACAAAAAUUACUAUAAAAUAAAAAUAAUUUUAAUAUUCAUUUUUAAUACAAGUCAAAUAAGUACUUUAAUUAAUUUUUUUUAUCAUGAUUUCUUAUGUUUUUUUUUUUUUCUAGAAAUUAUUUUAAGUAAUAUAACUAAUUUUUUUUUUAAUGUUUUAUAAAAAUAAGGAUAUUUGGCAAGUUGUUUUUAUAAAAGGAUUUUAAAAAUAAAUGGAUUUUUUUUUUUUUUAAAAAAAGAACAAAAUGAUUUGUUUGAAUAAAUUGUUUUGAUUUUGUAAAAACAUUUUAAAUUCAAUUUAUAUAAUAUUAAUUAAUUAAAUUAAAUUGAAGUUUUAUUGAAAAUAAAAAUAAUUUUGUAAUUAAAAUUAGAUUAAAAAAUAUAUAGGUUUUAAUAAAUCGUAAAUAGUAAUAUUAUAAUAAAAUUAUAAAUUAUAUUUUUAACAUAAAAUAUACUAUUUAUUACAUAUUAAAAAAAAUAUUUUAUUAUAUUAAUAAUUUUAUGGUAUUAAUGAGUUUAUUAUUUAAGUUUUAAAUUAUUUUUAAAAAUUAAUAAAUUUGUUAACAAAUGCAAUGUACUAAAUGUGGUUUAAUUUGGAGUUAAUUUGUUUAGGGAAAAAAAUAAAAAAUAAAAAUCUUAUGUAAAAGAGAAAUAAUAGAGUGUGUGUGUUUUUUUUUAUUAUUUUUAAAAAUCAGUAAAAAGAACUUUUACUUAUUGCCUAAAAAUUAUUCUCUAUUUUAUUUUAUUUUUUAAAUCUAGAAAUAGAUAACAAUAAUAAAAAAAAUUAAAAAAGAAAAAUGUUUUUUAAAACUCAGACUUAUAAUUGCUUUUGUUUCUCAUUCGCACCCCUGGAUUCCUGGAUUCUAAACACAAAAUUAAGUUGAAUCGUCCAUCUAUCUUGUAAGCCAAGAAUUCACAUAGAAGAAAUAAUCGGAAUUUGAUUUGAUAUCAGAUUUAGAGUGGCUCACUACUCAUGCAUUGUCCCACAAUAGUAAUGCUUUGGGCCGAGAUAAACCCAUUUGUGGGCCCAAAUAAAACCCCUGGUUUGAAAACAUCGAUUUUACAGUGGCCCAAAAGAUUAUCUAUGAGGGGAAGAUAACUUGGAAGUCAAGCAAACACAUUUAUCGCUAACUUUUCUCUAAUUAUAAAAUUAUAACUUGGUCUUCUACACGUCUCACUUAAGAGGCGGAGCCACUUGGCACUACCUUUCCAUAUUGUAAAAGGAGAAGAAGCAGAAGGAGAAGAUUCUUAUGCCAUUCCACACACCAUGGCUAGUACUGCUAUGCUGCUUGGCCCGCCGGCUCUCCGCCAUCCUAAUUCUCCCGCCGGCACUGUCUUUGAAGAUGGGGUCAUUCUAACGGAUUCCCUGAUCGUCCGCACCAGUAAUCUGGAGCUUUCUGAAAAACCGCCACUGGAAUCCCUGGCGUAGUGCUCUGUCAGUGGGGAUAUUGCUAUGGAUUGUUUGGAUUCCCAAGCCCACAAUCUUCAUCUUCCCGGGAAACCGCCGAUGGGCUUAACGGAAAACAAGUCUCCGACCUUUUUGUCUUCCGGGAACCCGUGCUUGGACUUCUUCUUCCAUGUGGUUCCCGAUACGUCGUCUGAUGAUCUGAUCCGACGGUUUGAGUUGGCUUGGGAAUUCAAUCCGCUGACGACGUUAAAACUGAUAUGCAACUUGAGAGAGGUGAGAGGCACCGGAAAAUCUGACAAAGAGGGUUUCUACACGGCGGUUCUCUGGCUCCACGACCACCAUCCCAAAACCCUAGCCUGCAAUGCUAGGGUGUUGGCCAGCUUCGGUUAUUUCAAGGAUUUUCUCGAGAUUCUCUACCGGCUUCUGGAGGGCCCUAAAAUUCGAAGAAUCGAAAAGAAAGACUGGCUGGAUCGAAAAGGAAGGAAGAAAAAUUCCCGGAAAAGGAACUCAAUAUUCAAGCGAGAAAAUAGGCCUGGAGUUGAAUUUCCUGUAGAAGAGAAGGAUGUGGAGUAUAUGGUGGAAGAAUUUGUGGAUAAAGAAAAGGCUAGGGUACUGAGAAAGGAGAGAGAACUUGCUCUUGCCAAAAGAGCCCUGCACAAGUAUUCUACUGAUUCUAAUUAUCAGUUCUUACAUGAUCAGAUUUCAGAUUUAUUUGCUGAACUUCUGAAAUCUGAUAUUCAGUAUUUAAACUCCGGUGAGCUUUACAAGAUUAGUCUCGCAUCCAAAUGGUGUCCCACAAUUGAUUCUUCUUAUGAUAAAUCCACCUUGAUAUGUGAAAAUAUUGCUCGAAAGGUUUAUUCUCGCGAGGAAUAUAUAUCCAGAAUACCAAGGAAUUGAGGAGGCUCACUAUGUUAAUAGAGUCAGGGAUAGGUUGAGAAAACAAGUACUUGUUCCAUUACGUAAGGCCCUGGAGUUGCCAGAGGUUUUCAUGUGUUCGAACCAGUGGGGAUCACUUCCCUACAACCGUGUGGCUUCAGUGGCCAUGAAAUCAUACAAGAGCCUCUUCUCAAAACAUGAUACAGAGCGGUUUGGUGUGUAUCUUGAGAAAGUGCAAACUGGGAAGGCUAAGAUUGCAGCUGGUGCAUUACUUCCCCAUGAGAUUAUAGCUUCAUUGAAUGAGGAGGAUGGCGAGAAAGUUGCAGAGCUUCAGUGGGCGAGAAUGGUGGAAGAUUUAUCAAAGAAUGGGAGGCUCACAAAUUGCAGUGCGGUAUGUGACGUAUCAGGAAGUAUGAGUGGAACUCCAAUGAAGGUGUGUGUGGCUCUGGGGCUGUUAGUUUCAGAGCUCAGUGAAGAUCCAUGGAAAGGUAAUGUAAUUACUUUCAGUGCAAGUCCUGAGCUUCACAAGAUCCAAGGAGACAGCCUUGUAUCCAAGACUGAAUUUGUGAGGAUGAUGGAAUGGGGUGCGAACACUGAUUUUCAGAAAGUUUUUGACAGAAUCUUACAAGUAGCAGUGGAGGGAAAUCUGAGUGAAGAUCAAAUGAUAAAGAGGGUUUUCGUUUUCACUGAUAUGGAGUUUGAUGAAGCUUGUGGGAGGUAUAACUAUUGUGAAUAUGACUAUGAUAUGGAGGAAAUUGAUGAGAGUCAGAAGGCAUCUCAGAAGUGGGAGACAGAUUAUGAAGUGAUACAGCGGAAAUUCCAGGACAAAGGAUAUGGAAAAGUUCCGGAGAUAGUGUUUUGGAACCUUAGAAACUCAUCAGAGACUCCAGUGAUGGCCACAGAGAACGGGGUGGCCUUAGUAAGCGGGUUUUCGAAGAAUCUGUUAGACCUUGUUUUUGGAAGGAGGUGGAAUUCUGACCCCUCAGGAUGUGAUGGAAUUAGCCAUCUCUGGUGAAGAUUACAAGAAACUUGUUCUAUUUGAUUAAGAUAUCAAGAGAUUUAUCAAUAAUAAUAUGUUUUUUUUUUUCUAUGUGAAAUACAUGUAAUAUUAACUAUGGAGUUAUCAAAGUUCUGGAAAUUUAAUUAUUUCUUCUUUUCAAGUUUUGUUUGUCUUUGUUAGGAAUUCCCCUUGGGCGGACCCAGCUGGGGACUUGGAUUGAGGAAGUAAGGAGGCGAAAUUGUGUUCUUCUAUGGACAGAGAAAAAAGAUAAAAAUAAAAAAUAAAAAAGGAGGUUAUUUGCAUUUGGAUGUCAUGUGGUUUCAGGGUACAACUACAAGUUCGAAAUUGUACAUAAUGUGAAAAUUCCUGUGUGGAGAACAGCAUAAAUAUGUAUCUCAGUGUGUUUUGUUUGAGCUAAUUGGCAAAUUCGCUUUAAACAUGGUCACAUGGAUGCAUAUUUAUUUGUGAAAUGAUAGUAGUCGAUUACUUGGUCAGUAAGGUUUGUAUCUCUAACUCCAACAUCUUAUUGUAGUCUUUUAAAAUGUCAAAAGUUUAAUGCUAGCUUGAGAAAUUUUGGAAUGGAGACAUUCUAAACAAAGUUAAUAAUCCAUGAGACUUGGUAAAACCGAUCAGAUGAUGCUUACGUACAUGAAUGCCUUCUUUAAGCCGUAUCCUAUUUUCAUUGAAUGAGACGUGCCAUCUAGUUUUGUUCUUGUCUUGAUUGGAUCAUGAUCCCGGGAAUUGAUUACUGUUCUGAAUUUGCGAAUGUUCAAGGUAUUAGAGAAAGUUAAUAUUAUCGUUAAUUUACAUAUUAGUAUUUAUCUAGUUAUUAUAUAUUAGUUUGAAUUAUAAUAUAAUAUAGAAUUUGAAUCAAGUUUACUAUUAGUUUGAAUUACAAUAGGAAAUAAAGUUUGAAUUAUAGUAUAACUCAAAUAUAUUUGUAUAUAAAUAUCCAUCUUUAUCAAUGAGAAUAGUAAACCAUAUUUUUCUCUAUCUUCUUCUUUCUCUAUAUAUAUGGUAUCAAAGCCUCCAAAUCCUAAACCUAGUCUCAACUUAGAGCAAAUUUAGGGUGCAGGGUUUAGGCCCCGCCUCCCCCAACCCUUACCACAAAUGGUAGUGACCUUGUUAUGCCUAUGUAUUGUCAAUGCCUCAUUUUCUAUGGUCUUCAAUACAAUAUCUAGUUUCAAUGUCUCUUUCCUUACUAUCUCCAAUGCAAUAUAUUGAUUUCAAUAUCUCUUUACAACCAAGAGCUCCAAAUUUUCCUGGUUCAAAUCUACCAUAAUUUUUAUUCUCCUUUGCUUUUUACCAAUAUUAGUUCCCCUAAUUUAAUAUAUAUCUCUUUAUUACCUUCAACUCUACCUCUCUCUUUCUUUAAAAGCUUCCUCAAAGAUUUGAUUGCUUUCUUGCAUGUUUUGGGAAAACAAACAUGCUCAUAUUCUAUUACCUCUACUUGAGAUCUGCCUUAUACUCUACCUUCUUCUUUACCUCCUAUAUCAUCUACUACAUUAGCUUCAAAAACAUUAUUUAGUUUGAUGCUAAAUAAGGCUCCUAAUCCUACCCUUCCUUCAACUAACUUUCUUUUACAAGUCCCUCAAAGUUUUUUUUUUUUUUUUUUUGGAAAUUUGGCUUAGAAAGAUUUCAUUACUCUUACCUAAUCUUUCAACCAUCAAGUCGAAUCCACUUAUCUCUUGAAUCCAAGGAGACUACCCUCCACAAAAACAAGGAGAUUGACCCCCACAAUAACAAAGAGAUUGUCCUCCAUAGAAACAAAGAGAGCUUCCUUCAUGGAAGCCGAAUACAUCGCAAUCUAUUUUCUUUCUCUCAAGAUCAAAUCUCCAAUCGGAGCUCCAUCUUGUGGGGAUAUAUUAGAAAAAGUUAAUAUUAUCCUUAAUUUACAUAUUAGUAUUUAUCUAUAUUAUAUAUUGAAUUAGAAUAGAAUAUAGAAUUUGAAUUAAGUUUACUAUUAGUUUAAAUUACAAUAGGAAAUAGAGUUUGAAUUAUAGUAGAACUCAAAUAUAUUUAUAUAUAAAUAUCCAUCAUUAUCAAUGAGAAUAGUAUUCCAUAUUUUUCUCUUUCCCUGAGGCUUCAGAAUGUGAUCUUGAACAUUUGAUCUUUUGGAUUCUUCUUGUUUCGGUGGUUUAAUAUAAUGGAAUGUUUAAUUAUAGCCUACUUUAUCACCAUGGAUGUGCUCCUGCAGAUUUCUUGAGGGUGAUGGUUAUUUUGUCAUGUUUCUUGAAUGGUUUGCAUCAGCUGCCUGAGCUGUUGUUGCUGGUCACUUUUGCAACCAGGGAAAGAAUCAUGGCUUUGGAGAAGCCAGCUUCUGUUUUUGUUGCCCAGCUGUUAGUUCACUAAGAUUGGGGGUCCUAACAUGUAUGUAUAAUCAUAAGCAAGGAAAUUUUAUGUCUUACGCUAGAUAGGUACCAUGAUAUGAUGUUUGAUUGAUUUAUUAACUCUACCUGUUUCAAAAGGCAUCAACAUUAAUUUUACCCUUUUAACACAUUGGAUUGUUUGACCUUACGAGAUUUUCUAUUUCUGUACUAUUUGAACUGCAAUCGUUAUGGUCCUUAGGUCUCUAAACCUUCGUUUAAAAUAAAAGUAAGGAGCACACAUAGUAAAAGUUAAUUUUGGGUAACUUUUAAAACAAAGAGAAAAGUAAAAGUUGUUUUUGAGAAAAACAUAUAGAAAUUGAAAGAUUUUUUAUUUUGAGAAAAAAAAGUCAUAGAAAAGAAAUAAUAUCCCCAUAUAAGUAGAUAUGAUCUAUCCGAAGUGUAGCUACUCUCCUGGAUUUAUUCUAACAUUUUAAAAUUUUUCUCAAUGGGCAAAGGAAUAUCAAAUCAAGCUUGAGUAGGAUUAAUUUCUUAAUUUUUAAAAUAACUUAUAAUUAAAAUUUUUUGGUGUUUUCUUUUUUGGACAAUUUUUUAUGAAGACUCUGAAUCAUGCAAGAGAUAUGGUUAUUUUAAAAAAAAAAAUAAUUUAAAACUCAAAUACAUAAUCAAUGUCACAAAUUUAUAAACAAAAGGUUUUUAAAAAAUACUAUUAUUUCCCCUCUACACAUAAUUUUACUUUUCCGAUUUAUUUAUUUUUGUUGGAAAACAGUCUUCAAAUCAAGUAAAAUUAAUAUGUUAAAUUUGUUAAACAAAUAAAUUUUAAAAUACAAUUUGGAACUCAAAAAUCAAUUCAAGUAAUGCUAAAAUUCAAAAAAUCAAAUUUGGAAUAAAAUGACUUUGUAAAUUUUUUUACUAAACAAAUGAAUUUUAAAUCAAGUGAGAUUUAAUACAUUGGAUUUUUAUGAGAAUAGUAAUUUUAAAAAUUAAUUUGGAACUCAAAAAUAGACACAAUAAAUACCAAAAAUCAAUGAACCAAAAUUGGUUUGGAAUAACUCCAUAAUUUUUUAUUUAUUUAUAUAUUUAUUUUUUUGUGCACACGAAUUUCUUACUAAGCAUAUUGCUUCCAAAUUGAGAAAAAUUUACUAUUUAGAUUUUUUUAAUGAGUUUAAUGGUAUUUAAAAAUAAUUCAAAAAUUCGAAAAUUGACUAAUUUAAUAUUAUAAAUUCAUAAACCAAGACUAAUUCAAAAUGCAUUGGGGGCUAAGGGGGUUGAAAUUAAUGCUCCAUUUGGUUGUGGCCACCAAUUGGCAAUGGCCACCAAUCAACCAAUCAAGGUGGCUAAGGGGGUUGAAAAUAGGGACAAUGGGGUGGGUUUGGGACAGGACACUCAUAUCCCAUUCCCAUCCCAAUUACACAGUUAUUUCCCAUCCUUAUUCCAAACUUGUGUUGGGGCAAGUUGAUUUGUUCCCAUCUUUGUUAACGAAAUGACUAAUAACCUCAUCCUCUCCUUGUCUUAGAUGUACAUUUUCUCAAAUUUGGUCAGGUAUGAUUGAUUCAAGCCCUAACCUUAAUUGGUAAUGAGUGGAUACCACACCUAAUUGCAUUCUUCUUUCGUUGCAAAAUAAUGAGAUUAUAAUAAUCUAGCAAAUAAGAAAAAAUAGUAUGGAAGUUCAAAUUAACACCAUAACUAUCAAUAAUUUUAAGCUUAUAGAUGACUUAAAUGAUUGAAAACUAAUGCAAAAUACUAAAAAAAAAAAAAAUCAUCUAAAGAAUUCACAAGAGAAUAGAACGAACAAAACCAAAUAGGAACAUGGGUCAACAUUAGUUACAGAUUUUGAUCCCUUUCAAGGCCAAUCUUUGAACCAAGACUUCAUCAAAUCUACUACUUCAAAGGCUUUUGUGUUCUUCUUGAGUUGUACUCUGGAACAAAGACUUCGAGGUGAUGCUUUAGAUGAUUGCAUUACACAUAUUUAGGGUAGGGAGAUUGGAGAAGCUUGAAGAUGCCAACGAUGGGUACAAUUGAGUGGUCAAUAAGAACAAUGUGGCCUAUGACUAGUUUGAUGUCAUGGUAUAGGAGUUUUGGGCAUUGAGGUGAAAGCAAGAGCAACAUGGAAUUGAUUUCAAAGUCUUUCAAUUAGUGUAAAGGAGGAAGAAGAAGUGGUAUUGAUCCUAGAAAUAGUGUUUUAGGUGUUGCAUUAGAGGAAAAGAAAAAGAAAAAGAAGGAACCAUUGGAAUUAGUACGAGUGUGAAGAGAGAAGUGUAUACAUAAGGGGAAGUAAAAGCAAAGUUCUAAAAAUUUAUUUUUUUAUUGGUGGUGUAUGGUUGCAUGAUUAUCCCUAUAAAUAAUAGGAGUUUUUUGGUGUUCUACUAGUAGUUGAAGGAUAAUUUCAUAAGAUAAUAUUUAGAGCGGGGUGGGGUGAGUUGUGACAAAAUCCAUACCCGUCCCAAACAUUGGUUCAGGUUUUUAAAAUAUUUUCAAACUUAUCAUAUACCCAAUUUUAUAUUUCAUACUUGUCCUAAUAGAGACAGGUUAGUCAGGGUUACUUGAGUAGCCUACAAAACUAUCAUCCCUAGUUGAAAUGCUCUUUUUGGCAGUGGCAGCUAGAAGCUCGAUCGAUUGACCUACAAGACUAGUUGUCAUCAUUUUAAAAAGAGUUUUGGCUUUGGUUGUGAGUGCAAUUGAAUCUAAACUAACAUUUCCUUAAUGCAUCUACUUCAAUCCUAAACUUCUUACUUAAGCCUCAAUUGUUGUUAAGAUUUUGGAAAACCCAUUUCCUUAAAUUGUAAAUUUAAGAAAAAAAAAAUUAAAAGUGAGACAUUUCUUGAUUGAAUGUUGUUAAAGGUCCCUUGGAAUUAAGACUUGGUUGAAGCCUUGGAAGAUUAGCAGAACUCUCAACUUAUGUUUGAACCUUGAGGAGAGUGGACGUAGGCCAAAAUUUUGUCAAACCAUUAUACAAAUUGAGUUUGAAUUCUCAUUUCUUGAUUUCUUAUUUAUUUGCUUUUUCUUAUUAUUACUUGAAUUGUCAUUUGCAUUCAUUAAUGUUAAAAUUGGUUAUAAUUAGCCAACACUAAUUCUCUUUCCCCUUCCCUUAAUUUCUUGGGUGUAAACCUAGGUUGGAUUAACUAGAUUUUAUCAAAUCUAUUAAGAUGGUAAAAGAAUAAUUAUUCUUAACAUACAUAAGAUCAUCUUCAAUCAAAUGACUCAUUGGCUGAUAUGUUGAAUUUGCUUAUUACUUGCAACUCAAAAUUGUGUUCUAGUUGAUAUGUCAAGUCCUGAGUGUAUGGACAUUAAAUUUGUAGUACGUGAUGAGUAUUUAGAUGGUCCAAUUCCAAGAAAGUGAUUGAAAACUAGUUCAAGAAAGGUGCAAAAGGGAAUUGUUUUGGUAUUUUCGUUUUUAUUCUUGAAGGUGGCAGAGCUAAAAUUUGAGAAAUCAAGCAAAACAUACUGAAAUUACAUUGAAAGAAAGAAAAUGGGAGUUAAUGUCUUGCAGUACAUGAUAAGGACUUCAUGCAUGUAGUGUGACCCAUGUCUUGGACUGAUGCCACACUCACGGUUACACUUAUACCCUUAGUUCUCUCUUUACUACCUUAGCUAACCUAGAUCAGGUUAUGAGAUAGGCACCUCACCACACCAUUACUUGCCCAUUAAUUAGUGACAUUUUCAAGCAAUGAGGUAACAUGGUGACACCAAGAGGGUAUAUUCCUCACCCCCAACAAGCCUAGACCUGGUCUAAAAAAAAUGGAGAAAAAUGACGUGUUGUUAUGCAGAAAUAUAGCAACCAUGCCUUCCUCAUUACUUAGAUUCAGAAUGUGAAGGUGAAAUUGAGAAACAGAAACUCUUGAAACCAAAAUGAAAAUUGAUACUUUUACGAAGAAUUACAACAACAUUAGAGGAAGACUACAUUCUUCCUCUUUAUUCCUACAUUUCUACACUACUUCUACUCCACUCCAUAUUUCUACAUACAUCUUUAAUCAGUCUUCCCUCCUUUAUAUAGAGCCAUCUUCACACAAAUUCCGCAAGGUAGAAAAGAGGAAUGAAACUUGGAGCAAGGUUCGACUACUGGCUGUAGCUUGUCAAGGCUGAAAGUGAACUUUUUUUCUUGGCUUUUCUGGGCAUAGGUAGUAACUUGUAGGUUCCUUUUUGGAAUGAAAAUGGUACGGCUAGAACAUGUGGCACUCUCUUGUUGGAUGAUGUGUCAAGCAUGUGGCAGCCAUCUAGUGGAGAUUAUGUCAAUUUUGGGAUGGAGAGUUGGCAUCCAAUUGCAAAGAAAUAUGACAUCUACCAACAUGCAAUGUCAACCUAUGUAGAUCAUAUGAAGAUAGAGAGGAAAAAUAUAGAAAUGGAUAUAUAACUAGAACUAGCUUUUUAUUAAAUGAGACGGAGAGCCAACAAUGAAGGAAAAUCAAAAUUUUUGGCUCAUAUCAAAGAAUUCACAUUGUGUUACCCUAGGUUUUCUUAAAACUUACUUUUAUGAUAAUAAAAAAUCAUUAUUGUUUAAUCCUUUGUUUUAAACGCAUGUUUAGCAGGUUGUAAAAUGUAAAUAUCUUUCGAAAUUCAAAUAUGAAGAUAUGACAUCAUUUCAAGCAAUAUAGUCUCUAGGAAUUAAUGUAAAGCUAAAUUAAGGUGCAAUUAAGUUAGUUCAAUGCAUUAUUUUAAGAAACUUGACCUAUCAAAACCUUGUCUUACUUCAAAGCCUCUUUUUCUUUUCUUCCAACUAACAUUUUAAUAAGUGAUCGCAAAAGUACAAAAUUAGAUGAAAUCCAUUUCAAUGGUUAAAAUGAUCAAAUUCAAACUUUUUCUAAGUAUCUUUUAAAAGCAUCAAUAUUGAAAGACAAUUUUAUAUUUAGUCAAAGCUUGGACAGAGCCAAAAAGCACACAAAAAUUUAUAUUUUCUAGCUCUCUACCUUGGAUGGUCUCUUGAUCCUACUUGGAGAUGUGCAUAAAUAAAAGGAUUUGAAAAUGACAAUUGACUAAGUAUGUAGUCAAUCAAUUACUCAUUGAUUGACUAGUUGAUCAAUUAACUUUGCAACAUCAUAUGCAAUCCUAAUAGCUAGUCAUCUAAUCAACUAGGUAGUAAAUCAAUAGGCCAAAAAUAUGUUUAUAAUGACUAUUUUGUACAAAAACCACUUAUAUAGUUAAAUAUAAUGCAUUUCAUUUAUAAAUCUUCUAAUUCUUGAAUAACAAUCCUAUCAUCCUUUGAAAGUUUUUAUUACACCUUUUCUACAUUUGUUCUAAAACUUAUACAUCACCCUUAAUUGUACCAUGAGAACCUAGCAUUUUUUUUUUUUUUUUUGUAUUUCAUCAAAGUUAGCUCUUGUACUCAUUGUUGUAUUAUUUUUAUUGUAACUUAGAGAGCGAGUGUUUUCAAGUGAGUGAAAUUGACUUGUAAAUAUUGUAAAGAUUCAUUGAUAUGUAUCUCAAACUAGGUGUACAAGUUGAAACAUUUGCUAGUAGAUUUUCUCAAGAUUUAGAAUGAGCUUAAGGCUAUCGAAUUAGGUGGGGUUGCGCCAAACCAUAUCACAUCGUUGUUUGCACCUUUUUUUUCACUCUCUUUUACUUAGUUGCUCUAUAUAUAUUGUCUAGCAAUAUCCUAAAGGCUUGAUGGGCUAGGGAGCAUCCCUCUGAAUGAAAAAUUUUCAUUCAAUUCUUAGUUGUAUUACGCAUAUAUAAAAUGCCUCAUUGUUUUAAUGGUAUUCAGUCGUGGCACCACAGAUAUGGACAUCUAAAUUUUAAAAGUUUGAAACUUUUAGCUAAAGAAAAUAUGGUGCUUUGCCUUUUUGGAAAGCAUGUUGAUGAAAUCCAUGAGAAUUGUAUACUUGGAGAGCAACAUCGAGAUAACUUUUUUUUUUUCUUUUUUUAUAAUGCAUUGUUUGUCCAAAUUCCGUACAAAUUAGGCCACCACAUGUUCAUAAUUCUCCCUUCUUGAAUUUGAAAACUCGGACAAUUUGACAAUGCGACACCUAAGUCCGGUUUUUAAAUGCUAAAGUGAAAGGGCAGGUAUGGACCAUUGAAAUGUGAUAACAACUUUUGGCCUUUUCCUUUUCUCUGUAGCCAUGUUGUCUCUUUUUAAUUUCUUUUGCAUGAUUUUCUUACCUAAACAGAAUCAUAGACUUGUUUAAUCUCUAAGUGGGAUUUCAUCCACCUUAAGCUACUGUAUUAUAUCUCGGUGGAGGACAACCGACAUAGAGCACAUGCAAGUGGGUAUAUGGGACAUGAAAUAUCUUCUUAUAAAGCUUGUUUUGCAGUUAAAUUAAUUGGAUAAGUAGACACUGGCGUUUCUAAAUUUCCCACCUAAGAUAAUGACCUUAUCCUUGACUGCUAGAUACACAAACAAUUAUACCUUCAAAAUCUACUGUGAAGUGCUUCAUGUAUGUGUGAAGUAUUAGAAAUUUCUUUCUUGGCAACUUGUUUUUUUCUUUGCGGUCUACUGAUAGGUUUGACUAAAAUUAUAUUCCCUGUCCUGCUAAUUAAUUUUCACGUGCAUGCUCAAAAGAAGAGUAUGACCUUAGUGCACCAAAAUCACUUUCAAUAAUUUGUGAUAAGUUUUUUUGCAUGACAUUAACCUUAUUCAUUUAGAUAAUGUUUAGUUCUCAUAAAUAUUAAGAAAAUGAAAAUAAAUAUUAAGAAAAAUAUUCUUAUAUUUGAUUGUAUUAUGAAAAAUAUCAUAAAAAAUCAAAUAUAAUUAAAAUUAAUUAAUAAUUUAUAUAUUUUAAAAUUAUUUAAUUUUUAUAUUAAAGAUAUAAUAUAAAUGAAAUGAGUUUUAAGUAUUAUAUAAAAAUGAUUUAUUUAUUUAUUUAUAUAUAUAUAUAUAUAUAUAUUUAGUUUUUCUCUUUAUUUUAUUUUCCUUAUGUUUUCCUCACAUUUUCCGGAAUCAAAGAUAGGGAAAUCCACAAUUACCUUCAACUGAGUAGAUUCUAUUGUUUUAGCAAUGUUAGGCUGCUAACUUGUGGUGGUACGAACCAAAUGAUCCAUGUUAAUCUUGGCUUGAUUUAAUUUGGCUCUAUCUCAGAGAACUCAAGGAUCACGUCAACUCUGGUUUCUACUAUUCAGGUCCAUUCCCAGAUGAACUGGUUCAAAUUUGAGAAAAUGGUAACAGACCUUUAGUGAUAUUGGUUUGGAGCCAGUUGCCAAACCUGCCCUGAGCUUUACCACUAAUGUCAAGGGACAAAGCCAUUUGAACAAAAACAAUAGCUUCAAGAGACUGAAUCGUGGAUGAAAUCUGAUCCACAUUUCUUCUCAUUUUGGGAAAAAAUGAGGACUUAACCACAAAGAUUCUACUGCCUCAUAGUGCUUUUCCUGAUCUAAGGUUGGCUCGUUUCCCAAAUUGUGAGGUGCACGUGCCACUCUCACGCUCAGGAGUGUAUCCACGUGGUGGACAUAAGAUGGUGGCUUAAUAUCUGGUGUCGGUGGCUUUACUUUACUAGGAGAGUAGUGUGUCUUCAUCUCAUUCACUGCCAGAGGGUGGCGUAAGCAGUGACGCUAAGGUGGGGCACAGUCAAUAUCAUUUGCAUUUGACCAUUAUAAUUUUCUCCCGGCUUUAAAGUAACCUUAUCGUGAUAAUGGAUUACUAGCACUAGUUCAGAUGACAGUCAUGUUAAAUUCGGACCAUGUUUGUGUCACAUUAUCAGCAACCAUGUGCUUGUGGUUCAUGCUAUCUGCAACUAAACUUGAUAUAUAACCAGGUGAACUUCAAUCUAAAUUCUGGAAGUACUCAUGUGAUAGAUGGUGCCUGUCUGCAGUGAGUGUAUCUAUAAGAGGGAAGGCUUGGCAAAUGUUCAGUUUUCUGGGAAUUCAACAGGGAUCUAAAAUAGAUUGUUUUCUUUGCUGAUUUCAAUGGUUGAAAUUUGAGAAGAUUGUGUCCACAUAACACAACUAUUACUGGUCCUUCUGUUGCAAUUUAUCCUCUAAGGCUCUAACAUGUCUUCCAAUUCCCACUUCCCACUUCCCUGUUACUCCAGGAAAGCUGUUUCUGUCAUUGUGAAGAAGAAAAGAGACUGUACAUAUCGAUGCUUUUAAGUGGACUGGAGAAUUCAUAUCAGGUGGUCUGCAGCCAUACAUGCCACUUUGUGAAGGUUGGAACAGUCAAUCACUAGGCUAUAUUAGUGGGGCCCAGCCACUUCAAUCAAGGACAAGUCUUCAUACUUAAAGUCAAAUUCUGCCUUUAGUCUCAUUAUAAAUUGCUGUUUAAAUAUCAAGCAAACAUUUGUUUAAUGCGAUUAAGACAGCACUAACUCAAUACUUGUUCUAUUUUUGGAUGCAAAUGCUUGAUAGUUUCAUCAUUGGAGGGGAUAAAGGUGCAUUCAUGAUUAUGAAUACUUGUAGUUAUAUUUUCAUUCUCUUUUUUCUCAAUGGGACUUGUUGGCACAAUUUUGCUGUUCAGAAACCUACCUCUCCAUGGAAAAUCAGUUGUGAUUGAUAUUACUGGAUAUAUUCAAGAAAGCUAAAUGUAGAUAGCACAAAAUAUUAUCGACAUAAAUAGCAUUAACAGCGUACGUAUGUCUCAAUGCUCAUCAGCUAUAAGCAAGGGGCAAACACUUACUAUGAGCAACUUACGUCAAAAUUCCGGAAUAGGACAUAGAAGUGACAGGUCAGUAAAUAUAGAACACUGCAUAUGAGUCACAAGAAAGGAAAUUACGGGUACAUAGCAGCUCUUAUUUUACAUCCUACUCAUACUGAUCAAAGUCACUCAGUUGGGAUGGGUGGGAGUGGGAGGUUUGUGGGGUGGCUUGUGCGGAGGAGUUGGCAGCUUCUUUCCAGGACCUGGUUGCUUCUCUGCUGGAGUUGAAGGAGGCUUAAUCUUCCGAGGUGGCUUGUAUGAGUCUUCAGCAUUCUCAGCAGGAGGGUGACCAGGGUUGUGACCACAAUGUGGUGGCUUCUCUCCCUUAGGUGGUUUGCCAACUGGGGUUGGUGGCUUGUGUUCCGGAAGUGGCUUCUCUUUGUGUUCAGGAGGUGGCUUCUCCACUGGAGGCUUGUGUUCAGGAGGUGGCUUCUCCACCGGAGGCUUGUGUUCAGGAGGUGGCUUCUCCACCGGAGGCUUGUGUUCAGGAGGUGGCUUCUCCACCGGAGGCUUAUGCUCUGGUGGUGGCUUCUCCACCGGAGGCUUAUGCUCUGGUGGUGGCUUCUCCACCGGAGGCUUAUGCAAUGGUGGUGGCUUCUCCACCGGAGGCUUGUGUUCAGGAGGUGGCUUCUCUACCGGAGGCUUAUGCUCUGGUGGUGGCUUCUCCACCGGAGGCUUAUGCUCUGGUGGUGGCUUCUCCACCGGAGGCUUGUGUUCAGGAGGUGGCUUCUCCACCGGAGGCUUGUGUUCAGGAGGUGGCUUCUCCACCGGAGGCUUGUGCUCUGGUGGUGGCUUCUCCACCGGAGGCUUAUGCUCUGGUGGUGGCUUCUCCACCGGAGGCUUGUGUUCAGGAGGUGGCUUCUCCACCGGAGGCUUAUGCUCUGGUGGUGGCUUCUCCACCGGAGGCUUGUGUUCAGGAGGUGGCUUCUCCACCGGAGGCUUAUGCUCUGGUGGUGGCUUCUCCACAGGAGGCUUGUGUUCAGGAGGUGGCUUCUCCACCGGAGGCUUAUGCUCUGGUGGUGGCUUCUCGAAUGGGGGAUGCGUAGGGUAAUCAGCUAGUGAGGGGGCGGUGAGAACCACCAGGCCAAGCAACACUACUAGCAAGUAUGUAGGAGACAUCUUUGGGUUUGGGCUCAGAUGGUGCAAAACUAGGAGAAUUGGCUAGCCUUUUAUAGCGGAUCGUACCCAAUAAUGAAAUGACACGUGUCAUUAUGACCCAUGUGUCAUGUGGUCGAUUUGGGUCCUACAGUGUUGAAAACUUCGACAUCCACUUUUUUGGCCUUUUGCUUUCUCUACAGUCGCCUUGCUUUUUCCCUCUUUUCUUUUGUUUUCCUCCUGCCCCAUUCUAUCAACUAAUCACAAUUAUGUAGUUGUUUAAUUCUUAAAUGAGAUAUUAUCCGUCAAUCAUAUUAUCUUUUAUCAAGAGAGAACGGAGUGAAAAGUGGCAAUCCAAAGAAAGAAGAUCCAUAAUGCAGCUGUAAUUUUAUCGUUUACUUUUAUCUCUAGGACCACUGCAUUUUUGUUGAGAGGUGCAAUAAUACACGUCUUUAUCUGCCAUUCAAUGUUUACAGUAAAGAGAGGGCACAAAACUCUUCACUGCUCUGCAUGUGCCCCAAAAAUGCAAUUGGACAAAUUAUGAUUUGCAUGCUAAAAAGAGGCAAAUGAGGUUAAUUAGCACCAAAAUUAUUUUGUUUUCUGGACACCCCGGGGCCCUUUGGUUGGUUUGGGGGUCAGAAAAUGAACAUCAUAGGGGGUUUUUCCCUAAUGUGCAUUUGCAUUUGUAUCUGAUGGCUUUAACUCGCCUUGUUACUACAAAGAAAUUGUCACAGAUAGGAACUUAUUCCAGGCUGAGUAUCUCCGCAUGGACCCUAUAAAAGAAGACAAGUCAUAAUGAACAUCUAACCUUUGUUCAAUUUGAUUCAAUGCCCCUAUUGUGUCCAUCUCACAAAUCUGAAUUAUUAUAUCCAUUGAAUACAUAAAUUAAUGAAGAAAAUAUGAAACCCAAGAUACAUCUCUGCACAACCUCAACCCUGGUUGCUAUGUUUCACUUCUAUUCACAUGAGGAUAUUGAUUACGGAAUAAGGAAACCUAGCAAGGGUUUACUCGGCUCUGGUUUGAUGCUAAUUGCCAAACUUGCAACAAGCCCUGAGUUUGACACCUAAUCGAUGGGCGAAUUAAAAGUCUCCUCCAAACAUAUAUUCCACAGCUUGAAGCUCACAGAAGAUGCUAUACAGGCAGGGAAAAACCUUCAGAGUUAGCUACCAAAGAUAAUUAUCAAGGAGAUAUCACCAAGAGAAUUCCAUGGAGUCUGAAUCAAAGACAAAUUGCUCGCUCGUGGGGGUUCUUACUUAAUUUCUUUUGGGUAUAACUCACUGAGGGCACUGGCUUUGUUAUUUGCAUUUCGCAUUUAGAGUUCUGUUCUGGAAGGUUUGUUCUGGAAACAUAUAAAAGGAGCAUCAUUUUGUUCUAGGGUAACCCAUAGUUGUGAGUGGGUCCAUUUGCAUGCUACUUAGUUGAAAAGUUGGACAAUUUGCUCCGACGCCUACCUCCUGGAUUCCAUGCUCGGAUAAAGCAAGAAUAAUAAAAUAUUUAUAAUUUACAAAUGGGGGAAAGAAAAAAAUGUCAACAACAAACUAGGAAAAAAGAGUAGUAAAAUUUAUGCCACAUGCUAUUGAUAGAAGGGGCAUGUAUUAGAUCCAUCACCAUUUGGUAAGAUUUUAGUAUUAUAUUUUUCAAGGUUCAUUAUUUGAGGGUGUGUUCUUCAUCUCUGUUGCAUUGCUUCUUACUAGGCCCACUGAGGUGGGUUCUUCACCUUUUGUAUAUUCUCUGCACUAGAUCAAUGAGAAAGGGGGAAUUUUGGUGAAUUUGCAGCCGUUGGAUGAUUGAUUCUAGGCUCAGUCCACCAAUGAUGCUCUCUUCACUCUUUCUCAUCUAGUGUCAUUCACAACUAUGUUUUGAUUCAUAUUUGUACUAUCAAAGAUAUCUCAUUAUUCUAGCUCAUUAGGUAGAGUUCCUAAUCUUCCUCCUUUUUGGUCUAUGGACAGUAUUGGCUUCAUAUUAAGAUCAUGUUUCAAUAAUUGCACAUUAAUGAAUGGAUCAUGACCCACAUAAACAGAGUCAGGGUUGAGUCAGUGAACCCUAAAAUUUCACAAUUCUAAAUUUGGGUUCUUUAACAAUGCAGGGUCAAGGACGCGUGGUGAUGAAGGAAAGCUGGUAAGCUCAGUGUUACUUCAAUUCCUGCCAUGUAGGAUGGUGAGGAGAUAUUCACUAUGCAAUUAAUAAUAGACAAUAUUCACUAUGCAAUAAUAAAGCAUAAAUUAAGUUGAAUGAAAAGCAUUUUCUUUGCAAGGAGUUGAUUUUGGUUUCAUAGUUUGUUCAACUGCUAUUUUGGAUAGGAAAGUGUGAGGAGAAGAAAAUAAAAAAUAAAAAUAAAACAAAAAAUAAAAAAUAGAUUUUAUAAAUUCAUUUAAUUUAUUUUUUUUUUAUAAAAAUUAACUAAUUUAAAAUAUAUGUAAAUUUCUAAUUAAUUUAAUUACAUUUUUUUUUUCAGUUUUUCAUAAUAAACCAAAUAUUAGAAAAUUAUUUUUAUUAAGACACCCAAGAUGAGGUAAUAUGCAAUGAAAACAUGAAUUAUAUUAAAAUUCAAAACAAAUUAAGAGAAAUCGGAAAAUAUACAUAGAUAUCUAAACAAAGAAAUUUAAAGAGAAGGAACCACAAACUUUAUUUACAUAAUUUGAAAAUAAAAAACAUAAAACAUACUUAUAGUAAGGAGAAAUUGAAUAUCUUACAAUGGAAGAAGGGAGAAAAGCUUUGAAGAAAGCUUUUGCUUGGAAGCUUACAUGGUGAGAGGUAGAGAAAGGAGAGAGAGAGAAGAAAAUGAAAAAUGAGAAGUGGAGAAAAUUGGAAGUUUUGUGUGCUUACAACUGAGGAUAGAGCCUCCUUAAAUAGCAAAAAAUGGAAUAUUAAAUAGUACCAAUCAGGAGACAAAAUAUUGUUUGCUUUUGAAACCCGUGCAUGAAUAGUAAUCCCGUGAGUGAAUAGUGAAUAAUAAAAGUGAAUAGUAAAAGUCACUUUCUACUAUAGCACUUUAGACUUUUUCAUCGAGAAUCUUACUUUCGGCUGAGUGAUGAUAGCUGAUAGGUUGCUUUGGAUUGUGGAGUCAUAUGUUUGAUGUUUUCGGUGCUGAAACCGCUUAGUUGGAGAAUAAUCUCGUCAGUAGAGCAUCAUGAGAAGCUUGAAUGGAGAGAGCUUAAUGAUGCCAUAUGAUUGGAAGGAAUCCUAUUUUAAUUUCCUUAUUGGAGGGAGAAUACCCUCACAAUCAUCUUCAUUAUCUUGAAGGUAGUUUGAUAUAGAGUCAUCUGACUCAGCAUAAGAGUCCUCUUGGGAGAAGCUUGAACUGCUUUUGUCAAGGAUUUUCUGAAAUUCUUGAGGGGUUUUUGCUAUUGCUAACAUGGUUUGGAGUUGCUGUUUCUUAAGAAGAAACUGUGCAAUAUCAUAAGAUGAUGAAGCUUGUGUAGGAUGCUUUAGGAAAUAUUGCUUUAUUGCUUGUAGUGAGGUAUCAUUUUUCAAGGCAUCCCACCACUUAGACUUGAAAGUCCUUCCAAGGGUUGGAAAGGCUGCUGAUUCAUCUGCUAUAAUGAUAUAAUCCCACUGGACUAUCCAGGCAAGGCCAAAUUCACUAAAAAAGAAUAAUAAUUGGGGAAAACUGAAAGUUCUCUAGGGAUAACAAAAGAACUUUGGAAUAGCUCAAAGCCAUCCAAAAUGGGUUUUGGGAGAAUUUUAAUAGUUGGACCAAAAUAUGUCCACCAAUUGUGGAACCAAAAUGGAAAAGAGGGGAGUUGAUGCUUAGAUGGGAAAUAGAACAUCCCUGAAUGAUGGAAGUCCUUGUUCUGGAUCAGAAAAGCAUUGAACCAUACUCUUUGGUAGUCUCAAUAAUUGAAAAUUUUAGGUUUUGAAGGCUUAGAAAAUUCUCUUGAAAAAUUAGGAUUCCCACCCCACUGCUUAACUGUAAGGAUUUUAUAAAUAUGGUAAGUGGAGAAUGCCAAAUCCAAAUUGCUGAAUUUAUCAGCAUUGUGCUUGAUUUUAACAGAGCCGGUUUCCAUAAGGAUUGCUUCAUAAAAUUCUCUUGUUUUUAAAAGAUCACCAAAGGGAUAAUGAAAAUUUUCAUGAAAAGCUUUUGCUGCAAUAUCUCUAGGGUUUUUAGAGAAAAACUCUUUUUCAAUAACCAAAAGAGGUUGAUUUAAAUCUUUUUGCCAAUAUCUUGCUUUUGCUGAAAGAGGUGUGGGGUUGGCUACCACCACAAUUUGCUUAUUUGAAAAAGAAGAGCUUGAUGCUAAUUCAUUUUGAGAGGGAUUAGCUUUAGUAACCUGCUUAAAGGUCUGAGACACAGUAAUAGUUGGAUACUGAGUAGCCUUGACUGGUUUAGAAGGAUUCGAAGGAUCAUAGUACAAGGACAAAAUCUUAUUAGGCAUAUGGUCAGAAGAAUGAAGCCUUGCUUCUUCUUCUAGCUCAACUUGUUGGCUCCAAAGUAUUUUAUGGGGAGAAGGUUCUUUGCUGGUUUUAGAAGACUAGGAUUCUGGAAGUUUAGGAGCUUGGGUAUUCUUUUUAGGGGCCAUGGUUUCGUGAAUCCUGUAAAAUUCACAAGUUAAGAAAUCAGGGCUCGAAGAAUGUUCUCCUUUAAUAUACUCAAUUUGUAAAUUAAAAUUGCUUAAAAUAGCUUGAUAUAUAGCAAAAAUAUGCUUAGAAGUUAUAUUCUUAACAUCCUUUUGUAAAACUAAUUUUGCAAAUUUACAAUCAACUCUUAAUAAAAACUUUUGAUUCAAAAGAUCAUCUUGAAAUUUUGAAAUGCAUAAAACAACGCUUAAAGUCUCUUUUUUAAUGAUGUUAUGAAUGAGUUGGGUAGUAUUCCAGGUUCUUGAAGUAUACCUAACUAACAUCUCAAGGUUACCAACACUUUGCUUAAGAAUCCCACCAUAACCUAUGUCUGAGGUAUCGAUCCCAACAAACUCAAAGGUUUCUGGAUUGAUAGAGCCUAAACAUGGUAGGGUCUUGACUUUGGACUUAACAUCAAUAAUGAAAACAAUGGUGAAAACAGAAAACUGGUUAAAGUUUUCAUCCAUUAUAUUCUGGAAUUCUGAGGUGCAUUCUUAAGAUCAAAGGGCAUUAUGAACCAUUCAUAAUGUCCAAGAGAUACCACAAAGGUGGUCUUAUUUGGAAUAGGACACCUAAUCCAACUUAAUGUAUCAUUAAGAGGCAUGUAGUUGACGACUAGUCUAGGUGUUCCUUUUUCUGAUUCAACUUGUUCCUGAACAUAGAAGGUUGAACAACUCCAAAGGGACUUAGACUUCCUUAUCAACUUUUUAUCAAGAAGAUCCCAAAUCUCCUUAUCACAAUAGCUUAACAAACCCUUGUUCAUCUGGAUAGGUCUUGAUUUAGUGGGAAUAUUCUUGUCACUAAAGUCUAGUUCAUAAGGUAAUUCUACCUCAUGUUGUUUCCUAUGCCAAAAUGCAUUAGGAAUGUUAGAGCAAACUUCUUCAACAAUCAGAUUAAUUUCUUGCUCAUGACUUUCCUUAGCUUGAAUCACCUGAUCCCUUAAGGUGUUUAUAUUUUUCUUAUUAGGUGGUUGGCAAAUUCAAAAAUAAUUUCCUUAUCUAAGAGCUUUGUUCUUAUACUUUGGUCAUCUACCCACAUGGGAUAGAUGGAGCUUAAAAAGGGGAUUCCAAGGAGAGCUUUCUCCUUAAGAUCCUUAACUAGAAUGAAGGUUUGCUUGAUGCAAAUGCCUUGGUUAUUUAUGUGAGCAUCUGACAGCUUAUACUCAAUGUCAAGCCUUUUACCAUUAGCUCCAAAGAGAGAUUCUUUGGUUUUCUUACAAAACUUAAUAGGACCUAGACCUUCUUGUAGGCAAUUCAAAGCUGUUCCUGAAUCAAUCAAAGCAACAAUAUCAAUGACAAAUUUACUCUUAAUUACUAUAGUAAGGGAGACUUUCCACCUCUGGAAAAUAACCCUACUAACAGUAUUUAAGUAUCCAUCCGUCUUUUCAUCAUUAGCAUGUGAAGAUUCUAGAACCUCUUCAAGGUUUUCCUAGUUAUCAACAAGAUUUUCUAUAACAAUCCUAUUUAUUUGUUCUUGGAGAUCUGAAAAACCUAAGCUUGUGUAUUGUCUUAAAUCUUUAAUUUCCUUCUUAUACUGUCUUACUUCUUCUUGAAGAUCCUUAAUGGUUACGUCUUUGGUAGACUACUGGUUAAAUCUUCCUAAGAUUUCAUUUAAGUUAUAAGAAUUUACUGUCUUCUUAAUCUCUUGCUUAUCGACAAAUUUCUUAAAAACUUCAUAAAGAUCUUGUUUAGUUUUUUCAUCUUCAACUUUCCUUAAAACAUCUAGGACAAGUUCUUGAUCUUGGCUUAUGACAUUUAUAGUCUUAGGUUGGCAAUCACAAUUAUCCUUAAUGUAUUCUUCUUGGUCACUAGAAGUUUGGCUUGAGAUUUCCUCACCACUACUAUCUAGUUGGUUAAUACCAUUUUCAUUAUCUGAAUCAAUCCUUGAUUCAGACUCUGUGGAAUUUAACAUUACUUUACAAAGCAUAUCUUUUAAGUCUUCUGUGACAUUUAAGUUAUUAAUUUUCUGCUUAACCCUACAAUCUUUCUUAUAGUGGCCUAUCUUACCACACUUAAAACAAACUGGCUUAGAUUGUGAAGGAGCUUCUAGCUUUUUAUGGGCUUCUUUGUUCAUCAUUCUUUGGAUGUGCCUUUGUUUCUUAGUUUCAUUCAUCCUAUAGUUGCCAUGAGUUCCUCUCUUGUUGUGAUAGGACUUUUCCUUACUAGGCUUUGUACUUACUUGUUUCUUACGUUGCUUAGAGGGGGGCUUAGUUUCUUUUUGGUUGAAUCCAAACUAGCUACAAAAUGAACCAAACUCAUUCUUGUAGAUCCUUUGUUCAUUUUUCAUCUGUUGCUUAAGCUUAAAGUCAUUGCACAGUUUAAUUGCUUCUGAUGUGACAAUGCUUAUAAUUUCUCCAUAAGAAAGCUUAUCAUAAGGGAUUUGUCCAUUAAACUGUUCCCUUAUCUUAAUCCUAAUCCUCUCAGAGAAAAGUCUAGGUAGUCCUAAGAUGAAUUUUUCUUUCCAAAAAGACUGGUUAUAGUUUGAUCUUAGUAUGACUUUGGUUAGGAAAACUUCUCUAUACCAUCUAAAGUCAUGAAGCUUGGGACACUUAAGGUUGGUUAAGAGAUCUACAAUCUUAUCCUUAAUCUUUGCAGGAUCUCCAAUGAAGUGCUUUGAAAUUGAAUAGAUUAGAGUAGCCACUACAUCCUCUAUAUCUUGUCCAUCUUCAUCCUUAACCACUUCAUUUUCCUCAUUAAUCCUAUAGGCUUUUAGGAUACCAUUUCUAUCCUCAAAGGUGAGAUAAUUAUCCCACCAACCCUAAAGUUGACCUGUAAACCCAACAACAAUUGUUUGAGCUACAGCAUGGCCUGACAAUCUAUUGUUUAACUUAUAGGUUGUACUAACCAUGGUCAUUUCUUGAAGCUUAGUGAGUAUGUUGUACUCAAUCAUACCAUCUAUGUUCCAUUCAUAGAUAGUGUCACUAGUGUAGGAAGCUUGAGUAUGCUGGUUUCUUUCCUCAUACUACAUAUCAGGAAAAGUUGGUCUAGGGUAGUAAUUCCUAGUUCUUGGUUGUUGAUAAUCCUCAUAACUGUUUGGUUAGGAGGUUCCUUAAAAAUCUUAAUUAGUUCAUCAGCCUCUGCUUCAGAACUAAUUUCUCCUUUAACCAUAUUGAUUCUCUUGUGAGAUGGUUGAGGUGUCUCAGAGACAACAAGGCUAUCCUUAACCUUUUGGCUUAUCCUAUCAAUGAGGGCUUGAUCAAUAUGGAGAUUCUCUAGGAAUUUCUUAGAGAAUUCAAAAGGCUUAAAUAAAGACUUAUUAUCUUUCUUAACAAACGUAGUCUUAAUGUAGUCUUGUGUUUCAAUGAUAUCCUCAAACUUGUUGAGUUGAUCGCCUGUAGUCUUAAGAAACAUGUUAGUGUAGUUGUUUUGUUCCAUGAUUCUUCUAACGUCAACAACACUAUCAAUUCCUUUAUUCUUUGGCCUAGUCUUAAAAGGUGAAGCUUUGACUAUGGUUCAAUUAAUGUUCUUUUAUAUCUUAGCUUCUAGAGGGUGGAUGGAUUCUAUGAUAGUAUCGUCACUAGUUUUCCAUAUCUUAGUUUUUUUGGAUGUGUCAUUGACACGCUUACUAGGGUAAUCUAGAUAUUCCUCUUGUUUGAAGAGUUCAAACCAGAUCCAAUACUUAAUGUUCUUCUUUUCUUGUCUUAAGUAUGUGUAGAAUUCUUCUUGGUAGAGGGUUCUAAUGUCUUUAAGGACCUUGCUAAAGAACCAAACUCUCCUUUUCUUAUUGACUUCAGAAUAGAAGUCUUUCCUUAAGAGGUCCUUGUUGAUUCAAAGUCUUCGUUAAUUAGGCUUACAGUGUUAAUCAACUGAGAAUAAGUAGGAGACAUAUCAGGAGAUUCGUCCUGAUGUGAUUCUUGAGUAAACUCAUUUUCCUCCAUGUAAAAGGGUUUGGCCACGUUGGUGUGACUUCUAACACCUGUUAGCUUAAUAUUCUUAGGAUUUGCUGAACUAGAUCCUUCCUCUAUCCUAGUGGUUCUUAUUGGGAUAGAUGAACUUGAAGCUCUAGAGGGCUCAUAAUAUGAAAUUCUAAGGCUGCUAGAAUGAUGAAAAGAGUUGGAGAAAAUUAGAUCUCGUUCUCCAUCAGGAUAUUGAACAAUCUGUUCAAUUCUUUCAGAUCUUUGCUCUAUGGCUGGGACAACAUUAGCAAAAUGCCAAUUUUCUGGAAACUCAACCUCAUUCCACUUGAUUUUCAUGGGGACUAUGAAAUUAGACUUGUUUAUCAUAUCUAAGUGGAAGAUAGUGGUUUCACCCUUGGGACUGGUGCACAAUGCUCCAAAUCCAACGCUUAUGGUCAUGCUCUUAUAGGCAAAUCUGGUGAUGAUGGAAACAUGAUUGUUUCCUUGCUUGAACUUAAAGUCAUGGGUCUUAACAUGAAGGACAACUGAAUCUAAGAUGUUGACAUCUCUUAGUCUAACUGUGAAGUUAGGGAAACACUGGAAAUAAACAGGACCAUCAUUUAAUCCUGCUUGGGUAGCUCCAAUAAUAGAAUCUCGGUAAUCAAGAUGUCUAUUAUCUCUUAAACACAUGACAAUAAAGGUGUUUAGACCUAGUCUUGUCAAGGGCUUAGCUGCAACUUGAAUCAUGCCAAAGUGUAUGAAGUUGUAGUCUCGCUUAUGCUUAUCAAUGGACUUACUAUCCAAGAGUCUUAUGACUUGAUCGUCGUGUUCUAAACUUACUGACAUUUCAGGGGUUUUAAUGGUGUAAUCUGUAAAGAACUUAAAGGUUCCUUUCUUAUAAAUUUCUUGAUUAGGUACCUUGGGUAACUUCCAAUCAUCUAAAUCAUCUUGGAUCUUAGGAUAAUUGAUCUCUUCAUUGUUUACUCUUGAGAAUUUGUGGAUUUCCUAGACAUGGUUCUGAAAAUCAAACUCAUUUUAAGGUUUUAAUCUAGAGCCUAAUAGCAGAUUAACAGACCUAGUGAGUAAUCACCCCAACCCUUUUCCAACCUUAACAAACGCCUAUCUCCAGCUAACAAUGGGCUCAACUCGGCAAGGAUCGCACUCAGGCACACUACUAUCUUUCCUAGGAUAGAUCAAAACACCCAAAACAAACCCGACUUCCUUUUCCUAGGAUAUAUAUAGUAUUUUGGGUUUGAGUAGGAGUUCAUGUUUUGUAUGUAAUUGUAGUCUACGUUGGACUAGGUUGUUUGCUCCUAAUUGAAAUAGGAAUGGUUGGUGUCACAUCUCAUUCAUUUUCUCAUCUAUUUCCAUGUUUAGAUAACUCAAGUAAUCAUAGGAAUGAAAUUAAGAAUGAUUUGAGGGAAAUGAAAUCUCACUUGUAAGUGGGAUCUCAAUUCAUCAUUAAUAGAAGGUAUUUUGAUUACAUAGUGCAAGUUAUUUUUAAAAACACUUUUCAAAAAUUGAAAAACCAAAAACUCUCUUGGAUAAGUUGUUUUUAAAAAGAAUUUUUGUAUUUUUAUUUUGUAAAAAAAAAAAAUAGUAAUUCAAUUUAUAUAAUAUAAAUAGACUUUAAUUUUAUUAAAAAUAAAAAUAAUUUUUUAAUUACAAAUAAAUUAAAAAAUAAAUAUUUGUAAUAAAAUAUGAAUAGUAAUAUUAUAAUAAAAUCAUAAAUAAAUUAAAAAUAUUUUUAAAAACAAAUAAGUUUAAUUUUUUUGAGGUACAAAUGAGCCAAAUUUUUCAUUAGGUACACAACCAACAAUUUUUAUUGGAAACAUUCCUCAAAAAAGAAUUCGUUUCCCAUAUAGCAAAGAUAUUUAUUAUUUAGUAUCUAACCAUCCGUAGUAAUCAUAUCAAUUCUACUAAGUUAUUUAAUAAUUCAUUUAUAUAUAGUACUCAAUUAUGAAUUUUUUUAUUUGAUGUAUAAUUAAUUAAUCAAUGUUUUGAAUUUUGAAUUAUUCUUAAAAUUUAAAACAUUAAUUAUGUCUAUUACUUUUUAUAGUCAUUAUAUAUAUAUAUAUAUAUAUAUAUAGAGAGAGAGAGAGAGAGAGAGAGAGAGAGCUUAAAUUUAUCUUUAAAAAUUAUUAAAUUUAUUAAUAAAUUCAAUACAAAGACUCAUUUGAUUUGAAAUUCAUUUCUUUAGUGAAAAUUUUGAAACUAAAUAGUACUUUGUUUUACUUUGUUUUUAAAUCAUACUCACAAAUAAGUUUUUAUCAUUUAGCCAAAAAAUCUCAAAGAUGUUUCUAAUUUUAUUUAUUUAUUUAUUUGUAAAUGAAAAUAAAAAAUUAGUUUAAACUAAAUAUGCGGAUAUUAUUGUUAAUUUAUUUCAUUUUUUAUUUCCAUUGUUAUUUAACAUUGAAACGGAAACAAAUAAUCAUUCCAAUCUUACAUUCUUAUAUGCAUCUAAACACAAGAAUUGAAAUCACCAAAUUCAUAUUCAAGGCAAAAUAGAAAUGGAAAAAAAAUAUUCAUUUUCAUUCCUCAUUCUCAUGUGCUAAACAUGACAUUAGUUCUACUACCUAUUUCACCAUUCUUCUUGAUAAAUUUGGUAUAUGCAAUAUUGAUCUAAGUGUGAGGUGAAUAAGAAUGAUGAUGGGAUGGGCUUGGAAAUAAGGGCAAAGUUUCUAGGUGCUAUCUAGAGGGGCAACGCGACUUUUUCAAAUUUCGAAUAUUUGUUCUCAACAUAAAGCAAAACUUUACUCACACAAUAGAUAAGACUCUGUUUGUUUUCUUCAUCCACGACUAUAUAAUGUAUAGCUCUUACUCAAGGGAUGAGCUACUUACUAUUAAGGAUUGGGUAAGAUAUUGCCUAAUGGCCAAGAAGGCAUGUCAAAAAAUAAAUCUAAUCACCAUAAAAAAUAAUAGGGGAAAAUUAAUAUAUUAUGAAUGAUGACUUUACUAUUUCUCUAUAUACAUAAUUAUAUAUUUUGAAUUUUCUCACUAGGUAAUGAGAUUCUAAAUCAACUGAAACAUAAUUAAUAAUUUAUAUUUUUAAUGAAUCUUUUAAUUUUUAAAAAUAAUUUAAAAUUUUAAAAAACAAUUCAAUUAAUUACAUAUUAAAUCAAAACAUUUCAAAAUAUUGUGUUUGUAGAUGAGUACUAAAUGCUUGCAUAUAAUAAUAAUAAUAAAAAAAUUGACUCAUUUAGAUGUUAAAAAAGUUAAAUGUUUUUCAUUAUUCAUUUUAAGUAAAAUAUUAUUGACAUUAUUAUUAUAAAAUUAUUAUUAUUCAUUUUUAACAAAAAACAAAAUAAGUUAUUCUUUUACCAAGAUGUCAAUAUCUAUAUUUUUCUAACAUAUAUUAAAAUAGUAUACUUUUCUUUUAUUAAAAAUAAUAAUUAUUAUUAUAUUAUUAUUCAAGUUUUAUUAAAAAAAUUUAUCUUUUAAUUCAUUUGUAAUUACAAAAUAAUUUUAUUUUAUUAAGAAUUUAAUUUAAUUACGCUUUUUUUUUUUAUAAAAAAAACAGUUAUGCUUUUACCAAGAUGUUAAUAUUCAUAUUUUUCUAGCUAACAUAAAUAGAAUAGUACACUUUUUCAUAUAAAAAAAUAAUUUAUGAUUUUAUUAUAAUGUUACUAUUCACAUUUUACUAAAAAUAUUUAUUUAUUUUAUUUAUUUUUAAUUAUAAAAUAAUUUUAUUUUCAAGAAUUUAAUUUUAAAAAAAUAGAAAUCAUUUAUUCUUUUACCAAGAUGUUAAUAAACAUAUUUUUCUAACAUAUACUAAAAUAAAAAAGUUUACUUGUUCAUUAAAAAAUAUAAUUUAUGUUUUUAUUAUAAUACUACUAUCUAUGUUCUACUAAAAAUAUUUAUUUAUAAUUAAAAAAUAAUUUCAUUUUUAAUAAGACUUGAACUAAAUUAAAUUUAUAAUUUUUUUUUAAAAUAAAAUAGAAAAUUAUUUUUUAAAAACAACUUAUUGAAAGAAAUUUUUUAUUCUUUACUUUUAAGAACUGUUUUUAAAAGCAACCUAUAAACCCCUUUGGGUCUGUUUGGCUAUGUUUCAUGCAACUUGUUUUUAAAAAUUGUUUUUUAUUCUUUAAUUUAAUUUUUUUUAAGUUAAAGAAUAAAAAACAACUUUCUAGUGUUUUAUAAAAAUGAGAGCUUUUGACAAGUUGUUUUUAAAAACCAUUUUUAAAAAUAAAAAAUAAAAAACUUAUUUAGAUAAAUUGUUAUAUAUAUAUAUAUAUAUAUAUUUGUAAAAACAUUUUAAAUUCAAUUUAUAUAAUAUAAAUUUAAUUUAAUUUAAGUCUUAUUAAAAAAAAAUUGUUUGGAUAAGUUUUUUUUUUUAAAUAGUUUAUUAUUUUUGUUUUGUAAAAACAUUGCAAAUUCAAUUUAUAUAAUAUAAAUUAAUUUAAUUCAAGUCUUAUUAAAACCAAAAUAAUUUUAUAAUUACAAAUAAAUUUAAAAAUAAUUUUUUUAGUAAAACAUGAAUAAUAAAAUUAUAAAUUAUAUUAUUGUGGACCCUGCAUUUAUGCUCAUGCGCUUCCACUUGUUGGCGAACUCAUUUUUUAUUUGAAAAUGAUUUAUUUUUUUAGAAAAUGACUUAGAGUCGCCACUUAUUUUUGUUUUAUUUUUAAAGGGCAAGCAAAAUAAGAAAGAAAACCCUAAGUGUGACUCCUUAUUCGAAAAAGGUAGUCUGUGUAAAACCGGAUCAGGGUUCAGGGAUCAGGUUACUUAUUGGGAAGGUAUGACAAUGACCGUAGCACUCCUCUAAGUCCUUAAAAACGGGCCUCUACUAAAAAAAAUAAAGUAAUCAUGGCAAUCAGUAAGGAAAUCACUGGAUACCCAGAACAAUUAUGCACAUGUGAGAAUUAAAACAUGCAUAAGAAUGGACAAAGUGAGAGUGGGUGCGUACCUUGACAACGAACCACAAUGCGUUAUCAAGAAAUGGGGUUAGUGCACGAUCAAUGAACAUAAAACACGUCACACAUGUCACUAAGCAGAGUGAGAAAUCAUCAGAUAUUACAAUUCAAUCAAAUUUAUUUUUAGAAGAAACAUCUGUUGAUGUAGAGCCCCUACCAAAGCCUAAUUUAUUUUUGCAUGAAUCAAUUUCAUAAAUUCAAUCGCUUGGAAUUACAGAAUUAAAUUCAUGCUUAUUUUAAAACAUCUUUUUAAAAUCAUGGAAGAUGUGAAAAUGGUUUUCCAAAGAGAAAAUGACAACUGAUUUUAUUGAAAAUGGGAUUUUGGGGACCUAAACGUUAAAGAGGGAUUAGGAAUUGAAAAUUAAAUCAUUUGAAAAUUGAAUUUUUCAAAAAUCAGUUUUGAAAGCAUGCAUGCAAGUAUGGACUGUGAAAGUGGGCCUAGGGAGGGUGGCCAUGCAAAAUGAGGUCAUACACGUGGGCCUUGGGUACAAUUGGGACUACUUUGCUGGUGCCAGUGGUGCUUGCAGCUGUCAUCCAUGAUUUCUUCAUUGGGAUCAAUUUCCAUUCUUACUGCCAAACAUUCCAUAACAAUUGACCAAACUAGUAACCCUGACCUUGCAUGAAAAUGAACGUUACCUAGAAACUCACUGCCAGUGAGAUUCAUUGCUCUUUCAAAAGGUCUCAUUUUCUUUCUCAUCCAAUUGCUUUAAGGAGCAUUCUAGCGUCACGAUUGGUGACUGCGCAUCAUCUAGAGCCUUCUUUCUUCUCAGAAUCAGGUUUGCGUGCAGAGGCCUGUGCUUGUUCAAGGUUGACCUAAAUUCAUCUAGGUUUAGAACCGACCAGUUGAGCUUGGGGAGCAACGACAAGAAUAUCAGUCACUUGCGAAGAGAAAACUCGAGAUCUUUCAAGUAAUGCCUGACAUAGAUUCCUCCAACCUGUGGCCAAUAUCUCAUUCCUUGUUGGCCAGACGCCUAUUAGGGCGUAUCUCAAUCAAUAAUAUGAUUUUUCGUUUGUUCACAAUAAAGACCGGAAGCCAUGGUUGUGAUUUAUGCAGUACAGAAGAAGUUGCCAUGGCUGGUAUCCUUACAAAUUCUGGUGUUUCUGCUAUCUGUUCAAGUGCAAAACACAACAGCUUUAUCAAGUUUGUCCCUAACAACUGAUAUUGAGCCCUCUGGAGGAAACCUUGAUAAAUUCAUAAUCACUUUUGACUCAUGCAUGGGCUGCCCAUCAAAUUUUCCUAGCAACGAGACGACUGCUGUCAUCUACUGCAAAGAGAAUUUCUUCUCGCAAAGACAAGAGGAGUUUAAGAAUACACACUAUUCUGCCAUUUCAUUUCCUCUUUCUCCACAACCAACAUAAACCAUAGUGUCUACAUUAGAGUACUUAGAAAGAGCUUAACUGAUGACCGUUUUUCCACAACCAAAUGCCCCAGGUAUGGCACAAAUUUCACCGAAAACAGAAGGGAAAAGGGCAUCAAGAACACGCUGUCCUGUAAGUAGUGGGGUAUCAGGACUACUCUAGGGAAGUUAUUUCUGUCAUUUUGAAAAAGAAAAAUUAAAGAAUGUACACAUGCUUUCAAGUGGACUGGAGCAUUCUACAUAUCAGGUGGUCUGUAGCCACAUGUGCCACUUUGUGGAAGUUGGAACAGUCGAUCACUAGGCUAUUUAGUGUGGCCAAGCCACGUUAAUCAAGGACAAGUCUUCAUACUUAAAAGUCAAAUGGUGCCUUUAGUCUCAUUACACAUGGCUAUUUAAAGAUGAACUAAUCUUUAGUGUAAUGUGAUUAAGACAGUACUAACUGAUCAAUAUUUUUUCUAAUUUUGGAUGCAAAUGCUUGCUGGCUUCAUCAUUGGAUGGGAUAAAGGUGCAUUCAUGACUCUGAAUACUUGCAGUAAUACUUGCAGUAAUACUUCAUUCUCUUUUUUCUCGAUGAGACUUCUUGGCACAAUUUUGCUUCUCAGCAACCUACCUCUCCAUGGAAAAUGAGUUGCGAUUGAUGGUACUGGAUAUUUUCUAGGAAGCUAAAUAUAGAUAUAUAGCACUCAAUGUCAACGAUAUAUAUAGCAUUAACAGUAUAUGUCUCAAUGCUCAUCAGCUACAAGCAAGGGACAAACACUUACAAUGAAUAACUCACGUCAACAUUCCUAAACAGGACAUAGAAGUGACAGAUCUAUAUAUAGAACACUGCAUAUGAGUCACAAGAAAAGAUAAUACGGGUGCAUAGCAGCUCUUAUAUUACAUAUUACUCAUACCGUUCAAAUUCACUCAGUUGGGAUGGGUGGGAGAAGGAGGCCUCUGGGGUGGCUUGUGCGUGUGAGAAGUGGAAGAAAGUUGAAUGGAAUGAAACUGAAAAACAGGGUAGAAUAGAGGUUUCUUGAAUCUUCUGAAAUCUUUAUUUUUCUGAGAUUUAUUCUCUGUUUUUGUGAGUCGUGACUCUACAUAUAUACAUGUAUUUAAAGUUAGUUAUGCCUUAUAACUAAUUAUCUAACAGUACCAAAACUAAUCAUCUAGUUGCAUGUUUCUAAUUAAUGCUAUUUAGUUACAACUAUAUAUGGCUUAACAUCCUCUCUCAAACUCAAAAGUCUAGCUAGAACAGUGAGUUUGCUUCAUAGAUUGAGAAAUUGUUGAAUAGGUAAGGCUUUGGUAAGAGCAUUAGCAAUCUGGUCAUAAGAAGGAAUGUGUUGAACCACCAAAGUCUUAUUGAGCACCUUUUCCUGAACAAAAUGGCAAUCUAGUUCCACAUGCUUAACUCGAGAAUGAAAAUAGGAUUGGCAGCAAGAAAGGUGGCUGAAAGAUUGUCAUAGAACAAAACAAAAUAGGAGAAUAAGAAGAUGAGAUAGAAAACUCCUGAAGAAGAUGUUGAAUCCAUUGAAGUUCAAAAGCAACAUUUGCUAAGGCCCUAUACUCAGCUUCAUUGCUGGAACGAGACACAACUUUCUGCUUACUGGAGUUCCAGGAGACUAGAUUAGAGCUAAAAAAGAUGCAAUGACCACUUGUACUUCGACGAUCAUCAGGGCAACCAACCCAAUCAACAUCAGCAUAAGCAGUAAGUUGAAAAUCAGGAGAAGAAUAAAAGGAAAGACCAAAGGAAGUAGUGCCCUUAAGAUAAUGCAACAAUCGUUUAACAACUUGCCAAUGAAGAUCAGUUGGUUAUUGCAUGAAUUGGCAAAGUUUAUUGAUAGAGAAAGAGAUGUCAGGCCUUGUAAUGGUACAAUAUUGCAGGGCUUCAACAAUGUUGCGAUAUUGAGAAGGGUCAGCCAAGAGGGAACCUUUAGAGGCAGAUAAAGUGUGAGAGGUAGUCAUUGGUGUAUCAAUAGGUUUAAAAUAUGGAAGACCAGCACGAGUUAACAAGUCCUGAAUAUAUUUGGUUUGGGAAAGAUGAAGAGAAGAUCCUUGCCAACAUACUUCUACACCCAAGAAGUAAUUCAGAAUACCAAGGUCCUUGAGAGCAAACUGAAAGUGUAAAGACGAAACCAUUUGGUGGACUAGCACGGUAUUAAGACCACUAACAAUAAUGUCAUCAACAUAGAUGAGAAUAAUGAUCAUGUCAGUCCCUUUCCGAAGAGGAGCUUGCUUCAGACCCUACAAGGCUUUGCGAAGUUUACAGAAAAAACCGGGUUUAGAAUGAUCAACAAAGCCUGGAGGUUGAACCAUGUAAACCUCUUCUUCUAACUCACCAUUGAGAAAGGCAUUAUUAACAUCUAAUUGUUCCACUAACCAACCAUGAGAAAUAGCAAGAGAAAGAACAAUUCAUAUAGUAGUUGGUUUAACAACAAGGCAAAAGGUUUCAAAAUAAUCAAUACCAUAUGUUUGAUUAAAACCCUUUGCAACUAAGUAGGCUUUAAAACGAUCAAUUGAGCCAUUAGCUUUGAGUUUCAGCUUGUAUAUCCAUUUACAACUAAUAAUGCGUGUAUUAACAGGUUUAGGAACCAAUGUCCAUGUGGAAUUGGUGAGAAGAGCAUCAUACUCAGUCUUCAUAGCAGCUUGCCAAUUAGGAUGCAAUAUUGCUUCUUUGAAAGAGGAGGGUUCGACAACAGUAGUUUGGAUAGCAAGGCUAAAUAUUUUUUUGGGUUUAAAAAUACCAUUUUGGCUACGAGUAACAAUAGUUCGGUUUGGAAGUGAAAGAGGAUCAGUGGAGGAGGCUGGAACAAGGGAUUGUGGUAAAGUAGGAAAGGAAGGUGGAUGAGAUGGAACAAAAUCAGUAGGGACAAUAAUGGGAGAAGAAAAAUUAGGUGGAGAAUGAUGAGGAUUCCUUGAAGAUGGUGUAGGAAUAGAGAGAAUACCAGAAUCAAGAAGUGUUAAAGAAGAGUUGGAUGAUGAUACUGGUUGACAGGAUAAAGACUUUGUUAAAAAUGGAAAUCGAGUUUCAUCAAAUACAACAUGACGAGAAGCAUAUAUCCGAGAGGAAGCCAUAUCCAAACAGAGGAAUCCCUUGUGUUUAGCACUAUAACCCAAAAAACAGCAAACAACAAAUAUAUUUGCUAGCUUGUGAGAAGCAUAAGGGCGAAGAUAAGGAAAACACAAGCAUCCAAAACUUCAAAGAGAUGUAUAAUAAGGUAAACGAUUAUAAAGAACUCCAUAAGGAGAAUUUUGUGAAAGAACAGCAGAGGGAAGGCAAUUUAUGAGAAAAAUGGCAGUUUGAAAUGCAAAUGACCAAUAUUUGAGAGGGUAUACCAGCUUGUAUUAACAAAGAAAGACCAACUUCCACAACAUGACGAUUCUUUCUUUCAACUCUUCAAUUUUGCUAAGGAGUAUAAUGACAAGAGACUUGAUGAAGAAGACCAUUUGUAGCCAAAUAAUUCUGAAAAGCUGAAACUGAAACUCAUCAAAUUGAUUUUUAGUAUCAAAUUUUCUUCAGACUGAACACAUUGAUUUUUAGUAUCAAAUUUUCUUUCAACCAUGGCUUGAAAAUGUUGGAACAUAAGUAAAGCUUCAUCUUUAGUUUCCAAAAGGUACAACCAUGAGAAUAUGCUAAAAUCAUCAAUUAGCAAGAGGAAAUAUUGAGCAUUACCAUUGACAGAAACUAUAGGAGUUGCACCCCAAAGAUCAACAUGGAUGAGACCGAAUGGUUUUAUUGCUCUAGAAGUGGAUAUUUCAAAUGGAAAACGAUGGCUUUUAGCCAACUGACAAGACUCACAUACAGAGUUAUUAUUGUCAUGUUUCAAAGGUAUUUUAUAAAGAGAUAAGAUUUUGGAAACUACAUUAAUAGAGGGAUGACCAAGUCUAUUAUGCCAAAGCCUCAAAGAACCAACGGCUAAAGUACUACUAGUAGAGUAAAAUACUAGUGGAUGACCAACAACUCUUGGUGUAGCAAGAAGUUUAUAGAGACCCUUCUCAAUUUUUCCUUGAAGAAGAGCAAGUCUCGUUUCCUGAUCCUUUACCACAAAAUGAGAAGAACGAAAUUCAAUAAAGGUGCCAUUGUUUGAGUAAAAUCGUUGCACGCUAACUAAGUUGGUGGUAAUAGAAGGAACAUGUAAGACAUCAUUGAAAAACAAAGAACCACUUGAAGAGGCAAGAGAAAAUUUACCAAUAUUUGCAAUGGAUAAACCCUUACCAUCUCCAACAAUUACUUUGUCACCACUGGUAAAUGGAUUAUGGAUUGUUAAAUUGUUAAGAUCAGAUGUGAGAUGAUGGGUAGCCUUUGUAUCAAGAAACCAAUAAGUGUCUCCCAUUGUUGCAGAAGUUGUAGUCAUAGCCUCAGGAUUGUUAGAGGUGGAAUGUUUAGAAUCUUUUGGCUGAUAAUCAGAGUUAAACCGAUACCAGCAUUGUAAAGCGGUGUGUCCGAACUUACAACCGAGAGAAAUAAUCUUUACUUAUUCUCUAAAAACUGUUCUUUAUUCCACACAUUAUUUCUAAAAACUGUUUCUAGAUAACAAUGACAAAAUAGUAUUAGGAAUUUUUAAAAAUAAAAAUUGUUUUUAAAUUACAUGAUCUAUAUCAUUCACAUUUGACCAUUAUAGCUUUGUUCAGGAAAACACUUGAAAGUAACCUUAUCGUGAUAAGAGAUAUAAGUUGGCUGUAGUUUCAAACUGAAAACAGAGGAUGGCAAUAGAAAGCAAAGCAUUAGUUAUCUGCAAUCAGUGGUGAUCAUGCCCCAUGUCAAUUUCGGACCCAUAUCUUAAAACCGUAUAAUUUGCAUUUCAACAUUUCUGAUUUCUCAGAUGUUUCAUACUCCACAGAAGAACAUUGUUUGUGAAAGCAUGCAUUUAUGCUGGAUUUUGGAUGAUGUGGGAACUGGGGCAAGGAUCAUAUGGAAGAGUGGUCGAUUUUUUCUGUACUUUAACAUUUGAAAUAGGAGCAGCACGGGCAUUUGUGGGGCUUAAUUGAUUUUGAAGCCUGAAAUUGCGUUUCUGUCAUUUUGUAAAAAAUAUGGCAGAUUCCAUGCUCUCAUAUGUUUGGUCUGUGGCCAUGUAUAGAUGCCACUUAGUGACCAGUUUGUAACUGUCAAUCAUAGUGUUUUGACUCUGGCUCAACAACAUCAGCCAUUGACGGAUUUUCAUACAUGCAAAUCAAAUAGUCUUCUUCCUCCCUUAGGAAUUUCGGUUUAAAUGUUAUUAAGCAUACAUUUGGCUGACAAUUAUUAACCACUUCAUGAUAUGGUUUCUUACCCUUAAUCAAUGGUUUCUAAGUGAAUAUAUGCAGAAGGAAAUCUGAACUGUAGACAGCAGUAUUGAUAAUUAUCAAUAUUCUUUAUAUAAGAGAAUAAACAACGUCAUAGUGAUCGUCGCCUACAAGAAAGGUACAUUUCCCAACAAGAUGUAGUUGUGACUGGUACAUGGACGUAAUUAACUCGUAGAAAAGGAUAAGACCAGUGCACGGCAGCUCUUAUUUUACAUGCUAAUUAUGCUAACCAAAGUCACUCAGUUGGGAUGGGAGGGAGAUGGAGGUUUGUGCGGUGGCUUGUGGGGCGGAGUUGGUGGCUUCUUUUCAGGAGCUUGUGGCUUUUUCGGAGCUGAAGGAGGCUCAAUCUUAUGAGGCGGCUUGUACGAGUCUUCUUUACUCUCGACAGGAGGGUGGCCAGGGUUGUGACCAUAAUGUGGUGGCUUCUCUCCCUUAGGUGGCUUGCCAACUGGGGUUGGUGGCUUGUGUUCAGGAAGUGGUUUCUCUCCCUUGGGAGGUUUACCAAUUGGGGUUGGUGGCUUGUGUUCUGGGAGUGGUUUCUCUCCCUUGGGAGGUUUAGUGGGUGACUUGUGUUCUGGAGGUGGCUUCUCCACCGGAGGCUUGUGCUCCGGUGGUGGCUUCUUGGUUGGAGGGGGCUUGGGGUAAUCAGCAAGAGAUGGGGGGGUGAGAACCACCACUCCAAGGAACAACACUAGCAAGUAUGUGGGAGACAUUUCUGAGUUUGAGCUGAUCAGAUGAUGCAAAACUAGAAGAAUUACGUGACCUUUUAUAGCAAGUAGCUCCCAAUACCCACAUGACACGUGUUACUGUGACCAUAAAUAUUAUAGGGUCCAUUUGUGCCCUACCGGGUUGAAAACUUGGACGCUUGGCCGAGGACACACCGAACUAUGGAGGACUAUUGACGUGUGAUCACAGCUUUUGGAUUUUUCUUCCUGUGCAGCUGUCUAGCGGUUGGCAUUAUUUUUUUAAUCUUAAAUAAAGGCAUAGUUAUAGAGUACAUUUAUAUAUCUUCAGAUAGCCAUUAAUAUAUUUGAUGAAGAAAGACAAGUGCAUACAACAUGUAUACGGCUUGCUUCAAUCGAGUACAUUUAUGAUCAGUUUUCCAGUGCAAGUAAACCAGUUUUUUGUUCCACAACUAUUUUGGAAUCUUGUUUAUCAGUUUCUAUCAUUAUAAUGUCACAUAGGCUGCAAACUUGGGCACCCAAAGAUCUAGUUGGGCAAAUUUGUUUCAGAAUUUCAAUGGUGGAUUCAGUAAUUGUUAAAAGGUGUUUCUUCAUUAAGGAAAGAGUCCUGUAAAAAUAUUGUUAAAAGGUGUCAUAGAAACUAUAAUAAUUAAAUAACUUCUUUUCCCCGUGGGUGGUGUUUCUUCUGGGGAUACCCAAAAUGAGUUCAGAUUAAAAUUGGUUCGAGUCAAAGCUGUCUCUUUUGUCCAGAAAUCAACUAUUUUGCGCAUUGCAUGAAUCGAUAAAGAAAAAAUGAAAGCCAAAUCACACCUCCCCUGCAAAACCUAAACCCCGGUUGCUAACUUUCUAUGUUUCAGUCCUAUUCAUACAGGAAUAUUGGUUCAAGUUUGAGAAAAAUGGCAACUUACCUAGGGAUUACUUGGUUGUGGUUUGCGACGACUAUUUACGCAACCAACCAUGAGUUUGACUUUAACGUCAUGGGUUGAAGCCUCCUACAAUCGUGUAUGAUAGUUCAAAGCUCGUAGUAGAAAUUAUACAGGAAGGAAGAAACCUCCAAAGCUAGCUCCAAAAGAGAAUUAUCACAUCGAUAGCUCCAGAGAUUCCCAAGGGGACUGAAUCAAAGACAAGUUCCUCACUUUUUCUUCUUUUGAGGCCAAAUAUGAACCAAGGAUCACACGACCUCAUUCAACUUCAUAAGUUUGAUUUCAUGCAGUUGAACACUGGGUGAAGGCCAUGACAAGAAUUGAUUAAAAAAUUCUACCACUGUUUUAAGUAAUGGAAGAUUAUUAUCUCUGAUUGGCACCACAACAGCACAUGCUGCUAGAUCUUUCUAGACACUCCAUGCAAUGAAAGUACAAUGGAUCUUGUAACGAUAGAAACUAAGCCAUGCUACAGUACUAGAUGACGAGGUAAAACUAUUAGACAUGGGUGGCAGCCUAUAUGGGAGGGACACAAGUCUAAUUGAUUUGCAUUUCAGCGUUCUAGAUGGGUAUGUUUUGGAAGAUUUGUUCUGGAAAUACCGCACCAAGUAGGAUUCUUUUUUCUCUUGAGUGGGUCCACUUGCAUGCCAAUUAUCGAGUUGAAAAGUAGAGCACCUACCUCGUGCUCGUGGAACCGAAGGUCAGUGAAGUGGGGCUCCUUUUGGCCUCUUGUGUUUCUGUUCCAACCAAGGCGGCGGAGGGAAAAACAGCAAUAUGUCUCCGCUAAAUAUCAACGCAUGAUAGCGAAUGAGGGAGAAAAAAAGUAAUUGGCAUCUCAAUCUCACAAACUUGGUACAGUAGUGACAUUAAUAGUCUUCCACAUGGUUUUUAUUUUAUUUUAUUUUAUAUUUUAUAUUUUCCAUUUUUUUAUUUUUUUGUAUGUCAAGGCUAAUGAAUAAAAUGCGUUAGCUUGUUUUGUGAUUGGAACUGCAAAUGUCCAAAUUGGAGUUUCUCCAUUUCUCAGUUCGGAUGGUUAACUUUAUAAACAAGAUAUAGGAAACAUGUGAACGUCUUGAGGAACAAUUCGAAUUAUUGAUUAGAACUCCUAGGUUGAGUUCCAAGAUUUAAAUCAGACCCCUCUAGCAGCUUCAGGGGUACCUAGCAAUUAGAACAUAUUAAUGAAGAUUUAGGAUUUAGACUCCGGAAUACAAAUUAAUAUGUAUCUUAUGCUCUGACUAGCUUCCCUGCAUAUGCACAAAAUGGAGAUGACCCAAAAAAUAGCAGAAUCGCCUUAGUUUAUGUGGUUAAGGUGAUUCUCCGGUUAAUAUCCACAUUGGCUCAUUAUGCAAAUCAACUGAGCUAUUUUUUUUUUAAUGUCAAAUAGGAACUCCUAAUUAACCUAACCAUUGGCCUGUGUAAAUUGAUUUCACAUGCACAAUGUUGUAGUAGAAGUCCACAUUUUGAAUUUUAUUUUUGGAAAGGUAAGGAAAAUGAAGCAUUGUGUAAUUAUAAAAAUAACUUCAUUGGAAUUCACAAGGUUCACCCAAAAUGGAGCUACAUCCGUAUUCUAUCUUACAGUAGACUAUAUAGAUUGUACAAUAGUAAAUUGCAAAUACAAUUAAUAAGUCUUGUGUUUCCUUACUAAUAAUCCUUUGACAUAAACAUUGCAGCACUAAGGUCCUCUUGGGCAGACACCUUGCACCCAUGAGAGCACUAAGAGGAAGCAAGGCGGAGUCAUGGGUGCAAUGUCAUGACUUGUUGCACUAAGAGAGGCUUGGUGAUGGCAUAGUGCUGCAGUAGCAAGAAUGUUGCCUUGGCAGGGACACGAUCUAGGGACAGAUGCCAAGAAAGGCUUAGCACUCACAUGAGUUGCACAAAGAUGAAUGAAAUAGAACAUCAAAGAGACAUCUUGGCAAGCUCAAGAAAGACAUGUGGGUUGGUAAAUGAAUGGAUGCAAGAGGCAACAACAUGAGGAGUUUCAAAUGGAUAGGGAAUGAGUCAAAGACAUUUGAAAGCUACAAGUUGGAUUCUAAUUACGAUUGCAAUUUGAGUUUGAGUAGGAGUUUAUAUUAUGAUUGUAAUUGUAGUAUGAGUUGGACUAGGAUUGCUUAUCCCUAGUCAAAAUAGGAGUUGUUCAUGCCACACCCUAUGAAAAGAGUUUGAGUAGGGACUAGGAUUGCUUGCUCCUAGUCAAAUAUGGAGUAGGUGGUGCCACACCUAUAAAAAAAAAAGGGACAACAUGAGAGAGAGAGAGAAUGAAUUCACCAAAGAUAUUGUGGGAGUUUUGCUUUGUUACAUCUUGUAUUAUUAUUUAGAAUAGUAAUAAAAUACAAGUUGGGGCUAGAGCCCCAUAAUCUCGUGUGCCUUUGUGGGUUAUUCUUUAUUUGCCAUCUCGUGUGGAUUGGAUUAGAUUGAUGAGGCGAAAUAUUAUGUGGGAAAUUUAUGUUGGGACACUUACCAUAACCAGGUAAAAUCUACCAAGUCUUUUGUAAUAUCUUCUACAAAUAUUUUAGACCAGUUCUUCACAAAACAUCAUAAUAUGUUUUGUGUUUCUCUUGGAUUUUGAGUUGAAUUGUCUUAGAUCAAUUGAAUGCAUCUCAAUAUUAUUAUCUUGUUUGAAGGCUUGAUGAUUUUCCAUUUAACUUUACUUUCUUUAGGUUAUGCUUGAUUCCUUAAAAGUACUAAGGAAAACAAAAAAUAAAAAAAAAUAAAAAAUGCAGAGGGUUAGGACAUGUGUUAUCUAAUUGUCCUAUCCAAAGAUAUUAAGAAAGUCAUGUAGGAAAGUAAUUGAAAACUAGGUCAAGAAAGGAGCAAAAGGGAAUUGUUUUGGUAUUUUCUUUUUUAUUCUUGAAGGUGGCAGAGCUAAAAUUUGAGAAAUCAAGCAAAACAUACUGAAAUUACAUUGAAAGAAAGAAAAUGGUAGUUAAUGUCUUGCAGUACAUGAUAAGGACUUCAUGCAUGUAGUGUGACGACCCAUGUCUUGGACUGAUGCCACACUCACGGUUACACUUAUACCCUUGGUUCUCUCUUUACUACCUUGGCUAACCUAGAUCAGGCUAUGAGAUAGGCUCCUCACCACACCAUCACUUGCCCAGUAAUUAGUGACAUUUUCAAGCAAUGAGGUAACAUGGUGACACCAAGAGGGUUUAUCCCUCGCCCCAACAAGUCUAGACUCGGUCUCAAAAAAAUGGAGAAAAAUGAGGUGUCGUUAUGCAGAAAUACAACAACCAUGCCUUCCUUAUUACUUAGAUUCAGAAUGUGAAGGUGAAAUUGAGAAACAGAAACUCUUGAAACCAGAAUGAAAAUUGAUACUUUUACGAAGAAUUACAACAUUAGAGGAAGACUACAUUCUUCCUCUAUAUUCCUACGUUUCUACACUACUUCUACUCCACUCCAUAUUUCUACAUACAUCUUUAAUCAGUUUUCCCUCCUUUAUAUAGAGCCAUCUUCACACAAAUUCCGCAAGGUAGAAAAGAGGAAUGAAACUUGGAGCAAGGUUCGACUACUGGUUGUCGCUUGUCAAGGCUGGAAUUGAACUUUUUUUCUUGGCUUUUCUGGGCAUAGGUAGUAACUUGUGGUUCCUUUUUGGAAUGAAAAUGGUACAGCUAGAACAUGUGGCACUCUCUUGUUGGAUUAUGUGUCAAACAUGUGGCAGCCAUCUAGUGGAGAUUAUUUCAAUUUUGGGAUGGAGAGUUGGCAUCCAAUUGCAAAGAAAUAUGACAUCUACCAACAUGCAAUGUAAACCUAUAUAGAUCAUAUGGAGAUAGAGAGGAAACAUAUAGAAAUGGAUAUAUACCUAGAACUAGCUUUUUAUUAAAUGAGACGGAGAGCCAACAAUGAAGGAAAAUCAAAAUUUUUGGCUCAUAUCAAAGAAUUCACAUUGUGUUACCCUAGGUUUUCUUAAAGCUUGCACAAAGCCAAAAAGCACACAAAAAAUUAUAUUUUCUAGCUCUCUACCUUGGAUGGUCUCUUGAUCCUACUUGGAGAUGUGCAUAAAUAAAAGGAUUUGAAAAUGACAAUUGACUAAGUAUGUAGUCAAUCAAUUACUCAUUAAUUGACUAGUUGAUCAAUUAACUUUGCAACAUCAUAUGCAAUCCUAAUAGCUAGUCAUCUAAUCAACUAGGUAGUAAAUCAAUAGGCCAAAAAUAUGUUUAUAAUGACUAUUUUGUACAAAAACCACCUAUAUGGUUAAAUAUAAUGCAUUUCAUUUAUAAAUCUUCUAAUUCUUGAAUAACGAUCCUAUCAUCCUUUGAAAGUUUUUAUUACACCUUUUAUACUUUUGUUCUAAAACUUACACAUGUACAUCACCCUUAAUUGUACCAUGAGAACCUAGCUUUUUUUUUUUUUUUUUUUGUAAUUCAUCAAAGUUAGCUUUUGUAUUCAUUACUGUACUAUUUUUAUUGUAACUUAGAAAGCGAGUGUUUUCAAGUGAGUGAAAUUGACUUAUAAAUAUUGUAAAGAUUCAUUGAUGUGUAUCUUAAACUAAGUGUACAAGUUGAAACAUUUGCUAGUAGAUUUUCUCAAGAUUUAGAAUAGAGCUUGAGGCUAUUGAAAUAGGUGGGGUUGCACCAAACCACAUCACAUUGUUGUUUGCACCUUUUUUUCACUCUCUUUUACUUAGUUGCUCUAUAUUUGUUGUCUAGUAAUAUCCUAUAGGCUUGAUGGGUUAGGGAGCAUCCCUUUGUGAAAAAUUUUCAUUCAAUCCUUAGUUGUAUCACGCAUAUAUAAAAUGCCUCAUUGUUUUAAUGGUAUUCAGUCGUGGCAUCACAGAUAUGGGCAUCUAAAUUUUAAAAGUUUGAAACUUUUAUCUAAAGAAAAUAUGGUGCUUUGCCUUUUUGUAAAGCAUGUUGAUGAAAUCCAUGAGAAUUGUGUACUUGGGAAGCAACAUCGAGAUGACUUUUUUUUUUUUCAUUUUUUAUAAUGCGACACCUAAGUCCGGUUUCUAAAUGCUGAAGUGAAAGGGUAGGUAUGGACCAUUGAAAUCUGAUCACAACUUUUGGCCUUUUCCUUUCUCUGCAGCCAUGUUGUCUCUUUUUUCUUUUGCAUGAUUUUCUUACCUAAACAGAAUCAUAGACUUGUUUAAUCUCUAAAUGGUAUUUCAUCCAGCUUUAAGCUACUGUAUUAUAUCUUGGUGGAGGACUUUUAAGAGUGAAACCGACAUAGAGCACAUGCAAGUGGGUAUAUGGGACAUGAAAUUUCUUCUUAUAAAGACUGCAUGGUUUUUAUAUUAGAGUUGUUGAGGCGCAAUGUAUUUAGCUUGUUUUGCAGUUAAAUUAAUUGGAUAAGUAGACAUUGUCGUUUCUAAAUUUCCCACCUAAGAUAGUGACCUUAUCCUUGACUGCUUGAUGAGAUACACAAACAAUUAUACCUUCAAAAUCUACUGUGAAGUGCUUCAUGUAUGUGUGAAGUAUUAGAAAUUUCUUUCUUGGCAACUUGUUUUUUCUUUGCCCUCUACUGAUAGGUUUGACUCAAAUUAAAUUCCCUGUCAUGCUAAUUAAUUUUCACGUGCAUGCUCAAAAGGAUCACGUCAACUCUGGUUUCUACUAUUCAGGUCCAUUCCCAGAUAAACUGGUUCAAAUUUGAGAAAAUGGCAACAGCCCUUUAGUGAUGUUGGUUUGGAGCCAGUAGCCAAACCCGCCCUGAGCUUUACCACUAAUGUCAAGGGACAAAGCCAUUUGAACAAAAACAAUAGCUUCAAGAGACUGAAUCGUGGAUGAAAUCUGAUCCACAUUUCUUCUCAUUUUGGGAACAAAUGAGAACUUAACUACAAAGAUUCUACUGCCUCAUAGUGCUUUUCCUGAUCUAAGGUUGGUUCGUUUCCCAAAUUGUGAGGUACGUGCCAUUCUCACGCUCAGGAGUGUAUCCACGUGGUGGACAUAAGAUGGUGGCUUAAUAUCUGGUGUCGGUGGCUUUACUUUACUAGGAGAGUAGUGUGUCUUCAUCUCAUUCACUGCCGGAGGGUGGCGUAAGCAGUGACGCUAAGGUGGGGCACAGUCAAUAUCAUUUGCAUUUGACCAUUAUAGUUUUCUCCCGGCUUGAAAGUAACCUUAUCGUGAUAAAGGAUUACUAGCACUAGUUCAGAUGACAGUCAUGUUAAAUUCGGACCAUGUUUGUGUCACAUUAUCAGCAACCAUGUGUUUAUGGUUCAUGCUAUCUGCAACUAAACUUGAUAUAUAACCACGUGAACUUCAAUCUAAAUUCUGGAAGUACUCUUGUGAUAGAUGGUGCCUGUCUGCAGAGUCCAUCAAUUGAAAAAUGGAGUGAGUGUAUCUAUAAGAGGGAAGGCUUGGCAAAUGUUCAGUUUUCUGGGAACUCAACAAGGAUCUAAAAUAGAUUGUUUUCUUUGCUGAUUUCAAUGGUUGAAAUUUGAGAAGAUUGUGUCCACAUAACACAACUAUUACUGGUCCUUCUGUUGCAAUUUAUCCUCUAAGGCUCUAACAUGUCUUCCAAUUCCCACUUCCCUGUUACUCCAGGAAAGCUAUUUCUGUCAUUGUGAAGAAGAAAAGAGAAUGUACAUAUCGAUGGUUUUAAGUGACUGGGGCAUUCAUAUCAGGUGGUCUGCAGCCAUAUAUGCCACUUUGUGAAGGUUGGAACAGUCAAUCACCAGGCUAUAUUAGUGUGGCCCAGCCACUUCAAUCAAGGACAAGUCUUCAUACUUAAAGUCAAAUUCUGCCUUUAGUCUCAUUAUAAAUUGCUGUUUAAAUAUUAAGCAAACAUUUGUUUAAUGCGAUUAAGACAGUACUAACUCAAUACUUGUUCUAUUUUUGGAUGCAAAUGCUUGAUGGUUUCAUCAUUGGAUGGGAUAAAGGUGCAUUCAUGAUUAUGAAUACUUGUAGUUAUAUUUUCAUUCUCUUUUUUCUCAAUGAGACUUGUUGGCACAAUUUUGCUGUUCAGAAACCUACCUCUCCAUCGAAAAUCAGUUGUGAUUGAUAGUACUGGAUAUAUUCAAGAAAGCUAAAUAUAGAUAGCACCAAAUAUUAUCGAUAUAAAUAGCAUUAACAGCGUACGUAUGUCUCAAUGCUCAUCAGCUAUAAGCAACGGGCAAACACUUACUAUGAGCAACUUGCGUCAAAAUUCCAGAAUAGGACAUAGAAGUGACAGAUCUAUAUAUAUAUAGAACACUGCAUAUGAGUCACAAGAAAGGAAAUUACGGGUGCAUAGCAGCUCUUAUUUUACAUCCUACUCAUACUGAUCAAAGUCACUCAGUUGGGAUGGGUGGGAGUAGGAGGUUUGUGGGGUGGCUUGUGCGGAGGAGUUGGCAGCUUCUUUCCAGGACCUGGUUGCUUCUCUGCUGGAGUUGAAGGAGGCUUAAUCUUCCGAGGUGGCUUGUAUGAGUCUUCAGCAUUCUCAGCAGGAGGGUGACCAGGGUUGUGACCAUAAUGUGGUGGCUUCUCUCCCUUAGGUGGUUUGCCAACUGGGGUUGGUGGCUUGUAUGAGUCUUCAGCAUUCUCAGCAGGAGGGUGACCAGGGUUGCGACCAUAAUGUGGUGGCUUCUCUCCCUUAGGUGGUUUGCCAACUGGGGUUGGUGGCUUGUGUUCUGGGAGUGGCUUCUCCCCCUUGGGAGGUUUUUCCAAUGGGGUUGGUUUGUGUUCAGGAGGUGGCUUCUCCACUGGAGGCUUGUGUUCAGGAGGUGGCUUCUCCACCGGAGGCUUGUGUUCAGGAGGUGGCUUCUCCACCGGAGGCUUGUGUUCAGGAGGUGGCUUCUCGAAUGGGGGAUGCUCAGGGUAAUCAGCAAGUGAGGGGUUGGUGAGAACCACCAUGCCAAGCAACAGGACUAGCAAGUAUGUAGGAGACAUCUUUGGGUUUGGACUUAAGACAGUGGAAAACUGCGAGAAUUCUCUAGCCUUUUAUAGCGGGUCGACCCAGUACUCACAUGACACGUGUCAUUAUGACACAUGUGCCAUGGGGUCGAUUUGGGUCCUACAGUGUUGAAAAGUUGGGCAUUUGAGGUGUGAGCACAACUUUUGGCCUUUGCUUUCUCUACAGCCGCCAUGCUUUUCCCUUUUUUCCUUUUCCUUUUGUUUUCCUCCUGCCUCGUGUUCUCAACUAAACACAAUUAGGUUGUUUAAUUGUUAAAUGAGAUUUUUGUCUGUCAAUCAUAUUAUAUCCUAUCAAGAGAGAACAGAGUGUAAUGUAGUACACAUAACACGAGGCAGUAGUAAUUUUAUCAUUUAUUUUUAUAGCUUGGACCACCGCAUUUUUUCUUCUAAAAUAUUCUGUCUUGUUAAGAGACGCAAUAAUACACAAUUUUAUCUGCCAUUCAACAUUUACUGUAAAGUUCUUUUAUCUCUUUGUAGUUCUAGAAAAGUACAAAAUGGAACAUCAUGUAUAUGGUGCCUUCUGUCCUAAAAAAGAAACUGGACAAAUUAUGAACUGCAUGCUAAAAAGAGGCAAAGGAGCUUAAUUCGCAGCAUAAUUAUUUUGGUUUCUAGAGAGCCCGGGGCCUUUUGGUUGGUUUGGGGUCAGAAAAUGAACAUCAUAGGGAUUGUGCCCUUAACUGGCCUUGUUACUACAAAGAAAUUGCCAUAGAAAUUUAUUCCAGGCUGAGUAUCUCCGGAUAGACCCCAGAAAAGAAGAGUCAUAAUGAGAAUCAACCUUUGUUGAGUUUGAUUCCAUGCCUCCAUUGUGUUCAUUUCAUGAAUCUGAUUUGCAUUUAACAUUACAGUUUUGUUCUGGAAACAAUCAAAGGAGCAUCGUUUGCUUCUUGGGUGACCCAUAGUGGUGGGUGGGUCGAUUUGCUUAGUUGAAAAUUGGACAAUUGGCUCCAUCGCCUACCUCUUGGAUUCCAUGCUCGGAUAAAACGACAACAAAUAAAUAUUUAUAACUUACAACUGGGGAAAGGAAAAAAUAGUACUAAAUUCAUGGUACAUGAUAGUGAGAGAAGGGGGUGUUACACUCAGCUAAAGUUCUUUUCUAAAUAUUGCAUGGUGUUUAAUUUUAUGUGUCGGCGCGCGUGUGAAUGGAACCUGCAAAAGUCCAAAUUGGCGUUUCUCCAUUUUCCACAUAGGAUGGUGACGUUAAUAGACAAAGAUACAAUAUCUGUAGACAUUGCUUAAAAAUCGAUGUGAAGUAUUAGAAAUUACAGGCCACUGUACUGGGGGAGCGGCUGCCCCGCCAAAGGAAGAAUGUAGCAAUUUCUUCUGUUAGCCAGGCCUUAGGAUUUAUGCAUGGGAUGCCUAAUAACAAACAGAGAAAAUAUGCUUUUGGGGAAGGUAUCCAACAACAGACACCAUCAUUCAGAUGGUGGGAAGGUAUCCAACAGAUGCCAUCAUUCAGAUGGUAACAUAUAUAUACAUUUAUUAGUGAGUUUUUUUAAUACCUAUAAAAAAAAUAUACACUUUGAUAUUGUGGCUGAAUCCAUUACAUACUCAACUAACCUUGCUCAUUAGGGAUUUGACGUAACAAGGGCAACGUUGCAGUAAAAGCUCGAAACUUUAUGCAGGUGACAUUACAUUUGGUAAAGAAGAGGAAAAUAAGGAAAGCCAUCCAUAAAAGCAAAAUUCCUCAUGGGAUGAAAUUCACAAACUUCAUUUACGUUAGAGUCGCAUCCAGGCAAUUAAUUCCACAUUAGACCGCCUUUUGACAUGUGUACGGAUCUUUUUUCAAAAAUUAUUUAUAAAUAAUUGAUACUUACAAAAAUAAUUUAAGAUUUAUAAAGGAUAAAAAAAUAUUUUCAAAUCUAUGACAAUUUAUAAAAUAUUAAUAAAAAAUUAUCUCUUAAACUUAGUAUAGUUUUAUCGUAUUAAACUUUUAUUUUGAACAAAUAAUUUUAAUCUAAGUUUUAAAUUCUAAAAUUAUUUCCUUAAAAUAAAAUUUUAAAAUUCAACACUUCAAUUGAAAUUGUCUUUUAAAAAAAAUAUCUUCUUAUUUUAAUCCUUAUAAACUAUAGUUGAUUGAAAAUACUAUUGAAGUUCUCUCUUCAAAAAAAGUCUUAUUUUAAUCUUCAUAAAUUGCCCUUGAUUUGAAAAUAAACUUUGGGUUAUCAUAUUUUAAAUAAUAUAUAUAUAUAUAUAUAUAUAUAUAUAUAUAUAUAACAAAUACUCUAUUUUUUUUUUAAAUGAACUAAUUUUAAUUAUAUUUUAUUUUAUUUUUUUAUAUAUUUUUAAUGAUAAACCAAACAUAGAAAAUCAUUUUUCUAAAUAUUUUAAAAUUUCUAAGCAACCAAACAUAAUCUUCAAAAUAAAAGGAGAAUAAGGAGGGACAAGUGAGAAAUGGCGAUUAAAAAAAAGUGUACAAAAGCUCAAUUAAUUUUCUUCUAGUCUUUUAUAUAAAAAAGUAUUGGUAUGUAAAUUAAUAUUUGGAUUUUAAUAGUAUUUUAUUUGUCUUUCUCUAUCUCAUGUAAAAGAGAAUUUAAGAUAUUUCCUAAAGCAAAGCAUUAGUUAUCUGCAAUCAGUGGUGAUCAUGGUCCAUGUCAAUUUCGGACCCAUAUCUUAAAACCGUAUAAUUUGCGUUUCAACAUUACUGAUUUCUCAGAUGUUUCAUACUCCACAGAAGAGUAUUGUUAGUGAAAGCAUUUUGUAACUGUUACUCAUAGUGUUUUGACUCUGGCUCAACAACAUCAGCCAUUGACGGAUUUUCAUACAUGCAAAUCAAAUAGUCUUCUUCCUCCCUUAGGAAUUUCGGUUUAAAUGUUAUUAAGCAUACAUUUGGCUGACAAUUAUUAACCACUUCAUGAUAUGGUUUCUUACCCUUAAUCAAUGGUUUCUAAGUGAAUAUAUGCAGAAGGAAAUCUGAACUGUAGACAGCAGUAUUGAUAACUCUCAAUAUUCUUUAUAUAAGAGAAUAAACAACGUCAUAGUGAUCGUCGCCUACAAGAAAGGUACAUUUCCCAACAAGAUGUAGUGGUGACUGCUACAUGGACGCAAUUAACUCGUAGAAAAGGAUAAGACCAGUGCACGGCAGCUCUUAUUUUACAUGCUAAUUAUGCUAACCAAAGUCACUCAGUUGGGAUGGGAGGGAGAUGGAGGUUUGUGCGGUGGCUUGUGGGGCGGAGUUGGUGGCUUCUUUUCAGGAGCUUGUGGCUUUUUCGGAGCUGAAGGAGGCUCAAUCUUAUGAGGCGGCUUGUACGAGUCUUCUUUACUCUCGACAGGAGGGUGACCAGGGUUGUGACCAUAAUGUGGUGGCUUCUCUCCCUUAGGUGGCUUGCCAACUGGGGUUGGUGGCUUGUGUUCAGGAAGUUGUUUCUCUCCCUUGGGAGGUUUACCAAUUGGGGUUGGUGGCUUGUGUUCUAGGAGUGGUUUCUCUCCCUUGGGAGGUUUAGUGGGUGACUUGUGUUCUGGAGGUGGCUUCUCCACCGGAGACUUGUGUUCUGGAAUUGAUUAAAAAAAUUCUACCACUCUUUUAAGUAAUGGAAGAUUAUUAUCUCUGAUUGGCACCACAACAGCACAUGCUGCUAGAUCUUUCUAGACACUCCAUGCAAUGAAAGCACAAUGGAUCUUGUAACGAUAGAAACUAAGCCAUGCUACAGUACUAGAUGACGAGGUAAAACUAGUAGACAUGGGUGGUAGUUGAUUACUACUCAAAAAGUACUCUUUUAUAGUUUGAAACUAACUGUUUUAAACACUUUUGAGUAGUAGUUAAUAAAUUUUAACUCAAUUGGCACAUUAAGGAACCUAGCAAGGGUUACUAAUAAACUUUUGGCAAGUUUUGGUGUUUUUGGUAGUUAUUCGAUCAUUGAAACAAGCCAAGAAUGAGGGAGAAUUUUGUGAAGUCCAUGGCAAUGCAAGUUAAAGCUCAAAUACACGAAGAAUCCAAGCUUUGGAGCACUACAUAGCCCUUUGCCAAGCCAAUUAGAGAUGCAAGGAACAAAACCAAAGGAAGAAAUCCAACAACCAACAUUUUCGCAUGGUUGUGUGAAAUUUCGCACACCAUGCGAAACCACAAGAGGUAGCCAAAGAAUUUCACAUGGUAUGCGAAAUCUUCUCAUGCACCGACUCCGUUAGAUUUUUAUCUUCAGAUAUUUUGUGUAAUUUCCUAGUUUCUCCUUGUAACCAACCUAGAUAUUUUCUUUUAUAUCUUUUUUUAUAUUUUUUAGGUAACAUCAUAUAUAAGGGGAGAGACAUAAGGAGGAUAUGGAUGUUUUUCAUAGAACACUUGUAAAUUUUCAGUAGUAAGAAAUAUACAAAGCUUUUUGCUAUGCCUUACCUUCUCAUUUUGUUUUCACCUGUCUUUCUAGCCAAACAACCUCUAAGGAUGAUUUCUCAGGGGAUGAGUGGCUAGGUUUUACGUUUCUUGGAGUGAGGGAAGCUAGGUGAAGGACCUGAAUGCAAAGAUGAGAGUUUUCCUUGCUUUAAAUGAAAGUAGUUGUUAAACAUUAAUGGUUUUUAUUUUAAGGUUUAGCUUUAAAUCCCUUAAAAACACCUUGAAUGACCAAUACUUGGUAAGCUUUUCGGAUUCUAUGGAUGCUUAUUGCUAGAUCCAUGGAUGUCUAUUAGUUAUCAUUUACGAGCCUUUGGAAGGUGAUUCAAGGUGAGGGUCUUUAGUGUUUGAAGCCAUUAAUGGGAAGCAAUUACCAUUUUUUCAUGAAUCCUUUGGAUCAAAUCUUAAUUGCUAAAUAUAAAACCGAUUUGGGAAAUAACCAUCCUUUAUGUUAUUAUCCCCAACGCAAGGAGAAGAUCCGGAAUCUUCCCUUUUGUCUAAGGAACCCGAUCCUAGUGACCUAAAGCUCCAAGAGACCUUUUCUUUGUAGUUAACUUCAUUUAUUGUUUUUGCUUAACUUAAAAUCAAUCUUUGCAACCACAAUUCCAUUUUCUUUAAAAGCUAAUUUUUAUAAGGAAAAACACCAUUUUAUUUCCUUCACUAAGUCAACUGUACGAUGAAAACCCAUCCCUGUGGACGAUCCUAGAGCCAUUAUACUAUGUUAGCUAUGCUACCCUAGUGUGAGGUGAUUUAGGUUUUAUAAAUUUUGUUGAUAACACCCAUCUGAGCCAGAAUCAAAUGGCACAACUGAACCAGGGACGAAUCAAAUGGCGCCGCUAUCGAGGAUGGUGCCAAAGUACAUUGACAUGACUUUUGGUGAACACUUGUGAUCUUCAUCACAAGUUUGGUGAUUUUUCUAUUACUAAUUUUUUUCUUUGUUUUUAUUUUAGCUUAUCUUUUAUUUAGUUUUUAGCUAACCUUAACUUUUUCUUAGAAUUGUAUUUCUUCUAUUUUCUUUGUUUUUGUUUCAGUGAUCUUUAGUUGUGCAUGCCCUAUUGGAUAAGAAAUAUUGAGGGAAUACUUGUGAAGAUUGAAAAUCCUCGAGAAACUGAGUUGGAAGUGUGAUUGAACAUCAUGGAUGUUCCACCUGAAGACCAGAAUAGCCAACAUGGUUAAGAGGAUAAUUUCAAAGCAUACCGAUCCAUGAGGGACUGCAUGCAUCCACCUCGUAUGAGUGCACCGUCAUGCAUAGUGCCUCCCACUGAGCAACUAGUAAUCUGACCUCACAUUGUGCCACUCCUACCUACUUUCCAUGGGAUGGAGAGUGAGAAUCUCUACUCGCAUAUUAAGAAAUUCGAGGAGGUUUGUAAUACAUUCCAAGAAGGAGGAGCUUCAAUUGACUUGAUGAGGCUCAAGCUAUUUCCUUUCACUUUGAAGGAUAAGGCUAAGAUUUGGCUUAAUUCUUUAAGGCCAAGGAGUAUCCGAACUUGGACUAAUUUGCAAGCCGAUUUUCUUAAGAAGUUCUUCCUUACCCAUAGGACCAAUGGUUUGAAAAGGCAAAUUUCGAACUUCUCAGCUAAAGAGAAUGAGAAAUUCUAUGAGUGAUGGGAGAGGUACAUGGAAGCUAUUAAUGCUUGUCCUCACCAUGGCUUUGACACAUGGCUCUUAGUGAGUUAUUUUUACGAUGGUAUGUCUUCUUCAAUGAAGCAACUCCUAGAAACUAUGUGUGGAGGAUACUUCAUGAGUAAGAAUCCGAAGGAAGCCAUGGACUUUUUGAGUUAUGUGGCUGAAGUUUUAAGAGGAUGGGAUGAACCAAAUGCUAGAGAGGUGGAAAGAAUGAAGUCUCAACCUAAUGCUAAGGGUGGGAUGUAUGUUUUGAAUGAAGACAUUGACAUGAAAGCAAAGGUUGUAGCUAUGGCAAGGAGAUUGGAAGAGCUAGAAAUGAAGAAGGCACAAAAAGUGGAAGCCAUUUCUGAGACAUCAGUGCAAGCUAUGCCUUGUUCCAUUUGUCAACCUAAUGCUAAGGGUGGGAUGUAUGUUUUGAAUGAAGACAUUGACAUGAAAGCAAAGGUUGUAGCUAUGGCAAGGAGAUUGGAAGAGCUAGAAAUGAAGAAGGCACAAAAAGUGGAAGCCAUUUCUGAGACAUCAGUGCAAGCUAUGCCUUGUUCCAUUUGUCAAUCUUAUGAGUACCUAGUGGAGGAGUGUCCUACAAUUCCAGUAGUGAGAGAGAUGUCUGGUGAUCAAGCAAAUGUUAUUGAUCAAUUCAAGCCUAAUAAAAAUGCUUCAUAUGGCAACACCUACAAUUCAAAUUGGAUGAACCAUCCAAAUUUCUCUUGGAAACCAAAGCUACCUCAAUACACACAACCUGCUCAAGCACCUUAGCAAUCCUCGAAUCUUGAACAAGCUAUUGUGAACCUUAGUAAGGUUGUGGGAGAUUAAAAGUCCAUCAAUGCUCAACUGAAUCAGAGAAUUGACAGUGUAGAGAGUACAUUGAACAAAAGGAUGGAUGAGAUGCAAAAUGAUCUGUCUCAAAAGAUAGACAAUGUCCAAUAUGCAAUCUCAAGGCUUACCAACCUCAACACAGUGCAAGAGAAAGGAAAGUUUAUUUCUCAACCUCAUCAAAAUCCCAAGGGUAUCCAUGAAGUGGAGGCUCAAGAGAGAGAAUCUUCAAAGGUGAGGGAAGUCAAAGCAGUUAUCACCUUGAGGAGUGGUAAAGAGGUUGAUCAACCCACAUCCAAGCCAAAGCAUAAUGAAGAGAGUUUUGUAGAAAAAGAAAAGAGAGGAAAAUAAAGGAAAGAGAAUAGAGAAAAGUACAAAGAAAGAUGACCAUGAGUCUAGUGUGGAUGAAGAGCCCAAGAGGAUAGUGAUCAAGGAAAAUAUGAUGAAGAAACACAUGCCUCCACCUUUCCCCUAAGCUUUGCAUGACAAAAAAGGAACCAAUAAUACAUCGGAAAUUUUUGAAGUAUUGAGGCAAGUGAAGGUCAAUAUCCCUUUGCUAGAGAUGAUCAAACAAGUGCCGACAUAUGCAAAAUUCUUGAAGGACUUGUGCACUGUAAAGAGAGGGUUGAAUGUGAACAAGAAAGCUUUCUUGACCGAGCAAGUGAGUUCCAUCAUACAGUGCAAGUCUCCAGUGAAGUACAAAUAUCCGGGCUACCCUACCAUCUCAGUGAGUAUUGGAGGUACUUGUGUGGAAAAAGCUUUGUUGGACUUGGGAGCAAGUGUGAAUUUGCUACCCUACUCUGUCUAUAAGUAGUUGGGACUUGGAGAGUUGAAGUCAACAUCCAUCACCCUAUCUCUGGCAGAUAGAUCAGUGAAGAUUCCAAGAGAGAUGAUAGAAGAUGUCUUGGUUCAAGUUGACAAAUUCUACUAUCCAGUGGAUUUUGUUGUUCUUGAUACGGAUCCGAUUGUCAAAGGAACUAAUUAUGUUCCUAUCAUACGAAGACCCUUCCUAGCUACAUCAAAUGCAAUCAUCAAUUGUAGGAAUGGAGUCAUGAAACUCACGUUUGUCAACAUGACAUUAGAGCUCAACAUCUUCCAUUUGUACAAGAAGCAUAUCCAUUCAGAAGAAAAAGAAGGUCUAGAGGAAGUGUGCAUGAUUGACACUUUAGUGGAGGAGCAUUGUGAUCGACAAUGCAAGAAGAUUUAGUUGAGAGUUUUGGGGAUCUUGAUGAAGGGUUACUUGAACCCUCAGAUUUGCUUGCUACCCUACUCCAUUGGAGGAAGAGAGAAGAAAUUCUACCCUUAUUCAAUGAGGAGGAGACACAAAGAGCUGCUAAAGAUAAGCCCCCAAAGCUUAUUCUUAAGCCACUACCCACAGAGUUGAAGUAUGCAUACUUGGAAGAAGACAAGAAGUGCACUGUUGUUAUAUCUUUAGCUCUUACCAUUCAUCAGGAGGAUUGUCUACUUGAAGUCCUUAGAAGAAGUAAGAAGGUAAUAGGGUGGCAAAUUUCUGAUUUGAAAGGGAUCAGCCCUUUUGUCUGCACCCAUCAUAUUUACAUGGAGGAUGAAGCUAAGCCAAUUCAUCAACCUCAGAGAAGGUUGAACCCUCACAUGCAAGAAGUGGUGAGAGUUGAAGUUCUUAAGCUACUUUAGGCUGGUAUUAUUUACCCCAUAUCAGAUAGCCCAUGGGUGAGUCCUACUCAAGUUGUGCCAAAGAAGUCGGGGAUCACGGUGGUGCAAAAUGAUAAGGGAAAAGAUGUCUCUACAUGUCUCACUAUAGGUUGGAGGGUGCGUAUCAAUUACAGGAGGUUGAAUGUAGUGACAAGGAAUGACCAUUUCUCGUUGCCCUUUAUUGAUCAAGUGCUUGAGAGGGUCUCUGGGCAUCCUUUUUAUUGUUUCUUGGAUGGCUACUCGAGGUAAUUUAAGAUAGAAAUUGAUGUUGAAGACCAGGAGAAGACCAUUUUCACAUGCCCAUUUAGAACCUAUGCAUAUAGGAGAAUGUCUUUCGGCUUAUGCAAUGCACCCACAACUUUCCAAAGAUGCAUGUUAAGCAUUUUCAAUGAUAUGGUGGAGCAUAUUAUGGAAGUCUUUAUGGAUGAUAUCACCAUAUAUGGAAGUGCAUUUGAUGAAUGCUUGGUCAACUUAGAAGUUGUUCUGAACCGAUGCAUUGAGAAAGACUUAGUGCUUAAUUGGGAGAAGUGCCAUUUCAUGGUACACCAAGGGAUUGUCCUUGGGCACAUCAUCUCCAAGCAAAGCAUUGAAGUUGACAAAGCAAAGGUUGAACUCAUUGUUAAGUUGCCAUUCCCAACAAAUGUCAAAGGAGUAAGGCAAUUCCUUGGCCAUGCCGGGUUCUAUAGGAGGUUUAUCAAGGAUUUCUCUAAGCUUGCAAGGCCUCUUUGUGAAAUAUUGGUGAAGGAUGUUAAAUUCAUAUGGGAUGAUAGAUGCCAAAGGAGUUUUGAAGAAUUGAAGCUAUUUUUGACAACCUCACCAAUAGUGAGGGCUCCCAACUAGCAACUGCCCUUUGAGGUAAAGUGUGAUGUCAAUGACUUUGCUAUAGGAGCUGUUCUUGGGCAAAGAGAAGAUGGAAAACCUUAUGUGAUCUACUAUGCGAGCAAGACAUUGAAUGAGGUGCAAAGAAACUACAUAACCACCGAGAAAGAAUUGUUAGCUGUAGUUUUUGCCUUGGAUAAGUUUCGUGCUUACUUGGUGGGAUCCUUCAUCGUGGUUUUUAUUGAUCACUUUGCUUUGAAGUAUCUAUUGACUAAGCAAGAUGCUAAAGCAAAACUGAUUAGAUGGAUUUUCUUGCUUCAAGAGUUCAAUCUCCAGAUCAAAGACAAGAAAAAAAUGGAGAAUGUGGUAGUAGACCACAUUUCAAGGCUAGCUAUCGCACAUAAUUCCCAUGCUUUGCCCAUUAAUGACGAUUUUCUAGAGGGGUCUCUCAUGUUGGUGGAAGUUGUCCCUUGGUACGCUCACAUUGCUAACUACCUGGUCACAAGAGAAGUUCCAAGUGAGUGGAAAGCACAAGAUAAGAAGCACUUCUUUGCAAAAAUUCAUGCCUACUAUUGGGAAAAGCCAUUUCUAUUCAAGUAUUGUGCGGAUCAGAUAAUAAGGAAGUGAGUUCCUGAAGAAGAGCAACAGGGGAUCCUCAGUCAUUGCCAUAAAAAUGCAUGUGGAUGCCACUUUGCUUAUCAGAAGACAACCAUGAGGGUGCUGCAAUCGGGUUUCUGUUGGCCAUCACUUUUCAAAGAUGCCCACACCAUGUGCAAGAGUUGUGAUCGAUGCCAGAGGCUUGGGAAGUUAUCAUGUAGGAACAUGAUGCCUUUGAACCCCAUUUUAAUAGUUGAUCUUUUUUAUGUUUGGGGCAUUGACUUCAUGGGACUUUUCCCUAUAUCUUUUGGCUACUCUUACAUCUUGGUGGGAAUAGAUUAUGUUUCUAAGUGGGUUGAGGCAGUCCCAUGCAAACACAAUGACCAUAGAGUGGUUCUCAAGUUUCUUAAGGAGAACAUCUUCUCAAGAUUUGGGGUGCCCAAAGCCAUAAUUAGUGAUGGGGGUACUCAUUUUUGCAACAAGCCUUUUGAAACUCUCCUAGCCAAGUAUGGGGUGAAGCAUAAGGUAGCUACACCUUACCACCCUCAAACUAAUGGGCAAGUUGAGUUAGCAAACAAGGAGAUUAAAAACAUAUUGAUGAAGGUGGUGAACACAAACAGAAAAGAUUGGUCAGUCAAGCUCUUCGAUUCACUAUGGUCAUGUAGAACAGCUUACAAGACCAUUAUCGGGAUGUCUCUUUAUCACCUAGUCUAUGGAAAAAAUGCCAUCUCCUUGUGAAAUUGGAAUACAAAGCUUGGUGGUCAAUCAAGAAGCUCAACAUGGAUUUGAGCAGAGCUGGGUUGAAGAGGUUCUUAGACCACAAUGAGAUGGAGGAAUUGAGAAAUGAUGCCUACAUCAAUUCAAAAAUUGUAAAAGAAAAAUUGAAGAGGUGGCAUGAUCAGUUGAUUUCCCGCAAGAAUUUUCAAAAUGGAUAAAGAGUCUUGCUCUAUGACUCUAAACUCCACAUCUUUCCGAGCAAGCUGAAAUCAAGGUGGAUAGGUCCUUUUACCAUUCACCAAGUGCAUUCAAAUAGAGUAGUGGAACUACUCAACUCCAACAACAUCGGGAGCUUCAAAGUGAAUGACCAUUGUCUCAAGCCCUUUGUAGAGUCUUUUUUCUCGCGACAAGGAGGAAUUCAUCCUCCUUGAUCCACAUCAAGCUUGACAAGACCAGUUUUUUUUUAUGGACUUAGUCUUUCUAAAGACUAUCGAGUCCAUAACUUUUUAUUUUAUUUUUUAUUUGAGAGUUUUUCGGUAUUAUUACUUGUUUUGUUUUUUAUUUUUCGUUUUACUUUUAUUUGGUUUGAUUUAACUUAGAUUUUUUAUGAUCAAUUGCAGGGGGGAUUUCAAAUAGAGGAAAAACCAAGAUAAUUCGCACACCCUGCGAAAAUUUCGCAAGGCAUGCGAAAUUUAUGGCUCAUUUCGCAUGGGAUGCGAAAUUUCGCACACCCUACGAACCAAUUUCGCACACUUUGUGAAAAUAAACCAACCCUACGAAAUCAUUUCAAAUACUCUACGAAAUUUUCGCAGAGCAUGUAAAAAAUUUCGCAGACCAAACACCAUUUCGCAUACUAUGCGAAAAUGUAAGGGGUCUACAAAACCAUUUCGCACCUCCAAAGCCAUUUCGCACAUUGUGCAAAAAUGAAAAGUCGCCCUAUCAUCCAUUUUUAAACCCCUUGAGCCCUGAAAUCCCCAUUUCGCAAGCACCCCUGUCCUUGCGAAUCCCUCAUUUUCCUCUGCCACCUUGCGACCUUGUCCCUCUCCAUUUGAUAUCGUGCCCUGCGCACAUCUCAUUUCAAAGACUCGCACUCUGCGCCCUCUCAAAGCACGAACCCAAGGCUCACAUUCCAUUUCCGACAUGGCACAGACCCGAGGAGCCCUUCCCGCCCCUUCAUCGAGACGCACACCAAGGUAGAGAGCCUCUUUUGCUCAGAUGCCAAGUGAUUCUCCAUUUCAGGCCACGGAGGCCCUGCGGAUUCCACAUUCCAAGGGUAGAACAGCCACUGGUCCUUCCUCUUCUAUUCCUCAGCGUAGAUAUGAGACGAGGAGACCACCUACUACACAAAGGGCGACUACUUCGCGCCAUGAGAAUUCGGUACGACACCCUCCUGCCAAGAGGGCCAGGACUUCAGGCCCAGGCGAGUCAUCCAAAGCUUCACAGCCUGAGCCUCCUGCAGAUUCCGAGGUUCCUACUGACAUAUCAUCGGAGUCUAUUAUCAAACGCCCGAUGCUCACAGCACCGCCCAUUGAGGGCAACUCUGAUUGUAGAGCGAGACCUUUCCACUUGGAGCUAUAUUUUAAUUAAGAGGCCAUGCCACAGCAGCCUGAGCUCCAAGACUCUUAUGGCUUACUACAGAGGUACCAUCUUGAGGACCUUAUGACUCCUCGUGAGUUCUUUUAUCCCAGAGUAGCACUAGACUUUUACCAGUCCAUGACUACUCGUGGCGUCCCGAGUCCUACCGCGAUGCACUUCACCAUUAAUGGACGUCAUGGUAUCCUCGAGGCCAGACAUAUUGGAGAGGCUCUACAGAUUCCUUUCGAGCUAGAGGACCCAUCUGUUUUCUGCCAAUGGUCCCCAAUAUCUCAGAGGGACAUGGUCCAUAUUUUAUCCAGGGGGACAUCUACAUAUUCGAUCCUUCUACGGAAGGAGCUUCGACCUGGGAUACUCCUCGUAGAUGUGGUGCUACUUUCCAACCUCUUUCCCUUUUAGCAUUCGAUACAUAGGCGAGGAGCUAUUUUGGACGCUUUAUUCUGUAUAUCAGAGGGCUUCUACUUUGGCCCGCACCACUUGAUCAUGGUUUCCCUCAUCCAUUUUGAGGAGAAGGUCCAUAGAAAGAAGCUUCAGAGGGCGAACACCAUUCCAUUACUAUUCCCGAGGUUGCUCUACUAGAUCUUGGAGUACAUGGGCUUUCCUACUGAGCCUCGGCUUGUGUGCCGCCGCCUUUGUCAAGAGCGAUCCACUCUCGACAAAUGGAAUCAGUUGGCGGGCUAUUCUACACCUCCAGGAGCCCCUCCCAUGGUAGCACCUCUAGUGUCCCCACAGGCAGAGUAGGGCAAGCUCCCGGUAGAGACUGCACCCCUAGUGCCCACACCUGAGGCUACUUCUGCUGUUCCGCCUACGACUCCUACUGUUCCACCAGUUGGUCCUUUUACAUCUGAGUCUUCCAUCAACAUCUCGACUUCGGAGUUUCGCGCCCUUGUGCAUACCUUUCAGACACUCACCACCACACAUACUGCUCUCUUCUAGAAAAUGGCUGAGAUGCGUGCCCAUCAGGACCAGCAGACUACUAUACUCCGCCAAAUUCAACAGCACCUGGGACUUCUGCCUCUGCCUCAGCUUGACCUUCCCACAUCAUCAGAGCCUCUAGCUCCAGUUGAGGAUACUAUUCCACCUGAGGACACUACCACAGUAGAGGUUCAGAUUCCACCACCUCAGGAGGCCACCACAGCUACAUUAGAGGAUGCAUCAUCUCCACCUGAGGCUCCCACUACUUGAUCAUAGGACAUCUCUUUAUCUUAUUGUAUUUACAUAUUAUAUUACUGGAGAUUUGUCUUUGUUUUGAUACUUUAUAUUCUGGCAUUGAAUGUAUUGCCUAAUGAUAUCUCAAUUGUACUUUCUCAUAUUAAUAUAUAGACAUCAAUUUUUUUUAGUAUACUUAGGAUUUUUCUAUUUACUCUACUCAUUACUCUUUUGUUUUUUUUUUUUUACUCAUGUGGUUUCUCCUAUACGACUCAGACUCCAUUUCACUCAGGAGGUACCACUUCUUCCCUUUAUUUUCAAUUGCUCUUGAAACAUUGAGGGCAAUGUUGAUCUUGGUUGGAGGGAGAGUUGAGGAAGGAAGUGAUUACUACUCAAAAAGUGCUAUUUCAUAGCUUGUAAUUAACUCUUUUAAAACACUUUUGAGUAGUAGUUAUCACCUUUUAACCCAAUUAACAUAUUAAGGACCCUUGCAAUCAAUUCUAAUCAAAUUGUGUUAAGUUUUGGUAUUUUGAUAGCUUUUUUAUCACCAAAGCAAUCCGAGAUUGAGGAUAUUUAUUUGGAAUCCAUGGCAAAAGAUGUUUGGACAGGACGUCCGGACACACCAUCGGAGGGCGGCGGAACGUGGGCUGUGGCAGGCUGUCGGAAUGACGUAGCAAGGCUUGUGCACUUUAGCCAAUGAUCGGGAUAACAUAUCCGAAAUUCUGCUCCGCCGACAUUCCACCCGGAUGUCUCACAUCCGGAAUUCUGCUCCGCCGACAUUACACCCAGAUGUCUCACAUCCAAAAUUCUUCUCCGUCGACAUUCCAUCCGAAUAUUUCACAUCCGACGCUUGACGCCGGAUGGGAGAGGAGGGCGUUUCAACUUCCCCGGUCAGACAUAUCCGAAUCCUUUGAUAACGCUUACCCGGAGAGUUUCGCAGCCAUUUUGCACAGUGCCGCGGUGUUCUCUUGAAGCUUCCCGAUAUGUGCGACCGACAUUUUGAGAUAUUUUGCUUUAGAUAUUUGAUGUCUAAAUCCCCAAACUCUCCUUGUAACCCACCAAUUAUAGGAUUCCUUAGUUAUUAAGUUUGGAAAAAUGGUGAAUAACCCCUUAUAUAUAGUUUGCAAUUUUCAUAAAAAAGAUAUGUAGAAUCUCGGGAGCUUGUUCCCAGAGAGACGCAUCCUUUGUACAGUUUUGGAAGGAAGUAAAAUACAGAGCACUUGCUCUGCUUUUCAUAUAUAUUUUUGUUUUCUCGUUCUUUUUAUUUCUAGCCAAUCAAAGUCUGAGGAUUUUUCCUCAGAGGAUGAGAGGCUAGGCUCUUCGUCUCUUGGAGUGAAGAAAACUAGGUAAGUUUCCACAUGCAUAAAUUGAAAGUUUUGUUGUUUUAGUUUUUAAUGAAGAGAAAGUGUGACCCGUUAAUGGUUUUUAUCUUUUUAGUUAACUUAAAACGCCUUUAAAUCACCCGGGCCAACACUUGAUAAGGCAAGUGGUCUCCAUCCAUUGAGAUGCACUAGUUUAUCUCUUGCGAGCCUUUGGGAGGUGGUUUGAAGGUAGGAUUUUCUAGAAUAACCAACACUUGAUAAGCUUUUGGACUCUAAGGAGACAUCCAUUAGUUAUCUCUUGCGAGCUUUUGACGGGUAAUCCAAGGUUAAAGAUCACCUUGAAUGGCAAGUACUAGGUGAGAGGUAUGAGCCAUUGCAAGAUGCAUUAGUGAGAGGGAUUUAGUGUUUGAACCCAUUAAAGGGAAGCAUCUGUACCACACCGGUUCGGGAAAUAACUAUAUGUUAAAUCCCCAAUGAGAGGAAAAGAAACAAGUGACCGGAACUCCCUUUUUGUAUAAGGAACCUGAGCCUAGUGAUCUAAACUCCAAGAAACACUUUUCUUUGUAAGUAAAAUCAGUUACUAUUUUUGGUUAGUUUAAAACCAAACCUUUUUCAUUCAAACAUCUUUAUGUUUUCUUUUAAAGCUAACCUUGAAAUGAAAAGGCACCAAUUCAUAUUUGAAUUAAUAUCAAUUGUGAAGUGAAAACCCAUCCCAGUGAACGAUCCUAGAGCCACUAUGCUAUAGUAGCUUUGUCUUUGCUACCCUAGUUCAUGGUUUAAUAGGUUAUAAAUUUUGUUGAUUACUCCCACAAUCAAAGGAGCACCAGUUGGACAUGAAUCAACUGAGACACUAAUUGGGCACAAAUCAGGAAGUUUUGUUAAUAAUGCUAGGUUAAUUUGUUAAUUUAGUUACUUUCUGCUUAAUUUUAAAAGUUUUCACUUUACUUUCCAUAGUUAUUAAGGAAAAAUUCUCAAAAUGAAAUGGGAGAAAUUGAAUUCUUACAUUUUUACUUGAAUUUUAGAAUUUGUAUUAUGCUUAUUGAAGCUGAUGAAUUAUUGAAACUCCUAUUGAAUUCAACCUUAUUUCUUCCACUUUAAUCUUACCACACACGGUGCACAUUAGGUUCCGAUUAUAAGAGGUGCGUUCUUAGCCUAUUGGAGGUUGGUCAAUUUGUUAAAGUUUGAGAAAGAUCUAGGUUAGGGGAGAGAGAAUAGUCUGACAUACUAUAAUCGAAAACUAAUAAACUUAACACUUAGAUCUUUGUGGAAGAGUAAGGAUUGGACCUUUGGGAGUGGAAAUUCGUUUGAUGCUUAAAUUUGCAUAAUGCUUACACUUUAUAAAUUGUGAUUAGGCAAGAGAUUUGAUGACUCUUGUUCAAGGUUGGGUUUUGCCUCUUUGAUGUUCCAUGAGAGAGUAUAAUCCUCAUCAUGCCACUUGAAAUUUUUUUUGGAGUGAUUAACAUGAUUUUGUAAAUUACUUUACUGUCUAUUUUUUUUUUAUCUCUCCUUCAUUGCUAAUGGACUAGCAAUAUGUCAGUUGAGGGGAGUGAUUACUACUCAAAAAGUACUCUUUUAUAGCUUGAAACUAACUGUUUUGAACACUUUUGAGUAGUAGUUAAUACCUUUUAACUCAAUUGGCACAUUAAAGAACCUAGCAAGGGUUACUAAUUAGUUUUUGGCAAGUUUUGGUGUUUUUGGUAGCUAUUUGAUCAUUGAAACAAGCCAAGAAUGAGGGAGAAUUUUGUGAAGUCCAUGGCAAUGCAAGUUAAAGCUCAAAUACAUGAAGAAUCCAAGCUUUGGAGCACUUCAUAGCCCUUUCCAAAGCCAAUCAGAGAUGCAAGGAAGAAAACCAGAGGAAGAAAUCCAACAAUUAGCAUUUUCGCAUGGCUGUGCGAAAUUUCGCACACCAUGCGAAACCACAAGAGGCAGCCAAAGAAUUUUGCACACUAUGCGAAAUUUCGCAUGGUAUGCAAAAUCUUCUUGUGCACCAACUCCGUUAUAUUUUUAUCUCAAAUAUUUUGUGUAAUUUCCUAGUUUCUCCUUGUAACCAACCUAGAUAUUUUCUUUUAUAUAUUUUUUAGGUAACAUCAUCUAUAGGGGGAGAGACAUAAGGAGGAUAUGGAUGUUUUUCAUAGAACACUUGUAAAUUUCCGGUAGUAAGAAAUAUACAGAGCUUUUUGCUCUACCUUACCUUCUCAUUUUGUUUUCACUUGUCUUUCUAGCCAAACAACCUCUGAGGAUGAUUUCUUAGGGAAUGAGUGGCUAGGUUUUACGUUUCUUGGAGUGAGGGAAGCUAGGUGAAAGACCCGAAUGCUAAGGUGGGAGUUGUCCUUGCUUUAAAUGAAAGUAGUUGUUAAACAUUAAUGGUUUUUAUUUUAAGGUUUAGCUUUAAAUCCCUUAAAAACAUCUUGAAUGGUCAAUACUUGGUAGGCUUUUUGGAUUCUAUGGAUGCUUAUUGCUAGAUCCCUGGAUGUCUAUUAGUUAUCAUUUAUGAGCCAUUGGAAGGUGGUUCAAGAUGAGGGUCUUUAAUGUUUGAAGCCAUUAAUAGGAAACAAUUACCAUUCUUUCAUGAAUCCUUUGGAUCAAAUCUUAAUUGCUAAAUAUAAAACUAGUUCGGGAGAUAACCAUCCUUUAUGUUAUUAUGCCCAACGCGAGGAGAAGAUUCGGAAUCUUCCCCUUUGUCUAAGGAACCCGAUCCUAGUGACCUAAAGCUCUAAGAGACCUUUUCUUUAUAGUUAACUUCACUUAUUGUUUUUUCUUAACUUAAAAUCAAUCUUUGCAACCACAAUUCCAUUUUCUUUGAAAGCUAAUUUUCAUAAGGAAAAUCACCAUUUUAUUUUCUUCCCUAAGUCAACUGUACGAUGAAAACCCAUUCCCAUGGACGAUCCUAGAGCCACUAUACUAUGUUAGCUAUGCUACCCUAAUGUGAGGUGAUUUAGGUUUUAUAAAUUUUGUUGAUAACACCUGUUUGAGCCAGAAUCAAAUGGCGCAACUGAACCAGGGACGAAUCAACAACUUAUAUGGGAGGGACACAAGUUUAAUUGAUUUGCAUUUCAACGUUAUAUAUAGGUAUGUUUUGGAAGAUUUGUUCUGGAAAUACUGCACCAAGUACGAUUCUUUUUGUCUUGAGUGGGUCUACUUGCAUGCCAAUUAACGAGUGGAAAAGUAGGAGCACCUACCUCAUGCUCGCGGAACCGAAGGUCAGUGAAGUGGGGCUCCUUUUGGCCUCUUGUGUUUCUAUUCCAACCAAGGCGGCGUAAGGAAAAACAACAAUAUGUUUGUGCUAAAUAUCAACGCAUGAUAGAUGUUUUUGUUUUUUGGUAUGUCAAGGCUAAUGAAUGAAAUGCUUUAGCUUGUUUUGUGACUGGAACUGCAAAUGUCCAAAUUGGAGUAUCUCCAUUUCUCACUUCGGAUGGUUAACUUAUAAACAAGAUAUAGGAAACAUGUGAACAUCUUGAGGAACAAUUUGAAUUAUUCAUUAGAAGUCCUGGGUUGAGUUCCAAGAUUUAAAUUAGACCCCUCUAGCAGCUUCAGGGGUACCUAGCAACCUAUAGCAUAUUAAUGAAGAUUUAGGAUUUAGACUCUAGAAUACAAAUUAAUAUGUAUCUCAUGCUUUGACUAGCUUCCCUACAUAUGCACAAAAUGGAGAUGACCUAAAAAAAUAGCAGAAUCUAGCUUCCCUACAUAUGCACAAAAUGGAGAUGACCCAAAAAAUAGCAGAAUUUCCUUAGUUUCUGUGGUUAAGGUGAUUCUCCGCUUAAUAUCACAUUGACUCAUUAUGCAAAAUCAACUGAGCUAAUUUUGUUUAUUUAUUUAAUGUCAAAUAGGAACUCCUAAUUAACCUAACCCUUGGCCUGUGUAAAUUGAUUUCACAUGCCCAAUGUUGAAGUAGAAGUCCAUAUUUUGAAUUUUAUUUUUGUAAAGGUAAGGAAAAUGAAGCAUUGUGUAAUUAUAAAAAUAACUUCAUUGGAAUUCACAAGGUUCACCCAAAAUGGAGCUACAUCCGUAUUCUAUCCUGCAGUAGACUAUAUAGAUUGUACAAUAGUAAAUUGCAAAUACAAUUAAUAAGUCUUGUGCUUCCUUACUAAUAAUCCUUUGACAUGAACAUUGCAGCACUAAGGUCCUCUUGGGAAGACACCUUGCACCCAUGAGAGCACGAAGAGGAAGCAAGGCAGAGUCAUGGGUGCAAUGUCAUGACUUGUUGUUGCACCAAGAGAGGCUUGGUGAUGGCAUGGUGUUGCAGUAGCAAGAAUGUUGCCUUGGUAGGGACAUAAUCUAGGGAUAGAUGCCAAGAAAGGCUUAGCACUCACAUGAGUUGCACAAAGAUGAAUGUAAUAGAGCAUCAGAGAGACGUCUUGGCAAGUAAAUGAAUGGAUCCAAGAGGCAACAACAUGAGGAGUUUCAAAUGGAUAAGGAAUGAGUCAAAGACAUUUGAAAGCUACAAGUUGGAUUCUAAUUACGAUUGCAAUUUGAGUUUGAGUAGGAGUUUAGAUUCUGAUUGUAAUUGUAGUAUGAGUUGGACUAGGAUUGCUUAUCCCUAGUCAAAAUAGGAGUGGUUCGUGUCACACCCUAUGAAAAGAGUUUGAGUAGGGACUAGGAUUGCUUACUCCUAGUCAAAUAUGGAGUAGGUGGUGCCACACCUAUAAAAAAAAAGGGACAACAUGAGAGAGAGAGAGAGAGAGAGAGAGAGAGAGAGAGAGAGAGAGAGAGAGAGAAAGAGAUAAUGAAUUCACUAAAGAUAUUGUGGGAGUUUUUCUUUGUUACGUCUUGUAUUAUUACUUAGAAUAGGAAUAAAAUACAAGUUUGGGCUAGAGCCCCAUAAUUAAUCUCGUGUGCCUUUGUGGUUAUUCUUUAUUUGUCAUCUCGUGUGGAUUGGAUUACAUUGACUUAGAGGGCUUCUAAGCACCACCUUUGUGGGUUAUUAUUUAUUUUCCAUUUCUUGUGGAUUAGAUUAGGUUGACUUUGAGGGCUUUUAAGCACCACCUUUGUGGGUUAUUCUUUAUUUUCCAUAUCGUGGGGAUUGGAUUAGGUUGACGAUGAGAAAAAUUAUGUGGGAAAUUUGUGUUGGGACACUUAUCAUAACCAGGUAAAAUCUGCCAAGUCCUUUGUAAUAUCUUCAACAAAUAUUUCAGACUAGUUCUUCACCAUAAACAUCAUAUUGUGUUUUGUUUUUCUCCUGGAUUCUGAGUUGAAUUGUUUCAAGUCAAUUGAAUGCAUCUGAAUAUUAUUAGCUUGUUUGAAGGCCUGGUGAUUUUCCAUUUAACUUUACUUUCUUUAGGUUAUGCUCACUAUAAGAAAAAUGAGAAAUAAUGACGCUUUUUACGCGUUAAGAAAGGCAACAGAUGAUGCUUCUCUAAAGCGUCCUCUUCGGCUCUGUCAUUAUAUGUGUUAGCCAAUAAUGACGCUUCUAGGAAGUGCCAUCUUUGAAUAAUGUUAAUAACGACACUCGUAAAAAGUGUCAUCUUUAAACAUAUUCUGGUCAAAUAAUUUUUACAAAAUUAGUAAUCUUCAAGCCGUUUCUGAAUCAUAUCUGAGCCUAUUUCUGGGGACCAGAAAACCAUCUUUUUUCCAUUCGCCUGAGAGGUCUGAUUAGCAUUUCUGGAAUCAAUCUCUAAACCCAAGCUUCCCUCAUCUACCCAUUUAACCCUCAUGCCCUCCUGUUUGAACAACUUUCCCACUAUAUACACAAAUUUUUUACCUUCUGUUGUUGGUAUUCGACCUCUUCCCAUUCCCAGCACAGAAUCCACCAUUAGUGCCACUUUGUGAAUAAAAUCAUCGAACCAGAUCUUUCGGGCGGAAGAUGAGCUCCAGAGAAAUAAAAUUUUUGGGGUCUUCCCAGCAUGAAAGUCAUAGGUAGCAUUAAUGACAUCAAGAAAUGGGGCACUGUUGAGAAAAAACAUGUUCCCAUCAACCACCCAAGAAUUGUACCAGACUCCAAACACUUCUGGAUUACAUAUGCCUUUACUAAGAUAUAUUUCUUGAUCUCCAUAUCAGAAUCUUGGAGACUCUUCAUUUUAUGAGCUCUGACACUACUGUGAAAUUGGUCCACAUCAAUCACAGGAUGACCCCUUCUAGCAAGAUCAAGCAGGAAGUCUGAAUUCGGGCCCAUAAAAAUGUAGUUCUGAAUAUUGAAACUCUCAAAGUGGCACAACAAAUUCCUUAUGACUCUUUCAGAUGCUCCAAACAGGCUCACAAGUAUAAUGGUAUCCUGUUUUUGCACAGAGUAAAGAAAAUAUCCGAGUUCUUCAAAACUCCUUACAACUAUUCCAGGAUGUACUUCUUUGAAACAGAAAUCGUACCACUUUAGCUUAGUCAGAGGUUGAAUCUAAAAUAACAAAACCCAAACUGAAAUCAAAAUCGAAAUCAACCCUAAUAGAUUUCAGAAACAACAAAUUAAAAGAGUAAAGCACAAAAGGGGGAAAACACAUAUGAAGCAAUCUCCAUACAAGCCCUAACCUUAGAUAAACCCAAAAAAAAAAAUCAAAGCAGAGAGUUACCAUAGAGCAUCUCUGUUUCAAGCUUAGAAAAUGUUUAAUGCCAUUGAUAACUAGUUGGCUAGUGGUGGACUUCAAGCUUCUCUAUUUCGGUGUUAGUAGCUCUCAAUGGCUAUGGUGAGAACAAAGAAAUGAGAGGCUUAGGGUUUGGGAUGUGAGGUUAUUGAUGAUGAUGAGGAUAAAGUUAUGGGCUCUUGGAGGGGUUAGGGAAAUUGAAGAUGGCUGAGAGUAAAGGCUAGGGUUUUUGAGAUAGUUAAUAGCUUUUUAGGGUGUGACUGUCCAUAGAUAGAAGAUAAAUGAGGGUGUGAGAAUUUAUAGAUCUCUAGGUGAUAUGGCGGGUGUGAGAAUGAAAUUUUAGAGGGAAUUGUGUGUUUGGUAGAAAUUUCACACAUGCAUAUAUAAUGUUUCAGAACAUGGCACUUUAAAAAUACGACAAGGAAGAAAUUAUUUAUUGACGCUUAAAUAAAGCGCCAAGGUCUCCAACAUUUUUGCAAUCAAUGACGUUUGUAAAAGGUGCCAUUGAAUAGGAGUGCCAUUGCUUUCCCACAAAGCAUCAUUGUUAAUCAAGCCUUUAAAAAACGCCAAGAUAUGUUGCCACUUAGGUUAAAUAUUGACGCUUUUAAAAAACGCCAAGGAAAAAAACGUCAUUAUUCAUGUUUUUUGUAGUAGUGGCUUGAUUCCUAAAAAGUAAAGGAAAGCAAAAAGUAAAAAAAUAAAAAUGUGGAGAGUUAGGACAUGCGUUAUCUAAUUGUCCUAGUCCCAAAUAUAUUAAGAAAGUCAUGUAGGUUACUUGGAGUAACGAGUCAAGUAAAGCAAGCCUUCUAGUGUUUAAGACAUUAGAUAUUACCGAACUGAUUAUGUCAUUAAUGUAUUGCAUUUGUUGUUUCUAAUAUAUAGAAGAAGAUGAAAUUAUUGGAAUAAGUGGGAAAUAGGAAUAAAUCCAAGGUACCAAAAAGUCACUUUAUCUUAGAUGUUGUUGGAAACAUAAGUGAUUUCACAAUAACGACUAUGAGACAAUCAAGGAUUAAUAAGAUAGACUUUAUAUGAUAUACCUCCCAAUUAGAGCCUAAAAAUAUGGAUGAAGCACUUAGAGAUGAAUCUUCAAUUUUUGUACUAUAGGAAGAAUUAAAUCAAUUUGUUAGCUAUUCUUUGGAUAUUUGAUUCAUCACAAGCUACAAAUCACUUUUGAUGACCAAACACGAAACUAAGAGGAUUGGGCCCAAUUCGAUGCCUAUCAACAAUGAUUUGUAUUCCACCUCAUUAAUUAUUCAAAGUUGGGAAGCUAGGUCUAACCACUUUCUCUACCUGUUCACCCUUAGAGGAGCAGAAGAAAAUUCUAACUUUGGUGCCUAAUGCCUUUGACAAUCUUUCGACAAAGAGAGUUCACUAAUUACUUUGAUUAUUUCUCUGUUGGUCACUGGGGGACAAGACUUUUGUAAUGAAGUCAACUAGAACUUGCCCUUUGAGGGCCAUUCAUGGACGAUAUUACACCAUGAAUUCCCUUAGGUCAUGUUUGGUAUGUGAGAAUGAGGAGUGGAAUGGACAUCUUAUUCAUUUUUUCAUCUAUUCAAAUGUUGGGAUAACUCAAGUGACCAUGAGAAUGAAAUCAAGAAUGAUUCAAGGGAAAUGAAAUCUUACUUAUAAGUGUGAUUUCAAUUAAUCUCUAAUAGAAAUUAUUUUGAAUCAAUAGUGCAAGUUAUUUUUAAAAACAUUUUUCCAAAAUUAAAAAAAUCAAUUUUUUUUUUUUCGAUAAGUUGUUUUUAAAAGGAUUUUUUUUAUUUUGUAAAAAGAAAAUUGUAAUUCAAUUUAUAUAAUAUAAACUAAAUUUUAUUUUAUUCAAAAAGAAAUAAUUUUUUAAUUAUAAAUAAAUUAAAAAUAAAUACUUUUAAUAAAAUAUAAAUAGUAUUAUUAUAAUAAAAUCAUAAAUAAAUUUAAUUUUUUUUAUAAAUAUUAUAAAAAUAUGGAUAUUAACAUUGGAUAAUUGAUUUAUUUUGUUAAAAUAAAAAAUAAUAAUUUUUAAUAUUAUUUUAUGUUAAAUGAAUUUUAAAAUAAAGAAAGUUUAAUUAUUUUAAGGUAUAGAAGAGCCAAAUUUUGCAUUACAUACAUAACAAACAAUAUUUAUUAGAAACAUUUCUCAAGGAGAAUCUUAUUCCAUCUCACAAAGAUACUCGUUUAUUCGAUGUUUGACCAUCCGUAACAAUCAUGUCAAUUCUACUGAUUUAAUAAUUCCUUUACAUUUAUUACUCACUUAUGAACAUGGUAUUGUGAUUUAUUUAUUUAUUUGAUGUAUAAUUAAUUAAUCAAUUUUUUAAAUUUCAAAUUAUUUUUAAAAACUAUUCAUUAAGGAAUUUAAAGCAUUAAUUAUGUCUAUUAUUUUUUAUAGUCAUUAUAUAUAUAUUGAGUUUUAAUUUAUUUUUAAAAAUUAUUAAACUUAUUAAUAAAUUCAAUAUAAAGUCUCGUUUCAUUUGAAAUUCAUUUCUUUAGUGAAAAUUUUGAAAAAAAAAUUGUUAUUUAUUUUACUUUGUUUUAAAAAAAUUGUUUCUAGAGAACAAUAAUCAAAUAAUGGUAUGAAUUUUUAAAAACAAUUUUGUUUUUAAAUCAUAUGCCCAAAUAAUUUUUUUUUAUUUAGCAAAAAACUUUGUUGUAGUAUGUGGCUCAUAUUGAGGGAAAGACAUAUAUGGAGAAAAAUGUGCAAAUGUUGGAGUGGAGCGGAGUGGAAUGACGACAUUUGUCAUUCAAACUUGUAUUUUUAUUGUUAAGGGUGACCGAUAGGUUGGUACGGUUUAGGGGUAUUUUUGGAAUUUCAUUACCUGAGGGUUAGUAUAAAUACCAUUUUAUGUAACCCUAAUUUUACAUAUAAUGUAAGUUUUCUUCCUUGUUCUUGUGGACAUAGGCAAUCCGUCGAACCACGUUAAAUCUGUGUGUUUUUUUUUCUUUUUUCUUUUUCUCUAAUUUCUUCACCAGGAAUCGUUACACUAAGAUCAACAAACUCUCAAAGAUGAUUUUUAAAAUGAAAAAAAUAAUGUAUAGUGUGAGAAUUUUUUAUUUUUUAUUUUUUUAAAAUGAAAAUAAAAAAUUGCUUUAAGGUAAAAGUGUGGAUAUUAUUGUUAAUUUAUUUCAUUUUUCAUUUUCAUUUCCAUUGUUACCUACAAUUGAAAUGGAAACAACUAAUCAUUACAACCUUACAUUCUUAUAUGCAUCCAAAUACAAAAAUUGAAAUCACCAAAUUCAUAUUCAAGGCAAAAUAGGAAUGAAAACAAAUAUUCAUUCUCAUUCUUUAUUCCCACGUGUCAAACAUGACCUCAAAGUUAUAAACAUGAACAAGAAGUCCUUGAAACACCAAUGAUCUCUUCUGGUAUAUAUAUGAGCUUGAUUGACAACUGUUUUAAAUACAGUUUUUUUUUUUUUUGUUUUCAAAAUCAAAACAAAUUUAUUUUUAUUUUUUAUAAAUAGUAGUUUUUUAAUAUUUUUUUUAAACCUUAUUAUGAAAAUAGGAUGUUUUCUAAUAUCAUAUUUUAAUUAUUUUCAAUUAUUUUCCCUUCUUUUAAGGAGGGCUAUUUUAAAAAUAUGAAAAAUGAUACAAAAUAAAGCAUUACAAAUAAAAAUCAUUUUUAAGAAAUAUAUGAAAAUAAUUUGAGAACAUUUGAAGUUCCUUAAUUAAACUUUUGUUCUAGAAAAUGCAAGAAAACUGUUUUUGAAAAUUGUUUUCAUAAUGAUAUGCAUUGAUCGUUUAAAAUUUAAUUACAUGAUAAAAAGACCUAUGUAAAAACCAGAGUUAUAUAAUCAGUCAUAGAUCAAAUCUACUAAAUAUGAAAAGUAAGUACAUAGUUGUAUAUGACUUAGAUGGAGCCUUCUCCGAAUGACAUUCUUUAGUCGGUACUCAUAUUUUUUUGUUUCGUGUCUUCAACAUAACACCUCAUGAUCCUUAAUAAAUCACCUGAAAACUAUAUUAGCACCUUAUUGUUUAAUAUUUCUCUAAAUUUUUUUAUUAAGCAAAUAAAUUCCAAAUUUAAAAUGACAAAUAAAAUUUAUUAAUUUUUAAAAAUAAUUUAAAACUCAAAAACCAAUUUAAUUGAUAUUAAAAGUCAUGAAACUUAAUAAUAUUAGAAAGUCAUGUAUCCAAAUUUAUUUUAAAUGACUUGUUUAAUUUCUUGUUUAUAUAUAUUAUAUUUUUAUAAUUUUUUUUACUAUACAAAUAAAUUUUAAAUUAAACAAAACUUAAUGCGUUGAAUUCAUUAACGAGUCUAAUAAUUUUUAAAAGUUACUUAAAAUUUAAAUACUAAAUCAAUUAGUACCACAAAUUCAUGGAAAAAAAUUGAUUUAUUACUACUAUAUUGUUUCUCUAUUGCAUAGAACCAUUAUUUUUCAAUUUUUUCAUUUGGCAAAUGAACAUCAAAUUAAACAAGACUAAGUGUAUUAAAUUCAUUAAUGGGUCUAGUAAUUUUUUAAAAUAAUUUAAAAUUCAAAUAUUGAUACUCCAAAUUAAACAAGACUUAGGUGGUGUUUGUUUUUUGGUUGAAUAGAAAAAGGUAAAAUAUUUGACUUUUUCUAUUUAGUUAAAAGUAACUUGUUGACAUCGUCCAAUAUAAUUAAAGUAAACCUAUUGAGGGCAAGUUCACUUUAAUUAUGUUGGACGAUGUCAACAGGUUACUUUUAACUCAAUAGAAAAAAUCAAAUAUUUUGACUUUUUUUUUAACUCAAAUAAUAAAUCCAUUAAUACAAAAAAAUUAUGGAUAAUUUGAAACUUUCUUUCUUUUUUUUUUUUUUUUUGCUACACAUAGCUAUAUUUUUAUAAAUUUUAUCAUUAGAGAAAUGGAUUUCAAAUCAAGUGAAACUUUGUAUUGAAUUAAUGGAUUUAACAUUUUUUAAAAAUAAUUUGGAACUAAAAAAAAAAGAUUUAAUUACUAAGAAAAUCAUAGAUCAAAACUAAUAUAUUCUGAUCCAUGAUUUUAUUAUUUUUCCUAUACAUACAAUUAUAUUUUUAUAAUUUUCUCACUAGGUAAAGAUAUUAUAAAUUAAGUGACACAUAAUUAAUAAUUUAAAUUUUUGAAUGAAUCUUUUAAUUUUAGGAAUAAUUUGAAAUUUAAAAAGUUGAUCCAAUUAAUUGUAAAUUAACUUAAAAUAUUAUAAAAUAUUAUGUUCAUAAUUAAGUACUAAAUGUAUAUAUGUAAUGAAAACUUAACUAGUUACAUGUUACAAAAGCCAAAAUUUAUUCAUUCUUUAUUUUAAAUAAAAUAUUAUUAAUAAUUAUUUUUUUUAAAAUAAUAUUUAGUAAUUAUUGUUUUUAAAUUAUUAUUAUUAAUUUUUAAUAAAAAAAUUGCAAAGUUAUUAAUAUCAUUAUAUUUCUAACAUAAAUUUAAAUAGUAUAUUUUUUAAUAUAUAUAUAUAUAUAUAUAUAUAUAUAUAUAUAUAUAUAUAUAUAUAUAUAUAAUUUAUGAUUUCAUUAUAAUAUUUUUAUUCAUGAUUGACGAAAAAUUAUUUAUUGUUUAAUUUAUUUGAAUUGCAAAACUAUUUUUCAAAAUUCAAGCGAGAAAAUAGGCCUGGAUUUGAAUUUCCUGUAGAAGAGAAGGAUGUGGAGAAUAUGUUGGGAGUAUUUGUGGAUAAAGAAAAGGCCAGGGUACUGAGAAAGGAGAGAGAACUUGCUCUUGCCAAAAGAGCCCUGCACAGGUAUUCUACUGAUUCUAAUUAUCGGUUCUUACAUGAUCAGAUUUCAGAUUUAUUUGCUGAGCUUCUGAAAUCUGAUACAGUAUUUAAACUCCGGUGAGCUUUACAAGAUUAGUCUCGCAUCCAAUUCCAAAUGGUGUCCCACAAUUGAUUCUUCUUAUGAUAAAUCCACCUUGAUAUGUGAAAAUAUUGCUCGAAAGGUUUAUCCUCGCGAGGAAUAUCCAGAAUACUAAGGAAUUGAGGAGGCUCACUAUGUUUAUAGAGUCAGGGAUAGGUUGAGAAAACAAGUAGUUGUUCCAUUACAUAAGGCCCUGGAGUUGCCAGAGGUUUUCAUGUGUUCGAACAAGUGGGGAUCACUUCCCUACAACCCUGUGGCUUCAGUGGCCAUGAAAUCAUACAAGAGCCUCUUCUCAAACCAUGAUACAGAGCGGUUUGGUGAGUAUCUUGAGAAAGUGCAAACUGGGAAGGCUAAGAUUGCAGCUGGUGCAUUACUUCCCCAUGAGAUUAUAGCUUCAUUGAAUGAGGAGGAUGCCGAGAGAGUUGCCGAGCUUCAGUGGGCAAGAAUGCUGGAAGAUUGAUCAAAGAAAGGGAGGCUCACAAAUUGCAUUGCAGUAUGUGACGUAUCAGGAAGUAUGAGUGGAACUCCAAUUGAGGUGUGUGUGGCUCUGGGGCAGUUAGUUUCAGAGCUCAGUGAAGAUCCAUGGAAAUUAAGGUAAUGUAAUUACUUUCAGUGCAAAUCCUGAGCUUCACAAGAUCCAAGGAGACAGCCUUGUAUCCAAGACUGAAUUUGUGAGGAUGAUGGAAUGGGGUGCCAACACUGACUUUCAGAAAGUUUUGACAGAAUCUUACAAGUAGCAGUGGAGGGAAAUAUGAGUGAAGAUCAAAUGAUAAAGAGGGUUUUCGUUUUCAGUGAUAUGGAGUUCGAUGAAGCUUGUGGGAGGUAUAACUAUUGUGACUAUGACUAUGAUAUGGAGGAAAUUGACGAGAGUCAGAAGGCAUCUCAGAAGUGGGAGACAGAUUAUGAAGUGAUACAGAGGAAAUUCCAGGAGAAAGGAUACAGAAAAGUUCCAGAGAUAGUGUUUUGGAACCUUAGAAACUCAUCAGCGACUCCAGUGACGGCCACAGAGAACGGGGUGGCCUUAGUAAGCGGGUUUUCAAAGAAUCUGUUGACCUUGUUUUUGGAAGGAGGUGGAAUUCUGAUCCCUCAGGAUGUGAUGGAAUUCGCCAUCUCUGAUGAAGAUUACAAGAAACUUGUUCUAUUUGAUUAAGAUAUCAAGAGAUUUAUCAAUAAUAAUAUAUUUUUUUUCUAUGUGAAAUACAUAUAAUAUUAACUGUGGAGUUAUCAAAGUUCUGGAGGUUUAAUUAUUUCUUCUUUUCAAGUUUUGUUUAUUUAAGGUUUUCUUUGUCUUUGUUAGGAAUUCCCCUUGGGUGGACCCAGCUGGGGAGUUGGAUUGAGGAAGUAAGCAGGCGAACUUGUGUUCUUCUAUGGACAGAGAAAAAAAAUAAAAUAAAAAAAUAAAAAAGGAGGUUAUUUGCAUUUGGAUGUCGUGGUUUGAGGGUACAACUACAAGCUCGAAAUUGUACAUAAUGUGAAAACUCCUGUGUCCAUUGCUGAGAACAGCAUAAAUGAUGGUGAUUUUCAAGUUGUGCCUGGUAUUCUACAGGAUGAAACAAGAAAGGAUCCAGGUGGUAUAUUGAACAAUAUCCCAAUCAUGUUGGUGGCAUCUUUAUUUAGUUAAUGGUAUUCAUUUGGUGGAAGCUGGUUGUUUAUGAUGUUUUUAAUUUUUUUUAACAUGAAGUUCGAUCAAAUACGUAUCUUAGUAUGUUUUGUUUGAGCUAAUUGGCAAAUGCGCUUUAAACAUGGUCACAUGGAUGCAGUUUUAUUUGUGAAAUGAUAAUAGUCGAUUACUUGGUCAGUAAGGUUUAUAUCUCUAACUUCAACAUCUUAUUGUAGUCUUUUAAAAUGUCAAAAGUUUAAUGCUUGAGAAAUUUUGGAAUGGAGACAUUCUAAACAAAGUUAAUAAUCCACAAGACUUGGUAAAACCGAUCAGAUGAUGCUUACGUACAUCAAUGCCUUCUUUAAGCCAUAUCCUAUUUUCAUUGAACGGGAUGUGCCAUCUAGUUUGGUUCUUUAAGCCUCCAAAUCCUAAACCUAGUCUCAAUUUAGAGCAAAUUUAGGGUGCAGGGCCUGCAUGCCUCCCCCUCCCCCUUCCACAAAUAGUAGUGACCUUGCUAUGCCUAUGCAUUGUCAAUGCCUCAUUUUCUAUGGUCUCCAAUGUAAUAUCUUAGUUUCAAUGUCUCUUUCCUUACUAUCUCCAAUGCAAUAGAUUGAUUUCAAUACCUCUUUACAACUAAGACCUCCAAAUUUUCUUGGUUCAAACCUACCAGAAUUUUUCUUCUCCUUUGCUUUCUAUCAAUAUUAGUUCCCCUAAUUUAAUAUAUACUUCUUUAUUACCUUCAACUCUACCUCUCUUUCUUUCUCUAAAAGCUUCCUCAAAGAUUUAAUUGCUUUCUUGCAUGUUUUAAGAAAACAAACAUGCUCAUAUUACAUUACCUCUACUUGAGAUCUACCUUAUACUCUACCUUCUUUCUUUACCUCCUAUAUCAUCUACUACAUUAGCUUCAAAAAUAUUAUUUAGUUUGAUACUAAAUAAGGCUCCUAAUCCUACUCUUCCUUCAACAAACUUUCUUUUUACAAGUUCCUUAAACUUUAUUUUUUAUUUUUUAUUUUUUGGAAAUUCGGGUUAGAAAGAUUCCAUUACUCUUACCUAAUAUUUCAACCAUCAAGUUGAAUCCACUUAUUGCCUAAAUCCAAGGAGUCUGCCCUCCACAAAAACAAGGAAAUUGAUCCCACAAUAACAAGGAGAUUGCCUUCCACAGAAACAAAGAGAUCUCCCUUCACAGAAGCCGAAUACAUUGCAAUCUAUUUUCUUUCUUGUAAGAUCAAAUCUUCAAUCGAGCUCCAUCUUAUGGGGGCAUAUUAGAGAAAUUUAAUAUUAUCCUUAAUUUACAUAUUAAUAUUUAUCUAUUUAUUAUAUAUUGAAUUAAAAUAGAAUAUAGAAUUUGAAUCAUAGUAGAAGUUUACUAUAAGAUUGAAUUACAAUAGUUAAUAGAGUUUAAAUUAUAAUAACUCAAAUACAUUUAUAUAUAUUUGACCUUACGAGAUUUUCUAUUUAUGUAUUUGAACUACAAUCCUUAUGAUCCUUAGGUCUCUAUACCUUCGUGAUGGGCUCCUUGACAUUUCAUAGGUUGUGCUACACAUGCAUUUGAAAUUUAGAGUGCAUUUGACAGUGAUUCUGGGAAGUGUUUUUGGCAUUUCUAACACUUAAAAUUUUUUAUUUUUCAAGUAUUAGAAAUGCUACAAACACUUUUGAAAAUUACUGUCAAACACACUCUUAGGAGCGCAUAUAGUAGAAAACUAGAAAUUGUGGUUUUUUUAGGAUUUACUGUAAUGUCAUUAGGAGGGUAGUAAGUUGAAACUGAGUAUGAAUAAAUAUUUCUUUCUUUGGGAUGUUCUUCUGGUAGGUGCUGAUGAAACUGUUCUUUUUACUGCCAAUGUCACAUAUCAGCCAGAAAUUGAAAAUUUCAGUCAAGGUGUCCUCGGUUUUAGUGGUGAGGAAAGCUAGAAAUUUUAAGGUGAAGUUCUGUUAAAAACCUUAAGUAGCUGGGAUAUCAGGCCUGUUUUGCUUGAAAAAAAAAGUUGCAAGAUAACUCAUAUGCCAAACAGGUUCUGAUAUUGUGAAUCUAUCGGCAGACAUCAGUAAUCUCAUCUUCUGAGAUGGAUGUUGGGGGUGCAUGUGGUGGUGGAGGGGCAAGGUUUCAUUUGGUUUAUUUUGUUGAUGGAUAUUGUCUAGCCCCCUGCGCCAAGUUUGAGGGGUGGUGGGUUGUGAUGGCCCUACAAUUACUAUUAAUUUCUUCCUCUUUUACCGAUUAAAGUGUCCGAACAGUCGAAGUUACCCUUAUGCAUGUCAACUUGAUCACUUACCUCUUCAAUGGAGUUUAUGCUGGUUCAUUUAGGAACUGAUUUUUAUUGUUAUGCAUUCUAUGCUGAUGUUUAGGCCUCUCCAUCAUCACUAUAUACAAAAAUUCUAGGUUGAUACUAUAGGUUGAGAUUUAUUUUUUAAAUAAAAAAUAAUAAAAAUAAAAAUUAUGGUGAUGUUUAGUUGUUUUAUGGAAAAUUUUAACAAGUUAUUUUUGGGCAAGUUUUCAAACAAAAAGAAAAGUAAAAGUUGUUUUGACAAAAACAUAUAGAAAAAAAAAAUCAUAGAAAAGAAAUAAUUUCCCCAUAUUCUAACUUUUUUUAAUUUUUCUCAAUGGGCAAAGGAAUAUCAAAUCAAGUUUGAGUAGGAUUUCUUAAUUUUUAAAAUAACUUACAAUUAAAAAAUUUUGGUGUUUUCAUUUUUGGACAAUUUUUUAUUAAGCAAAUGGACUCUGAGUCAUGCAAGAGAUAUGGUUGAUUAAUGGGUCAAACAAUUUUUUUAAAAUAAUUUAAAACUCAAAUACAUAAUCAAUGUCACAAAAUUUAUAAACAAAAAUAGGUUUAGAGAAGAUCUACACAUAAUUUUACUUUUCUAAUUUUAUUUUAUUUUAUUUUUUUGUUGGAAAAUAGUCUUCAAAUCAUGUAAGAUUUAAUAGGUUAAAUUUGUUAACAAUAAAUUUUAAAUUAUAAAAUAUAAUCUGGAACUUAAAAAUCAAUUCAAGUAAUGCUAAAAAAAAUCAAAUUUGGUAUAGAAUGACUACGUAAAAUUUUUUACAAAACAAAUGAAUUUUAAAUCAAGUGAGAUUUAAUGCAUUAGAUUUUUAUCAAAUAUAGUAAUUUUAAAAUUUAAUUUGGAACUCAACAAUAGACACAAUAAAUACCAAAAAAUAAUGAACCAAAAUUGGUUUGGAAUAACUCCACAACCUCUUUUUUUUUUUUUUGGUGCACACGAAUUUUCUUACUAGGUAUAUUGCUUUCAAAUUGAGAAAGAUUUACUAUUUAGAUUUUUUUUUUUAAUGAGUUUAAUGGUAUUUUAAAAUAAUUCAAAAUUUCAAAAAUUGACUAAUUACUAUUAUAAAUUCAUAAACCAAGACUAAUUCAAAAUGCAUUGGGGGCUAAGGGGGUUGAAAAUAGGGACAAUGGGAUGGGUUUGGGACAUGACACUCAUAUCUCAUUUCCAUUCCAAUUACAUAGUUAUCUCCCAUCCUUAUCCCAAACUUGUGUUGGAGCAAGUUGAUUUGUUCCCAUCUUUGUUGAUGAAAUGACUAAUAACCUCAUCCCCUCCUUAUCUUAGAUGUACAUUUUGUCAAAUUUGAUCAGGUAUGAUUGAUCCAAGCCCUAACCCUAAUUGGUAAUGACUGGAUACUACACCUAAUUGCAUUCUUCUUUCGUCGCAAAAUAAUGAGAUUAUAAUAAUCUAGCAAAUAAGAAAAAAUAGUAUGGAAGUUCAAUUUAACACCAUAACUAUCAAUAAUUUUAAGCUUAUAGAUGACUUAAAUGAUUAAAAACUAAUGCAAAAUACCAAAAAAAAAAGUUCAUAUAAAGAAUUCACAAGAGAACAAAAUGAACAAAAACCAAAUAUGAACAUGGGUCAACAUUAGUUAUGGAUUUGGAUUCCUUUCAAGGCCAAUCUUUGAACCAAGACUUCAUCAAAUCUACUACUUCAAAGGCUUUUGUGUUCUUCUUGGGUUGUGCUCUCAAACAAAGACUUCAAGGUGAUGCUCUAGAUGAUUGCAUUACACAUAUUUAGGGUGGAGAGAUUGGAGAAGCUUGAAGAUGCCAACGAUGGGUACAAUUGAGUGGUCAAUAAGAACAAUGUAGCCUAUGACUAGUUUGAUGUCGUGGUACAAGAGUUUUAGGCAUUGAGGUUAAAGCAAGAGCAACAUGGAAUUGAUUUUGGAGUCUUUCAAUUAGUGUAAAGGAGGAAGAAGUGGUAUUGAUUCUAGAAAUAGGGUUUUAGGUGGUGCGUUAGAGGAUGAAGAAGAAGAAAAAGAAGGAUCUGUUGGAAUUAGUGUGAGUGUGAAGAGAGAAGUAUAUAAAUAAGGGGAAGUAAAAGCAAAGUUCUAAAAGCUAUAUUUUUUUUUAUUGUUGGUGUAUGGUUGCAUGAUUAUCCCUAUAAAUAAUAGGAGUUUUUUUGGUAUUCUACUAGUAGUUGAAGGAUAAUUUCAUAAAUUUAUAUUUAGAGUGGGGUGGGGUGAGUUGUGACAAAAUUCAUACCCGUCCUAAACCUUGGUUCAGAUUUUUAAAAUAUCCUCAAACUUAUCAUAUACCCAACUUUUAUAUUUCAUACUUGUCUUGAUAGAGGCAGGUUAGGCCGGGUUACUUGAGUAACCUACAUAAUUGUCAUCCCUAGUUGAAAUACACUUUUUUGGCAGUGGCCACCAACUGAGCUAGAAGCUUGAUCGAUUGACCUACAAGAUUAGUUCUCAUCAUUUUAAAAAAAGUUUUGGCCUUGGUUGUGAGUGCAAUUGAAUCUAAACUGGCAUUUCCUUAAUGCAUCUACUUCAAUCCUAAAUUUCUUACUUCCUAAGCCUCAAUUGUUGUUAGGAUUUUGGAAAGCCCAUUUCCUUAAAUUGUAAAUUUAAGAAAAAAUAAAAUAAAAGUGAGACAUUUCUUGAUUGAAUAUUGUUAAAGGUCCCUUGGCAUUAAGACUUGGUUGAAGCCUUGGAAGAUUAGUGGAACUCUCAACUUGUGUUUGAAUCUUGAGGAGAGUGGACGUAAGCCAAAAUUUUGUCAAACCAUUAAACAAAUUGAGUUUGAAUCCUCAUUUCUUGAUUUCUUAUUUAUUUGCUUUUUCUUAUUAUUACUUGAAUUGUCAUUUGCAUUCAUUAAUGUUAAAAUUGGUUAUAAUUAACCAACACUAAUUCUCUUUCCCCUUCCCUUUCUUGGGUGUAAACCUAGGUUGGAUUAACUAGAUUAAUUUAUAAAAUCUAUUAAGAUGGUAAAAGAAUAAUUAUUCUUAACACACAUAAGAUCAUCUUCAAUCAAAUGACUCAUUGGCUAAUAUGUUGAAUUUGCUUAUUACUUGCAACUCAAAAUUGUGUUCUAGUUGAUAUGUCAAGUCCCCAGUGUAUGGACAUUAAAUUUGUAGUACGUGAUGGUAAUUAGAUGGUCCAACUCCAAGAAAGUGAUUGAAAACUAGUUCAAGAAAGGUGCAAAAGGGAAUUGUUUUGGUAUUUUCGUUUUUAUUCUUGAAGGUGGCAGAGCUAAAAUUUGUGAAAUCAAGCAAAACAUACUGAAAUUACAUUGAAAGAAAGAAAAUGGGAGUUAAUGUCUUGCAGUAGAUGAUAAGGACUUCAUGCAUGUAGUAUGACCCAUGUCUUGGACUGAUGCCAACUCACGGUUACACUUAUACCCUUGGUUCUCUCUUUACUACCUUGGCUAACCUAGAUCAGGCUAUGAGAUAGGCUCCUCACCACACCAUUACUUGCCCAUUAAUUAGAGACAUUUUCAAGCACUGAGGUAACAUGGUGACACCAAGAGGGUUUAUUCCUCGCCCUCCUCGCCCUCAACAAGUCUAGACUUGGUCUCAAAAAAAUGGAGAAAAAUGAGGUGUCGUUAUGUAGAAAUACAACAACCAUGCCUUCCUCAUUACUUUGAUUCAGAAUGUGAAGGUGAAAUUGAGAAACAGAAACUCUUGAAACCAAAAUGAAAAUUGAUACUUUUACGAAGAAUUACAACAACAUUGGAGGAAGACUACAUUCUUCCUCUUUAUUCCUACAUUUCUACACUACUUCUACUCCACUCCAUAUUUCUACAUACAUCUUUAAUCAGUCUUCCCUCCUUUAUAUAGAGCCAUCUUCACACAAAUUCCGCAAGGUAGAAAAGAGGAAUGAAACUUGGAGCAAGGUUCGACUACUGGCUGUAGCUUGUCAAGGCUGGAAGUGAACCUUUUUUCUUGGCUUUUCUGGGCAUGGGUAGUAACUUGUGGGUUCCUUUUUGGGAUACAAAUGGCUAGAACAUGUGGCACUAUCUUGUUGGAUGAUGUGUCAAGCAUGUGGCAGCCAUCUAGUGGCGAUUAUGUCAAUUUUGGGAUGGAGAGUUGGCAUCCAAUUGCAAAGAAAUAUGACGUCUACCAACAGGCAAUGUAAACCUAUGUAGAUCAUAUGAAGAUAGAGAGGAAAAAUAUAGAAAUGGAUAUAUACCUAGAACUAGCUUUUUAUUAAAUGAAACGGAGAGCCAACAAUGAAGGAAAAUAAAUUUUUUUGGCUUAUAUCAAAGAGUUCACAUUGUGCUACCCUAGGUUUUCUUAAAACUUACUUUUAUGAUAACAAAAAAAAAAAAAAACAUUAUUGUUUAAUCCUUUGUUUUAAACGCAUGUUUAGCAAGUUAUAAAAUGUAAAAAUCUUUCUAAGUUCAAAUAUGAAGAUAUGACAUCAUUUCAAGCAAGAUAGUCUCUAGGAAUUAAUGUAAAGCUAAAUUAAGGUGAAAUUAAAUUAGUUCAAUGCAUUAAUUUAAGAAACUUGACCUAUCAAAAGUACAAAAUUAGAUGAAAUCCAUUUCAAUGGUUAAAAUGAUCAAAAUCAAACUUUUUCUAAGUAUUUUUUAAAAGUAUCAAUAUUGAAAGACAAUUUUAUAUUUAGUCAGAGUUUGGACAAAACCAAAAAGCACACAAAAUCCAAGCGACCAUCUCUAGCUUGGAUGGUCGCUUGAUCUCUAGCUUGUGUACUUGGAAAGCAACAUCGAGAUGAUAUAUAUAUAUAUAUAUAUUUUAUAUAAUAUUGUUUGUCCAAAUUCCCUAAAAAUUAGGCCACCACAUGUUCAUAAUUCUCCCUUCUUGAAUUUGAAAACUCGGACAAUUGGACAAUGCGACACCUAAGUCCGGUUUCUAAAUGCUAAAGUGAAAGGGUAGGUAUGGACCAUUGAAAUGUGAUCACAACUUUUCUCUGUAGCCAUGUUGUCUCUUUUUUCUUUUGCAUGAUUUUCUCACCUUAACAGAAUCAUAGACUUGUUUAAUCUCUAAAUGGGAUUAAUUUCAUCCAGCUUUAAGCUACUAUAUUAUAUCUAGGUGGAGGACUUUUAAGAGUGCAACCGACAUAGAGCACAUGCAAGUGGGUAUAUGGGACAUGAAAUUUCUUCUUAUAAAGAUUGCAUGAUUUUUAUAUUAGAGUUGUUGGGGCGCAAUGUAUGUAGCUUGUUUUGCAGUUAAAUUAAUUGGAUAAGUAGACAUUGGCGUUUCUAAAUCUACUGUGAAGUGCUUCAUGUACGUGUGAAGUAUUAGAAAUUUCUUUCUUGGCAACUUGUUUUUUCUUUGCGGUCUACUGAUAGGUUUGACUAAAAUUAUAUUCCCUGUCAUGCUAAUUAAUUUUCACGUGCAUGCUCAAAAGAAGAGUAUGACCUUAGUGCACCAAAAUCACUUUGAUUAAUUUGUGAUAGGUUUUUGUGCAUCAUGACAUUAGCCUUAUUCAUUUAGAUAAUGUUUAGUUUUUAGAAAGUAUUAAGAAAAGGAAAAUAAAUAUUAAGAAAAAUAUUCUUAUAUUUGAUUGUAUUAUGAAAAAUGUCAUAAAAAAAUCAAAUAUAAUUUAAAUUAAUUAAUAAUUUAUACAUUUUCAAAUUAUUUAAUCUUUAUAUUGAAGAUAUAAUAUAAAUGAAAUGAGUUUUAAGUAUUAUAUAAAAGUGAUUUAUUGAUCUUGCAUAUAUGUAUUUCUUUUUUUUUUCUUCUAUUUUUUUUCUUUAUUUUAUUUUCCUUAUGUUUUCCUCAACAUUUUCCGGAACCAAACAUAGCCUUAGGAAAUCCACAAUUACCUUCAACUGAGUAUAUUCGGUUGUUUUAGCAAUGUUAGGCUGCUAACUUGUGUUGGUACGAACCUGUUAAGCCUAAAGAUGUAAUUAGUUAGGAUAUUCUUUUCCCUCUAGUCUUGUAGCUCCACGUGUAUAGUUGGUUAGGACCUCAUUGUAUAUAAUGCCUGCCCUGUUAUUGUUGAAGACAACAGAGAUAAAUAAUAUUAACAUUUUUCCUCUCAUCUCUCUUUGUUUCCCUCUGUUUUCAUCUCCUCUCUCAUCUUGGUAUCAGAGCCUCCAUGGAUUCUUUCAAAGAAACCUCCGAAUCACCUUCUGCUAGCAUUGUUAAUGUGCAAAACCCAUUAUCUCAGUCAAACAACCUUCCUUCACCAGCAGCCACACCCUCUUUUUCUUUCUUGUCUAUGAAUCAACCUCUCACAGUGAAGCUGGAUAAUGGAAACUACCUCAUCUGGAAGAAUUAGCUUCUGAAUGUCAUCAUUGCGAACAGACUCGAUGAUUUCAUUUAUGGAACUCGACCCUGCCCUCCUUGAUUUCUCAAUCUGCAACAACAAACCCUCACUCCAGAGUACUCGGUCUAGCAGAGAUACAAUCGACUUCUAAUGAGUUGGCUGUACGCAUCCUUGUCCGAAGAUAUAAUGACUCAGAUUGUUGGGUAUUCAACAACUGUGGAGAUUUGGAACGUCCUUAAUCAGAUUUACUCUGCCUCUUCAAUGGCGUGGGUUACCGAGCUUCACACCAAGCUUCAAACGCUCAAGAAAGAUGGACUCUCAGUUGGUGAAUAUAUUCAAAGGCUCAAAUCCAUUUGCAAUAGUCUUGCAGCAAUAGGAGAACUAGUUUCUGAGAAAGACCAGCUUAUCUAUUUGUUCAAUGGAUUAUAUUGUGAGUAUAAUUCUUUUGUUACCUCCAUUCAAAAUCGAUCUGACCAACCAACUAUUGAGCAAAUCCAUAGCCUAUUGCUUAGCUAUGACUUUCGGCUUGAACAACAAAACUCUGUUUCUCUCCAUUAUGCCCAAGUCCGUAUGGCUCAUCUGAACAAGAAACCUUAUAAAUCAACUCCUCAACCUACAUUCAAUCAUAUUCACAUUCAACCUAGAUACUCUUCUCCACCUUUUAAGCCAACCACUAGUCAAUAUCAACCCAGGAUUUUGGGCAAACCACAACCACAACCAUGACAGCCUCAACCUCAAUGGAAACCACAUUUUUCAAUCCAGAAUCAAAAGCCUCAGUGCCAAAUUUGUGGUAAAUUUGGACACACUGCUCUUAUUUGCUUCCAUUGCACAAAUUUGAACUAUUCACCCCAACCUUCUCCUAAAUCUUUCAAUACUGUUCUCACCACAAAUUCCCAGCUCCCUAAUCCUCCAAAAUUUUCUUACCCUACAAUGGCUCAUCCUGCUGCUACGCAUAACACGAUUCCUGAUACAAAUUGGUACAUGGACUCAGGUGCUACACAUCACUUUACUCCGGACAUCAACAUGCUUGACACUGUGACACCAUUUAGUGGUUUAGAACAGGUGACAGUUGGGAAUGGUAAGCAACUCUGUAUCUCACAUCUUGGUACUGCAAAACUACCAUCCUCGUAUUCUCCUCUUGUUCUACAUCAGGUAUAUCACACUCCAAAAAUUUCAAAUAAUCUUAUUAGUGUUAGAAAAUUGUGUUCUGAUAAUAAAGUUUUUGUUGAAUUUUAUGCCACUCAUUUUCUUAUCAAAGAUCAAGUUUCGAAGAGAGUUCUCUUUCAAGGUCAACUUGAUAAUGGCUUAUACAAAGUUCAGUCGUCAUGCUCUCCUUCUACUAUUUCCUUUCAUCCUCAAGUUUUCAUAGCCAACAUCAAGGAUCAAAAUUUGUGGCACAAGAGACUAGGCCACCCAGCUUUAUCUGUUAUUAAUCAAAUCUUGGAUUCUUGUAACAUUGCUCGAACACAGAAAAUUGGUUUUAAUUUUUGUAGUUCUUGUCAAUUAGCAAAAAGCCACAGGCUUCCUUUUUCUCUGUCUCCAUCCAUUGCAGAAAAACCUUUUGAGUUAAUUCAUACAGACCUAUGGGGUCUUUCUCCUGUUCGCUCUAUUUCUGGUGCUCGUUAUUUUUUACUUUUCAUUGAUGAUCAUACUCGUUUUACUUGGUUUUAUUUGCUCAAAACAAAAGAUGAAGCAUAUCCUACUUUUCUCAAGUUUCAAGCUCUCAUUGAAAAUCAAUUUAAUACCAAGAUUAAGGUUGUCCAAUCUGAUUGGGGAGGUGAGUUUCGAUCUCUCUCCAUACUGUUUUCAAAUAUGGGCAUUGUCUAUCGUUUAUCAUGUCCAUACACCUCACAACAGAAUGAGUGGGUUGAGCGAAAAAAUCACCAUGCGGUUGAAAUGGGAUUGUCCUUUCUUGCUCGCUCGGGUAUGCCCUUAUCUUAUUGGCCUUAUGCCUUUCAAACUGCCACUUACCUUAUUAAUCGUCUCUCUACCCCUGUGCUGCACCAUCAAUCCCCUUACUUCGCACUCUAUCACAAAUUCCCAGCUUAUACUCAUCUUAAGGUCUUUGUUCCUCUUGUUUUCCAUAUUUACGCCCUUAUAAUACCCAUAAACUCCAAUACAGGUCACUGGAGUGUGCUUUUCUUGGUUGCAGUUCACACCACAAAGGUUAUCUAUGUCUUGACAUUCAUUCUAGCAGGGUGUAUAUUUCUCGCCAUGUGAUUUUUAAUGAAGAUUCUUUUACAUUCAAGAAUUUGAAAUCUUCUCUCUCUUAGUCUAUUUCUUCUUCCUCUUCUUUAUUAGUUCCUCUGUUCAUUUCCUUGCCUCCCCUCUCCCCAUAUCCUCCUAUUUCUCCAUCUAUAUCUCAUUCUUUUCUCUCUUCUUCUUCUACCUCUAGUACUUGUUCCCCUCUCGUUGCUCCUACCUCUCUUCCUCCCUCUUCACACUUUGUGUCCCAUCUAUUCCACCUCCUUCUCCACCUUCUUCGAGUGUGGACCUGCUUGUACCUUGUGUGAAUACAAAUUUACUUACUUUUUCUCGCACUCACAAUAUUCAUCCUAUGGUGACCAGAUCUAAGGGUUUGUAUCUAUAAACCUAAGUUGCUAUUGAGUGUCUCCAUAGGUUCUCUCACUAAGCCUACUUCCUUUCUUCAAGCUAUUAAAGAUCCUUCAUGGAAGCAAGCCAUGGAAUUGGAGUUUGCUGCCCUUCAACACAACAAGACCUGGCAUCUAGUUCAUUCACCUUCCUCAGGCAAAGUAAUUGGUUGUAAAUGGGUCUAUAAGAUAAAGCUUUAGCCUGAUGGCUAAUUGAGAGAUACAAGGCCCGCUUAGUAGCUUAGGGUUAUCAUCAAACUGAAGGUAUUGACUACUUCGAAACAUUCAGCCUGGUUGUCAAGCCUUCUACUACCGUAUUGUGCUCAGUCUUACUUUUUCCCAGAAUUGGUGUAUUAGACAGCUGGAUGUUCAUAAUGCCUUCUUACAUGGUGACUUAGCUGAAGACGUUUUCAUGGAACAACCACCUGGAUUUGUUGAUCCUCUCUAUCCUACUCAUGUCUGCAAGUUGGAUAAGUCUCUCUACGGUCUUAAUAGUCACCUCGGGCUUGGUAUACUAAGCUGAGUACUUCUCUACUACACUUGGGAUUUGUUACUUCUAAGAAUGACUCUUCCUUAUUUAUUUGUCAUUCGUCUCAUGGGUUACUUCUUGUUCUUGUCUAUGUGGAUGAUAUAAUCGUCACUGGGAGCCACUCUCCUCAAGUUACUCACCUUAUCCAAUAGUUGCAUCAUCAGUUUUCUUUAAAGGAUCUUGGUCAUUUACACUAUUUUCUGGGCUUGGAGGUUCAUCACACCCCUACUGGUAUUCACCUCAGCCAAGCAAAGUAUAUCACUGAUCUCCUUACCCGGGCGGCUAUGUUGGAUGCCAAGCCAUGUCCCACUCCUAUGUCCUCCAACACAUAUCUUUCUCUUCAUGAUGGAGUGGCUCUUGAAAAUGGUUCAGAUUAUUGAAGUUUUGUUGGUGCCCUUUAGUAUUGUACCAUGACACGCCCAGAUAUAGCUUUUGCAGUAAAUAAAGUGUGUCAAUUCAUGCACCAUCCCUCUGAUGUUCACUGGCAGGCUAUAAAACGUAUUCUCCAGUACUUAAAGGGCACAUCUCAUUUUGGUCUCUUCCUACAGCCUUCCUAUGACUUCAACAUCACUUGCUAUACAGAUGCCGACUGGGCUUCCUGCCUUGAUGACAAGUGUAGCACCAGUGGCUACUGCCUCUUUCUUGCCUCUAAUCUGGUUUCUUGGUCAUCUUCCAAACAAAAAGUGGUCUCCCGCUCCAGCGCCAAAUCAGAGUACCGAGGGGUAGCAAAUGGGGCUGCUGAAAUUGCUUGGACUGAAUCUCUUCUUUGUGAACUUUCCACCCACUCGACCUCCCCUCAUUGUCUGUGACAAUAUCAGUGCCACAUACUUAGCUGUCAAUCCUAUUUUGCAUGCCCGCACCAAAACAUGUGGAAAUCGACUAUCACUUUGUCUCGGAACGUGUUCUUCAACGCUCUCUCUCUCUCCAGUUUACACCUUCGGAUGAUCAACUUGCUGAUUGCAUGACCAAGCCUCUCUCCACCCAACGUUUCAUCACUCUACGCUCCAAGCUCACUGUUCUCACUAGACCAAUGAGCUUGAGGGGGGAUGUUAAGCCUAAAGAUGUAAUUAGUUAGGAUAUUCUUUUCCCUCUAGUCUUGUAGCUCCACGUGUACAGUUGGUUAGGACCUCAUUGUAUAUAAUGCCUGCCCUGUUAUUGUAGAAGACAACAGAGAUAAAUAAUAUUAACAUUUUUCCUCUCAUCUCUCUCUCUGUUUCCCUCUGUUUUCAUCUCCUCUCUCAUCUGAACCAAAUGAUCCAUGUUAACCUUGGCUUGGUUUGAUUUGGCUCUAUCUUAGAGAGCUCAAGGAUCACGUCAACUCUGGUUUCUACUAUUCAGGUCCAUUCCCAUAUGAACUGGUUCAAAUUUGAGAAAAUGGUAACAGACCUUUAGUGAUGUUGGUUUGGAGCCAGUUGCCAAACCCGCCCUGAGCUUUACCACUAAUGUCAAGGGAGAAAGCCUUUUGAACAAAAACAAUAGCUUCAAGAGACUGAAUCGUGGAUGAAAUCUGAUCCACAUUUCUUCUCAUUUUGGAAACAAAUGAGAACUUAACUAAGAAGAUUCUACGGCCUCAUAGUGCUUUUCCUGAUCUAAGGUUGGUUCGUUUCCCAAAUUGUGAGAUGCACGGGCCAGACUUCAGAACUCUCACGCUCAGGAGUGUAUCCACGUGGUGGACAUAAGAUGGUGGCUUAAGAUCUGGUGUCGGUGGCUUUACUUUACUAGGAGAGUAGUGUGUCUUCAUCUCAUUCACUGCCGGAGGGUGGCGUAAGCAGUGACGCUAAGGUGGGGCAUAGUCAAUAUCAUUUGCAUUUGACCAUUAUAGUUUUCUCCCGGCUUGAAAGUAACCUUAUCGUGAUAAAGGAUUACUAGCACUAGUUCAGAUGACAGUCAUGUUAAAUUCGGACCAUGUUUGUGUCACAUUAUCAGCAACCAUGUGUUUAUGGUUCAUGCUUUCUGCAACUGAAAUUGAAAUUGAUAUAUAACCAGGUGAACUUCAAUCUAAAUUCUGGAAGUACUCAUGUGAGCGAUGGUGCCCAUCUGCAGAGUCCAUCAAUUGAAAAAUGGAGUGAGUGUAUCUAUAAGAGGGAAGGCUUGGCAAAUGUCCAGUUUUCUGGGAAUUCAACAAGGAUCUAAAAUAGAUUGUUUUCUUUGCUGAUUUCAAUGGUUGAAAUUUGAGAAGAUUGUGUCCCACAUAACACAACUAUUACUGGUCCUUCUGUUGCAAUUUAUCCUCUAAGGCUCUAGCAUGUCUUCCAAUUCCCACUUCCCUGUUACUCCAGGAAAGCUAUUUCUGUCAUUGUGAAGAAGAAAAGAGAAUGUAGAUAUCGAUGCUUUUAAGUGACUGGAGCAUUCAUAUCAGGUGGUCUGCAGCCAUAUAUGCCACUUUGUGAAGAUUGGAACAGUCAAUCACUAGGCUAUAUAUUAGUGUGGCCCAGCCACUUUAAUCAAGGACAAUUCUUCAUACUUAAAAGUCAAAUUCUGCCUUUAGUCUCAUUAUAAAUUGCUGUUUAAAUAUUAAGCAAACAUUUGUUUAAUGCGAUUAAGACAGUACUAACUCAAUACUUGUUCUAUUUUUGGAUGGAAAUGCUUGAUGGUUUCAUCAUUGGAUGGGAUAAAGGUGCAUUCAUGAUUAUGAAUACUUGUAGUUAUAUUUUCAUUCUCUUUUUUCUCAAUGAGACUUGUUGGCACAAUUUUUCUGUUCAGAAACCUACCUCUCCAUGGAAAAUAAGUUGUGAUUGAUAGUACUGGAUAUAUUCAAGAAAGCUAAAUAUAGAUAGCACAAAAUAUUAUCGACAUAAAUAGCAUUAACAGCGUACGUAUGUCUCAGUGCUCAUCAGCCAUAAGCAUGGGGCAAACACUUACGAUGAGCAACUUACGUCAAAAUUCCAGAAUAGGACAUAGAAGUGACAGAUCUAUAUAUAUAGAACACUGCAUAAGAGUCACAAGAAAGGAAAUUACGGGUGCAUAGCAGCUCUUAUUUCACAUACUACUCAUACUGAUCAAAGUCACUCAGUUGGGAUGGGUGGGAGUAGGAGGUUUGUGGGGUGGCUUGUGCGGAGGAGUUGGCAGCUUCUUUCCAGGACCUGGUGGCUUCUCUCCCUUAGGUGGUUUGCCAACUGGGGUUGGUGGCUUGUAUGAGUCUUCAGCAUUCUCUGCAGGAGGGUGACCAGGGUUGUGACCAUAAUGUGGUGGCUUCUCUCCCUUAGGUGGUUUGCCAACUGGGGUUGGUGGCUUGUGUUCUGGGAGUGGCUUCUCCCCCUUGGGAGGUUUUUCCAAUGGGGUUGGUUUGUGUUCAGGAGGUGGCUUCUCCACUGGAGGCUUGUGUUCAGGAGGUGGCUUCUCCACCGGAGGCUUGUGUUCAGGAGGUGGCUUCUCCACCGGAGGCUUAUGCUCUGGUGGUGGCUUCUCCACCGGAGGCUUAUGCUCUGGUGGUGGCUUCUCGAAUGGGGGAUGCUUAGGGUAAUCAGCAAGUGAGGGGGCGGUGAGAACCACCAGGCCAAGCAAGACCACUAGCAAGUAUGUAGGAGACAUCUUUGGGUUUAGACUCAGAUGGUGCAAAACUAGGAGAAUUGUCUUUUAUAGCGGAUCGCACCCAAUAAUGAAAUGACACGUGUCUUUAUGACCCAUGUGUAAUGGGGUCGAUUUGGGUCCUACAGUGUUGAAAACUUCGACAUCCACUUUUGGCCUUUUGCUUUCUCUACAGCCGCCUUGCUUUUUCCCUCUUUCCUUUUGUUUUCCUCCUGCCCCAUUCUAUCAACUAAACACAAUUAUGUAGUUGUUUAAUUCUUAAAUGAGAUAUUAUCCGUCAAUCGUAUCAUAUUUUAUCAACAGAGAACGGAGUGCAAUGUGGCAAUCCAAAGAAAGAAGAUCCAUAAUGCAGCUGUAAUUUUAUCGUUUACUUUUAUCUCUUGGACCACUGCAUUUUUGUUAAGAGGUGCAAUAAUACACGUCUUUAUCUGCCAUUCAAUGUUUACAGUAAAGAGAGGGCACAAAACUCUUCACUGCUCUGCAUGUGUCCCAAAAAUGCAAUUGGACAAAUUAUGAUUUGCAUGCUAAAAAGAGGCAAAUGAGGUUAAUUCGCACCAUAAUUAUUUUGUUUUCUGGACCCCGGGGCCCUUUGGUUGGUUUGGGGGUCAGAAAAUGAACAUCAUAGGGGGUUUUUCCCUUAUGUGCAUUUGUAUCUGAUGGCUUUAACUCGCCUUGUUACUACAAAGAAAUUGUCACAUAUAGGAACUUAUUCCAGGCUGAGUAUCUCCGCAUAGACCCUAUAAAAGAAGACAAGUCAUAAUGAACAUCUAACCUUUGUUCAAUUUGAUUCAAUGCCCCAUUGUGUCCACCUCACAAAUCUGAAUUAUUAUAUCCAUUGAAUACAUAAAUUAAUGAAGAAAAUAUGAAACCCAAGAUACAUCUCUGCACAACCUCAACCCUGGUUGCUAUGUUUCCCUUCUAUUCACAUGAGGAUAUUGAUUACGGAAUAGGGAAACCUAGCAAGGGUUUACUCGGCUCUGGUUUGAUGCUAAUUGCCAAACUUGCAACAAGCCCUGAGUUUGAAGCUCACAGAAGAUGUUAUACAGGCAGGGAAAAACCUUCAGAGUUCGCUGCCAAAGAUAAUUAUUAAGGAGAUAUCACCAAGAGAAUUCCAAGGAGUCUGAAUCAAAGACAAAUUGGUCGUUCGUGGAGGUUCUUACUUUCUUUUGGGUAUAACUCACUGAGGGCACUGUCUUUUUUAUUUUCAUUUCACAUUUAGAGUUCUGUUCUGGAAACAUAUAAAAGGAGCAUCAGUUUGUUCUUGGGUAACCCAUAGUCGUGAGUGGGUCCAUUUGCAUGCUACUUAGUUGAAAAGUUGGACCAUUUGCUCCGACGCCUACCUCCUGGAUUCCAUGCUCGGAUAAAACAAGAAUAAAAAAAUAUUUAUAAUUUACAAAUGGGGGAAAGAAAAAAAUGUCAACAACAAACUAGGAAAAAAGAGUAGUAAAAUUCAUGUCACAUGCUAGUGAGAGAAGGGGUUGUUACACUCACUCGAAGUUCUUUUCAAAAUAUCGCAUGGUAUUUUAUUUUAUGUGUGAGCGCAGUUGUGAAUGGAACGUGCAAAAGUCCAAAUUGGUGACCUUUAAUAAAUAUUUAAAACAAAAAACGAAAAAAAGGAGGGAAAAGGGAUCAGAAAAGAUAAAACAAUGUGUACAAAAGCUCAAUUAGUUUGCAAAUUACUGUUUGGAUUUUGAUAGUAUUUUAUUUGAUGUAAAAGAGAAUUUAAGAUAUUUCCGAAACAAAAGCAUUAGUUUGCUCCAUGUCAAUUUCGGCAUUUCUCAUAUGUUUCACACAUACACAGAAGAGCAUCGUUUUUUAAAGCAUGCAUUUAUGUUGGAUUAAUUUGGAUUUUGUGGGAACUGGGGCAAGGAUCACAUGGAAGAGAGGUUGACUUUUUUCAGUACUUCAAUGGUUGAGACAGGUGAAGGCCUGAUUGAUACUGAAGCCUGAAAUUGCGACUCCGUCAUUUGUCAAAACAUAUGACAGCUUCCAUGCUCUCGUUUGGUUGCAUUGUUCUGUGGUCAUGCAUACAUGCCACUUAGUGAUCAGUCUGUAACUGUCAAUCAUUGGGCUUUGACUGAACAACAUCAGCCAUGUAUAAAUACUUGCAAAUCAAACGGUCUUCUUCCUCCCAUAAGGAAUUUCGGUUUAAUUAUGAAGCAUGCAUUUGGCUGACCAUCAUAAACCACUUCUUUAAAUUGAUGAAUGAUAGUUUUUCAUUCAUUCUUUCAUUCGUUCAUAUACAGAGUAUAUAUAGAGGGUAAUCAUCAUUCUAAGAAUGGGAAAGAAUGAUACAAGGAAAUAAUGAUAUAAAGAAAUAACAACUAAUAUUCUAAUAUCUCAACUUUCCUAAUAUCUAAACAUUCCUAAUAUCUCAACACUAAAUGAUAUAAAGAAAGAAUGAUAUAAGGAAAGCAUUCCUAAUAUCUCAACACUCCUCCUCAAGUUGGUGCAUAGAUGUCAAACAUGUCCAACUUGUCUAAAAAUUUUGAGAACAGUUGACUUGAGACAUCUUUGGUGAGGAUAUCGGUCAAUUGAUCUUCUGAUCGAAUCUUAGGCAAUUCCACAAUCUUAUCAUCCAACUUUUCCUUAAUGAAAAAUCUAUCCAUCUCGACAUGCUUUGUACGAUCAUGUUGUACUAGAUUAUGAGCAAUGUCACAUGCUGCUUUAUUGUCACAAAACAAUCGGAUUGGUUGCCUAGAUAGGUAACCUAAAUCCUAUAAGAGGAGUCUUAGCCAUAAUGCCUCACAAAGUCCUAAAGUCAUACCUCUAAAUUCCGCUUCUGCACUUGAACGAGCGACGACAUUUUGCUUCUUACUUUUCCAUGUCACAAGAUUACCACCUACAAAGGUAAAGUAACCAGAUGUAGAUCGCCUAUCAUCCACUGCACCGACCCAAACAGCAUUAUACUUCUAUACUCUGAUGAUCAACAUUUUUAGCGAACAAAAUUCCCUUCCUAGGAGCAUUCUUCAAAUACCUCAAAAUACGCAUGACUACAUUCAUAUGUUGCUCUCCAGGAUUAUGCAUGUAUUGACUCACUACACUCAAUGUAUAAGCAAGAUCUAGUCUUGUAUGAGCUAAGUACAUUAAUCUCCCCACAAGUCUCUGGUAUCUUCCCUUAUCGAUUGAUACUUGAUUAGGCUCAACACACAAUUUCAGACCUUCUUCUAUUGGUGUAUUAAUAGGUUGACAUCCCGACAUUCCAGUUUCCUGUAGAAGAUCUAAGGCAUACUUUCUUUGAGACAGAAAAAUUCCUUCACUUGAUCGAGAAACUUCAAUCCCAAGAAAGUAUUUCAGACGACCAAGAUCUUUCAUUUCAAAUUCUCUAGAUAGAUACUUUUGCAAAGCUUUUCUUUCUUCAGGAUCAUUUCCUGUAACUACAUGUCAUCCACAUAUAUCAUAAGUGUCGUAAUCUUACCAUGUUGCUUUUUCAAGAACAAAGUGUGAUUUGAAUUACUUUGAUGAUAGCCAAAAGCUCUCAUUGAUUUUGUGAACCUUCCAAACCAUGCUCUCGGGGAUUGCUUCAACCCAUACAAUGACUUCUUCAAUUCGCACACCUUCUGACAUUGCUUUUCUGACACCAUGCAUCCUGGUGGAAGAUCCAUAUAUACUUCUUCAGAUAAAUCGCCAUGCAGAAAGACAUUUUUUACAUCGAACUAUUGUAAUGGCCAAUCUAGGUUUGCAGCUAAAGACAAUAAUACUCGAACUGUGUUGAUCUUAGCUACAGGUGCAAAUGUCUCUGUGUAGUCAAUUCCAUAAGUUUGAAUGUACCCACUAGUCUUGCUUUAAAUCGUUCAAUACUACCAUCUGCCUUGUACUUCACAGUAUAGAUCCAACGACACCCAACUAGCUUCUUUCCUGGUGGACAUUCUACGAGUUCCCAUGUUUCAUUUUUCUGCAAUGAUUUCAUCUCUUCAUUCAUGGUUGCUUUCCACUUUGGAUCAGCUAAAGCUUCCUGCACACUAUUAGGAAUAGCUACAGUAGAUAAUUGAUUUACAAAUGACUUAUUUGAUUCAGACAAACCAUGGUGUGGACCCGCAUUUUUCACGUGCGCCUCUACUCGAUCGGCGAGACUCGCUUUCUAUUUGUGAAAAAUUAAUUUUAGAAAAGUUGGAGUCGCCACCUAUUUUAUUUUUAUUUUGAAGGGAAAAUAAAACAAGAAAGAAAAACCCUAAAAAGUGACUCCAUAGUUUUGGAAAAAGCAUGUCUUUGGGAAACCUGAGUCUAGGUCCGGGGAUCAUGUUACUUAUUGGGAAGGUACCUCUAGGAGGUAGCACCCCUCUAAGCCUUAUGAAGGUCUCUACUAACUAAAUUAAGGGAAGUGUGGCAAUAAAUCGAUUGAUCAUAGAUACCUAAGUAGACUAGGUGAUUUUAAAGUGUGGCAUGUCAAACACAAUCAAAUUGCAAUAAAGGAGAGUUAGGGCGCGUACCUGAACCGCUUCUCAAGCGCUAUCAUAAAACAUCAAUGGUUAAUUUAAAUAAUAUAUCAUCCAGCAUGUAUUUUAUUAGAAAUAAUCAAACAAUGAAACAUGUAUAUCAGAACACUCAAGCAUUAUUAGACAUAAGCAUUAUUUCACUAUUCACAGAAUUCAGAAAGUAGGUGAUAGAGGACAUACCUGGAUAGCAUAGAUAAUUUGUAAUGUGCUUCCUCAAGUUGUAAGGGGUUAGAUAACAAAUAAUAAAAUAUAGAAAUCCUAGCAUGCUCGUUAUCUAAUUAGCAUAGCAAAAGUGAUCACAGUAUACAGAAUCAUCAAUUAUCACAUACAUCUUGUAUAUAAUUCCUAAAAAAAAUAGAUAGACAUGAUUUCAACAAGUGUCAAAUGUGGCAACAAAAAUAAAUUUUGAAAAGAUUUUCUUAUGUAGGGGUUUCACCAAUUCCCCAAAUUAAUAUACACGAAUUUAGCUUAGAAUUAUCCCAUUUAUUUGGGACUACAAGCUUUGAUUCGUGUUUUUGUUCAAAACCAAAAAUUUUUGUUGAAAAUCAAGAAGGAUGCGAACCGAACAAGAUAUGGUUGCAUAUUAUUUUUAAAUAAAUAAAUAAAUAAAUAAAGGAGAUUUUGAUCCUGAGGACUUUAAUGAGUUUUUUUUUUUAAAAUAGAUUUUUAAAAUGAUUUUUUUGAGAAAAGUAUUUUAUUUUAAAAUAAAAGGGAUUAAUUUGGGAAAAAAAUAAAAUAUAAGAAAUAAAAUACCAAACAAAACAAAAAUGAAACCUCAAAGUAAAAUUUUUUUAGUAAUUAACAAAAAUGAUAAUGGUGAUGGUAGAGGGCAAUCUUCAUGAUUUUCCAAUGGCCUCAGAAAGAAAAUCAAAUUAAAUGAAGGAUCACUAACAGGCAAGACAUUCUAAAUUAGACAAACUAACAAAGUAUCAAUUCAUGAACUAACCGCUAGGAUUUUGAAAGCAUAUAAGCUAAGAUAAGGGUGAUCAGGAACUAAUAUUAAUGAUUUUGAAAUAAAAACUAAAAAAAAGGAUCAAUUCGGGUAAGGAACUAAAAUUAUAAAAGUACCUAAACUAAUUAUGACGAGUUUGACUAAAUUAAACUAAAAACAUGAACUUUCAAACAUAGAAUUAAUUUUACUAAUGAACCAAAGCAAACUAAAAAUAUGUACUUUCAAGCAUAGAAUUAAUUUUAUUGAUGAACUAAACUAUAACAAAUAUCUAAACUAAAUAUAAUGAAUCAAAUUAAAUUAAAGCAACUUAAAAACGCAAACUUUCAAACAUAGAAUCAAUUUUAUCAAUGAAUUAAAACUAUAAAUGUAUUUGAACUAAAUAGAUGAAUCAAACUAAAUCAGAGCAAAAUUAAAAAAAAAAAAGAACUUUCUAACAUGAAAUCAAUUUUAUCAACAAAUAAAUGAAUGAAUAACAAGUAAUUAAAAGAAUAGCUACUACAUGAAUAACUGAAUGAAUAAAAUUCAAAUGUUUUCAAUCUGAAGCAAUCAAUCAAAAUUAAAUAGGGAUCAAAUCAAAAUAAUCGAAAUCGGAAAAACAAUAUGCAAUCUUUCUAAAGGUUUAACCAGACAAUUGAAUUAAAAUUAUGAAUAGAAUAAAUUAAUAAACCAAAUCGAAACCUAAAUUGUACCUAAAAAGAUUAAUUAAUUAAACUAAGAAAUCAAAAUCAAUAACAAAACUAAACUAAGGAGUAAAUUAAGACAAGACUAAUUAAAUUAAACUCACAAACACGUUUUAACUAUCAUAUGGAUUAAAACAAAAUUAGCAUGGACUUAUGAAUUACGAACAAAAAUAAUCAAAACUAUUUUAAAAAACUCACCUCUAUUAUAAGAAAAAAUCUGCCUUUGAUGCGUUGAGGUGGCUCCCCUCUCUGUGUGGAUCUCUCUGCUCCCCAGAAAAAAAAUGUCUCUUCCUCCGUUCUCUUUUGUUUCAGCAAAAUAAUAUAUCCCCUGCUGUGGAUCUCUCUACUCCCAGAAAAUAAUAUAUUCUCUCCGUGUCCUAAAGUGGACCUAGGGUGCCUAAGUGGACCUAGGGUGCCUAAAUGGGCCUAGGGUGCCUAAAUGGGCCAAGUGUAUCUAAAUAGGCUUAGGGUGCCUAAGUGGGCCUAAGUCUAAGUGAGCCUAAGUCUAAAUCAAGACUACCAAGGAUCAUAAUAAGGGGUUAGGCAAUCCCUUAACCAAAGUCUCCAAGGUGGCUAAAAAAAAGUAAGUAGUAUGAGUAGCUAUGGGUCACCAAGGAACUACUGUGGAGCAUUGAAAACGAAUUUAAAGACAUGUGCCAAAGGGACAAAAUUGAGGGUCUACAGAUGGUUAGACACAUAGUUGCUCAUGGGAUAUUUGACUUUGGUAAACAAUUCAGAUUCAUAUGUGGGUUUAGGAAUACCUUUAUUAUGACGGUGUGGUAAUCGUUUCAUGAAUGGAUCAGGUUGCAAAUUAAGAACACCCUCAGCAAACAACGAUUGGUUUGGUAUUUCAGUGAAGACAUCUUCGAACCCAAAUUGUUGACCACUCAUAUCCAACUCACCCGCUUCCUGGUUCACUAGUUCAGAUUGUCCAAAUUCAUCAUUCUCAUAGAUAUGAUAAUCAUAAUCGAGAGUCUGAAUUUCCUUAUGGUACUCCCCCUGAAGUUCAGACUUAGAUGAAAAAUACAUCGAAUAUUCAUGAAACAGCNNNNNNNNNNNNNNNNNNNNNNNNNNNNNNNNNNNNNNNNNNNNNNNNNNNNNNNNNNNNNNNNNNNNNNNNNNNNNNNNNNNNNNNNNNNNNNNNNNNNNNNNNNNNNNNNNNNNNNNNNNNNNNNNNNNNNNNNNNNNNNNNNNNNNNNNNNNNNNNNNNNNNNNNNNNNNNNNNNNNNNNNNNNNNNNNNNNNNNNNNNNNNNNNNNNNNNNNNNNNNNNNNNNNNNNNNNNNNNNNNNNNNNNNNNNNNNNNNNNNNNNNNNNNNNNNNNNNNNNNNNNNNNNNNNNNNNNNNNNNNNNNNNNNNNNNNNNNNNNNNNNNNNNNNNNNNNNNNNNNNNNNNNNNNNNNNNNNNNNNNNNNNNNNNNNNNNNNNNNNNNNNNNNNNNNNNNNNNNNNNNNNNNNNNNNNNNNNNNNNNNNNNNNNNNNNNNNNNNNNNNNNNNNNNNNNNNNNNNNNNNNNNNNNNNNNNNNNNNNNNNNNNNNNNNNNNNNNNNNNNNNNNNNNNNNNNNNNNNNNNNNNNNNNNNNNNNNNNNNNNNNNNNNNNNNNNNNNNNNNNNNNNNNNNNNNNNNNNNNNNNNNNNNNNNNNNNNNNNNNNNNNNNNNNNNNNNNNNNNNNNNNNNNNNNNNNNNNNNNNNNNNNNNNNNNNNNNNNNNNNNNNNNNNNNNNNNNNNNNNNNNNNNNNNNNNNNNNNNNNNNNNNNNNNNNNNNNNNNNNNNNNNNNNNNNNNNNNNNNNNNNNNNNNNNNNNNNNNNNNNNNNNNNNNNNNNNNNNNNNNNNNNNNNNNNNNNNNNNNNNNNNNNNNNNNNNNNNNNNNNNNNNNNNNNNNNNNNNNNNNNNNNNNNNNNNNNNNNNNNNNNNNNNNNNNNNNNNNNNNNNNNNNNNNNNNNNNNNNNNNNNNNNNNNNNNNNNNNNNNNNNNNNNNNNNNNNNNNNNNNNNNNNNNNNNNNNNNNNNNNNNNNNNNNNNNNNNNNNNNNNNNNNNNNNNNNNNNNNNNNNNNNNNNNNNNNNNNNNNNNNNNNNNNNNNNNNNNNNNNNNNNNNNNNNNNNNNNNNNNNNNNNNNNNNNNNNNNNNNNNNNNNNNNNNNNNNNNNNNNNNNNNNNNNNNNNNNNNNNNNNNNNNNNNNNNNNNNNNNNNNNNNNNNNNNNNNNNNNNNNNNNNNNNNNNNNNNNNNNNNNNNNNNNNNNNNNNNNNNNNNNNNNNNNNNNNNNNNNNNNNNNNNNNNNNNNNNNNNNNNNNNNNNNNNNNNNNNNNNNNNNNNNNNNNNNNNNNNNNNNNNNNNNNNNNNNNNNNNNNNNNNNNNNNNNNNNNNNNNNNNNNNNNNNNNNNNNNNNNNNNNNNNNNNNNNNNNNNNNNNNNNNNNNNNNNNNNNNNNNNNNNNNNNNNNNNNNNNNNNNNNNNNNNNNNNNNNNNNNNNNNNNNNNNNNNNNNNNNNNNNNNNNNNNNNNNNNNNNNNNNNNNNNNNNNNNNNNNNNNNNNNNNNNNNNNNNNNNNNNNNNNNNNNNNNNNNNNNAACCAAAGGAAGCAUGUUCCAGACGUCGAUGCCACAACCAAAUUUCAGACUUUUUCUUCUCCUCCUUAGAUCCAUCUGCCAUCAAGGCUUGUUGCAACUUAUUUGAAUCCUUUGAUUGCAAGUCCAAGUAUAGAGUUUCCCCCGCUUAAUACGACAACCAAUCGUCUGUCUUGUUUGAAUGUCCUUAAUCACACAAAAUUCAGGCCAAAAAAUGACAAUACAAGAUAAGGCUGCAGUGAUUUGAGAAACUAACAAAAGAUUGUAAUCUAAAGAUGGAACAACUAAAACAGAAUCCAAAUUCAAAGUAUCAGUAAGAGUUAAGGAUCCUUCCCCAAUGACUGGGGUUGUGUUACCAUUGGCUGUGGAAACAAUUUUUUGUGAGGAAGGUCUAAGGGGUGAAACCUGUCUAGAAUCAAAAGUCAUAUGAUCUGUAGCACCAGAAUCAAUUAUCCAUGCACUAUUAAUAACAGGUGUAAAAGUAUUUAAAAACUUACCACAAUGAUCUGUAGCGGCUACUAAUGCAGAGACUUUCUCAACAACAUUAGUCUUUGUUUUUAUUUCGGUAACAGUUGCAAUCAAGGUUUUCUUGGAAUUCUUCUUCCGUUGAUCACGAUUAUUAUCAUUAAUAACAAAGUGUUGAUAGCCUAAACAUGAUCUAAAGGUCCAUGGUGCAAACCCUCGGUUCCUCAUUGUUUUCCUGGUCAUACCAAGAGUUGUUGCUUUGAAAUUGUGGGAUAUCCAGACUGGUGGGAUCAGUUUUAUUGCAGUGAGUGCAUUUGAAUGUUGACUUAUCAAUAUUAGGGCUUGUCUUCGGAUGGUUGAUUGCUGUUGGACUACCAUAGCGACAAAAUAUCCAGGAUUUCAAUUCCAGGGCUCUGAUACCAUCUUCAAAUUGAUGAAUGAUAGUUUUUCAUUCAUUCUUUCAUGUACAGAGUAUAUAUAGAGGGUAAUCACCAUUCUAAGAAUGGGAAAGAAUGAUACGAGGAAAUAAUGAUAUAAGGAAAUAAUAACUAAUAUCCUAAUAUCUCAACUUUCCUAAUAUCUCAAUAUUCCUAAUAUCUCAACUUUCCUAAUAUCUAAACAUUCAUAAUAUCUCAACACUAAAUGAUACAAGGAAAGAAUGAUAUAAGGAAAACAUUCCUAAUAUCUCAACACCACUUCAUGAUAUAUAUAGUUUCUUACCCUUAAUCAAUGGUUUCUAAGUGAAUUUAUAUAGAAAGAAAUCCAAACUGUAGACAGCAGUAUUGGUAACACUCAAUAUUCUGUAUAUAAUAGAAUAAAUAGCGUCACAGUGAUCGUCGCCUACAAGCAAGGUACAAAUACCACAAAGAGUGACCCACAUAGACAUUCCCCAACAAGAUGUAGUAGUGACUGACACAUAGCCACAAUUAACACGUAGAAAAGGAUAAGACCGGUGCACAGUAGCUCUUAUUUUACAUACUACUUAUGCCAACCAAAGUCACUCAGUUGGGAUGGGAGGGAGAUGGAGGUUUGUGCGGUGGCUUGUGGGGCGGAGUUGAUGGCUUCUUUCCAGGAGCUUCUGGCUUUUUCAUCGGAGCUGAAGGAGGCUCAAUCUUAUGAGGCGGCUUGUACGAGUCUUCUUUGCUCUCGAAAGGAGGGUGGCCAGGGUUGUGACCAUAAUGUGGUGGUUUCUCUCCCUUGGGAGGUUUACCAAUUGGGGUUGGUGGCUUGUGUUCUGGGAGUGGUUUCUCUCCCUUGGGAGGUUUAGUGGGUGACUUGUGUUCUGGAGGUGGCUUCUCCACCGAAGGCUUGUGCUCCGGUGGUGGCUUUUUGGUUGGAGGGGGCUUGGGGUAAUCAGCAAGAGAUGGGGUGGUGAGAACCACCAGUCCAAGGAACAACACUAGCAAGUAUGUGGGAGACAUUUUUGAGUUUGGGCUGAUCAGAUGAUGCAAAACUAAAGCAUUACGUGACCUUUUAUAGCAAGUAGCUCCCAAUACCUACUUGACACGUGUUACUGUGACCCAUAAAUAUUAUGGGGUCUAUUUGUGCCCUACCGGGUUGAAAACUUGGACAAUUGGGCAAGGACCCGCCUGACUAUGGAGGACUACUGAGGUGUGAUCACAGCUUUAGGAUUUUUCUUCCUCUGCAGCCGUCUUGCCGUUGGCAUGAUUUUCUUAAUCUCAAAUAAAGGCAUAGUUAUAGAGUUGUUUAAUCUCUAAAUGGGAUUUUAUAUAUCUUCAGAUAGCCAUUAAUACAUUUGAUGAAGAAAGAAAGACAAGUGCAUACAACAUGUAUACGACUAGCUUUCAUGGAGUUCAUUUAUGAUCAGUUUUCCUGUACAUGUAAACCAAGAUCAUAUAUGUUUUUGUUCCACAACAAUUUUGGAAUCUUGUUUAUCCGUUUUUAUCAUUAUAAUGUCACAUAGGCUGCCAACUUGGGCGCUAAAUUAAAGAUCCAGUUGGGCAAGUUCGUUUCAGAAUUUCAAUGGUGGAUUCAGGAAUUGUUUUAUAAGAUAUGCAAAAUAGUAGAGGGAUGAAUAGUGUUUCAUUAAGAAAAGAGCCCUGUAAAAAUAUUGUUUAAAGGUGCCAUAGAAACUAUAAUCAAUAAAUAACUUUUUUUCCCCAUGGGUGGUGUUUCUUGUGGGGAUCAGUGACUGGUUUGAGUCAACGCCGUGUCUCUUUAGUCCAGAAAUCAACUAUUUUAUGCAUUGAAUACAUCAACAAAGAAAAUAUGAAAGCCAAAUGACACCUCCCCCGCAAAAACUAAACCCUGGUUGCUAACUUUCUAUGUUUCAGUUCCAUUCACACAAGAAUAUUAGUUCAAGUUUGAGAAAAAUGGCGACUUACCUAGUGAUAACUCGGUCUUGGUUUGCGAUUUGACUUUAACGUCAUGGGUUGAAGCCUCCUACAAUCAUCGUGUAUGCUAGUUCAAAGCUCGUGGAAGAAGUUAUACAGGGAGGGAGAAACCUCCACAGCAAGCUCCAAAAGAGAAUUAUCACAUUGAAAGCUCCAGUUGAACACUGGGUGAAAGCCAUAACAAGAUUGGUUUUCUAUCGCUCUUUUAAGUAAUGGAAGAUUAUUAUCUCUGCUUGUCACUACAACCGUGCAUGCUGCUAGAUCUUUCUAGACACUUCAAACAGUGAAACCAAGUAUGAUUCUUUUUCUCUUGAGUGGGUCCACUUGCAUGCCAAUGAACGAGUUGAAAAGUUGGACAAUUGGCCACAGCGCGCACUUACCUUCUGGAACCGAAGGUCAGUGAAGUGGGGUUCCUUUUGGCCCCUUGUGUUUCUGUUCCAACCUACUCCAGGAACCGAAGUUCAGUGAAGUGGGGCUACUUUUGGCCUCUUGUGUUUCUGUUCCAACCAAACAAAAAUGGGAGGGAAAAAUAGCAUUAUGCUUGUGCUAAAGAUCAACGCAUGAUAGCUGAAUAAGGGAGAAAAAGGCAUUGCUAUCUCAAUUUCAUAAACUUGAUAAGUAGUGACAUUAAUAGUCUUCCUCAUAGAUGGAUACAUGGUUUUAUUUUAUUUAUUUAUUUUUAUUUUUUUGUUUUAUGUCAAUGCUAAUGAAUGAAGUGCAUUAGCUUGUUUUGUGACUAGAACUACAAAUGUCCAAAUUGGAGCUUCUCCAAUAUAUUUCUCAGUGAGUUAUUGAUUAGAACUCUUGGAUUGAGUUCCAAGAUUUGAAUCAGACCCCUCUAGCAGCUUCAGGGGUACGUAGCAACCUAUAGCAUAUUAAUGAAGACUUAGGAUUUAGACUUAGGAAUACAAAUUAAUAUGUACCUCAUGCUCUGACUAGCUUCCCUGCGUAUGCACAAAAUGGAGAUGACUCCCAAAAAAAUAGCAGAAUCGCCUUAGUAUGUUUUUGUGGUUAAGAUGAUUCUCCACUUUAUAUAUCCACAUUGGUUCAUUAUGCAAAUUAAUCAACUAAGCUAUUUUUAUUUUUUCUUAAAUGUGAAAUAGGAGCUCCAAAUUAACCUAACCAUUGGCCUGAUUGAAUUGAUUUCACUUGCAUAAUGUUAUAGUAGAAGUCCGUAAUUUGAAUUUUAUUUUUGCAAAAGGUAACGUAAAUGAAGCAUUGUAAUUAAAUUUAUUUGUAAUUACAAACUAAUUUUAUUUUAUUAAGAAUUAAUUUAAUUACUCAUUUAAAAUAAAAAUCAGUUAUACUUUUACCAAGAUGAUAAUAUUCAUAUUUUUCUAGUUAACAUAUAUAAAAUAGUACACUUUUUCAUAUAAAAAAAUAAUUUAUGAUUUAUUAUAAUGUUACUAUUCACAUUUUACUAAAUUGAUGGUACAUGAUAGUGAGAGAAGGGGGUGUCACACUCAGCUAAAGUUCUUUUCAAAAUAUUGCAUGGUGUUUAAUUUUAUGUGUCGGCGCGCGUGUGAAUGGAACCUGCAAAAGUCCAAAUUGGCGUUUCUCCAUUUUCCACAUAGGAUGGUGACGUUAAUAGACAAAGAUACAAUAUCUGUAGACAUUGCUUAAAAAUCGAUGUGAAGUAUUAGAAAUUACAGGGCACUGUACUGGGGGAGCGGCUGCCCCGCCAAAGGAGGAAGAAUGUAGCAAUUUCUUCUGUUAGCCAGGCCUUAGGAUUUAUGCAUGGGAUGCCUAAUAACAAACAGAGAAAAUAUACUUUUGGGGAAGGUAUCCAACAACAGACACCAUCAUUCAGAUGGUGGGAAGGUAUCCAACAGAUGCCAUCAUUCAGAUGGUAACAUAUAUAUACAUUUAUUAGUGAGUUUUUUUAAUACCUAUAAAAAAAAAUAUACACUUUGAUAUUGUGGCUGAAUCCAUUACAUACUCAACUAACCUUGCUCAUUAGGGAUUUGACUUAACAAGGGCAACGUUGCAGUACAAGCUCAAAACUUUAUGCAGGUGACAUUACAUUUGGUAAAGAAGAGGAAAAUAACGAAAGCCAUCCAUAAAAGCAAAAUUCCACAUGGGAUGAAAUUCACAAGCUUCAUUUACGAUAGAGUCGCAUCCAGGCAAUUAAUUCCACAUUAGACCGCCUGUUGACAUGUGUACCAAUCUUUUUUCAAAAAAUAUUUAUAAAUAAUUGAUACUCACAAAAAUAAUUUAAUAUUUAUAAAGGAUAAAAAAAUAUUUUCAAAUCUAUAACAAUUUAUAAAAUAUUAAUAAAAAAUUAUCUCUUAAACUUAGUAUAGUUUUAUCAGAUUAAACUUUUAUUUUGAACAAAUAAUUUUAAUCUAAGUUUUAAAUUCUAAAAUUAUUUCCUUAAAAUAAAAUUUUAAAAUUCAACACUUCAAUUGAAAUUGUCUUUUUAAAAAAUAUCUUCUUAUUUUAAUCCUUAUAAACUAUAGUUGAUUGAAAAUACUAUUGAAGUUCUCUCUUAAAAAAAAGUCUUAUUUUAAUCUUCAUAAAUUGCCCUUGAUUUGAAAAUAAAUUUUCAGUUAUCAUAUUUUAAAUAAUAUCUAUAUUUAAAAUACUCUAUUUAAAAAAAAAUGAACUAAUUUUAAUUAUAUUAUAUUUUAUUUUUUUAUAUAUUUUUAAUGAUAAACCAAACAUAGAAAAUCAUUUUUCUAAAUAUUUUAAAAUUUCUAAGCAACCAAACAUAAUCUUCAAAAUAAAAGGAAAAUAAGGAGGGACAUUUGAGAAAUGGCGAUUAAAAAAAAGUGUACAAAAGCUCAAUUAAUUUUCUUCUAGUCUUUUAUAUAAAAAAGUAAAGGAAUUGAAAAGUAUUGAUAUGUAAAUUAAUAUUUGGAUUUUAAUAGUAUUUUAUUUGUCUUUCUCUAUCUCAUGUAAAAGAGAAUUUAAGAUAUUUCCUAAAGCAAAGCAUUAGUUAUCUGCAAUCAGUGGUGAUCAUGCCCCAUGUCAAUUUCGGACCCAUAUCUUAAAACUGUAUAAUUUGCAUUCAAACAUUACUGAUUUCUCAGAUGUUUCAUACUCCACAGAAGAGCAUUGUUUGUGAAAGCAUGCAUUUAUGUUGGAUUUUGGAUGAUGUGGGAACUGGGGCAAGGAUCAUAUGGAAGAGUGGUCGAUUUUGUUCUGUACUUUAACAUUUGAAAUAGGAGAAGCUCGGGCAUUUGUGGGGCUUAAUUGAUUUUGAAGCCUGAAAUUGCGUUUCUGUCAUUUUGUAAAAAAUAUGGCAGAUUCCAUGCUCUCAUAUGUUUGGUCUGUGGCCAUGUAUAGAUGCCCCUUAGUGACCAGUUUGUAACUGUCAAUCAUAGUGUUUUGACUCUGGCUCAACAACAUCAGCCAUUGACGGAUUUUCAUACUUGCAAAUCAAAUAGUCUUCUUCCUCCCUUAGGAAUUUCGGUUUAAAUGUUAUUAAGCAUACAUUUGGCUGACAAUUAUUAACCACUUCAUGAUAUGGUUUCUUACCCUUAAUCAAUGGUUUCUAAGUGAAUAUAUGCAGAAGGAAAUCUGAACUGUAGACAGCAGUAUUGAUAACUCUCAAUAUUCUUUAUAUAAGAGAAUAAACAACGUCAUAGUGAUCGUCGCCUACAAGAAAGGUACAUUUCCCAACAAGAUGUAGUUGUGACUGGUACAUGGACGCAAUUAACUCGUACAAAAGAAUAAGACCAGUGCACGGCAGCUCUUAUUUUACAUGCUAAUUAUGCUAACCAAAGUCACUCAGUUGGGAUGGGAGGGAGAUGGAGGUUUGUGCGGUGGCUUGUGGGGCGGAGUUGGUGGCUUCUUUUCAGGAGCUUGUGGCUUUUUCGGAGCUGAAGGAGGCUCAAUCUUAUGAGGCGGCUUGUACGAGUCUUCUUUACUCUCGACAGGAGGGUGGCCAGGGUUGUGACCAUAAUGUGGUGGCUUCUCUCCCUUAGGUGGCUUGCCAACUGGGGUUGGUGGCUUGUGUUCAGGAAGUGGUUUCUCUCCCUUGGGAGGUUUACCAAUUGGGGUUGGUGGCUUGUGUUCUGGGAGUGGUUUCUCUCCCUUGGGAGGUUUAGUGGGUGACUUGUGUUCUGGAGGUGGCUUCUCCACCGGAGGCUUGUGCUCCGGUGGUGGCUUCUCCACCGGAGGCUUGUGCUCCGGUGGUGGCUUCUUGAUUGGAGGGGGCUUGGGGUAAUCAGCAAGAGAUGGGAUGGUGAGAACCACCACUCCAAGGAACAACACUAGCAAGUAUGUGGGAGACAUUUCUGAGUUUGAGCUGAUCAGAUGAUGCAAAACUAGAAGAAUUACGGGACCUUUUAUAGCAAGUAUCUCCCAAUACCCACAUGACACGUGUUACUAUGACCAUAAAUAUUAUAGGGUCCAUUUGUGCCCUACCGGGUUGAAAACUUGGACGCUUGGCCGAGGACACACCUGACUAUGGAGGACUAUUGACGUGUGAUCACAGCUUUUGGAUUUUUCUUCCUGUGCAGCUGUCUAGCGGUUGGCAUUAUUUUCUUAAUCUUAAAUAAAGGCAUAGUUAUAGAGUUGUUUAAUCUCUAAAUGGGAUUUUAUAUAUCUUCAGAUAGCCAUUAAUAUAUUUGAUGAAGAAAGACAAGUGCAUACAACAUGUAUACGGCUUGCUUCAAUCGAGUACAUUUAUGAUCAGUUUUCCUGUGCAAGUAAACCAGUUUUUUGUUCCACAACUAUUUUGGAAUCUUGUUUAUCAGUUUCUAUCAUUAUAAUGUCACAUAGGCUGCAAACUUGGGCACCCAAAGAUCUAGGUGGGCAAAUUUGUUUCAGACUUUCAAUGGUGGAUUCAGUAAUUGUUAAAAGGUGUUUCUUCAUUAAGGAAAGAGUCCGGUAAAAAUAUUGUUAAAAGGUGUCAUAGAAACUAUAAUAAAUAAAUAACUUCUUUUCCCCAUGGGUGGUGUUUCUUCUGGGGAUCAGUGACUGGUUAGGGUCACCCAAAAUGAGUCCAGAUUAAAAUUGGUUCGAGUCAAAGCAGUCUCUUUUGUCCAGAAAUCAACUAUUUUGCGCAUUGAAUGAAUCGAUAAAGAAAAAAUGAAAGCCAAAUCACACCUCCCCUGCAAAACCUAAACCCCGGUUGCUAACUUUCUAUGUUUCAGUCCUAUUCAUAUAGGAAUAUUGGUUCAAGUUUGAGAAAAAUGGCAACUUACCUAGGGUUUACUUGGUUUUGGUUUGCGACUAUUUACGCAACCAACCAUGAGUUUGACUUUAACGUCAUGGGUUGAAGCCUCCUACAAUCAUGUAUGAUAGUUCAAAGCUCGUGGAAGAAAUUAUACAGGAAGGAAGAAACCUCCAAAGCUAGCUCCAAAAGAGAAUUAUCACAUCGAUAGCUCCAGAGAUUCCCAAGGGAACUGAAUCAAAGACAAGUUCCUCACUUUUUCUUCUUUUGAGGCCAAAUAUGAACCAAGGAUCACACGACCUCAUUCAACUUCAUAAGUUUGAUUUCAUGCAGUUGAACACUGGGUGAAGGCCAUGACAAGAAUUGAUUAAAAAAUUCUACCACUCUUUUAAGUAAUGGAAGAUUAUUAUCUCUGAUUGGCACCACAACAGCACAUGCUGCUAGAUCUUUCUAGACACUCCAUGCAAUGAAAGCACAAUGGAUCUUGUAAUGAUAGAAACUAAGCCAUGCUACAGUACUAGAUGAGGGGGUAAAACUAGUAGACAUCUUUCUAGACACUCCAUGCAAUGAAAGCACAAUGGAUCUUGUAAUGAUAGAAACUAAGCCAUGCUACAGUACUAGAUGAGGUGGUAAAACUAGUAGACAUGGCUGGCAGUUGAUUACUACUCAAAAAGUACUCUUUUAUAGCUUGAAACUAACUGUUUUAAACACUUUUGAGUAGUAGUUAAUACCUUUUAACUUAAUUGGCACAUUAAGGAACCUAGCAAGGGUUACUAAUCAACAUUUGGCAAGUUUUGAUGUUUUUGGUAGCUAUUUGAUCAUUGAAACAAGCCAAGAAUGAGGGGGAAUUUUGUGAAGUCCAUGGCAAUGCAAGUUAAAGCUCAAAUACAUGAAGAAUCCAAGCUUUGGAGCACUUCAUAGCCCUUUGCCAAGCCAAUCAAAGAUGCAAGGAAGAAAACCAAAGGAAGAAAUCCAACAAUCAGCAUUUUGGCAUGGCUAUGUGAAAUUUCGCACACCAUGCGAAACCACAAGAGGCAGCCAAAGAAUUUCGCAUGGUAUGCGAAAUCUUCUUGUGCACUGACUCUGUUAGAUUUUUAUCUUCAGAUAUUUUGUGUAAUUUCCUAGUUUCUCCUUGUAACCAACUUAGAUAUUUUCUUUUAUAUCUUUUUUUAUAUUUUUUAGGUAACAUCAUAUAUAAGAGGAGAGACAUAAGGAGGAUAUGGAUGUUUUUCAUAGAACACUUGUAAAUUUUUGGUAGUAAGAAAUAUACAAAGCUUUUUGCUCUGCCUUACCUUCUCAAGGGAUGAGUGGCUAGGUUUUCUUGGAGUGAGGGAAGCUAGGUGAAGGACCUGAAUGCAAAGGUGGGAGUUUUCCUUACUUUAAAUGAAAGUAGUUGUUAAACAUUAAUGGUUUUUAUUUUAAGGUUUAGCUUUAAAUCCCUGAAAAACACCUUGAAUGGCCAAUACUUGGUAAGCUUUUUAGAUUCUAUGGAUGCUUAUUGCUAGAUCCAUGGAUGUCUAUUAGUUAUCAUUUACGAGCCAUUGGAAGGUGAUUCAAGGUGAGGGUCUUUAGUGUUUGAAGCCAUUAAUGGGAAGCAAUUACCAUUUUUUCAUGAAUCCUUUGGAUCAAAUCUUAAUUGCUAAAUAUAAAACCGGUUUCGAGAGAUAACCACCAUCCUUUAUGUUAUUAUCCCCAACGCGAGGAGAAGAUCCGAAAUCUUCCUUUUUAUCUAAGGAACCCGAUCCUAGUGACCUAAAGCUCCAAGAUACCUUUUCUUUGUAGUUAACUUCAUUUAUUGUUUUUGCUUAACUUAAAAUCAAUCUUUGCAACCACAAUUCCAUUUUCUUUAAAAGCUAAUUUUUAUAAGGAAAAACACCAUUUUAUUUCCUUCACUAAGUCAACUGUACGAUGAAAACCCAUCCCUGUGGACGAUCCUAGAGCCACUAUACUAUGUUAGCUAUGCUACCCUAGUGUGAGGUGAUUUAGGUUUUAUAAAUUUUUUUGAUAACACCCAUCUGAGCCAGAAUCAAAUGGCACGACUGAACCAGGGACGAAUCAAAUGACGCCGCUACCAAGGAUGGUGCCAAAGUACAUUGACAUGACUUUUGGUGAACACUUGUGAUCUUCACCACAAGUUUGGUGAUUUUUCUUUUACUAAUUUUUUUUAUUUUAGCUUAUCUUUUAUUUAGUUUUUAGUUAACCUUAAAUUUUUCCUAGAAUUGUAUUUCUUUUGUUUUCUUUGUUUUUGUUUCAGUGAUCUUUAGUUGUGCAUGCCCUAUUGGAUAAGAGAUAUUGAGGGAAUACUUGUGAAGAUUGAAACUCCUCGAGAAACUGAGUUAGAAGUGUGCUUGAACAUCAUGGAUGUUCCACCUGAAGACCAGAAUAGCCAACAUGGUUAAGAGGAUAAUUUCAACACAUACCGAUCCAUGAGGAACCGCAUACAUCCACCUUGUAUGAGUGCACCGUCAGGCAUAAUGCCUCCCACUGAGCAGCUAGUAAUCUGACCUCACAUUGUGCCACUCCUACCUACUUUCCAUGGGAUGGAGAGUGAGAAUCCCUACUCGCAUAUUAAGGAAUUCGAGGAGGUUUGUAAUACAUUCCAAGAAGGAGGAGCUUCAAUUGACUUGAUGAGGCUCAAGCUAUUUCCUUUCACUUUGAAGGAUAAGGCCAAGAUUUGGCUUAAUUCUUUAAGGCCAAGAAGUAUCCAAACUUGGAUUGAUUUGUAAGCCGAGUUUCUUAAGAAGUUCUUCCCUACCCAUAGGACCAAUGGUUUGAAAAGGCAAAAUUUGAACUUCUCAGUUAAAGAGAAUGAGAAAUUCUAUGAGUGUUGGGAGAGCUACAUGGAAGCUAUUAACGUUUGUCCUCACCAUGGCUUUGACACAUGGCUCUUAGUGAGCUAUUUUUACAAUGGUAUGUCUUCUUCAAUGAAGCAACUCCUAGAAACUAUGUGUGGAGGAGACUUCAUGAGUAAGAAUCCGGAGGAAGCCAUGGACUUUUUGAGUUAUGUGGCUGAAGUUUCAAGAGGAUGGGAUGAACCAAAUGCUAGAGAGGUGGGAAGAAUGAAGUCUCAACCUAAUGCUAAGGGUGAGAUGUAUGUUUUGAAUGAAGACAUUGACAUGAAAGCAAAGGUUGCAGCUAUGGCAAGGAGAUUGGAAGAGCUAGAAAUGAAGAACAUACAAAAAGUGCAAGCCAUUUCUGAGACAUCAAUGAAAGCUAUGCCUUGUUCCAUUUGUCAAUCUUAUAAGCACCUAGUGGAGGAGUGUCCUACAAUUCCAGCAGUGAGAGAGAUGUUUGGUGAUCAAGCAAAUGUUAUUGAUCAAUUCAAGCCUAAUAACAAUGCUUCAUAUGGCAACACCUACAAUUCAAAUUGGAGGAACCAUUCAAAUUUCUCUUGGAAACGAAAGCCACCUCAAUACACACAACCUACUCAAGCACCUUAGCAAUCCUCGAAUCUUGAACAAGCUAUUGUGAACCUUAGCAAGGUUGUGGGAGACUUUGUGGGAGAUCAGAAGUCCAUCAAUGCUCAACUGAAUCGGAGAAUUGACAGUGUGGAGAGUACAUUGAACAAAAGGAUGGAUGAGAUGUAAAAUGAUCUGUCUCAAAAGAUAGACAAUGUCCAAUACGUAAUCUCAAGGCUUACCAACCUCAACACAGUGUAAGAGAAAGGAAAGUUUCCUUCUCAACCUCAUCAAAAUCCUAAGGGUAUCCAUGAAGUAGAGGCUCAAGAGGGAGAAUCUUCAAAGGUGAGGGAAGUCAAAGUAGUUAUCACCUUGAAGAGUGGUAAAGAGGUUGAUCAACCCACAUCCAAGCCAAAGCAUAAUGAAGAGAGUGUAGCAGAAAAAGAAAAGAGAGGAAAAUAAAGGAAUUAGAAUAGAGAAAAAUACAAAGAAAGAUGACCAUGAGUCUAGUGUGGAUGAAGAGCCCGAGAGGAUGGUGAUCAAGGAAGAUAUGAUGAAGAAACACAUGCCUCCACCUUUCCCCUAAGCUUUGCAUGACAAAAAAAGAACCAAUAAUACAUCAGAAAAUUUUGAAGUAUUGAGGCAAGUGAAGGUCAAUAUCCCUUUGCUAGACAUGAUCAAACAAGUGUCGACAUAUGAAAAAUUCUUGAAGGACUUGUGCACUGUAAAGAGAGGGUUGAAUGUGAACAAGAAAGCUUUAUUGACCGAGCAAGUGAGUUCCAUCAUACAGUGCAAGUCCUAGUGAAGUACAAAGAUCCGGGUUGCCGUACCAUCUCAGUGAGUAUUGGAAGGACUUGUGUGGAGAAAGCUUUGUUGGACUUGGGAGCAAGUGUGAAUUUGCUAUCCUACUCUGUCUAUAAGCAGUUGGGAUUUGGAGAGUUGAAGCCAAUAUCCAUCACUCUAUCUCUAGCGGAUAGAUCAAUGAAGAUUCCAAGAGGGAUGAUCGAAGAUGUCCUGGUUCAAGUUAACAAAUUCUACUAUCCAGUAGAUUUUGUUGUUCUUGAUAUGGAUCCGGUUGUCAAAUGAACUAAUUAUGUUCCUAUCAUACUUGGAAGACCCUUCCUAGCUACAUCAAAUGCAAUCAUCAAUUGUAGGAAUGGAGUCAUGCAACUCACAUUUGUCAACAUGACAUUAGAGCUCAACAUCUUCCAUUUGUACAAGAAGCAUAUCCAUCAGGAGGAAAAAGAAGGUCUAGAGGAAGUGUGAAUGAUUGACACUUUAGUGGAAGAGCAUUGUGAUCGAGAAUGCAAAAAGAUUUAGUUGAGAAUUUUGGGGAUCUUGAUGAAAGGUUACUUGAACCCUCAGAUUUGCUUGCUACCCUACUCCAUUGGAAGAGAAGAGAAGAAAUUCUACCCUUAUUCAAUGAGGAGGAGACGCAAAGAGCUGCAAAGGAGAAACCCCCAAAACUUAUUCUUAAGCCACUACCCACAGAGUUGAAGUAUGUAUACUUGGAAGAAGACAAGAAGUGCCCUAUUGUUAUAUCUUCAACUCUUACCAUUCAUCAGGAGGAUUGUCUACUUGAAGUCCUUAGAAGAUGUAAGAAGACAAUAAGGUGGCUAAUUUCUUAUUUGAAAGGGAUCAGCCCUUUAGUCUGCACCCAUCAUAUUUACAUGGAGGAUGAAGCUAAGCUAAUUCAUCAACCUCAGAGAAGGUUGAACCCUCACAUGCAAGAGGUGGUUCGAGCUGAAGUUCUGAAGCUACUUCAGACCAGUAUUAUUUACCCCAUAUCAAAUAGCCCAUGGGUGAGUCCUACUCAAGUUGCGCCAAAGAAGUCUGGGAUCAUGGUGGUGCAAAAUGAUAAGGGAGAAGAUGUCUCUACACGCCUCACUACAGGUUGGAGGGUGUGUAUCAAUUACAGGAGGUUGAAUGCAGUGAUAAGAAAGGACCAUUUCUCAUUGCCCUUUAUUGAUCAGGUGCUUGAGAGGGUCUCUGGGCUUUUUUUUUUAUUGUUUCUUGGAUGGCUACUCCGGGUACUUUCAGAUAGAAAUUGAUGUUGAAAACCAAGAUAAGACCAUUUUCACAUGCCCAUUUGGAACCUAUGCAUAAAGGAGAAUGCCUUUCGGCUUAUGCAAUGCACCCGCAACUUUCCAAAGAUGCAUGUUAAGCAUUUUCAGUGAUAUGGUGGAGCGUAUUAUGGAAGUCUUUAUGGAUGAUAUCACCAUUUAUGGAAGUGCAUUUGAUGAAUGCUUGGUCAACUUAGAAGCUGUUCUGAACCGAUACAUUGAGAAAGACUUAGUGCUUAACUGGGAGAAGUGCCAUUUCAUGGUACACCAAGGGAUUGUCCUUGGGCACAUUAUCUCCAAGCAAGGCAUUGAAGUUGACAAAGCAAAGGUUGAACUCAUUGUUAAGUUGCCAUCCUCAACAAAUGUCAAAGGAGUAAGGCAAUUCUUUGGCCAUGUCGGGUUCUAUAGGAGGUUUAUCAAGGAUUUCUCUAAGCUUGCAAGGCCUCUUUGUGAAAUAUUGGUGAAUGAUGUUAAAUUCAUAUGGGAUGAUGGAUUUGAAAGGAGUUUUGAAGAAUUGAAGCUAUUUUUGACAACCGUACCAAUAGUGAGGGCUCCCAACUGGCAACUGCCCUUUGAAGUAAUGUGUGAUGUCAAUGAUUUUGCUAUAGGAUUUUUUCUUGGGCAAAGAGAAAAUGGAAAACCUUAUGUGAUCUACUAUGCGAGGAAGGCAUUGAAUGAGGCACAAAGAAACUACACAACCACCGAGAAAGAAUUGUUAGCUGUAGUUUUUGCCUUGGAUAAGUUUCGCGCUUACUUGGUGGGGUCCUUCAUCAUGGUUUUUACUGAUCACUUUGCUUUGAAGUAUCUGUUGACUAAGCAAGAUGCUAAAGCAAGGCUGAUUAGAUGGAUUCUCUUACUUCAAGAGUUCAAUCUCCAUAUCAAAGAUAAGAAAGGAGUGGAGAAUGUGGUAGCAGACCACAUUUCAAGGCUAGCUAUCGCACAUAAUUCCCAUGCUUUGCCCAUUAAUGACGAUUUUCUAGAGGGGUCUCUCAUGUUGGUGGAAGUUGUCCCUUGGUACGCUCACAUUGCUAACUACCUGGUCACGGGAAAAGUUCCAAGUGAGUGGAAAGCACAAGAUAAGAAGCACUUCUUUGCAAAAAUUCAUGCCUACUAUUGGGAAGAGCCAUUUCUAUUCAAGUAUUGUAUGGAUCAGAUAAUAAGGAAGUGCGUUCCUGAAGAAGAGCAACAGGGGAUCCUUAGUCAUUACCAUGAAAAUGCAUGUGGAGGCCACUUUGCUUAUCAAAAGACAGCCAUGAGGGUGUUGCAAUCGGGUUUCUGUUGGCCAUCACUUUUCAAAGAUGCCCACACCAUGUGCAAGAGUUGUGAUCGAUGCCAGAGGCUUGGGAAGUUGACACGCAGGAACAUGAUGCCUUUGAACCCCACUUUAAUAGUUGAUAUUUUUUAUGUUUGGGGCACUAACUUCAUGGGACCUUUCCCUAUGUCUUUUGGCUACUCUUACAUCUUGGUAGGAGUAGAUUAUGUUUCUAAGUGGGUUGAGGCAGUCCCAUGCAAACACAAUGACCAUAGAGUGGUUCUCAAGUUUCUUAAAGAGAAUAUCUUCUCAAGAUUUGGGGUGCCCAAAGCCAUAAUUAGUGAUGGGGGUACUCAUUUUUGCAACAAGCCUUUUGAAACUCUCCUAGCCAAGUAUGGGGUGAAGCAUAAGGUAGCUACACCUUACCACCCUCAAACUCAUGGACAAGUUGAGUUAGCAAACAGGGAGAUUAAAAACAUAUUGAUGAAGGUGGUGAACACAAACAGAAAAGAUUGGUCAGUCAAGCUUCUUAAUUCACUAUGGGCAUAUAGAACAACUUACAAGACCAUUCUCGGGAUGUCUCCUUAUCGCCUAGUUUAUGGCAAAGCAUGCCAUCUCCCUGUGGAAUUGGAAUACAAAGCUUGGUGGGCAAUCAAGAAGCUCAACAUGGAUUUGAGCAGAGCUGGGUUGAAGAGGUUCUUAGACCUUAAUGAGAUGGAGAAAUUGAGAAAUGAUGCCUACAUCAAUUCAAAAAUUGCAAAAGAAAAAUUGAAGAGGUGGCAUGAUCAGUUGAUUUCCCGCAAGGAUUUUCAAAAUGGACAAAGAGUCUUACUUUAUGACUCUAAACUCCACAUCUUUCCGGGCAAGCUGAAAUCAAGGUGGAUAGGUCAUUUUACCAUUCACCAAGUGCAUUCAAAUGGAGUAGUGGAACUACUCAACUCCAACAAUAUCGAGAACUUCAAAGUGAAUGGCCACCGUCUCAAGCCCUUUGUGGAGUCUUUUUCUCACAACAAGGAGAAAUUCAUCCUCCUUGAUCCACAUCAAGCUUAACAAGACCAAUUUUCUUGAUGGACUUAGUCUUUCUAAAGACUAUCGAGUCCAUAACUUUUUGUUUUAUUUUUUAUUUGAGAUUUUUUCGGUAUUGUUACUUGUUUUGUUUUUUAUUUUUCGUUUUAAUUUUAUUUGGUUUGAUUUAACUUAGGUUUUUGAUGAUCAAUUACAGGGGGGAUUUCAAAUAGAGGAAAAACCAAGAUAAUUCGCACACCCUACGAAAAUUUCGCAAGGCAUGCGAAAUUUAUGGCUUAUUUUGCAUGGGGUGAAAAUUUUCGUACAUCUUACGAACCAAUUUCGAACACUUUGCGAAAAUAAACCAACCCUGCGAAAUCAUUUCGAUUACUCUACGAAAUUUUCGUAGAGCAUGCGAAAAAUUUAGCACACCAAACACCAUUUCGCAUACUAUGCAAAAACCUAAGGGGUCUGCGAAACCAUUUCGCACCUCCAAAUCCAUUUCGCACAUUGUGCGAAAACCAAGAGGCGCUGUGCGAAAAUGAAAAGUCGCCCUGUCAUCCCUUUUUAAACCCCUCGAGCCCUAAAAUCUCCAUUUCGCAAGCACCCCUGUCCUUGCGAAUCCCUCAUUUUCCUCUACUACCUUGCAACCUCGUCCCUUUCCAUUUGAUAUUGUGCCCCGCGCACAUCUCAUUUCAGAGACUCGCACUCCGCGCCCCCUCAAAGCAUGGACUCGAGACCCACCUUCCAUUUCCGACGUGGCACGGACCCAAGGAGCCCUUUCUGCCCCUUCACUAAGACACACACCAAGGCAGAAAGCCUCCUUUGCUCAAGUGCCUAGUGAUUCUCCAUCUUAGGCCUCAGAGGCCUCGGAGGCCCCGUGGAUUCCACCUUCCGAGGGUAGAGCAGCCAUUGGUCCUUCCUCUUCUACUCCUUAGCGUAGAUACGAGACGAGGAGACCACCUACUACACAAGGGGCGACUACUUCGAGCCUUGAGAAUUCAGUACGAUGCCUUCCUGCCAAGAGGGUCAAGACUUCAGGUCCAAGUGAGUCAUCCAGAGCUUCAUAGCCUAAGCCUCCUGUAGAUUCCAAGGUUCCUACUGACAUAUCACCGGAGUCUAUUAUCAGAAGCCCGAUGCUCAUAGCACCGCCCAUUGAGGGCAACUCAGAUUAUAGAGCGAGAUCUUUCCACUUGGAGCUAUAUUUUGAUCAGGAGGCCAUACGACAGCAGCCUGAGCUCCGAGACUCUUAUGGCUUACUGCAGAGGUACCAUCUUGAGGAACUUAUGACUCCUCGUGAGUUUUUUUAUCCCAGAGUAGCACUAAACUUUUACCAGUCCAUGACUACUCGUGGCGUCCCGAGUCCUACCACGAUUCACUUCACCAUUGAUAGACGUCAUGGUAUCCUCAAGGCCAGACAUAUUACAGAGGCUCUACAAAUUCCUUUCGAGCUAGAGGAUCCAUCUGUUUUUCGCUAAUGGUCCCCAGUAUCUCAGAGGGACAUGGUCCGUAUUUUAUCUAGGGGAACAUCUACAGAUUCGAUCUUUCUACGGAAGGAGCUUCGACCUGGGAUGCUCCUCUUAGAUGUGGUGCUAUGCUCCAACCUCUUUCCCUUACAACAUUCGGUACAUAGGUGAUGAGCUAUUUUGGACGCUUUAUUCCGUAUAUCAGAGGGCUUCUACUUUGGCCCGCACCACUUGAUCAUGGUCUCCCUCAUCCACUUUGAGGAGAAGGUUCAUAGGAAGAAGCUUCAGAGGGUGGACACCAUUCCAUUACUAUUCCUGAGGUUACUUUGCCAGGUCUUGGAGUACAUGGGCUUUCCUACUGAGCCUCGGCUCGAGCUUUGCCGCCUUUGUCGAGAGUGAUCCACUCUCGACAAAUGGAAUUAGUUGGCGGGCUAUUCUGCACCUCCAGGAGCCCCUCCCAUGGUAGCACCUCCAAUGUCCCCACAGGCAAAGUAGGGCGAGCUCCCGGCAAAGACUGUACCACCAAUGCCCACACUUGAGGCUAUUUCUGCUGCUCUGCCUAUGACUCCUACUGUUCCACCAGUUGGUCCUUUUACAUCCGAGCCUUCCAUCACCAUCUCGGCUUCGGAGUUUCGCGCCCUUGUGCAUACCUUUCAGACACUCACCACCACACAUACUCCUCUCUUCUAGCAAAUGGUUGAGAUGUGUGCCCAUCAGGACCGGAAGACUACUAUACUCUGCCAAAUUCAGCAGCACCUAAGACUUUUGCCUCAACCUCAACCUAACCAUCCCAUAUCAUCAGAGCCUCUAGCUCCAACUGAGGAUACUAUUCCACCUGAGAACACUACCACAGUAGAGGUCCGGUUUCCACCACCUUAAGAGGCCACCACAGCUACAUCAGAGGAUGUGUCAUCUCCACUUGAGGCUCCCACUACUUGAUCAUAGGACAUAUCUUUAUCUUAUUGUAUUUACAUAUUAUAUUACUAGAGAUUUGUCCUUGUUUUGAUACUUUAUAUUCUGGGAUUGGAUGUAUUGCCUGAUGAUAUCUCAAUUGUACUUUCUCAUAUUAAUAUAUAGACAUCAAUUUUUUUUAGUAUACUUAGCAUUUUUCUAUUUCCUCUACUCAUUACUCUUUUGUUUUUUUUUACUCAUGUGGUUUCUCUUAUACAACUCAGACUCCAUUUCACUCAGGAGGUACCACUUCCUCCCUUUAUUUUCAAUUGCUCUUGAAAUAUUGAGUGCAAUGUUGAUCUUGGUUGGGGGGAGAGUUGAGGAAGGAAGUUUUGUUAAUAAUGCUAGGUUAAUUUGUUAAUUUAGUUACUUUCUGCUUAAUUUUAAAAGUUUUCACUCUACUUUCCAUGGUUAUUAAGGAAAAAUUCUCAAAAUGAAAUGGGAGAAAUCGAAUUCUUGCAUUUUUACUUGAAUCUUAGAAUUUGUAUCAUGCUUAUUAAAGUUGAUGAAUUAUUGAAACUCCUAUUGAAUUCAACCUUAUUUUUUCCACUUUAAUCUUACCACACACGGUGCACAUUAGGUUCCAGUUAUAAGAUAAAAAACUAUCUCACCCCCUAAACUUAGAAAAAUUUACACUUGGUACCUUUGACAUCGUUUUAAUAGUGUUGGGACACCUUAUAAAAGGCCAAUGAGCCUUUAAAAAAAAAAAAAAAAAAAAAAAGAGAAAGAACAAAGUAUUGCACUUGCCUUGAAACCUGAGCAAGAUCCGAGGGGUAUACAGUGAAAGUCUUUAAAACCUGGUGCCCUAAGCCUUGAUUGGUUGGGAGUCACCGACCUCAAUGCUCGUUAUAAGGGUGAAUAGGUGGAGUUUAACAUAUUGUAGGUGCUUGGGUAUUGAAUUUCAAUCUCAAAAGUCCGGGAAAAAAUCUAAGGAGUUAGUGGUCAAAAGAUCCUUAAAGCUUGAUGCCCUAAACCUUGAUUGGUUGAGAGUCAUUGAUGGAUCCCCGCUACAUGGACAUUUUAGAAAACAAUACCUUUAGCAUUGCACGCCUACAAUGAAAAAAAAAUGUGAAAUAAAAGAGGUGCGUUCUUAGCCUAUUGGAGGUUGGUCAGUUUGCUAAAGUUUGAGAAAUCUAGGUUGGGGGGAGAGAAUAGUCCGACAUACUAUAAUAAAAAACUAAUAACCUUAACACUUAGAUUUUUGUGGAAGAGUAAGGAUUGGACCUUUAGGGGUGGAAAUUCUUUUGAUGCUUAAAUUUGCAUAAUGCCUACUCUUUAUAAAUUAUGAUUAGGCAAGAGAUUUGAUGACUCUUGUUCAAAGUUGGGUUUUUCCUCUUUGAUGUUCCAUGAGAGAGUAUAAUCCUCAUCAUGCCACUUGAAAUCUUUUUGGAGUGAUUAACAUGAUUUUGUAAAUUAUUUUACUGUCUAUUUUUCUUUAUCUCUCUUUUAUUGCUAAUGGACUAGCAAUAUGUCAGUUGGGGGGAGUGAUUACUACUCAAAAAGUACUCUUUUAUAGCUUGAAACUAACUGUUUUAAACACUUUUGAGUAGGUGUUAAUACAUUUUAACUCAAUUGGCACAUUAAGGAACCUAACAAGGGUUACUAAUAAGUUUUUGGCAAGUUUUGGUGUUUUUGGUAGCUAUUUGAUCAUUGAAACAAGCCAAGAAUGAGGGAGAAUUUUGUGAAGUCCAUAGCAAUGCAAGUUAAAGCUCAAAUACAUGAAGAAUCCAAGCUUUGAAGCACUUCAUAGCCCUUUGCGAAGCCAAUCAGAGAUGCAAGGAAGAAAACCAGAGGAAAAAAUCCAACAACCAGCAUUUUCGCAUGGCUGUGCGAAAUUUUGCACACCAUGCGAAACCACAAGAAGUAGCCAAAGAAUUUUGCACACCAUGCGAAAUUUCGCAUGGUAUACGAAAUCUUCCUAUGCACCAACUCCGUUAUAUUUUUAUCUUCAGAUAUUUUGUGUAAUUUCCUAGUUUCUCCUUGUAACCAACCUAGAUAUUUUCUUUUAUAUCUUUUUUUUAUAUUUUUUAGGUAACAUCAUAUAUAGGGGGAGAGACAUAAGGAGGAUAUGGAUGUUUUUCAUAAAACACUUUUAAUUUUCUGGUAGUAAGAAAUAUACAAAGUUUUUUGCUCUGCCUUACCUUCUCAUUUUGUUUUCACCUAUCUUUCUAGCCAAACAACCUCUGAGAAUGAUUUCUCAGGGGAUGAGUAGUUAGGUUUUACGUUUCUUGGAGUGAGAGAAGCUAGGUGAAAGACCCAAAUGCUAAGGUGGGAGUUGUCCUUGCUUUAAAUGAAAGUAGUUGUUAAAUAUUAAUGGUUUUUAUUUUAAGGUUUAGCUUUAAAUCCCUUAAAAACACCUUGAAUGGCCAAUACUUGGUAAGCUUUUCGGAUUCUAUGGAUGCUUAUUGCUAGAUCCAUGGAUGUCAUUAGUUAUCAUUUAUGAGCCAUUGGAAGGUGGUUCAAGAUGAGAGUCUUUAGUGUUUGAAGCCAUUAAUGGGAAACAAUUACCAUUUUUUCAUGAAUCCUUUGGAUAAAAUCUUAAUUGCUAAAUAUAAAACUGGUUCGGGAGAUAACCAUCCUUUAUGUUAUUAUGCCCAAUGCAAGGAGAAGAUUUCGAAUCUUCUCAUUUGUCUAAGGAACCCGAUCCUAGUGACCUAAAGCUCCUAGAGACCUUUUCUUUGUAGUUAACUUCAUUUAUUGUUUUUGCUUAACUUAAAAUCAAUCUUUGCAACCACAAUUCCAUUUUCUUUAAAAGCUAAUUUUUAUAAGGAAAAGCACCAUUUUAUUUCCUUCACUAAGUCAACUGUAUGAUGAAAACCCAUCCCUGUGGACGAUCUUAGAGCCACUAUACUAUGUUAUCUAUGCUAUCCUAGUGUGAGGUGAUUUAGGUUUUAUAAAUUUUGUUGAUAACACCCGUCUGAGCCAGAAUCAAAUGGAACCACUGAACCAGGGACAAAUCAACAGCCUAUAUGGGAGGGACACAAGUUUAAUUGAUUUGCAUUUCAGCGUUAUAGAUAAGUAUGUUUUGGAAGAUUUGUUCUGGAAAUACUGCACCAAGUACGAUUCUUUUUCUCUUGAGUGAGUCCAUUUGCAUGCCAAUUAACGAGUUGAAAAGUAGGAGCACCUACCUCGUGCUCAUGGAACCGAAUGUCAGUGAAGUGGGGCUCCUUUUAGCCUCUUGUGUUUCUGUUCCAACCAAGGCGGCGUAGGGAAAAACAACAAUAUGUCUGUGCUAAAUAUCAACGCAUGAUAGAUGUUUUUUUUUUUUUUUUUGGUAUGUCAAGGCUAACGAAUGAAAUGCAUUAGCUUGUUUUGUGACUAUAACUGCAAAUGUCCAAAUUGGAGUAUCUCCAUUUCUCACUUCGGAUGGUUAACUUUAUAAACAAGAUAUAGGAAACAUGUGAACAUCUUGAGGAACAAUUCAAAUUAUUCAUUAGAAGUCCUGGGUUAAGUUCCAAGAUUUAAAUCAGACCCUUCUAGCAGCUUCAAGGGUACUUAGCAACCUAUAACAUAUUAAUGAAGAUUUAGGAUUUAGACUCCGGAAUACAAAUAAAUAUGUAUCUCAUGCUUUGACUAGCUUCCCUACAUAUGCAUAAAAUGGAGAUGACCCAAAAAAAAUAGCAGAAUCUAGCUUCCCUACAUAUGCACAAAAUGGAGAUGACCCAAAAAAUAGCAUAAUCGCCUUAGUUUCUGUGGUUAAGGUGAUUCUCCGCUUAAUAUCCACAUUGACUCAUUAUGCAAAAUCAACUGAGCUAAUUUUAUUUAUUUAUUUAAUGUCAAAUAGGAACUCCUAAUUAACUGAUUACUGUCGAAAAGUGCUAUUUUGUAGACCUAAUUAUAAGGGUUUUAAGCACCUUUGAGUAGUAAUCAUAUUCAUUUAACCUAAUUAAUUCAUUAAGCUCCUUAGUAAUUAGUUCUAACCAUUUUUAGUGGCAAGUUUACAUGUUUUUCAUCAGCUUAUGAACCAAUUCAAGCAUGCCAAUUGAUGGAGGAGCUACUUGGGCGAGUUAAGCAAGGAUUUUGGACGUUUACAGGCUUGAAUUUCAAGUGGAAACACGAGCACAAGCAAUGGGAACACCAUUUCGCAAGGGGAGGCAAUUCACCUUGCCAAAUGACCAAUUUCGCAAGGGGAUUUUCCUCAUGGUGCAAAAUUUGGUCAUUUCGCACCAUGAAGAAACCACCUUGCAAAAUUUCGCAAGGUGGAUUUAGGCACCUUGCGAAAUGCCAAAUUUCACAAGGUGGCUUUUCACCUUGCGAAAUUUGGACCUUUCAUCUUCCCCCCUUGCGAAAUGCCUUUGAAAUCCCCUGUUUUGAGACGCUGUUGAUGAUAUUCCACUGCCGGUUCUCCAAGAUAUUUUGCUUGACUUUUAGCUUUAUAAAUACCUAUUUUACCCUUGUAAUCAACCAAUGAAAAGGUUGCUUUUGUAAUAGCUCUUGUAAUUUAGCUUUUUAUUGUCUUUAAAUAGAGGUGAAGAGCCUCAGACACGAUCAUCUUGUAACCUGUAACUUUAUAAGUUAUAAGAGCACUUUUGUUCAUACGCUUCUUUUCUCUUUUCUUUCUCAUUUUCUUAGUAGCCAAACAUCCUUGGAGGAUGAAAUCCCCAAGGAUGAGAGGCUAAAACCUUUUAGUUUCUUGAAGUAAUGGAUGCCAUGUGAAGCUCCCGUGUCAGGAUGGAGAUUUCCAAGCCAUAAAUGUAAGUAGCUGAGCGUCAUAAAUGUUUUCAUUCAAAGUAAAGCUUUUAAUCCCUCUGACUUGCUUUGAAUGGCCAAUACUUGAUAACCUUUUGGUCUCAAUGGAUUCUUAUUGUUAGAUCCACUGACGUUCAUUAGUUAUCUCCUACGAGCCAUUGUAUUGCAAGUCGAGGAGAUGACCUAUACCAAUAAAAGAGCAUUUAUGAGGUUCAACUACCCUUUUUGUAAGUUUUCAAGGACUAAAACUCAGUUGUUAAACUCAUACCGGUUCGAGAAGUAAGCAUCACCUUAGUUGCUUCCCCAACUCGAGGUGAAAAGUCCCAAAAUCUCCAUUUUUACACAGUGAGUUAAGCAUGGCUAUCCAAAGCUUUAAGAAACUUCUUUUUCCAUCUUUUAACCUAUUUUCAUGUUAGUUUAGUUUACAACACCUUCAUCUUUUUAUGUUUUCAUCUUAACCUAAUUUUUAUUAAGAAAAGUUCACUCCAUCCUCCGAACUUCACCAGUUAAAGUAAAAACCCUUCCCAGUGUUCGAUCCUAGAGCCACUAUGCUAUAGUAGCUUUGCUACUUUAGUGUAAGGACCUUAGGUAUAAAUUUUGUUGAUACCCUUACAUGCCAAGCUACCAAGAGUCGGGUUAUCAUUAACCUAACCAUUGGCCUGUGUAAAUUGAUUUCACAUGCACAAUGUUGUAGUAGAAGUCCAUAUUUUGAAUUUUAUUUUUGUAAAGGUAAGGAAAAUGAAGCAUUGUGUAAUUAUAAAAAUAACUUCAUUGGAAUUCACAAGGUUCACCCAAAAUGGAGCUACAUCUGUAUUCUAUCCUACAGUAGACUAUAUAGAUUGUACAAUAGUAAAUUGCAAAUACAAUUAAUAAGUCUUGUGCUUCCUUACUAAUAAUCCUUUGACAUGAACAUUGCAGCACUAAGGUCCUCUUGGGAAGACACCUUGCACCCAUGAGAGCACUAAGAGGAAGCAAGGCAGAGUCAUGGGUGCAAUGUCAUGACUUGUUGUUGCACCAAGAGAGGCUUGGUGAUGCCAUGGUGUUGCAGUAGCAAGAAUGUUGCCUUGGCAGGGACACGAUCUAGGGAUAGAUGCCAAGAAAGGCUUAGCACUCACAUGAGUUGCACAAAGAUGAAUGUAAUAGAGCAUCAGAGAGACGUCUUGGCAAGUAAAUGAAUGGAUCCAAGAGACAACAACAUGAGGAGUUUCAAAUGGAUAAGGAAUGACUCAAAGACAUUUGAAAGCUACAAGUUGGAUUCUAAUUACGAUUGCAAUUUGAGUUUGAGUAGGAGUUUAGAUUUUGAUUGUAAUUGUAGUAUGAGUUGGACUAGGAUUGCUUAUCCUUAGUCAAUAUAGGAGCGGUUCGUGUCACCCUAUGAAAAGAGUUUGAGUAGGGACUAGGAUUGCUUACUCCUAGUCAAAUAUGGAGUAGGUGGUGCCACACCUAUAAAAAAAAGGGACAACAUGAGAGAGAGAGAGAGAGAGAAAGAGAGAGUGAAUUCACUAAAGAUAUUGUGGGAGUUUUGCUUUGUUACGUCUUGUAUUAUUACUUAGAAUAGGAAUAAAAUACAAGUUGGGGCUAGAGCCCCAUAAUUAAUCUCGUGUGCCUUUGUGGUUAUUCUUUAUUUGUCAUCUCGUGUGGAUUGGAUUAGGUUGACUUAGAGGGCUUCUAAGCACCACCUUUGUGGGUUAUUAUUUAUUUUCCAUCUCUUGUGGAUUAGAUUAGGUUGACUUAGAGGGCUUCUGAGCACCACCUUUGUGGGUUAUUAUUUAUUUUCCAUCUAUUGUGGAUUAGAUUAGGUUGACUUAGAGGGCUUUUAAGCACCACAUUUGUGGGUUAUUCUUUAUUUUCCAUAUCGUGUGGGUUGGAUUAGGUUGACAAGGAGAAAAAUUAUGUGGGAAAUUUGUGUUGGGACACUUACCAUAACCAAGUAAAAUCUACCAAGUCCUUUGUAAUAUCUUCAACAAAUAUUUUAGACUAGUUCUUUCAGUUAGUGUAAAGGAGGAAGAAGUGGUAUUGAUUCUAGAAAUAGGGUGUGUGUAUUUGAACUACAAUCCUUAUGAUCCUUAGGUCUCUAAACCUUCGUGAUGGGCUCCCUGACAUUUCAUAGGUUGUGCUACACAUGCGUUUGAAAUUUAGAGUGCGUUUGACAGUGAUUCCGGGAAGUGUUUUUGGCCUUUCUUACACUUGAAAAUUUUUAUUUUUCAAGUAUUAGAAAUGCUACAAACACUUUUGAAAAUUACUGUCAAACACACUCUUAGGAGCGCACAUAUAUAGUAGAAAACUAGAAAUUGUGGUUUUUUUAGGAUUUACUGUAAUGUCAUUAGGAGGGUAGUAAGUUGAAAUUGAGUAUGAACAAAUAUUUCUUUCUUUGGGAUGUUCUUCUAGUAGGUGCUGAUGAAACUGUUCUUUCUACUGCCAAUGUCACAUAUCAGCCAGAAAUUGAAAAUUUCAGUCAAGGUGUCCUCUGUUUUAGUGGUGAGGAAAGCUAGAAAUUUUAAGGUGAAGUUUUGUUAAAAACCUUAAGUAGCUGGGAUAUCAGGCCUGUUUUGCUUGAAAAAAAAAGUUGCAAGAUAACUCAUAUGCCAAACAGGUUCUGAUAUUGUGAAUCUAUCGGCAGACAUCAGUAAUCUCAUCUUCUGAGAUGGAUGUUGGGGGUGCAUGUGGUGGUGGAGGGGCAAGGUUUCAUUUGGUUUAUUUUGUUGAUGGAUAUUGUCUAGCCACCUGCGCCAAGUUUGAGGGGUGGUGGGUUGUGAUGACCCUACAAUUACUAUUAAUUUCUUCAUCUUUUACCGAUUAAAGUGUCCGAACAGUCGAAGUUACCCUUAUGCAUGUCAACUUGAUCACUUACCUCUUCAAUGGAGUUUAUGCUGGUUCAUUUAGGAACUGAUUUUUAUUGUUAUGUAUUAUAUGCUGAUGUUUAGGUCUCUCCAUCAUCACUAUAUACAAAAAUUCUAGGUUGAUACUAUAGGUUGAGAUUUAUUUUUUAAAUAAAAAAUAAUAAAAAUAAAAAUUAUGGUGAUGUUUAGUUGUUUUAUGGAAAAUUUUAACAAGUAAAAGUUAUUUUUGGGCAAGUUUUCAAACAAAAAGAAAAGUAAAAGUUGUUUUGACAAAAACAUAUAGAAAAAAAAAUCAUAGAAAAUAAAUAAUUUCCCCAUAUUCUAACUUUUUUGAAUUUUUCUCAAUGGGCAAAGGAAUAUCAAAUCAAGUUUGAGUAGGAUUUCUUAAUUUUUAAAAUAACUUACAAUUAAAAAAUUUUGGUGUUUUCAUUUUUGGACAAUUUUUUAUUAAGCAAAUGGACUCUGAGUCAUGCAAGAGAUAUGGUUCAUUAACCGGUCGAACAAUUUUUUUAAAUUAAUUUAAAAGUCAAAUACAUAAUCAAUUUCACAAAAUUUAUAAACAAAAAUAGGUUUAGAGAAGAUCUACACAUAAUUUUACUUUUCUAAUUUUAUUUUAUUUUAUUUUUUGUUGGAAAAUAGUCUUCAAAUCAUGUAAGAUUUAAUAGGUUAAAUUUGUUAACAAUAAAUUUUAAAUUAUAAAAUAUAAUCUGGAACUCAAAAAUCAAUUCAAGUAAUGCUAAAAAAAAAUCAAAUUUGGUAUAGAAUGACUUUGUAAAUUUUUUUACAAAACAAAUGAAUUUUAAAUCAAGUGAGAUUUAAUGCAUUAGAUUUUUAUCAAAUAUAGUAAUUUUAAAAAUAAAUUUGGAACUCAACAAUAGACACAAUAAAUACCAAAAAAUAAUGAACCAAAAUUGGUUUGGAAUAACUCCACAACCUUUUUUUUUUUUUUUUGGUGCACACGAAUUUUCUUACUAGGUAUAUUGCUUUCAAAUUGAGAAAGAUUUACCAUUUAGAUUUUUUUUUAAUGAGUUUAAUGGUAUUUUAAAAUAAUUCAAAAUUUAAAAAAUUGACUAAUUAAUAUUAUAAAUUGAUAAACCAAGACUAUUUCAAAAUGCAUUGGGGGCUAAGGGGGUUGAAAAUAGGGACAAUGGGAUGGGUUUGGGACAUGACACUCAUAUCUCAUUUCCAUUCCAAUUACACAGUUAUCUCCCAUCCUUAUCCCAAACUUGUGUUGGAGCAAGUUGAUUUGUUCCCAUCUUUGUUGACGAAAUGACUAAUAACCUCAUCCCCUCCUUAUCUUAGAUGUACAUUUUGUCAAAUUUGAUCAGGUAUGAUUGAUCCAAGCCCUAACCCUAAUUGGUAAUGAGUGAAUACUACACCUAAUUGCAUUCUUCUUUCAUUGCAAAAUAAUGAGAUUAUAAUAAUCUAGCAAAUAAGAAAAAAUAGUAUGGAAGUUCAAAUUAACACCAUAACUAUCAAUAAUUUUAAGCUUAUAGAUGACUUAAAUGAUUAAAAACUAAUGCAAAAUCCUAAAAAAAAUAAAAAUCAUAUAAAGAAUUCACAAGAGAACAGAAUGAACAAAAACCAAAUAUGAACAUGGGUCAACAUUAGUUAUGGAUUUGGAUUCCUUUCAAGGCCAAUCUUUGAACCAAGACUUCAUCAAAUCAACUACUUCAAAGGCUUUUGUGUUCUUCUUGGGUUGUGCUCUCAAACAAAGACUUCGAGGUGAUGUUCUAGAUGAUUGAAUUACACAUAUUUAGGGUGGAGAGAUUGGAGAAGCUUGAAGAUGCCAACGAUGGGUACAAUUGAGUGGUCAAUAAGAACAAUGUAGCCUAUGACUAGUUUGAUGUCAUGGUACAAGAGUUUUAGGCAUUGAGGUUAAAGCAAGAGCAACAUGGAAUUGAUUUCGGAGUCUUUCAGUUAGUGUAAAGGAGGAAGAAGUGGUGUUGAUUCUAGAAAUAGGGUUUUAAGUGGUGCGUGAUUACUACUCAAAAAGUGCUAUUUGAUAGCCUUUAAUUAAUCCUUUUUAACACUUUUGAGUAGUAGUUUAGGCCUUUUAACUCAAUUGGCAUGUUAAGGAUCCUUUAAAGCAAUUUUGAUCACUUUGUGCAAGUUUUGGUGUUUUUGUUAGUAUUUUGAUCACCAAAGCAAGUCAAGAAUGAGGAGAACUAUGAGGAAUCAUGGGCAAAGCUUAGAAUUCAAUUGCCAAGAGUGAAUCCGGAUUGCAAGGAGAAAAAGCAAAGAGAAUCUGUCAUGAAGCCUAUUCUUGAUGACAGUCGUAGCAGCCACUUUUGGAGCACUUUCUGAAGUCCAAAUGAUGCAAGCUAUAUACCAUUUCAAAGAUCAGGAAGUCAACAAUCCAAUGCUUCAAACGGUGCGCGAUUCGGAGUUGAAACGAAGAAGUUGCAGCCAUUACAAGCCAGUCACUCUAAAGUGUUGCGGAAUCAGCCUUUUGUUGCGAGAAUUUCGCAGCACUUUUGUACAGUAAGGUGUUUCUCCUUCUGACGAUGCACGAACCAUGCCGCGAGAGGGAAGCUAGGAACUUCAAGAUGGAAGCCAACUUUGCAGCCUGGUGAAGAUAGCUUGGUCUUGCGAAAUAAUUUCGCAGCCCUCUUGGGUGUCUGCGAAAUUUCGCAGGCACCACUUUUUUCCUGCGAAAUGGCUCCGGAAGCCUCCCGAAGCUUGCUACCGACAUUGGGAGAUAUUUUCCAUUAGAUUUUUGUUGUCUAAAUUCCAAAAUACUCCUUGUAAACCACCAAUUACAUGAUUCCUUAGUUUUUAAGUUAGUAAAAAGACCAAAUAUCUAUGUAAUAAUUAGUUUUAUAUUAGUUUGCUAUAAAUACCUCUCGGGAGCAUGUUCUCAGAGAGGAGUUCCUUCUGUAACCAUUUUGGUAAGCAAGUAAAGUCUUUUCUUUCUACUGCCUUACCUUCUCACUUUGUAUUUUCAUUUUAUUUCUAAGUUAUGAAUUCUCUGAGGAGCUUUCCCCAGAGAAUGAGUAACUAAACCUCCAAUUCCUUGGAGCUAAGGUUGCCGGGGAAGGUUCCAAGUGCAAGAAUGCAAAGCUCUGUGGUUUUAGCUAGUAAUGAAGAGGAAGUGAAAUCCUUUAGUGAUUUCAAUGUUUUUAGUUAACUUAAAACACCUUGGAGUCACCUGGGCCAACACUUGGUAAGGCAAGUGAUUUCCAACCGUGGAAAUGCACUAGUUUACCCCUUGCGAGCCUCUGGUAGGUGACUUCAAGGUAGGAUUUUCUGGAAUUACCAACACUUGGUAAGCUUUUGGACUCCUAGGAGACAUCCAUUAGUUAUCUCUUGCGAGUUUGUGAAGGGGAAUCCAAGGUUAAAGAUCACCUUGAAUGGUAAGUGCUCGUGAGAGGCAUGAACCAUUGCAAGUUGUAUCAGUGAGAGAAUUAAAGUGAAAUCUAAUUGAAGGAGUCUCUGUACAUCACCGGUUAGAGAAUUGACUAUAAGUUGAAUCUCUAAUGCGAGGAAAUGAACCAUCUGACCGGAGCUAUGUCUUUUGCAUGAGGAACCACCCCAGUGAACCUAAAUCUCCAAGGAAUGCUUUUCUUCCUAAAUUAUUCCAAACUUCUGUUAAGUUAGUUAGUUUAAGUCUAAACCUUUACCAAUCAAACUUUGUGUUUUAUUUCUUAAGCUAACCGUGAAAUGAAACAAAACCAAUUCACUUGGAAUUGGUAUCCUUGAUUGCUUGCAAAUCAUUCCCAGUGAACGAUCCUUAGAGCCACUAUACUAUAGUAGCUUUGUAUUUGCUACCCUAGUGUAUGGUGUUAUAGGUAUAAAUUUUGUUGAUCACUUCCUCAAUCAAGGAACACCAGCUGAACACAAAUCAGCUGAGACACCAAUUGGGCAUGAGUCAAAUGGCGCCGUUGCCGGGGAAUGAGUGUCAAGAUCAUUGUGAUACCAUUUUUGAGCACUUGUGAUUUUCAUCACAAGUUGGUAAAGUUUCUUUCACUUUACUAAUUUUCAUUCUCUCUUUGUUUAUUUACAAUCUAAGUUUAUCUUUUUAAAAUUUAGUCUAGUUUAAUUUUGCUAUUGUAGCCUUGUUUCUCUUGUUGUCCUCUGUUCUUGUUGUCCUCUGUUUUCAUUUUAGUUGCAGCUGAAUACUAGUUGUGUAUGCCAAAGUGGAUACGAGACAUUGGAGGUAGGCUUAUUAAGUGUGAUACACCUCAGAGAGGAGAAUUGGAAGUAAUCUUGAAUAUCAUGGAGGCUGCACCUGAAGAUCAGCAUAGUCACCAAGGUCGUCAAGACAAUCUCAAUGAAUUCAGAUCAAUGAGGGACCGUAUGCAUCCACCUCGUAUGAGUGCACCAUCAUGUAUAGUGCCCCCUACAGAGCAACUAGUGAUCAGACCAUAUCUUGUUCCACUUCUACCAACUUUCCAUGGGAUGGAAAGUGAGAAUCCGUAUGCACACAUCAAGGAAUUUGAAGAUGUUUGUAAUACAUUCCAAGAGGGAGGAGCUUCAAUUGAUUUGAUGAGGCUUAAGUUAUUUCCUUUUAAUUUAAAGGAUAAGGCCAAAAUUUGGCUUAAUUCUUUAAGGCCAAGGAGUAUCCGCUCUUGGACUGAUUUACAAGCUGAAUUCCUCAAGAAAUUUUUUCCUACUCAUAGAACAAAUGGCUUGAAAAGGCAAAUUUCAAACUUCUCAGCUAAAGAGAAUGAGAAAUUCUAUGAGUGUUGGGAAAGAUACAUGGAAGCUAUAAAUGCUUGUCCUCACCAUGGCUUUGAUACUUGGCUACUGGUGAGUUAUUUUUAUGAUGGUAUGUCCUCCUCAAUGAAGCAACUCCUCGAGAAAAUGUGUGGAGAAGAUUUCAUGAGCAAAAAUCCAGAGGAAGCUAUGGAUUUCUUGAGCUAUGUAGCUGAUGUUUCAAGGGGAUGGGAUGAACCAACUAAAGGAGAAGUGGGAAAGAUGAAGUCUCAGUUGAAUGCUUACAAUGCAAAGGCUGGGAUGUAUACUUUAAAAGAGGAUGAUGACAUGAAAGCAAAGUUGGCAGCUAUGACAAGAAGAUUGGAGGAGCUGGAGCUGAAAAGAAUGCAUGAAGUGCAAGCUGUUGCUGAAGCACCAGUGCAAGUGAAGUUGUGUCCCAAUUGUCAAUCGUUUGAACAUUUGGUAGAGGAAUGCCCUGCAAUUUCAGCUGAAAGGGAAAUGUAUAGAGAUCAAGCAAAUGUUGUUGGACAAUUCAGGCCCAAUAACAAUGCUCCUUAUGGAAAUACCUACAAUUCAAGUUGGAGGAAUCAUCCAAAUUUUUCAUGGAAGGCCAGAGCAACUCAAUACCAACAGCCGGAUCCACCAUCUCAACAAUCUUCAAGUAUUGAACAAAUAAUAGCUAAUCUCAGCAAGGUAGUGGGAGAUUUUGUGGGAAAGCAAGAAGCCACCAAUGCUCGAGUGGAUCAAAGAAUGGACAGAGUGGAUCAAAGAAUGGACAGAAUGGAGAGUAUGUUGAACAAAAGAAUGGAUGGAAUGCAAAAUGAUAUGAAUCAAAAAUUUGAUAACAUCCAAUAUUCAAUUUCAAGGCUUACAAAUUUGAAUACACUGCAAGAAAAGGGAAGAUUUCCUUCUCAACCUAACCAAAAUCCCAAAGGUGUCCAUGAAGUGGAAAGCCAUGAGGGAGAAUCAUCACAGGUGAAAGAUGUGAAAGCUUUGAUCACUCUAAGGAGUGGUAAGAAAAUUGAGCAGCCAACACCCAAGCCACAUGUUGAGAAAGAAGAAGAGAUGAAGAAAGGGAAGGAAAUGGAAGAUAAAGGCAGUGAGAUCAGUGAAGAAAAGAAGGACUCUGAUGCAACAAUGAAAGUAAUUCCAGAGAAGGAGCUUCUGAAGGAAGAAAUGCUGAAGAAAUCAACUUUUCCACCUUUUCCUCAAGCAUUACAGGGGAAAAAGGGGGUUAGAAAUGCAGCUGAAAUCCUAGAAGUAUUGAGGCAAGUGAAAGUUAAUAUUCCACUGCUGGAUAUGAUCAAACAAGUUCCAACGUAUGCAAAAUUCCUAAAGGACUUGUGUACUAUCAAAAGAGGGUUGACUGUAAACAAGAAAGCCUUCUUGACUGAGCAAGUAAGUGCAAUCUUACAGUGUAAGUCUCCUUUGAAGUACAAAGACCCUGGAAGUCCUACCAUUUCAGUCAUGAUUGGAGGAAAGGUAGUGGAGAAAGCCUUGCUAGACUUGGGAGCAAGUGUGAAUUUGCUUCCAUAUUCUGUCUACAAGCAACUGGGACUUGGAGAGUUGAAGCCAACAGCAAUCACUUUGUCUCUGGCAGAUAGAUCAGUGAAAAUUCCAAGAGGGGUAAUUGAGGAUGUAUUGGUUCAAGUAGAUAAUUUCUACUAUCCUGUAGAUUUUGUUGUUCUUGAUACAGAUCCUACUGUAAAGGAAGCUAAUUUAGUUCCUAUCAUCCUUGGAAGGCCAUUUCUUGCAACUUCAAAUGCAAUCAUCAACUGUAGAAAUGGGCUUAUGCAACUCACUUUUGGUAACAUGACACUGGAUCUAAAUAUUUUCUAUAUGUCUAAAAAGCAAAUCACUCCAGAAGAAGAAGAGGGUCCAGAAGAGCUAUGUAUUAUUGAUACUUUGGUGGAGGAGCACUGCAAUCAACAUAUGCAAGAUAAGUUGAAUGAAAGUUUUGUGGAUAUUGAGGAAGGUUUUUCUGAAUCUCCUAAUGGGCUUGCUACUCUACAAAGUUGGAGAAAGAUAGAAGGAAUUCUACCUUUGUUCAAUGAAGAAGAGGAGGCAGCUGUUGAAAAAGAAAUUCCAAAACUCAAUCUGAAGCCUUUACCUAUGGAGCUGAAAUAUACAUAUCUUGAAGAAAAUAAUCAAUGUCCUGUCGUAAUAUCUUCAUCUCAAACCAAGUCUCAAGUGAAGGAUGCAAGCUUCAAAUGGGAUCCGGGCAAACUGAAUCAGGAAGGGCAAAAAGUUUUGAUGUAUGACACAAGACUCCAUAUCUUUCCUGGGAAGCUCAAGUCAAGGUGGAUUGGUCCAUUUGUUAUUCACCGAGUAUAUUCCAAUGGAGUGGUGGACUUAUUGAAUUCCAAUGGCAAGGACAGCUUUAGAGUCAAUGGAUAUCGUCUUAAGCCGUUCAUGGAGUCAUUCAAAUCAGAAAAGGAGGCAAUCAACCUCCUUGAACCUCAAAAAGCCUAAGUGAAAUGGGUUUGCUGGACGUGGUUUUACCACAGUCCAAAAAUUUUUGUAAAUUUUGUAAAUUUUCAAGUUGUUUCCAUGCUUUUAAUCUUAGUUUUUGAUUUUAAAUCAUGUUUUUAGGUGUGUUUUAAUCGUUUUAUAUGAUCCCAGGCGGAAGAAAUUUCAAGGGGAUUGAAAAGAAAAAAAUCGGGUCGAAAUUGGAGCCGAAACAGAGCAAAAACAGGGGAAAAACAGAGCUCUGCGAAAUUUCGCAGGGUGAAGGAAACUUCUGCGAAAUUGGCAUUUUGCUGCCAAACCAUUCCGCAGCACUGUAGAAGCCUCUGCGAGUGUAUUUCGCAAUUGCGAAAGUGGAUUUGGCACACGAGUGCCACUUCGCAGCACAGUGACAUCAAUUUCGCAGCUGCGAAACUCACUGCGAAGUUGCUGCGAAAAUGGCAAGUUGCUGCGAAAUUGGCGUUUUGUUGCGAAACGUAAUCUGACCCCUGGGCUUCCGUUUUUCCUAUUUAUACCUGUCAAAAGUGCUGCGAAAAAGGUUUCAAAAAUUAGAGCACCAUUCUCGCAGCCCUUUCAUCUUCUUCGCCAAGCCACGCCGUCCGUUUCUCCGGUCGUCUUCUCCGUUUAGCAGCGCCGGCCAAAGAUCGAUAGCCCAAAAAUGGCACGAACGCGAGGGGCAAAGUCUUCAUCCCCUUCGAACCGCAAAAGGAGUCUGCGAAAGGAGCCAAGUUCAGGCUCUGUUCCAGAACCUGCUCCAAAGCCUUCGCCGUCGAGACCACAACCUUCUCCAGUGAAGCCGGCGCCACCAAAGCCGCCGGCAAGGCGAUAUUUAACCAGGUCAGGUGGUCAGCCAUUGAAGAAGAAAGCCAGAGUUGAGAGCUCUGAACCAAUCGAUUUGACUGAGCAAUCCCCUGAGAAAUCACCAAAUCCUUCACCGGUACAAAUUCCAGUGCCAUCACCGGUUCCCUCGCCAAUUCCCUCACCAGAAGCAACUCCAAUUCCAUCGCCGGUACCAUCUCCGGCACCCCAAGAAAAAGCUCAGGAGCCUCAAGCGCCAAUUCCAGAGCCCCAAAUUGCAGCUGAAGCACCUCUGGAAGAAGUGAUCCGAAGGCCAAUGCUGCCUCAGCCCCCAAUCGAAGGAAACCUGGAUUGCCGAACUCGGGCAUUCCAUUCUGAGCUUUGCUUCGAUUUAACAGCAUUCAGAGUGAGGCCAGAGCUUGCCCAAUCCUUCCAACUGCUGAGGAGAUAUCAUAUGGAGCAUCUGCUAGCUCCAAGGGAUUUUUUCUAUCCCCGGGUAGUCACGGAUUUCUACCAAACCAUGACAACCAAAGAAGUAAGAAAUCCAACUCUGAUUCAUUUCAUAAUUGAUGGAAGGCAUGGUAUUUUGGGAGCAAGACAUAUUGCUGAAGCCCUGCAAAUUCCUUUUGAGCCAACUCAAUUCGACAAUUUUAAAGCUUGGACAAAUCCUACUGAGUUAGAGAUGGUUAGCACACUAACCAGAGGAGCUGCAAAUCGAUCGCAUUUGUUGAGGGGGGAGCUACCUCCAGUUAUGUUUUUGAUUGAUGCCUUUUUGAGGCAUAAUAUCUAUCCCCUGCAGCAUUGGACCCAAAGAAGGGGAAUUCUCCUAGAAGCCUUGUACAAAAUGUCUGAAGGAUUCUUCUUUGGGCCUCAUCAUCUGAUCAUGGCAGCCCUUCUAUACUUUGAGGAGAAGGUUCACAAGAAGAAGCUUCAAAGAGCAGAUUGCAUUCCACUCCUCUUCCCAAGGCUGCUAUGCCAAGUUUUGGAGCAUCUCGGAUACCCCUCUGAGCCUCAGCAGGAAAGAAAGAGAAUAUGCCGUGAGCCUUUUACCCUUGAUAAAUGGAAUAAUAUGACGGCCUACAAAAUUGAUCAGCCUGGGCAGCCUCAGCCAGCAGCAAGGAGAGUCUCCCCAAGACAUAUACCUGAAGGUAUAACACUUGCUACUCCUGCCAUCCCUCGAGCUCCACCAGCUGCACCUGCUCCAUCACAGCCAUCCACAUCAGCUGAGCCGAGGAUGGCCAUCCCUAUAUCCGAAUAUCGAGAGCUGUGCCGUGCAUUGGAGACUCUUACAGCUUCUCAGAGCAAUCUUGCUCAGGAGUUGGCAGCCAUUAAAGCAUGCCAGGAGCAGAUGUUAGCCUCUCAGACUCAACAAGCUGCCAUCCUAAGGCAGCUUCAAGUCCAUUUCGAUCUGCCACAAGCUGUAGAGCCCUCUAUUCCUACUCCACCAGAGCCACACUCUCAGCCUUCAGAGUCUCAUCCUCCAGAACCCGAAGCACCAGCUGAUCCACCUACUGAGGAGGCAGAUCCUUCUGCCUAGCACCAUCACCCCCCUCAUCAGACAUUAUAUAUAUAUUUGCUGUUUAUGUUUUUAUGCAUGUUUGUUUUGUUUUAGUUGAAAAGAAAUCCCAGUAUUUUGGUACUAUAUAUGGGAUUCCUUGUGUUACUUGUCUUUAGUAUUGUAAUCACAUGAACUCAAAGUAAUACAAGUUGACUAUUUCUUGUUAAAAGUUAGCAUUAAAGUUUCCUUAUUUCCUUUUCUCACAUAUUCUAUUCUUUUUGAAACAUGUGGUUUUCCCCAAUCAAUAUUCGAAUUUGAUAUCAGCAUGGAGGUACCACUUCCUCCCUUUUAUUACAGUCACUCAAAUCACAUUGAGGACAAUGCUCAGUUCGGUUGGGGGGUAUGAGGAAGGAAGUAUUCUAAACCUUUUUGGUAUUGCAAUUAUAUUGGUUAAUUAGUUGUAGAUUUUACUUUUUACUAGUGUUACUCUAUUCUCCAUGAAUUUUGAGGAAAAAUUUUCAAAUUAAACCAAGAGAAAUUGAACUGUUGUUUUUCACUUGACUUAGAGUAUGGAUUAUGCUUACUAAAGUGGUUCAAUUGUUGAAACUUCUACUGAAAUUGAAUUGAGUUCUUCCACUUUAAGCUAUCCACACACUGUGCACAUUAGUUUCCGAUUAUAAGAUGAAAAGCUAUUUCCCUCUUGACUUAGUAUAUUUUUGGGACUUGGUAUAUUUGACCUCAUUUGAUAAAAAUUGAAACACCCUGCAAAAGGCCAAUGAGCCUUUGAAAUAAAGAAAGUUGUUUGCUUGCCUUGAAACCCGAGCAAGGUCUGAGGGGUAUAUGGUGAAAAUCUUUAAAGCCUGGUGCCCUAAGCCUUAAUUGGUUGGGAGUCACCGACCUCAAUGCUCGUUACAAGGGUGAAUAGGUAGAGUUAGCAUAUGGUAGAUGCUUGGGUAUUAGAAAUUCAUUCUUAAAAGUCCGGGGAAAAAUCCGAGGAGUUAGUGGUUGAAAGAUCCUUAAAACUUGGUGCCCUAAACCUUAAUUGGUUGGGAGUCAUCGAUGGACCCCCAUUACAUGGACAAGUCAGAAAGAGUACCCCAUAAAGCUACCUUAAAAAAAAAAAAAAAAAAAAAAAAAAAAAAAAAGAUGAAAGUGUGUUCUUUUCUUAUUGAUUUUGGUCAGUUUGCUAAAGUGUUGAAAAGAGAUAGGUUGGGGGGUGAGAUUAGUAGCAUAUUAUUCUCGGAACCUAAGGAACCAAUACACAUAGAUUUUUGUGGAAGAUUGAAGUUUAGUUCUUAGAAAAUGAAAUGAUUUUAAAACUUCAGUUUGCAUAAUGCACUCCCUUGAUUGACAGUGUUUAGCAUAGGUGUUAUGACUCUUGUUGAGAUUUGGGUUUGUAUUUCUUUAAUGAUUCAUGUGAGAAAUAGAUCAUCAUGCCACUUGAGAAUUAUUUUCCUUUUAGCAUGAUGUUGUAAAUUUUAGAUUAGUUUGCUAUUUAUUUUUUAUUUUCUCUCCUAUAUUGCUAAGGGACUAGCAAUAUGUCGGUUGGGGGGAGUGAUUACUACUCAAAAAGUGCUAUUUGAUAGCCUUUAAUUAAUCCUUUUUAACACUUUUGAGUAGUAGUUUAGGCCUUUUAACUCAAUUGGCAUGUUAAGGAUCCUUUAAAGCAAUUUUGAUCACUUUGUGCAAGUUUUGGUGUUUUUGUUAGUAUUUUGAUCACCAAAGCAAGUCAAGAAUGAGGAGAACUAUGAGGAAUCAUGGGCAAAGCUUAGAAUUCAAUUGCCAAGAGUGAAUCCGGAUUGCAAGGAGAAAAAGCAAAGAGAAUCUGUCAUGAAGCCUAUUCUUGAUGACAGUCGUAGCAGCCACUUUUGGAGCACUUUCUGAAGUCCAAAUGAUGCAAGCUAUAUACCAUUUCAAAGCUCAGGAAGUCAACAAUCCAAUGCUUCAAACGGUGCGCGAUUCGGAGUUGAAACGAAGAAGUUGCAGCCAUUACAAGCCAGUCACUCUAAAGUGUUGCGGAAUCAGCCUUUUGUUGCGAGAAUUUCGCAGCACUUUUGUACAGUAAGGUGUUUCUCCUUCUGACGAUGCACGAACCAUGCCGCGAGAGGGAAGCUAGGAACUUCAAGAUGGAAGCCAACUUUGCAGCCUGGUGAAGAUAGCUUGGUCUUGCGAAAUAAUUUCGCAGCCCUCUUGGGUGUCUGCGAAAUUUCGCAGGCACCACUUUUUUCCUGCGAAAUGGCUCCGGAAGCCUCCCGAAGCUUGCUACCGACAUUGGGAGAUAUUUUCCAUUAGAUUUUUGUUGUCUAAAUUCCAAAAUACUCCUUGUAAACCACCAAUUACAUGAUUCCUUAGUUUUUAAGUUAGUAAAAAGACCAAAUAUCUAUGUAAUAAUUAGUUUUAUAUUAGUUUGCUAUAAAUACCUCUCGGGAGCAUGUUCUCAGAGAGGAGUUCCUUCUGUAACCAUUUUGGUAAGCAAGUAAAGUCUUUUCUUUCUACUGCCUUACCUUCUCACUUUGUAUUUUCAUUUUAUUUCUAAGUUAUGAAUUCUCUGAGGAGCUUUCCCCAGAGAAUGAGUAACUAAACCUCCAAUUCCUUGGAGCUAAGGUUGCCGGGGAAGGUUCCAAGUGCAAGAAUGCAAAGCUCUGUGGUUUUAGCUAGUAAUGAAGAGGAAGUGAAAUCCUUUAGUGAUUUCAAUGUUUUUAGUUAACUUAAAACACCUUGGAGUCACCUGGGCCAACACUUGGUAAGGCAAGUGAUUUCCAACCGUGGAAAUGCACUAGUUUACCCCUUGCGAGCCUCUGGUAGGUGACUUCAAGGUAGGAUUUUCUGGAAUUACCAACACUUGGUAAGCUUUUGGACUCCUAGGAGACAUCCAUUAGUUAUCUCUUGCGAGUUUGUGAAGGGGAAUCCAAGGUUAAAGAUCACCUUGAAUGGUAAGUGCUCGUGAGAGGCAUGAACCAUUGCAAGUUGUAUCAGUGAGAGAAUUAAAGUGAAAUCUAAUUGAAGGAGUCUCUGUACAUCACCGGUUAGAGAAUUGACUAUAAGUUGAAUCUCUAAUGCGAGGAAAUGAACCAUCUGACCGGAGCUAUGUCUUUUGCAUGAGGAACCACCCCAGUGAACCUAAAUCUCCAAGGAAUGCUUUUCUUCCUAAAUUAUUCCAAACUUCUGUUAAGUUAGUUAGUUUAAGUCUAAACCUUUACCAAUCAAACUUUGUGUUUUAUUCCUUAAGCUAACCGUGAAAUGAAACAAAACCAAUUCACUUGGAAUUGGUAUCCUUGAUUGCUUGCAAAUCAUUCCCAGUGAACGAUCCUUAGAGCCACUAUACUAUAGUAGCUUUGUAUUUGCUACCCUAGUGUAUGGUGUUAUAGGUAUAAAUUUUGUUGAUCACUUCCUCAAUCAAGGAACACCAGCUGAACACAAAUCAGCUGAGACACCAAUUGGGCAUGAGUCAGUGCGUUAGAGGAUCAAGAAGAAGAAAAAGAAGGAACUGUUGGAAUUAGUAUGAGUGUGAAGAGAAAAGUAUAUAAAUAAGGGGAAGUAAAAGCAAAGUUCAAAAAGCUAUAUUUUUUUAUUGUUGGUGUAUGGUUGCAUGAUUAUCCCUAUAAAUAAUAGGAGUUUUUUGGUAUUCUACUAGUAGUUGAAGCAUAAUUUCAUAAAUUAAUAUUUAGAGCGGGGUGGGGUGAGUUGUGACAAAAUUCAUACCCGUCCCAAACCUUGGUUCAGAUUUUUAAAAUAUUCUCAAACUUAUCAUAUACCCAACUUUUAUAUUUCAUACUUGUCCUAAUAGAGGCACGUUAGGCCGGGUUACUUGAGUAACCUACAUAAUUGUCAUCCCUAGUUGAAAUACACUUUUUGGCAGUGGCCACCAACUGAGCUAGAAGCUUGAUUGAUUGACCUACAAGAUUAGUUCUCAUCAUUUUAAAAAAAGUUCUGGCUUUGGUUGUGAGUGCAAUUGAAUCUAAACUGGCAUUUGCUUAAUGCAUCUACUUCAAUCCUAAACUUCUUACUUCUUAAGCCUCAAUUGUUGUUAGGAUUUUGGAAAACCCAUUUCCUUAAAUUGUAAAUUUAAGAUAAAAUAAAAUAAAAGUGAGACAUUUCUUGAUUGAAUAUUGUUAAAGGUCCCUUGGCAUUAAGACUUGGUUGAAGCCUUGGAAGAUUAGUGGAACUCUCAACAUGUGUUUGAAUCUUGAGGAGAGUGGAUGUAAGCCAAAAUUUUGUCAAACCAUUAUACAAAUUGAGUUUGAAUCCUCAUUUCUUGAUUUCUUAUUUAUUUGCUUUUUCUUAUUAUUACUUGAAUUGUCAUUUGCAUUCAUUAAUGUUAAAAUUGGUUAUAAUUAACCAACACUAAUUCUCUUUCCCCUUCCCUUUCUUGGGUGUAAACCUAGGUUGGAUUAACUAGAUAAAUCUAUUAAGAUGGUAAAAGAAUAAUUAUUCUUAACAUACAUAAGAUCAUCUUCAAUCAAAUGACUCAUUGGCUAAUAUGUUGAAUUUGCUUAUUACUUGCAACUCAAAAUUGUGUUCUAGUUGUGUCAAGUCCCCAGUGUAUGGACAUUAAAUUUGUAGUACGUGAUGAGUAAUUAGAUGGUCCAACUCCAAGAAAGUGAUUGAAAAGUAGUUCAAGAAAGGUGCAAAAGGGAAUUGUUUUGGUAUUUUCGUUUUUAUUCUUGAAGGUGGCAGAGCUAAAAUUUGAGAAAUCAAGCAAAACAUACUGAAAUUACAUUGAAAGAAAGAAGAUGGGAGUUAAUGUCUUGCAGUACAUGAUAAGGACUUCAUGCAUGUAGUGUGACCCAUGUCUUGGACUGAUGCCAACUCACGGUUACACUUAUACCCUUGGUUCUCUCUUUACUACCUUGGCUAACCUAGAUCAGGCUAUGAGAUAGGCUCCUCACCACACCAUUACUUGCCCAUUAAUUAGAGACAUUUUCAAGCAAUGAGGUAACAUGGUGACACCAAGAGGGUCUAUUCCUCGCCCGGAACAAGUCUAGACUUGGUCUCAAAAAAAUGGAGAAAAAUGAGGUGUCGUUAUGUAGAAAUACAACAACCAUGCCUUCCUCAUUACUUAGAUUCAGAAUGUGAAGGUGAAAUUGAGAAACAGAAACUCUUGAAACCAAAAUGAAAAUUGAUACUUUUACGAAGAAUUACAACAACAUUAGAGGAAGACUACAUUCUUCCUCUUUAUUCCUACAUUUCUACACUACUUCUACUCCACUCCAUAUUUCUACAUACAUCUUUAAUCAGUCUUCCCUCCUUUAUAUAGAGCCAUCUUCACACAAAUUUCGCAAGGUAGAAAAGAGGAAUGAAACUUGGAGCAAGGUUCGACUACUGGUUGUAGCUUGUCAAGGCUGGAAGUGAACUUUUCUUGGCUUUCUGGGCAUGGGUAGUAACUUGUGGGUUCCUGUUUGGCAUAAAAAUGGCUAGAACAUGUGGCACUAUCUUGUUGGAUGAUGUGUCAAGCAUGUGGCAGCCAUCUAGUGGCGAUUAUGUCAAUUUUGGGAUGGAGAGUUGGCAUCCAAUUGCAAAGAAAUAUGACGUCUACCAACAUGCAAUGUAAACCUAUGUAGAUCAUAUGAAGAUAGAGAGGAAAAAUAUAGAAAUGGAUAUAUACCUAGAACUAGCUUUUUAUUAAAUGAAACGGAGAGACAACAAUGAAGGAAAAUAAAAUUUUUUGGCUUAUAUCAAAGAGUUCACAUUGUGUUACCCUAGGUUUUCUUAAAACUUACUUUUAUGAUAACAAAAAAGAAAAAACCAUUAUUGUUUAAUCCUUUGUUUUAAACGCAUGUAAGGUGUAAUUAAGUUAGUUCAAUGCAUUAAUUUAAGAAACUUGACCUAUCAAAAGUACAAAAUUAGAUGAAAUCCAUUUCAAUGGUUAAAAUGAUCAAAAUCAAACUUUUUCUAAGUAUUUUUUAAAAGCAUCAAUAGUGAAAGACAAUUUUAUAUUUAGUCGGAGUUUGGACAAAACUGAAAAACACACAAAAUCCAAGCGACCAUCUCUAGCUUGGAUGGUCGCUUGAUCCCACCUAGAGAUGUGCAUGAGUAAAAGGAUUUGAAAAUGGAAAUUGACUAUGUAGUCGAUCAAUUAACUUUGCAACAUCAUAUGCAAUCCUAAUUGCUAGUCAUCUAAUCAAUUAGGUAGUCAAUCAACAGGCCAAAAAUAUGUUUAUAAUGACUAUUUUGUACAAAAACCACCUGUAUAGUUAAAUAUAAUGCAUUUCAUUUAUAAAUCUUCUAAUUCUUGAAUAACGAUCCUAUCAUCCUUUGAAAGUUUUUAUUACACUUUUUUUACUUUUGUUCUAAAACUUACACAUCACCCUUAAUUGUACCAUGAGAACCUAGCUAUUUUUUAUUUUUUUUUUUGUAAUUCAUCAAAGUUAGCUUUUGUAUUCAUUGUUGUAUUAUUUUUAGUAUAACUUAGAAAGCUAGUGUUUUCAAGUGAGUAAAAUUAACUUGUAAAUAUUGUAAAGAUUCAUCGACAUGUAUCUUAAACUAAGUGUACAAGUUAAAACAUUUGCUAGUAGAUUUUCUCAAAAUUUAGAAUAGAGCUUGAGACUAUUGAAAUAGGUGGGGUUGCACCAAACCACAUCACAUCGUUGUUUGCACCUUUUUUCACUCUCUUUUACUUAGUUGCUCUAUAUUUGUUGUCUAGUAAUAUCCUAUAGGCUUGAUGGGUUAGGGAGCAUCCCUUUGUGAAAAAAUUUUAUUCAAUCCUUAGUUGUAUCACGCAUAUAUAAAAUGCCUCAUUGUUUUAAUGGUAUUCAGUCGUGGCAUCACAGAUAUGGGCAUCUAAAUUUUAAAAGUUUGAAACUUUUAUCUAAAGAAAAUAUGGUGCUUUGCCUUUUUGUAAAGCAUGUUGAUGAAAUCCAUGAGAAUUGUGUACUUGGGAAGCAACACCGAGAUGACUUUUUUUUUUUUUUUAUAAUAUUGUUUGUCCAAAUUCCCUACAAAUUAGGCCACCAGAUGUUCAUAAUUCUCCCUUCUUGAAUUUGAAAACUCGGACAAUUGGACAAUGCGACACCUAAGUCCGGUUUCUAAAUGCUAAAGUGAAAGGGUAGGUAUGGACCAUUGAAAUGUGAUCACAACUUUUCUCUGUAGCCAUGUUGUCUCUUUUUUCUUUUGCAUGAUUUUCUUACCUUAACAGAAUCAUAGACUUGUUUAGUCUCUAAAUGGGAUUAAUUUCAUCCAGCUUUAAGCUACUAUAUUAUAUCUAGGUGGAGGACUUUUAAGAGUGCAACCGACAUAGAGCACAUGGAAGUGGGUAUAUGGGACAUGAAAUUUCUUCUUAUAAAGAUUGCAUGAUUUUUAUAUUAGAGUUGUUGAGGCGCUAUGUAUUUAGCUUGUUUUGCAGUUAAAUUAAUUGGAUAAGUAGACAUUGGCGUUUCUAAAUCUACUGUGAAGUGCUUCAUGUACGUGUGAAGUAUUAGAAAUUUCUUUCUUGGCAACUUGUUUUUCUUUGCGGUCUACUGAUAGGUUUGACUAAAAUUAUAUUCCCUGUCAUGCUAAUUAAUUUUCACGUGCAUGCUCAAAAGAAAAGUAUGACCUUAGUGCACCAAAAUCACUUUGAUUAAUUUGUGAUAGGUUUUUGUGCAUCAUGACAUUAGCCUUAUUCAUUUAGAUAAUGUUUAGUUUUUAGAAAGUAUUAAGAAAAGGAAAAUAAAUAUUAAGAAAAAUAUUCUUAUAUUUGAUUGUAUUAUGAAAAAUAUCAUAAAAAAAUCAAAUAUAAUUUAAAUUAAUUAAUAAUUUAUACAUUUUCAAAUUAUUUAAUCUUUAUAUUGAAGAUAUAAUAUAAAUGAAAUGAGUUUUAAGUAUUAUAUAAAAGUGAUUUAUUGAUCUUACAUAUAUAUAUUUCUUUUUUUUUUCCUUCUAUUUUUUCUCUUUAUUUUAUUUUCCUUAUGUUUUCCUCAACAUUUUCCGGAACCAAACAUAGCCUUAGGAAAUCCACAAUUACCUUCAACUGAGUAGAUUCUGUUGUUUUAGCAAUGUUAGGCUGCUAACUUGUGUUGGUACGAACCUAUUAAGCCUAAAGAUGUAAUUAGUUAGGAUAUUCUUUUCCCUCUAGUCUUGUAGCUCCACGUGUACAGUUGGUUAGGACCUCAUUGUAUAUAAUGCUUGCCCUGUUAUUGUAGAAGACAACAAAGAUAAAUAAUAUUAACAUUUUUCCUCUCAUCUCUCUCUGUUUCCCUCUGUUUUCAUCUCCUCUCUCAUCUUGGUAUCAGAGCCUCCAUGGCUUCUUUCAAAGAAACCUCCGAAUCACCUUCUGCUAGCAUUGUUAAUGUGCAAAACCCAUUAUCUCAAUCAAACAACCUUCCUUCACCAGUAGCCACACCCUCUUUUUCUUUCUCGUCUAUGAAUCAACCUCUCACAGUGAAGCUGGAUAAUGGGAACUACCUCAUAUGGAAGAAUUAGCUUCUAAAUGUCAUCAUUGCUAACGGACUCGAUGAUUUCAUUGACGGAUCUCGACCCUGCCCUCCUCGAUUUCUCGAUCUGCAACAACAAACCCUCAAUCCAGAGUACUCAGCUUGGCAGAGAUACAAUCGACUUCUGAUGAGUUGGCUGUACGCAUCCUUGUCCAAAGAUAUAAUGGCUCAGAUUGUUGGGUAUUCAACAGCUAUGGAGAUUUGGAAUGCCCUUAAUCAGAUUUACUCUGCCUCUUCUAUGGCGCGGUUUACUGAGCUUCGCACCAAGCUUCAAACGCUCAAGAAAGAUGGACUCUCAGUUGGUGAAUAUAUUCAAAGGCUCAAAUCCAUUUGCAAUAGUCUUGCAGCAAUAGGAGAACCAGUUUCUGAGAAAGACCAUCUUAUCUAUUUGUUCAAUGGAUUAGAUUGUGAGUAUUAUUCUUUUGUUACCUCCAUUCAAAAUCGAUCUGACCAACCAACUAUUGACAAAAUCCAUAGCCUAUUGCUUAGCUAUGACUUCCGGCUUGAACAACAAAACUCUGUUUCUCUCCAUUCUGCCCAAGUCCAUAUGGCUCAUCUGAACAAGAAACCUUAUAAAUCAACUCCUCAACCUACAUUCAAUCAUAUUCACAUUCAACCUAGAUACUCUUCUCCACCUUUUAAGCCAACCACUAGUCAAUAUCAACCCAACAUUUUGGGCAAACCACAACCACAACCAUGACAGCCUCAACCUCAAUGGAAACCACAUUUUUCAAUCUAAAAUCAAAAGCCUCAGCGCCAAAUUUGUGGUAAAUUUGGACACACUGCUCUUAUUUGCUUCCAUCACACAAAUUUGAACUAUUCACCCCAACCUUCUCCUAAAUCUUUCAAUACUGUUCUCACCACAAAUUCCCAGCUCCCUAAUCCUCCAAAAUUUUCUUACCCUACAAUGGCUCAUCCUGCUGCUACGCAUAACACGGUUCCCGAUACAAAUUGGUACAUGGACUCAGGUGCUACACAUCACUUUACUCUGGACAUCAACGUGCUUGACACUGUGACACCAUUUAGUGGUUCAGAACAGGUGACAGUUGGGAAUGGUAAGCAACUCUGUAUCUCACAUCUUGGUACUGCAAAACUACCAUCUUCGUAUUCUCCUCCUGUUCUACAUCAGGUAUAUCACACUCCAAAAAUUUCAAAUAAUCUUAUUAGUGUUAAAAAAUUGUGUUCUGAUAAUAAAGUUUUUGUUGAAUUUUAUGCCACUCAUUUUCUUGUCAAGGAUCAGGUUUCGAAGAGAGUUCUCCUUUAGGGUCAACUUGAUAAUGGCUUAUACAAAGUUCAGUCGUCAUGCUCUCCUUCUGCUGUUUCCUUUCCUCCUCAAGUUUUCAUAGCCAACAUCAAGUAUCCAAAUCUGUGGCACAAGAGACUAGGCCACCCAGCUUUAUCUGUUGUUAAUCAAAUCUUGGAUUCUUGUAACAUUGCUCGAACACAGAAAAUUUGUUUUAAUUUUUUAAAUUCUUGUCAAUUAGCAAAGAGCCACAGGCUUCCUUUUUCUCUGUCUCCAUCCAUUGCAGAAAAACCUUUUGAGUUAAUUCAUACAGACCUAUGGGGUCUUUCGCUCGUUCGCUCUAUUUCUGGUGCUCUUUAUUUUUUACUUUUCAUUGAUGAUCAUACUCGUUUUACUUGGUUUUAUUUGCUCAAAACAAAAGAUGAAGCAUAUCCUACUUUUCUCAAGUUUCAAGCUCUCAUUGAAAAUCAAUUUAAUACCAAGAUUAAGGCUGUCCAAUCUGAUUGGGGAGGUGAGUUUCGAUCUCUCUCCAUACCGUUUUCAAAUAUGGGCAUUGUCUAUUGUUUAUCGUGUCCAUACACCUCACAACAGAAUGGGCGAGUUGAGCGAAAAAAUCGCCAUGCGAUUGUCCUUUCUUGCUUGCUCUAUGCCCUUAUCUUAUUGGCCUUAUGCCUUUCAAACUGCCACUUACCUUAUUAAUCGUCUCUCUACCCCUGUGCUGCAUCAUCAAUCCUCUUACUUCGCACUCUAUCACAAACUCCCAACUUAUACUCAUCUUAAGGUCUUUGGUUCCUCUUGUUUUCCGUAUUUGCACCCUUAUAAUACCCAUAAACUCCAAUACAGGUCACUAGAGUGUGCUUUUCUUGGUUACAGUUCACACCACAAAGGUUAUCUAUGUCUUGACAUUCAUUCUAGCAGGGUGUAUAUUUCUCGCCAUGUGAUUUUUAAUGAAGAUUCUUUUCCAUUCAAGAAUUUGAAAUCUUCUCUCUCUCAGUCUAUUUCUUCUUCCUCUUCUUUAUAAGUUCCUCUGUUCAUUCUCUUGCCUCCCCUUUCCCCAUCUCCUCUUAUUUCUUCAUCUAUACCUCAUUCUUUUCCCUCUUCUUCUUCUACCUCUAGUACUUGUUCCCCUCUCGUUGCUCCUACCUCUCUUCCUUCCUCUUCACACUCUGUGUCUCCAUCUAUUCCACCUCCUUCUCCACCUUCUCCGAGUGUGGACCUGCUUGCACCUUGUGUGAAUACAAAUUUACAUACUUCUUCUCGCACUCACAAUAUUCAUCCUAUGGUGACUAGAUCUAAGGUUUGUAUCUAUAAACCUAAGUUGUUGUUGAGUGUCUCCAUAGGUUCUCUCACUAAGCCUACUUCCUUUCUUCAAGCUAUUAAAGAUCCUUCAUGGAAGCAAUCCAUGGAAUUCGAGUUUGCUACCCUUCAACACAACAAGACCUGGCAUUUGGUUCCUUCACCUUCCUCAGGCGAAGUAAUCGGUUGUAAAUGGGUCUAUAAGCUAAAGCUUCAGCCUGAUGGCUAAAUUGAGAGAUACAGCCUGCUUAGUAGCUAAGGGUAUCAUCAAAUUGAAGUAUGGACUACUUCGAAACAUUCAGCCUGAUNNNNNNNNNNNNNNNNNNNNNNNNNNNNNNNNNNNNNNNNNNNNNNNNNNNNNNNNNNNNNNNNNNNNNNNNNNNNNNNNNNNNNNNNNNNNNNNNNNNNAGCUUCAGCCUGAUGGCUAAAUUGAGAGAUACAAGGCCUGCUUAGUAGCUAAGGGUUAUCAUCAAAUUGAAGGUAUUGACUACUUCGAAACAUUCAGCCUGAUUGUCAAGCUUUCUACUAUCUGUAUUGUGCUCAGUCUUACUUUUUCCCAGAAUUGGUGUAUUAGACAGCUGGAUGUUCAUAAUGCCUUCUUACAUGGUGACUUAGCUAAAGACGUUUUCAUGGAACAACUGCCUGGAUUUGUUGAUCCUCUCUAUCCUACUCAUGUCUGCAAGUUGGAUAAGUCUCUCUACUGUCUUAAAUAGUCACCUCGGGCUUGGUAUACUAAGCUGAGUACUUCUCGCUACACUUGGGAUUUGUUACUUCUAAGAAUGACUCUUCCUUAUUUAUUUGUCAUUCGUCUCAUGGGUUACUUCUUGUUCUUGUCUAUGUGGAUGAUAUAAUCGUCAUUGGGAGCCACUCUCCUCAGGUUACUCACCUUAUCCAACAGUUGCAUCAUUAGCUUUCUUUAAAGGAUCUUGGUCCUUUACAUUAUUUUCUGGGCUUGGAGGUUCAUCACACCCCUACUGGUAUUCACCUCAGCCAAGCAAAGUAUAUCACUGAUCUCCUUACCCGGGCGGCUAUGUUGGAUGCCAAGCCAUGUCCCACUCCUAUGUCCUCCAACACAUAUCUCUCUUUUCAUGAUGGAGUGGCUCUUGAAAAUGGUUCAGAUUAUCGAAGUUUUGUUGGUGCCCUUUAGUAUUGUACCAUGACACGCCCAGAUAUAGCUUUUGCAAUAAAUAAAGUGUGUCAAUUCAUGCACCAUCCCUCUAAUGUUCACUGGCAGGCUAUAAAACGUAUUCUCCGGUACUUAAAGGGCACAUCUCAUUUUGGUCUCUUCCUACAGCCUUCCUAUGACUUCAACAUCACUUGCUAUACAAAUGCCGACUGGGCUUCCUGUCCUGAUGACAAGUGUAGCACCAGUGGCUACUGCCUCUUUCUUGCCUCUAAUCUGGUUUCUUGGUCAUCUUCCAAACAAAAAGUGGUCUCCCGCUCCAGCGCCGAAUCAGAGUACCGAGGGGUAGCAAAUGGGGCUGCUGAAAUUGCUUGGACUGAAUCUCUUCUUUGUGAACUUUCCAUUACUCCCCCUCCCCUCAUUCUCUGUGACAAUAUCAGUGCCACGUACUUAGCUGCCAAUCCUAUUUUGCAUGCCCGCACCAAACAUGUGGAAAUCGACUAUCACUUUGUCACGGAACGUGUUCUUCAAUGCUCUCUUUUUGUCCAGUUUACACCUUCUGAUGAUCAACUUGCUGAUUGCAUGACCAAGCCUCUCUCCACCCAACGUUUCAUCACUCUACGCUCCAAGCUCACUGUUCUCACUAGACCAAUGAGCUUGAGGGGGGAUGUUAAGCCUAAAGAUGUAAUUAGUUAGGAUAUUCUUUUCCCUCUAGUCUUGUAGCUCCACGUGUACAGUUGGUUAGGACCUCAUUGUAUAUAAUGCCUGCCCUGUUAUUGUAGAAGACAACAGAGAUAAAUAAUAUUAACAUUUUUCCUCUCAUCUCUCUCUCUGUUUCCCUCUGUUUUCAUCUCCUCUCUCAUCUGAACCAAAUGAUCCAUGUUAACCUUGGCUUGGUUUGAUUUGGCUCUAUCUUAGAGAGCUCAAGGAUCACGUCAACUCUGGUUUCUACUAUUCAGGUCCAUUCCCAUAUGAACUGGUUCAAAUUUGAGAAAAUGGUAACAGACCUUUAGUGAUGUUGGUUUGGAGCCAGUUGCCAAACCCGCCCUGAGCUUUACCACUAAUGUCAAGGGAGAAAGCCAUUUGAACAAAAACAAUAGCUUCAAGGGACUGAAUCGUGGAUGAAAUCUGAUCCACAUUUCUUCUCAUUUUGGAAACAAAUGAGAACUUAACUAAGAAGAUUCUACGGCCUCAUAGUGCUUUUCCUGAUCUAAGGUUGGUUCGUUUCCCAAACUGUGAGAUGCACGUGCCAGACUUCAGAACUCUCACGCUCAGGAGUGUAUCCACGUGGUGGACAUAAGAUGGUGGCUUAAGAUCUGGUGUCGGUGGCUUUACUUUACUAGGAGAGUAGUGUGUCUUCAUCUCAUUCACUGCCGGAGGGUGGCGUAAGCAGUGACGCUAAGGUGGGGCACAGUCAAUAUCAUUUGCAUUUGACCAUUAUAGUUUUCUCCCGGCUUUAAAGUAACCUUAUCGUGAUAAAGGAUUACUAGCACUAGUUCAGAUGAUAGUCAUGUUAAAUUCGGACCAUGUUUGUGUCACAUUAUCAGCAACCAUGUGUUUAUGGUUCAUGCUUUCUGCAACUAAAAUUGAUAUAUAACCAGGUGAACUUCAAUCUAAAUUCUGAAAGUACUCAUGUGAUAGAUGGUGCCCGUCUGCAGAGUCCAUCAAUUGAAAAAUGGAGUGAGUGUAUCUAUAAGAGGGAAGGCUUGGAAAAUGUUCAGUUUUCUGGGAAUUCAACAAGGAUCUAAAAUAGAUUGUUUUCUUUGCUGAUUUCAAUGGUUGAAAUUUGAGAAGAUUGUGUCCACAUAACACAACUAUUACUGGUCCUUCUGUUGCAAUUUAUCCUCUAAAGCUCUAGCAUGUCUUCCAAUUCCCACUUCCCUGUUACUCCAGGAAAGCUAUUUCUGUCAUUGUGAAGAAGAAAAGAGAAUGUACAUAUCGAUGCUUUUAAGUGACUGGAGCAUUUAUAUCAGGUGGUCUGCAGCCAUAUAUGCCACUUUGUGAAGAUUGGAACAGUCAAUCACUAGGCUAUAUAUUAGUGUGGCCCAGCCACUUUAAUCAAGGACAAGUCUUCAUACUUAAAGUCAAAUUCUGCCUUUAGUCUCAUUAUAAAUUUCUGUUUAAAUAUUAAGCAAACAUUUGUUUAAUGCGAUUAAGACAGUACUAACUCAAUACCUGUUCUAUUUUUGGAUGCAAAUGCUUGAUGGUUUCAUCAUUGGAUGGGAUAAAGGUGCAUUCAUGAUUAGGAAUACUAGUAGUUAUAUUUUAAUUCUCUUUUUUCUCAAUGAGACUUGUUGGCACAAUUUUGCUGUUGAGAAACCUACCUCUCCAUGGAAAAUAAGUUGUGAUUGAUAGUACUGGAUAUAUUCAAGAAAUCUAAAUAUAGAUAGCACAAAAUAUUAUCGACAUAAAUAGCAUUAACAGCGUACGUAUGUCUCAGUGCUCAUCAGCUAUAAGCAUGGGGCAAACACUUACUAUGAGCAACUUACGUCAAAAUUCCAGAAUAGGACAUAGAAGUGACAGAUAUAGAACAUUGCAUAUGAGUCACAAGAAAGGAAAUUACGGGUGCAUAGCAGCUCUUAUUUUACAUACUACUACUCAUACUGAUCAAAGUCACUCAGUUGGGAUGGGUGGGAGUAGGAGGUUUGUGGGGUGGCUUGUGCGGAGGAGUUGGCAGCUUCUUUCCAGGACCUGGUUGCUUCUCUGCUGGAGUUGAAGGAGGCUUAAUCUUCCGAGGUGGCUUGUAUGAGUCUUCAGCAUUCUCAGCUGGAGGGUGACCAGGGUUGUGACCAUAAUGUGGUGGCUUCUCUCCCUUAGGUGGUUUGCCAACUGGGGUUGGUGGCUUGUAUGAGUCUUCAGCAUUCUCAGCAGGAGGGUGACCAGGGUUGUGACCAUAAUGUGGUGGCUUCUCUCCCUUAGGUGGUUUGCCAACUGGGGUUGGUGGCUUGUGUUCUGGGAGUGGCUUCUCCCCCUUGGGAGGUUUUUCCAAUGGGGUUGGUUUGUGUUCAGGAGGUGGCUUCUCCACUGGAGGCUUGUGUUCAGGAGGUGGCUUCUCCACCGGAGGCUUGUGUUCAGGUGGUGGCUUCUCCACCGGAGGCUUAUGCUCUGGUGGUGGCUUCUCGAAUGGGGGAUGCUUAGGAUAAUCAGCAAGUGAGGGGGCGGUGAGAACCACCAGGCCAAGCAACACCACUAGCAAAUAUGUAGGAGACAUCUUUGGGUUUGGGCUCAGAUGGUGCAAAACUAGGAGAAUUGGCUAGCCUUUUAUAGCGGAUCGUACCCAAUAAUGAAAUGACACGUGUCAUUAUGACCCAUGUGUAAUGGGGUCGAUUUGGGUCCUACAGUGUUGAAAACUUCGACAUCCACUUUUGGCCUUUUGCUUUCUCUACAGCCGCCUUGCUUUUUCCCUCUUUCCUUUUGUUUUCCUCCUGCCCCAUUCUAUCAACUAAACACAAUUAUGUAGUUGUUUAAUUCUUAAAUGAGAUAUUAUCCGUCAAUCGUAUUAUAUUUUAUCAAGAGAGAACGGAGUGCAAUGUGGCUGUAAUUUUAUCGUUUAGUUUUAUCUCUUGGACCACUGCAUUUUUGUUAAGAGGUGCAAUAAUACACGUCUUUAUCUGCCAUUCAAUAUUUACAGUAAAGAGAGGGCACAAAACUCUUCACUUCGCACCAUAAUUAUUUUGUUUUCUGGACACCCCGGGGCCCUUUGGUUGGUUUGGGGGUCAGAAAGUGAACAUCAUAGGGGGUUUUUCCCUUAUGUGCAUUUGUAUCUGAUGGCUUUAACUCGCCUUGUUACUACAAAGAAACUGUCACAGAUAGGAACUUAUUCCAGGCUGAGUAUCUCCUCAUAGACCCUAUAAAAGAAGACAAGUCAUAAUGAACAUCUAACCUUUGUUCAAUUUGAUUCAAUGCCCCCAUUGUGUCCAUCUCACAAAUCUGAAUUAUUAUAUCCAUUGAAUACAUAAAUUAAUGAAGAAAAUAUGAAACCCAAGAUACAUCUCUGCACAACCUCAACCCUGGUUGCUAUGUUUCCCUUCUAUUCACAUGAUUUGAUGCUAAUUGCCAAACUUGCAACAAGCCCUGAGUUUGACACCUAGUAUCGAUGGGCGAAUUUAAAGUCUCCUCCAAACAUAUAUUCCACAGCUUGAAGCUCACAGAAGAUGUUACAGGCAGGGAAAAACCUUCAGAGUUCGCUACCAAAGAUAAUUAUUAAGGAGAUAUCACAAAGAGAAUUCCAAGGGGUCUGAAUCAAAGACAAAUUGGUCGUUCGUGGGGGUUCUUACUUUCUUUUGGGUAUAACUCACUGAGGGCACUGUCUUUGUUAUUUGCAUUUCACAUUUAGAGUUCUGUUCUGGAAACAUAUAAAAGGAGCAUCAUUUUGUUCUUGGGUAACCCAUAGUCGUGAGUGGGUCCAUUUGCAUGCUACUUAGUUGAAAAGUUGGACCAUUUGCUCCGACGCCUACCUCCCGGAUUCCAUGCUCGGAUAAAACAAGAAUAAAAAAAAUAUUUAUAAUUUACAAAUGGGGGAAAGAAAAAAAUGUCAACAACAAACCAGGAAAAAAGAGUAGUAAAAUUCAUGUCACAUGCUAGUGAGAGAAGGGGUUGUUACACUCACUCGAAGUUCUUUCCAAAAUAUCGCAUGGUAUUUUAUUUUAUGUGUCAGCGCAGUUGUGAAUGGAACGUGCAAAAGUCCAAAUUGGCGUUUUUCCUUUUCCCGUGUAGGAUGGCGACCUUUAAUAAAUAUUUAAAACAAAAAACGAAAAAAAGGAGGGAAAAGGGAUCAGAAAAGAUAAAACAAUGUGUACAAGAGCUCAAUUAGUUUGCAAAUUACUGUUUGGAUUUUGAUAGUAUUUUAUUUGUCCAUCUAUAUUUGAUGGAAAAGAGAAUUUAAGAUAUUUCUGAAACAAAAGCAUUAGUGUAAAACUAAAUUAAGGUAUAAUUAAGUUAGUUCAAUGCAUUAAUUUAAGAAACUUGAUCUAUCCAAAGUACAAAAUUAGAUGAAAUCCAUUUCAAUGGUUAAAAUGAUCAAAAUCAAACUUUUUCUAAGUAUUUUUUAAAAGCAUCAAUAUUAAAAGACAAUUUUAUAUUUAGUCGGAGUUUGGACAAAACCAAAAAGCACACAAAAUCCAAGCGACCAUCUCUAGCUUGGAUAGUCACUUGAUCCCACCUAGAGAUGUGCAUGAGUAAAAGGAUUUGAAAAUGGAAAUUGACUAAAUAUUUAGUUGAUCAAUUAAAUUUGCAAUGUCAUAUGCAAUCCUAAUAGCUAGUCAUCUAAUCAAUUAGGUAGUCAAUCAAGUGUUUGUAAUGACUAUUUUGUACAAAAAACCACAUGUAUAGUUAAAUAUAAUGCAUUUCAUUUAUAAAUCUUCUAAUUCUUGAAUAACGAUCCUAUCAUCCUUUGAAAAUUUUUAUUACACCUUUUUUACUUUUGUUCUAAAACUUACAUAUCACCCUUAAUUGUACCAUGAGAACCUAGCUAUUUUUUUUUUUUUUGUAAUUCAUCAAAGUUAGCUUUUGUAUUCAUUGUUGUAUUAUUUUUAGUAUAACUUAGAAAGCUAGUGUUUUCAAGUGAGUAAAAUUAACUUGUAAAUAUUGUAAAGAUUCAUUGAUAUGUAUCUUAAACUAAGUGUACAAAUUAAAACAUUUGCUAGUAGAUUUUCUCAAAAUUUAGAAUAGAGCUUGAGGCUAUUGAAAUAGGUGGGGUUACACCAAACCACAUCACAUCGUUGUUUGCACCUUUUUUCACUCUCUUUUACUUAGUUUCUCUAUAUUUGUUGUCUAGUAAUAUCCUAUAGGCUUGAUGGGUUAGGGAGCAUCCCUUUGUGAAAAAAUUUCAUUCAAUUCUUAGUUGUAUUACGCAUAUAUAAAAUGCCUCAUUGUUUUAAUGGUAUUCAGUCGUGGCAUCACAGAUAUGGGCAUCUAAAUUUUAAAAGUUUGAAACUUUUGUAAAGCAUGUUGAUAAAAUCCAUGAGAGUUGUGUACUUGGGAAGCAACAUCGAGGUGACUUUAUUUUUUUUUCCUUUUAUAAUGCCACACCUAAGUCCGGUUUCUAAAUGCUAAAGUGAAAGGGUAGGUAUGGACCAUUGAAAUGUGAUCACAACUUUUGGCCUUUUCCUUUCUCUGCAGCCAUGUUGUCUCUUUUUUCUUUUGCAUGAUUUUCUUACCAAAACAGAAUCAUAGACUUGUUUAGUCUCUAAGCUACUAUAUUAUAUCUCGGUGGACUUUUAAGAGUGCAACCGACAUAGAGCACAUGCAAGUGGGCAUAUGGGACAUGAAAUUUCUUCUUACAAAGAUUGCAUGAUUUUUAUAUUAGAGUUGUUCACGUGCAAUGUAUUUAGCUUGUUUUGCAGUUAAAUUAAUUGGAUAAGUAAACAUUGGCAUUUCUAAAUCGACUGUGAAGUGCUUCAUGUACGUGUAAAGUAUUAGAAAUUUCUUUCUUGGCAACUUGUUUUUUCCUUGCCAUCUACUGGUAGGUUUGACUAAAAUUAUAUUCCCUGUCAUGCUAAUUAAUUUUCAUGUGCAUGCUCAAAAGAAGAGUAUGACCUUAGUGCACCAAAAUCACUUUGAUUAAUUUGUGAUAGGUUUUUUUGCAUCAUUUAGAUAAUGUUUAGUUCUAAGAAAAAUUUAUAUAAAAAUGGUUUAUUUAUCUUACAUAUAUAUAUAUAUAUAUAUAUUUUUUUUUUUUUCAUUUUUUUUUCUUCUAUUUUAUUUAUUUAUUUUAUUUUCCUUAUGUUUUCCUCACAUUUUCCGGAACUAAACAUAGUCUUACGAAAUCAACAAUUGCCUUCAACUGAGUAGAUUCUGUUGUUUUAGCAAUGUUAGGCUGCUAACUUGUGGUGGUACGAACCAAAUGACCCAUGUUAAUCUUGGCUUGGUUUGAUUUGGCUCUAUCUCAGAGAGCUAAAGGAUCACGUCAACUCUGGUUUCUACUAUUCAGGUCCAUUCCCAGAUGAACUGGUUCAAAUUUGAGAAAAUGGUAACAGACCUUUAGUGAUGUUGGUUUGGAGCCAGUUGCCAAACCCGCCCUGAGCUUUACCACUAAUGUCAAGGGAGAAAGCCAUUUGAACAAAAACAAUAGCUUCAAGAGACUGAAUCGUGGAUGAAAUCUGAUCCACAUUUCUUCUCAUUUUGGGAAAAAAUGAGAACUUAACUACAAAGAUUCUACUGCCUCAUUCAUAGUGCUUUUCCUGAUCCAAGGUUGGUUCGUUUCCCAAAUUGUGAGGUGCACGUGCCACUCUCACGCUCAGGAGUGUAUCCACGUGGUGGACAUCAGAUGGUGGCUUAAUAUCUGGUGUCGGUGGCUUUACUUUACUAGGAGAGUAGUGUGUCUUCAUCUCAUUCACUGCCGGAGGGUGGCGUAAGCAGUGACGCUAAGGUGGGGCACAGUCAAUAUCAUUUGCAUUUGACCAUUAUAGUUUUCUCCCGGCUUGAAAGUAACCUUAUCGUGAUAAAGGAUUACUAGCACUAGUUCAGAUGACCGUCAUGUUAAUUCGGACCAUGUUUGUGUCACAUUAUCAGCAACCAUGUGUUUAUGGUUCAUGCUAUCUGCAACUAAACUUGAUAUAUAACCAGGUGAACUUCAAUCAAAAUUCUGGAAGUACUCUUGUGAUAGAUGGUGCCUGUCUGCAGAGUCCAUCAAUUGAAAAAUGGAGUGAGUGUAUCUAUAAGAGGGAAGGCUUGGCAAAUGUUCAGUUUUCUGGGAAUUCAACAAGGAUCUAAAAUAGAUUGUUUUCUUUGCCGACUUCAAUGGUUGAAAUUUGAGAAGAUUGUGUCCACAUAUCACAACUAUUACUGGUCCUUCUGUUGCAAUUUAUCCUGUAAGGCUCUAACAUGUCUUCCAAUUCCCACUUCCCUGUUACUCCAGGAAAGCUAUUUCUGUCAUUGUGAAGAAGAAAAGAGAAUGUACAUAUCGAUGCUUUUAAGUGACUGGAGCAUUCAUAUCAGGUGGUCUGCAGCCAUAUAUGCCACUUUGUGAAGGUUGGAACAGUCAAUCACUAGGCUAUAUAUUGGUGUGGCCCAGCCACUUCAAUCAAGGACAAGUCUUCAUACUUAAAGUCAAAUUCUGCCUUUAGUCUCAUUAUAAAUUGCUGUUUAAAUAUUAAGCAAACUUUUGUUUAAUGCGAUUAAGACAGUACUAACUCAAUACUUGUUCUAUUUUUGGAUGCAAAUGCUUGAUGGUUUCAUCAUUGGAUGGGAUAAAGGUGCAUUCAUGAUUAUGAAUACUUGUAGUUAUAUUUUCAUUCUCUUUUUUCUCAAUGAGACUUGUUGGCACAAUGUUGCUGUUCAGAAACCUACCUCUCCAUGGAAAAUAAGUUGCGAUUGAUAGUACUGGAUAUGUUCAAGAAAGCUAAAUAUAGAUAGCACAAAAUAUUAUCGAUAUAAAUAGCAUUAACAGCGUACGUAUGUCUCAAUGCUCAUCAGCUAUAAGCAUGGGACAAACACUUACUAUGAGCAACUUACGUCAAAAUUCCAGAAUAGGACAUAGAAGUGACAGAUCUAUAUAUAUAGAACACUGCAUAUGAGUCACAAGAAAGGAAAUUACGGGUGCAUAGCAGCUCUUAUUUUACAUACUACUACUCAUACUGAUCAAAGUCACUCAGUUGGGAUGGGUGGGAGUAGGAGGUUUGUGGGGUGGCUUGUGCGGAGGAGUUGGCAGCUUCUUUCCAGGACCUGGUUGCUUCUCUGCUGGAGUUGAAGGAGGCUUAAUCUUCCGAGGUGGCUUGUAUGAGUCUUCAGCAUUCUCAGCUGGAGGGUGACCAGGGUUGUGACCAUAAUGUGGUGGCUUCUCUCCCUUAGGUGGUUUGCCAACUGGGGUUGGUGGCUUGUAUGAGUCUUCAGCAUUCUCAGCAGGAGGGUGACCAGGGUUGUGACCAUAAUGUGGUGGCUUCUCUCCCUUAGGUGGUUUGCCAACUGGGGUUGGUGGCUUGUGUUCUGGGAGUGGCUUCUCCCCCUUGGGAGGUUUUUCCAAUGGGGUUGGUUUGUGUUCAGGAGGUGGCUUCUCCACUGGAGGCUUGUGUUCAGGAGGUGGCUUCUCCACCGGUGGCUUGUGUUCAGGAGGUGGCUUCUCCACCGGAGGCUUAUGCUCUGGUGGUGGCUUCUCCACCGGAGGCUUAUGCUCUGGUGGUGGCUUCUUGAAUGGGGGAUGCUGAGGGUAAUCAGCAAGUGAGGGGGCGGUGAGAACCACCAGGCCAAGCAACACCACUAGCAAAUAUGUAGGAGACAUCUUUGGGUUUGGGCUCAGAUGGUGCAAAACUAGGAGAAUUGGCUAGCCUUUUAUAGCGGAUCGUACUCAAUAAUGAAAUGACACGUGUCAUUAUGACCCAUGUGUAAUGGGGUCGAUUUGGGUCCUACAGUGUUGAAAACUUCGACAUCCAGUUUUGGCCUUUUGCUUUCUCUACAGCCGCCUUGCUUUUUCCCUCUUUCCUUUUGUUUUCCUCCUGCCCCAUUCUAUCAACUAAACACAAUUAUGUAGUUGUUUAAUUCUUAAAUGAGAUAUUAUCGGUCAAUCGUAUUAUAUUUUAUCAAGAGAGAACGGAGUGCAAUGCAGCUGUAAUUUUAUCGUUUACUUUUAUCUCUUGGACCACUGCAUUUUUGUUAAGAGGUGCAAUAAUACACGUCUUUAUCUGCCAUUCAAUGUUUACAGUAAAGAGAGGGCACAAAACUCUUCACUGCUCUGCAUGUGUCCCAAAAAUGCGAUUGGACAAAUUAUGAUUUGCAUGCUAAAAAGAGGCAAAUGAGGUUAAUUCGCACCAUAAUUAUUUGGUUUUCUGGACACCAUAAAAAGAUGUUAUACAGGCAGGGAAAAACCUUCAGAGUUAGCUACCAAAGAUAAUUAUCAAGCAGAUAUCACCAAGAGAAUUCCAUAGAGUCUGAAUCAAAGACAGAUUGCUCGCUCGUGGGGGUUCUUACUUUCUUUUGGGUAUAACUCACUGAGGUCACUGUCUUUUUUAUUUGCAUUUCACAGUUAGAGUUCUGCUCUGGAAGGUUUGUUCUGGAAACAUAUAAAAGGAGCAUCAUUUUGUUCUUGGGUAACCCAUAGUCGUGAGUGGGUCCAUUUGCAUGCUACUUAGUUGAAAAGUUGGACAAUUUGCUCCGACGCCUACCUCCUGGAUUCCAUGCUCGGUAAAACAAGAAUAAAAAAAAAUAUAUAAUUUACAAAUGGGGGAAAGAAAAAAUGUCGGAAAAAAUAGUAAAAUUCAUGUCACAUGCUAGUGAGAGAAGGGGUUGUUACACUCACUCGAAGUUCUUUUCAAAAUAUCGAAUGGUAUUUUACUUUAUGUGUCAGCGCAGUUGUGAAUGGAACGUGCAAAAGUCCAAAUUGGCGUUUUUAUUUUUCCCAUGUAGGAUGGUGACCUUUAAUAAAUAUUUAAAACAAAAGACGAAAAAAAAAAGGAGGGAAAAGGGAUCACAAAAGAUAAAAUAAUGUUUACAAAAGCUCAAUUAGUUUGCAAAUUACUGUUUGGAUUUUGAUAGUAUUUUAUUUGUCGUUCUAUAUUUGAUGUAAAAGAGAAUUUAAGAUAUUUCCGAAGCAAAAGCAUUAGUUUGCUCUGUGAUGUCCCACAUCGAAUAGGGGAGAAAGUUUCUGGCGCUAUAUAUGUAGAGGCUCCUCUUAACCAAGUAGAUGCGUUUUAAAACCAUGAGGGCCCCCUUAGGUCCAAAGCGGACAAUAUCUACAUGAUUGGGUGUAAGUCAUUACAAAUGGUAUCAGAGCCGAUCCCCGACCCCGGUGUGGGGGUUUGUUUGGCCCUGUAAGGGGUGUUUGUCUGUUUGACCCCACAAUCCCAUGGGACACAACGAGGACGUUGUGUCUGCAUGGGGGGGCGUUUGUGAUGUCCCACAUCGGAUAGGGGAGAAAGUUCCUAGUGCUAUAUAUGUAGAUGUUUCUCUUAACCAAGUAGAUGCAUUUUAAAAUUGUGAGGGCCUCUUUGGGCCCAAAGCGGACAAUAUCUACAUGGUUGAGUGUAAGUCAUUACAUGCUCCAUGUCAAUUUCAGCAUUUCUCAUAUGUUUCACACAUACACAGAAGAGCAUCGUUUUUUAAAGCAUGCAUUUAUGUUGGAUUAAUUUGGAUUUUGUGGGAACUGGGGCAAGGAUCACAUGGAAGAGAGGUUGACUUUUUUCAGUACUUCAAUGGUUGAAAUAUGUGAAGGCUUGAUUGAUACUAAAGCUUGAAAUUGCGACUCUGUCAUUUGUAAAAAAAUAUGACAGCUUCCAUGCUCUCGUUUGGUUGCAUUGUCCGGUCGAGAGGUGCAAAAAGCAUUCUCUCUCUUCUAAUAGUCUUUUCGUUUAAAUCAAGGGAUUUGCCUUCCCGGUCGAGGUCCAAUAGAGGGUAACGGUCACCUACUAAACAUUAAAUGCUCCAACAACUAGUGAACUGAUCGACCCCAGCUCGACUAGUUGAGGUUACUUUUUGGUUUUCUUGUCUCCCGAGGUUAGAAACCUAUAAAUAGAGAGCUUCACUUCAUUUAUGAGUAAGAGAACACCUAAAUUUAUUUGUUUACCUACUUGUUUUUGCCAUAAAAGCUCUCAUUUCUUUUCUUGGUGUAUUAAAUCUCCAUUUGCAUAUCCUUUAGUGCACCUUUGUGAUUCAUUCUAGCCUUGAGUUGUAUUUAAGCCUUUGUUGAGCUAGGUUGAGAGUUUCAUACUUGUUUAUUGAGUGUUAAAGCCUUCAAGUGAGUUAAAACUUGAAGAGAUUGUGUAAGAGCCCAUUGGAGUCGGAAUCCAAGUGUAAAGGUGAUUAAAAGCUUGGUUGAAGCUUCAAGUUAGUGGAACUCUCACUCGGUUAUGAGCUUGAGAAGAGUGGACAUAGACAAGGCAGUGUCGAACCACUAUAAAAUCUGAGUUUGAUUUCUCUAACCUUAUCUCUUUAUAUUUGCUUCUCUUGUGCUUAAAUUUUUUGUGUUUAAAAAGAAUUUUUAAAAACUCAAUUCACCCCCUUCUUGGGAGUUUUUCUCUUUUAAGAUCAGCUUUUAUUUUCUCAAUUGGUAUCAGAACUAUGCCUCUUGUUUAAGACUUAAUCGUCUAAGAGGAAAUGGCUAAUCCAUCAAGUUCAUCUCACAUUGAAAGUUUUGCAACCAAUAGACUUCUUUUUUUUUUUUUGCGGGAACUGAUUAUCCCUAUUGGAAAACUAAAAUGACUUGGUUUUUACAAUCAAUUGAUUUAGAUGUAUGAGAUGCCAUUGAAGAUGACCUAACUUUUCCUUCAAAACUAGUUGAUGGAGUCAUGGUUCCAAAACCUAAGCAAGAAUGGGAUGAGCGUGAUUGAAGAAAUUUUCAAUUAAAUGCUAAAGUCGUUUAUACUUUGCAAUGCUCUAUGGACAGAAAUGAAUAUAAUAGAAUAUGUCAAUGCAAAUCGGUUAAAGAAAUUUGGAGAUUGCUUGAAAUAACUCAUAAAGGAACAAAUCAAGUUAAAGAGUCAAAAAUCAAUUUACUUGUUCAUAGAUAUGAAUUGUUUUUUAUGAAAGAUAAUGAAACUAUUGUUAAGAUGAUCACUAGGUUCACCAACAUUGUUAAUGGUCUUAAAGCCUUGGGAAAGACCUACAAGGAAUCCGAAAACGUGAUGAAGAUCUUGAGGUCACUUCCAUCAAAGUGGCAUACCAAGGUCACCGCAAUUUAAGAAGCAAAAGACUUGAUCAAGCUACCUUUGGAGGAGUUCAUAGGGUCAUUGAUGACAUAUGAAAUCAAUUUGGCAAAGAAGUAACAAAAAGGUGAAGACAAAAAGAAGAAGAACAUAACUCUCAAAGCUACAACUAAGGAAGAAGAAGUUGAAGAAGAAAAACAAAUUGAAGAAGAUGAAGAUUUAGCCCUCAUCACAAGAAAGUUCAACAAAUUCAUGAGGGGUGAAAGGUUUAGAAGAAGAAGGUUCACUUCUAGAAGAGACUUUUCUAAAAAGGAAUCUUCAUCUAAUGGUGACAAAAAGAGAUGGGAAGAGAAAAGAGACUUGGUGUGUUUCAAGUGCAAGAAACCGGGACACAUUAAAUAUGAUUGUCCUCUCUACAAAAGUGAAGUCAAGAGGAAAAAGAAUAAGGCAAUGAUGGCCACUUAGAGUGAAAGUGAAGAUGAAUCAUCCGAAGAAGAAAAUGAGAAAGAAGUGGCAAACAUGUGUUUCAUGGCAAUAGAUGAACUUGAUGAGGUAAAAUCUAACCUUAGUGAUUAAGAUAUACAUGAUGCAUUUGAAGAAUUGUAUGAGGAUUUUUAAAAACUUAGUUUGAAAAAUAUUUCUCUUAAAAAGAAAGUUCAACAACUUGACAAAGAACUUAGAGAAGUAAAAGAAAAAUUUUCAAAUGUUAAAGUUUCUAAAACUCAUCUUGAAAAAGAAAAUGAGAUUCUAAGAAAGAAAAAUGAAUAGUUGAACUCCUCUCUUUCAAUCUUUUCUUCUAGACAAAAAUCUUUUGAAAUGAUUCUAACUAGCUAAAAAUGUGUUUUUGACAAACAAGGGUUAAGAUUUAAAUCUUCAAAAAAUCAAAAGUAUUUUAAAAACUAUUUUGUAAAGGAAUCCACAAGUGCAAGUCCUUCCACUACUUGCAACUUUUGUGGAAGAGAAUGGCACAUUAGUAGUACGCCCUUUAAGAAAUGGUUCUCAAAAGAAUUUAAAUGCAAAAACUAAAAAAGAUUUGGAUUGAGAAAUCCAAGGUCACUAACCCUCAAGGACCCAAAAAGAUAUAGGUACCUAAAUCAACUUGAGUUUUAUGUUGUAAGGUUCAAAGAAUGAUAAGUGGUUCUUAGAUAAUGGUUGCUCAAGACACAUGACCGGAGAUGAAUCCAAGUUUGCUUUUCUUAAAAAGAAAAAUGGAGGAUAUGUUACCUUUGGAGACAAUGCAAAAGAAAGGAUGAUUGGUCAAGGCAACAUUGGUAAUGGCACAUCCUCUCUCAUUGAAAGUGUUUUAUUAGUAGAUGGUUUCAAACAUAACCUUUUAAGCAUUAGUCAAUUUUGCGACAAAGGUUUUUAAGUGAUUUUUUAAGCAUCUCAUUGCAUCAUCAAGGAUAUUCAAAAUGAUAAAACCAUUUUCAUGGGCCAUAGAUGUGAUAAUGUUUAUGCUAUAAAUAUUUCAAAAUAUGAUGGCCAUGAUAGAUGUUUUUCAAGCAUGCAUGAUCAAAGUUGGUUGUGCCAUAGGAGAUUGAGACAUGCUAACAUAGACCUCAUUUCCCAACUCAACAAAGAUGAACUUGUUAGAGGCCUUCCCAAAAUAAUUUUUUAAAAAGAUAAAGUUUGUGAAGCUUGUCAAGUGGGAAAGUAAAUCAAAAACUCUUUUAAAAACAAAAACUUCAUUUCCACAUCUAGGCCACUUGAGUUGUUGCAUAUGGAUUUAUUUGGUCCCUCUAGGACACCAAGUCUUAGAGGAAAUUCUUAUGCAUAUGCUAUUGUGGACGACUUCUCUAGAUACACAUGAGUCUUGUUUUUUAGUCAAAAGAAUAAAGUUUUUUAUGAGUUUUCAAAGUUUUGCAAUAAGAUUCAAAAUGAAAAAGGUUUUUCAAUUACUUAUAUAAGAAGUGAUCAUGGGAGAGAAUUCGAAAAUAUUGAUUUUGAAGAGUAUUGCAAUGAGCAUGGAAUUGACCACAAUUUUUUGGCUCUUAGAACUCCUCAACAAAAUGGGGUAGUUGAAAGGAAAAAUAGAACUCUUCAAAAAAUGACAAGAACCAUACUAAAUGAAAACAACUUACCAAAAUAUUUUUAGGCCAAAACGGUUAACACUUCUUGUUAUGUUUUAAAUAGAGUAUUAUUGAGGCUCAUACUUAAGAAAACUCCCUAUGAGCUUUGGAAAAACAAAAAACCCAACAUUAGUUAUUCCAAAGUCUUUGGAUGCAAUAUUUUAUAAUAAACACCAAAGACAAUCUUGGAAAAUUUGAUGCAAAAUUGGAUGUUGGAAUUUUCCUUGGUUACUCAACUUCAAGUAAAGCUUUUCGAGUUUUAACAAAAGAACCAUGGUUGUAGAGGAGUCCAUCCAUGUUAUUUUUUAUGAAUCUCCAAGAAAGAGAGAGGAUUGAUGAUGAUUUAGGUUUGAAGACCUCUAUAGGAAGAUUGCAAAUCGAAGAUAGAAGACAACAAGAAGAAAAUGGAGAGAAUCCAAAGAAAGAAGGAUCACCAUUGGCACUACCCCCUCAUCAACAAGCGCAAGGUGAAUCAAGUCAAGAGCUUCCUAAAGAAUGGAAGUUUGUCAUCAAUCACCCACAAGAUCAAAUUAUAGGCAAUCCAUCUAGUGGGGUAAGAACUAGAUCCUCUCUUAGAAAUAUUUGCAAUAAUCUAGCUUUUAUCUCUCAAAUUGAGCCUAAAAAUAUAAAUGAUGUUUUAGAUGAUGAAAAUUGGAUAAUUGCAAUGCAAGAAGAGUUAAAUCCAUUUGAAAGAAGUGGAGUAUGGGAAUUAGUACCAAGACCUUCAAAUCAAAGUGUUAUUGGAACUAGAUGGAUCUUUAGAAAUAAAAUGGAUGAAAAUAGCAUAAUUGUUAGAAAUAAAGCAAGAUUGGUAGCCCAAGGUUUUAAUCAAGAAGAAAUGAUAGAUUAUGAAGAAACCUUUGCCCCCGUAGCUAGGUUGGAAGCCAUUAGGAUGCUACUUGCCUUUGCAUGUUUUAAAGACUUUGUUUUAUAUCAAAUGGAUGUGAAAAGUGCUUUUUUAAAUGGUUUUAUAAAUGAAGAAGUAUAUGUUGAACAACCACCCGGUUUUCAAAGUUUCAACUUUCCUAACCAUGUUUUUAAACUUAAAAAGACACUUUAUGGUUUGAAACAAGCACCUAGAUCAUGGUAUGAAAAAUUGAGUAAAUUUCUUUUGAAAAAAAUGUUUUAAAAUGGGAAAAAUUGACACAACUCUUUUUAUAAAAACCAAAGAAAAUGAUAUGCUCUUAGUUCAAAUAUAUAUUGAUGAUAUCAUUUUUGGUGCUACUAAUGUCUCUCUUUAUGAAGAAUUUUCUAAGUGCAUGCAUAGUGAGUUUGAAAUGAGCAUGAUAGGAGAACUCAACUUCUUCCUUGGACUUCAAAUCAAGCAACUAAAGGAAUGAACCUUCAUCAAUCAAGCAAAGUAUAUAAGAGAUCUUCUCAAAAGGUUCAACAUGGAAGAAGCCAAAACAAUGAAGACUCUAAUGAGCUCAUCCAUUAAGCUUGAUAAGGAUGAGAAAGGUAAAUCCAUUGACUCUAUUAUGUAUAGAGGCAUGAUAGGUUCUUUGCUCUAUUUGACCACUAGUAGACCUUACAUUAUGUAUAGUGUGUGUUUGUGUACUAGAUUUCAAUCUUGUCUUAAAAAAUCUCACUUAAGUGUCGUGAAAAGAAUCCUCAAAUAUUUGAAAGGGACAAUGGACAUAGGCUUAUGGUAUCCUAAGAGUGAUAACUUUGAAUUAAUUGGUUUUUUGGAUGCUGAUUUUGUCAGUUGUAGGGUUGAAAAAUAAAACACUAGUGGCACUUUUCAUUUCUUAAGACACUUACUUGUCUCAUGGCAUAAUAAGAAGCAAAAUUUGGUAGCUUUGUCAACAGCAGAAGCUAAAUACAUAGCAACUGGUUUAUGUUGUGCACAAAUCCUUUGGAUGAAAUAAACACUUAGUGAUUUUGAUUUAUCUUUUGAGCAUAUUCCUAUUAAAUGUGAUAAUAGUAGUGCCAUAAGUAUAUCAAAAAAUCUCGUGCAACACUCUAGGACUAAGCAUAUAGAGAUUAGACAUAAUUUUCUUAGAUAUCAUACACAAAAGGAUGAUAUAACACUUGAAUUUGUAAGCAUAAAAGACCAACUUGCCGAUAUCUUUACAAAACCUCUAAGAACAUUUUGUUGAUAUUAGAGGACAAUUAGGAGUGAUUUCUUUAUGAUCUAAUGUGAUGAAUUCUUGAUGAAUAUACUUUUUGAUUGCAUGAAUUUCAUGUCAUAUAUGCAUCAUAUAGAAAUAUACUUAGAUAAUGGUCAAAUUUCGACCAAAAAUCAAAAUUCCCAUGGCAUUAGGCAUAAAAAUUUUGGAAUUUCAACUGAAAAUGGUAGGAGGAGGAUCACAAAAUGAGAAAGUAUGCAAAAAUUGAAAAAUCAAAACGUUGACCAAGCGGUCAAUCGGACUAGACCGAUCGACUAGUUUGUCGAGAUUUAGGAUUUUUAAGAGACUCCAACGCUUCAAUUUUUGCACCGUUCUCCUCUAUUUCUUCACGGUUUCUCUGAUUUUGUCUUUUAGAGACUAAUUUGAGUGCGUUUUGGAUCAAUUGAAGCAUUUUGGAUUGGAUUUUAGGAAGAUUGAAAGUUAAGGUUUCGGAUUUGGGUCGCCUUCUCUUCCUCUCGCGUGUCACAAUCAGCUUUAGCAUUGUUCUCUUUCCAUUUUCACACACCUAGGGUUUCAGUUGUGAGCAUCUCUCUCUCUUUACCAACCACUACUCCCUUGCUUCUUCCAUAUGGCUCCUAGGCGAGAGUCCGCUACUUCUAGGGCACAAGGCAAGCACCCAACUGAGUCGUCUCAGUCAAAGGCACGUCGAAAAGUGAGAUUUGACAUUGCCUUGUUCAGUUCCAUGGAGGACUACCAACUAUACAAGCAACACUUUGCUUAGAGACGAGUAGUUCCCAAGAGAAAUAUUAAUUUUCCUCAACUUCAGCAUUUCGAAUUUAAGGGUCUAUUUACUAGGAUGGUUGGUUGUCUAUUGUCACAAUUUCGGAGCCGGUUUUCCUGACCUUAGUGCGAGUUUUUUACUCGAGGGCGACUUAUGGCAUGGGUGGCAUGAUCAUUUCUACUGUUGGAGGAGUUGAGAUCUGUCUGGACCCAGAGAGCAUCUGCCAUAUUUUCGAUAUUGCUCUGGUUGGACUCAAAGUAUACAAGUCCAAAAUGUGGCCCAUUGUGCCAGGAUUUGAGCUUAGAGAGGUCAUUCAGAGGAUUUGUGAACUUCCAGACGCCCAGGAGAUGGGCAAACCAUUGCCACACAGUUUGACGGUCAUCAACAGGGUGCUACACCAUAUAUUGUGCUCUAUCUUUCUACCACGAAGUGGACAUUGAGAUGAGGUCUCUUAUUAUGAGGCAUUCCUUAUUGACUCCAUUCUAACGGAGAGACGAAUUCAUCUACUAUGUCAUCAUUCACUAAGCCUCCUCACAGUGACAUACCACCUCAUCAGGCACCUCUUGCUCCUGACCAUGCUCCAUUGAUGGAUUUAUUUACUCAUAUUAGCUCUCUAGGCACUCGCAUGAAGGAGUUUGUUGUAGUUAGUGAUACAUGGUUCUACUCCAUAGAGGAUCGCAUGGAUCAGUAUCAGACUGGCUUCACGUCACAGUUUGAGUAUCUCCAAUAGAGGAUUGAGCAUAUUGAGGAUCACUUGAGCAUGAGAAGAUGAUGGCUUUUCUAUGCUCUGUGUUUCCACCUCCACCUCGUCAACCUUGAUUUCUUAGAGACCCAUUGUUUUCAUUUUGUAAUGUUGCCAAAAGGGGGAGAUAUUUAGGAUCUAGGACUCUAUAGGAGACUUACAUGCAUAUCAUUUUCAUAUCAUUGUUUGGAUCGUACAUAUUGGAUAGUGAUACUUUUUACUUAUAUAUGAUAUGCCUAUAUGUUUCAUGUCUUACAUUGUUUCUUAUUGCAAAUUAUCUCUAACAUGUCUUGAUUAUCUUUUUUUUAACUUCAUAAAUUUUGAUUGUUAACCCAUGAUUGGUUUGAGGGGAAGAUUCUUCUUCUCCUAGAUAACCAAGGUUUGUCAUCAUAAAAAAAUUGGAGAUUGUUAGCCCAAGGGUUCUCCUAAUCAUGUUUUGAUGAUAACAAACCAUGCUUAAGUUACUAAUUGGUUUGAAUUAUAAAGAAUUUCAAGUGUUAAUUUGAAAAUUCAUCAAAGAACCUAAUGGAUGCAAGAUCAAGAUUUUUGGAAGACCUUUAAUCAUAAGAAACAUAUGUAAGAUGAAUGCAUGGGUGCACUUAAGAUUUGCAUAUCAUUUCAUGCAUAUUUGGAAAACACGGUUUAUGCUUUAAAGUUACAUUUCCAUCAAAAUUUGAGAUCCAUCAAAUGAACCUUAGGAAAAAUGUUUUAAAAUUGGCAUAUAAUUUUACCUAAAGACCUUGCCUAAGUGUUAGAAGCAAAAGGACAAAAAAAAUAUAGGUUUUCUGGUCAAAAAUGGUGAACCAGUCAAGGCAUUGUCUAAAUCAGCUCAAUCGGCCAAGGUACCGGUCGAUCGGUUUCCCUUUCCCUGUCGAGAUCUAGUCAAGAGGUACAAAAAUCACAAUCUCUGUCUCUUUCUCUCUUUGUCUAUCUUCCAGUAGUCUUUCCUUCCCGGUCGAGGGAUUUGCCUUCCCGAUUGAGGUCCGAUUGAGAGUAAUAGUCACUUGCCAAAUAUUAAAUGCUCCAACAGUUAGUGAACUGGUCGACCCCCACCUUGCCCAGUUGAGGUUACUUUUUGGUUUUCUUGGCUCCCGAUGUUAGAAACCUAUAAAUAGAGAGUUCCACUUCAUUUAUGAGCAAGAGAACACUUGCAUUUAUUUGUUUACCUACUUGUUCUUGCCUUAAAAGCUCUCAUUUCUUUUCUUGGUGCAUUAAAUCUCCAUUUUGAUAUCCUUUAGUGCACCUUUGUGAUUCAUCUUAGCCUUGAGUUGUAUUUGAGCCCUUUUUUUAGCUAGGUUGAGAGUUUCAUACUUGUUAAUUGAGUGUUAAAGCCUUCAAGUGAGUUGAAACUUGUAGAGAUUAUGUGAGAGUCGAUUGGAGCCGAAAUCCAAGUGUAAAGGUGAUUAGAAGCUUGGUUGAAGCUUCAAGUUAGUGGAAUCCUCACUCAAUUAGGAGCUUGAGGAGAGUGGACGUAGCCAAGGAAGUGUCGAACCACUAUAAAAUUUGAGUUUGAUUUCUCUAACAUUGUCUCUUUAUAUUUGUUUAUCUUGUGCUUAAAUUUAUUGUGUUUAAAAAGAAUUUUUAAAUACCCAAUUCACCCCCCUCUUGGGUGUUUUUCUCUUUUAAAAUUAGCCUUUAUUUUCUCACAAACUAUUGUAGUAUAGUGGUUUUUAGGUGUCAUCCAUUAGGAUGAAUUGUUCUCGGUAAUUAAGGCGUGAAUGAGAGGAGAAUUAAUGAUUGUGAUUAAGUAAAAUUGAUUUGAAAAUUCAUGGUGAAAAAUCAAUUUAACAAUGGUUUCUAAUUGAGAAAAACAAUGAAAUGUGAAAUAAAAUAAAAUUAAUAGGAAAUGAAAUUCUCGAAGUUAGAAUUUUCUAAAAAACAAAUUCCAUGGUGAAUGGAUGUUGAGAUCUAAUUUUCAUCAAGUUAGAUUGAAAACCGAAAUUUUCAUAUAAACUGAUUUUUUAUUUAGUUUUAGGUCUAGAUUUAAUUUCCCUUAAAAUUAGGUUAUUUAAUCCAAGAAAUCAAUUCAAAUCAUAUAUUCAAUUCAUCUUAAAUUAUCUUCCAAUUAUUCACACAAUGCAACUAUUCAAUCUCAUCAAAUCUAGCUUUUAAGAAUUUAAUGAAUCUACCUAGUUUGCAUUGUAAUAGUCAUCCAUGACAAUUUGAAGAGAAAAAUAAUUCAAUUAAUCAAUCACUUGGAUCAAAUUACCUUUGCAAUUAAAGUUCAUUUCUCUAAUUCACCACAGAUUUUGUCUCUAGAUCCUCCUUUCUCAAAGAAAAAUGAGAUUUAGCCACACAUGAUUGGAGAUUUGGUCUCAUAAGGCAUGUUUAGCUAGUGAUAAAAUGAGAGAAAAUAAAGAAAAAUAGAGAAUUCGAUUAAGAAAGAAAAUCUAAAAAAUUCUACAAUUAGAAAUGUCCAAAAAGCUUUUUCAUGAGAAAAUCAAGUUUCUAUUUAUAGGCCAAGGUCAAGUGGACACUUGACAUCAUCUAAGAGGUCUUCCGGAAGCUUCUUCAUCAAGAAAUCUGGAGUUUAAUAAUAAAAUGGUCAUUUCACAAGAGCUCAAACAAUUUCGCAUGAUUAUGUGAAAUAAAAAAUGCAACAACAGCAAUUUACAUCUUCUUGGAGCAUUUCGCAUGACUGUGUGAAAUUUUCACAUGAUCAUGUGGAAUCGACUUGACAACUCUCAUUUAGCCUACAACAUAAUUCCACCUUUUGGUCCAUUUUUCAUAGUCAUGCGAAAUGGAAAUAUUUGAUUUUUAAGUUUUCUUUUGUCAUUUCUUUCAUUUCCUUCUCUUGAUUCCACUUCAACUACCUCCGAAUCCUGGUCCAAACCAAUUGCAUUACUUCUUUCAUUAUGCAUUUGGAUCAUCAUCAACAUUAUUUGUUCUCUUCAAUUUGAUUCAUCUCUUUUGUCACCAAUUUAUCAAAAUCAUACCUUGAAAUGACUCCAAAACUUCAUAAAACUUGUUAGUAACUCUUGCAAGGGCAACAACAUAUUAAUUAAGUGUUUUAGGCAUAGUUACUACUCAAAAGAUGCGAAACUCAUGAUAAUUAUUAUAUAAAAUAUGCUCUUUUUGAGUAGUAAUCAACUUUCUUGCAUAAGCAGACCUUUUAGGGUGGAGUACUAAAGACCAAUAUGCUUGUCCUUGUUGUAAUAAAGAAACUUGCUCUUAUUGAUUGCACCAUGGGAGAAAAUUUUGCUACAUGAGUUAUCAUCAAUUUCUUCCCACCAAUCAUAGAUUUAGACGUGACAAGAGGCCUCUUAAUGGCAAGGAGGAACUGACACUCACACUUAUACAAUUAUCGGGCAUUGAUGUGUUGCAACAAUUAGAAUAACUUACACCAAUUAUGUUGGGGAAGUCACAAAAGGCAAACAUGAAAACUAAAAGGAAAAAAGAAAAAUGUUACAUAUCACCACAACUGGAAAGAAAAAAGUAUUUACUUUCAUUUGCCAUAUUGGAAAGCACUUAUUUUACAUCAUAAUAAUUUAGACAUAAUGCAUAUUGAGAAAAAUGUGUGACAAUAUAAUUGAGACAUUGUUCAGUAUUGACGAAGAAACAAGGACAACCUAAAUAGUCAUCUCGAUUUACAAGCUCUAACUAUUAGAAAUGAGAUUCACCCAAUAGAAAGCAGGACCAAAUUUAUUUUGCUUGCAACAUGCUACUCACUCACCCCAAAUGAGAUUAAGGAAUUUUGCAAGUUUUUGAAAUCAAUAAAGGUCCCCAAUGGCUAUUCUUUCAAUAUCUCUCGUUAUGUGCAACUCAAUGAAAGGAAGAUAUAUGAGCUCAAAUUGUAUGAUUGUCAUGUCCUAAUGCAACAACUUCUCUCACUUGUAGUUCGUGGAGUUCUACAUAAGAAUGUUUGUGGAGUUAUCAUAGAAUUGCGUAAUUUUUUCAAGCAAUUGUGCUCAAAGGUGUUAGAAACAAAUCACUUACACCAACUUGAGAACAAUAUUAUUGUCAUACUAUGUAAAAUGGAGCAAAUAUUUCUUCCAUCAUUCUUUGAUAUUAUGGUGCAUUUACUUGUGCAUCUAGUAAGGCAAAGGUUGCAAGACUUGUGCAAUAUUGUUGGAUGUACCUAAUUGAACGAUAUUGUUAUAAUUUCAUAUGAAUCAUUUAAUUUUAUUUUAUAUUAUGUUCAGUUCAUUAACAUGUACAUUGGUCUACAUAUGGAUGAUGAUAGGUACCUAAGCACUUUAAAGUCAUAUGUGCGUAAUAGAACUUUUCUAGAAGGUUCUAUUGUAGAAAGGUACCUUGCAAAAGAAUGUACAACAUUUUAUUCUAGGUACUUGAAUGAUGUGGAAAUAAAGUAUAAUCACAAUGAUAGAAACUUUGUUGGUUUCAACACUAGAGGAGAUGAAAGGGGUUAUCUUUAAACAUAUUGGACAUGCAUUGGGAAAGCCCAUAUUUCAUUAACUUAGUUCAAAAGAGUGGUCACAAGCACAUUUAUAUGUGUUGACAAAUUGCGAAGAUGUCAUACCAUUCAUUGAGUAAAAAAUUUAUUUGAAUUUUAAUUAAAGCUCUAGUUUAUAUCCUUAAUCAAUGUUUUUUAAAUUCACAAGGAGCACAAGCAAACCAUCAAGGCUAGACCACAUAUACGUGUUUGAGACGUAGAUUUAAUUCAUAACAAGGAAUUUAUCAAGUGGUUUGAAAGACAUGUAAGUAUAUUCCUUAUUAUAAGGGAUUUAUUUCACAUUAUGUUUAUAUUGAAUCCAAACCUAUUAUUGAAUUGUAGGUUGAACAAUUACAUAAUGAAGGUCAUAUAUCUGAACACCUUCUCACAUUAUCAUGUGUUCCAAAUUCAUUAGUUACAUGCUUCAAAUGAUAUAUUGUCAAUGGAUUUAGAUCCCACAUUAAAGAACGUGAUAAAAAAGUUUUUAAAAAAAGACUCAGAAUAAUGGAAUUGUUGUAGUUGCAAAAACGUCAAGCUUUACAAGUGCAUGUGAUAUGAGUCCAAUUAUUAGUGAUGCUCUCUACUAUGGUGUUCUAACUAAAGUUGUUGAGUUACAUUAUCUUGGUGAAAAUAAGGUUGUUUUAUUCGAGUUUGAUUGGUGGGAUGUUACAAAUAUUGGAAAAUUGAUAAAAGAUGAUGAGUACAAUUACACAUUUGUUAACUUUGCAUGAAUUCUAACCACGAACGAACGAUUUGUACUUGCAUCUCCAGCAAAGUAAGUGUUCUAUGUGAAGAAUGCGAAUGAAUCAGAUUGGCAUACUAUCAUGGAGAUGCAACCUCAAGACCUCUAUAAGAUGAACGGGAUAGGAUCCAAUGGUGAUUUUGAACCAUUUCAACAAAGUGAACUACAUGAUCACUAAUAUAUCUCAGAUUUAGUUGAUGAAGAUAUAAUCAAGUGGAACAAAAGUGAUGUUUUAGGACUAAUCAUCCUAAAAAAUAUUGUAGUUUCUUAAAAAAAAAAUGAAAAUGAAGAAGAUAAUUGAACCUUUGUCAUACUUUAAAAAGCAACUAUGCAUUGUUCAUUUUGUAUGUUUUGGUUUUCUUCAUUUAAUUUCCUGAUUUUUGUGAUUCAAUGUCAUAUUAUUGAUCUUGAAAUAUUUUUCUAAUUUUUCAUUCUACGAUGGUUUCAACAAGGAUGACAUCAAGUCAAAAAAGGAAAUGUGGUCCCACACACAAUAUUGCAUUACAGGGAUUAAGGUCAGGGAAGAAGGUAAAAGUUGCAUUUAAUGAGUACAAUCAAUUGGUUAAACAGAAAAAUGGAAAACACUUAUCGAGCUACAUAGGGACACUUGUAUCUAACCAACACAAUGUACCUCUCCAAGCUAGUGAUUGGAAAAAUGUUCCAAAUGAUGCAAAAGAGAAAGUAUGGCCUUUGUUUUGGUAUGUUGUAUUUCUCACUAUAUGAUGUCAUUUCACUGUUAUUCUAUUUUGUGACUAACGUUUGAAUCAUAUGUAAGAAAAAUUUGAAGUAGAUAAAGACUGAAAAGAUUACAUGUUGGGUAUAGCCUCAAAUAAAUAUAGAAGCUAUAAAAAUAUGAUGAAUGCAAAAUACUAUGACCCUUGGCAUAAGGAUGCAUGAGGAGAGGUUAAUACAUAAAUCACCAUUUGUCUCUGAUGUUGAUUGGAAGUGGCUUGUCUCUGAUGCAUAAACCAAAUCCCCCACUGAAUGUUUGAUAUUUGAUAGCAGGAAAAACACACCCGCAGCUAUACACCUCCAUCAUUCAGAUAAUUAUAGUGGGGGAGAUGAUUCAUGGUUGCCCUUAUACCCUUUAUUUGCACCAUCUAUUGAGAUUCUUUAUCAUGGCCAGGUUUUACUGCAGCAAUAAGAUAUGGUGGCAACAAUUUUAUCUAUAGGUGCGGUUCCAGACCGCCUCCAUAGGUGCGGUUCCUGACUGCCUCCAUAGGUGCCUCUUCUUGUAAUGUUUGUUCUGGGAAUUACACUUGAAAGCCUUAUCGUGAUAAGGGAUUACAAACACUAGUUCAGAGGACAGCCAUGUUAAACUUCCACUAUGUUUGUGUCACAUUAUCAGCAGCCUAGUGUUUAUUGGUCAUGCUAUCUGCAACUAAUAUAACCCGGUGAACUUCAAUCUAAAUUCUGAAAGUACUCAUGUGACAGAUGGUGCCUUUCAGCAGAUAUCAUCAAUUUAAAAGUAGUGUGUGUGCCUAUAGGUGGGAAGGCCUUGGCAAAUGUUCAGUAUUCCGGUAAUUCAAGAAGGAUAUAUCUAAAAUAGAUUUUCUUCUUGCCCAUUUCAAUAGUUAAAAUUUGAGAAGAUUGUGUCCACAUCACACAAAUAUUAUUGGUCCUUCUGUUGCAAUUUACCUCUGAACAUGUCUUCCAAUUCCCACGGUCCUGUUACUCCAGGAAAACUAUUUCGGUCAUAUUGAAAAAAAAAAUAUUAAAGAAGGUACACAUGCUUUUAAGUGGACUGGGGCAUUCAUAUCAGGUGGUCUGUAUCCACAUAUGCCACUUCGUGAAAGGUGGAACAGCCUAAUCACUAGGCUAUUUAGUGUGGCCCAGCCACGUUAAUCAAGCACAAGUCUUCAUACUUAAAGUCAAAUGGUGUCUUUAGUCUCAUUACACAUCGCUAUUUGAAGAUUAACUCAUCACUAGUGUAAUGCGAUUAAGACAGUCCUAACUCAAUAUUUGUUCUAGUUUUGGAUGCAAAUGCUUGCUGGUUUCAUCAUUGGAUGGGAUAAAGGUGCAAUCAGGACUAUGAAUACGUGCAGUAAUACUUCAUUCUCUUUUUUCUCAAUGAGACUUCUUGGCACAAUUUUGCUGCUCAGCAACCUACCUUUCCAUGGAAAAUCAGUUGUGACUGAUAGUAAUGGAUAUAUUCUAGAAAGCUAAACAUAGAUAGCAUUCAAUAUUAUCGAUAUAACAUUAACAGCGUAUGUCUCAAUGCUCAUCAGCUACAAGCAAUGGACAAACACUUUGAGUAACUCACAGCAGUCAAAAUUCCUAAACAGGACAGACGUGACAGAUCUAUAUAUAGAACACUGCAUAUGAGUCACAGGAAAAGAUAAUACGGGUACAUAGAAGCUCUUAUUUUACAUAUUACUCAUACUGAUCAAAGUCGCUCAGUUGGGAUGGAUGGGAGAAGGAGGUUUGAGGGGUGGCUUGUGCGGGGAAGUUGGCAGCUUCUUUCCGGGAGCUGGUUGCUUCUUUGCUGGAGUUGAAGGAGGCUUAAUCUUCCGAGGUGGCUUGUAUGAGUCUUCAGCAUUCUCAGCAGGAGGGUGACCAGGGUUGUGACCAUAAUGUGGUGGCUUCUCUCCCUUAGGUGGUUUGCCAACUGGGGUUGGUGGCUUGUUUUCUGGGAGUGGCUUCUCUCCCUUGGGUGGUUUGCCAACUGGGGUUGGUGGCUUGUGUUCUGGGAGUGGCUUCUCCCCCUUGGGAGGUUUUUCGAAUGGGGUGGGUUUGUGUCCUGGUGGUGGCUUCUCUCCCUUGGGAGGUUUACCAAUUGGGGUCGGUGGCUUGUGUUCUGGGAGGGGCUUCUCUCCCUGGGGAGGUUUAGUGGGUGGCUUGUGUUCUGGAGGUGGCUUCUCCACCGGAGGCUUAUGCUCUGGUGGUGGCUUCUCGAAGGGGGGAUGCUCAGGGUAAUCACCAAGUGAGGGGGUGGUGAGAACCACCAUGCCAAGCAACAACACUAGCAAGUAUGUAGUAGACAUCUUUGGGUUUGGACUCAGACAGUGCAAAACUACGAGAAAUCGCUAGCCCUUUAUAGCGGCUCGGACCUAAUACUGACAUAAUAUAAAAUAAAUAUUAUAUUUUAUCAAGAGAGAACAGAGUGUAAUUUUAUCAUUAAUACCGAUCGAGGCCAAAGAAAGAAGACCCAUAAUCCAUUUCCCACAAGCAUACACAAUGCAGCUGUAAUUUUAUCAUUUACUUUUAUCCCUUGGACCACUGCAUUUUUGUUGAGAGACACAAUAACACAUUUUUAUCUGUCAUUCAACAUUUACAGUAAAGAGAGGGCACAAAACGCAAUUAGAUAAAUUAUGUUUUGCCUGCUAAAAAGAGGCAAAUAACUUUAUUUGCAACAUAAUUAUUUUGGUUUCUAGUGACCCCGGGGCCUUUCGGUUGGUUUGGGAUCGGAAAAUGAACAUCAUAGGGGGGGUUGUGCCCUUAUGGGCAUAUAUAUCUGAUAGCUUCAACUGGCCUUGUUCCUAGAAAGAAAUUGCCAAAGAUAUAAACUUAUUCCAGGCUGAAAGUAGAUGAGAGUCAUAAUGAACAUCAACCUUUGUUCAGUUUGAUUCAAUGCCCCCAUAGUGUUCAUUUCACAGAUCUGAAUGAUUAUAUCCGUUGAAUACAUAAAUUAAUGAAGACAAAUAUGAAACCCAAGAUACAUCUCUGCAUAACAACCCCAACCCUGGUUGCUAUGUUUCCCUUCUUCUAUUCACAUGAGGAUACUGGUUAUAAUUGUCAAACUUGCAACAAGCCCUUUGACACCUAACGUCAAUGGACGAAUUAAAAGUCUCCUUCAAACGUCUAUUUCACAGCAUGAAGCUUAUAAAGGAUGCUGACAACCUUCAGAGUUAGCGACAAAAGAUAAUUAUCAAGGAGAGAUAGUUCCAUGAGAAUUCCAAGGAGUCUGAAUCAAAGACAAAUUGCUCACUCAAGGGUUCUUAUUUUCUUUUAGGUACAAAUCUCUUGAGUGUUGUUAAAGAAACACGUCACUGUCAUUUUGAUUUGCAUUUAACAUUUCACUUUUGUUCUGGAAGGUUUGUUCCGGAAACAUAUCAAAUGAGCAUCAUUUUCUUCUUCGGUGACACAUGGUCGCGAGUACGUGGGUCCAUUUUCAUGCCACUUAGUUGAAAAGUUGGAAAGAAAAAACAUGCCAACAAGAAGAUAGUGAGAGAAGGGGCACUUCAAGCCUUUAACAUGAACAAACAGUAAAUAAAAGAUGUUUCUCCACUCAUAAAAGUGUGUUAGAUAGCAAUAUAACGAAUCACAUCCAAAAUCUUUACUAGGCUCAAACAUAAAGAAGACUCAUUUUUAAGAAAAGAUAAAAAUGGCAUUGUCUGAUAGUAUCCAAUACACGAGAUGGCACUUAAUUUGUACAAGAUCUGUCAAUGCUGACGCACAUUUUCUGAUUAAAAAAAAACUGAUCAGUCAAAAGCAAUGAAGAGAAGUGAUGACAAUGAAUGAUGCUUCCAAUAUUUUCACCCCUUAUAGUGUUCUUCAUGAUUCAGAUAUAUAAUUGGAAAUAGAACAACCCUAUGCCAUACAUUCGUCUAAGUAUGGUGUCUAAUUUUUUGUGUCAGCGGUUGCGAAUGGAGCGUGCAAAAGUCCAAAUUGGCGUCUCUCCAUUUCCACAUAGGAAGGUGACCUUUAUUGACAAAUACCCAAUAUUUGUAGACAUUCCUUAAAUAUCAUAACUUCUUGUUGAUUUGAAAAUCAUUUUUCAACUACCAUGUUUUAAUAAAUAUUUUUUAAAAUGUAUUUUUAUCAAAGUCCACCAUGAUGGAUAAUAUUCACCAUGCAAUAAUUAAUAAAGUACAAACUAAGCGAAAUGAAAAGCAUUUUCUUUGCUUUGAGUUGAUUUUGGUUGCAUUGAGUUGAUUUUGGUUUCAUGGUUUUUUCAACUCUUAUUUUGAUUGGAAGAUGUCAAGAAAAGAAAACAUAAAGAAAAAUUAAAAGGGAAAAAAGAAGAAAAAUAAAAAAAAAUAGAUUUAAAAGUUAAUAAAUUAUUUUUUAUAUUUAUUUUAAUUCAUUUCACUUAUUUUUCUUUUACUAUAUAAAAUUUAAAUAAUUUAAAUUUUAUAAUUAAUUUAAUUACAUUUCAUUUUCUUCUAUAUUUAAAUAUUGGAAAAAUAUUUUACUUAAUAUUUUUUUCUUUAAUUUCUUUGGCAUUUUGGGAACCAAACUUAGCCUUUAAAAUAAAAAACAAAAAAAAAAUGAAAAUAAGGAGGGAAAAGUGAGAAAAGAUAAAAACAAUAUGUAAAGGAUUUGAAAAGUAUUAGUUUGUAAUUACUAUUUGGAUUUCAAUAGUAUUUUAUUUGUCUUUCUAUAUUUCAUGUAAGAGAGAAUUUAAGAUAUUCCCCAAGGCAAAGCAUUAGUUACCUGCAAUCAGUGGUGAUAAGGCUCCAAGCCAAUUUUGGGCCCCAUAUCUUAAGACAGUACAAUUUCCAUUUCAACAUUUCUGAUUUCUCAGAUGUUUCACAUACCACAGAAGAACAUUGUUUGUGAAAAUAUGCAUUUAUGUUGGAUUUUGUAUGCUGUGGGGACUGGGGCAAGGAUCAUAUGGAAGAGUGGUUGACUUUUUCUGUACUUUAACGGUUGAAAUAGGAUAAGCACGGGCAUUUGUGAGGCUUAAUUGAUUUUGAAGCCUGAAAUUGCGUUUCUGUCAUUUUGUCAAAAAAAUGGCAGAUUCCAUACUCAUAUGUUUGGCCUGUGGCCAUGUACAGAUGCCAUUUAGUGACCAGUUUGUAACUGUCAAUCGUUGCGUUUUGACUCUGCCUCAACAACAUCUGCCAUUGACGGGUUUUCAUACUUGCAAAUCAAAUAGUCUUUCGUCCCAUCAGGAAUUUCGGUUUAAAUAUUAUUAAGCAUACGUUUGGCUGACAAUCAUUAUCCAGUUCAUGAUUUGGUUUCUUACCCUUAAUCAAUGGUUUCUAAGUGAAUAUAUGUAGAAGGAAAUCCGAAGUGUAGACAGUAGUAUCGAUAACUCUCAAUAUUCUCUAUAUAAUAGAAUAAACAGCGUCAUAGUGAUCGUCGCCUACAAGCAAGGUACAAAUACCAAAACGAGUGACUCACAUAGACAUCUCCCAACAAGAUGUAGUAGUGACUGACACAUGGACACAAUUAACUCGUAGAAAAGGAUAAGACCAUUGCACAGCAGCUCUUAUUUUACAUACUACUUAUGCUAACCAAAGUCAAUUAGUUGGGAUGGGUGGGAGAUGGAGGUUUGUGCGGUGGCUUGUGGGGCGGAGUUGAUGGCUUCUUUCCAGGAGCUUCUGGCUUUUUCAUCGGAGCUGAAGGAGGCUCAAUCUUAUGAGGCGGCUUGUAUGAGUCUUCUUUACUCUCGACAGGAGGGUGGCCAGGGUUGUGAUCAUAAUGUGGUGGCUUCUCUCCCUUAGGUGGCUUGCCAACUGGGGUUGGUGGCUUGUGUUCAGGAAGUGGUUUCUCUCCCAUGGGAGGUUUAGCAAUUGGGGUUGGUGGCUUGUGUUCUGGGAGUGGCUUCUCUCCCUUGGGAGGUUUAGUAGGUGACUUGUGUUCUGGAGGUGGCUUCUCCACCGGAGGCUUGUGCUCCGGUGGUGGCUUCUUGGUUGGAGGGGGCUUGGGGUAAUCAGCAAGAGAUGGGGUGGUGAGAACCACCAGUCCAAGGAACAACACUAGCAAGUAUGUGGGAGACAUUUUUGAGUUUGGGCUGAUCAGAUGAUGCAAAACUAAAGCAUUACGUGACCUUUUAUAGCAUGUAGCUCCCAAUACCCACUAAGUAUUGUGGGGUCCAUUUGUGCCCUACGGGGUUGAAAACUUAGACAAUUGGGCAAGGACCCACCUGACUAUGGAGGACUAGUGAGGUGUGAUCAUAGCUUUAGGAUUUUUCUUCCUCUGCAGCCGUCGUGCCGUUGGCAUGAUUUUCUUAAUCUUAAAUAAAGGCAUAGUUAUAGAGUUGUUUAAUCUCUAAAUGGGAUUUUAUAUAUAUCUUCAGAUAGCCAUUAAUAUAUUUGAUGAAGAAAGAAAGACAAGUGCAUACAACAUGUAUACGACUAGCUUUCAUGGAGUUCAUUUAUGAUCAGUUUUCCUGUACAUGUAAACCAGGAUCAUAUAUAUGUUUCUGUUCCACAACUAUUUUGGAAUCUUGUUUAUCAGUUUUUAUCAUUAUAAUGUCACAUAGGCUGCCAACUUGGGCGCUAAAAGAACCAGUUGGGCUAGUUCGUUUCAGAAUUUCAAUGUGGAUUCAGGAAUUGUUUUGUAAGAUAUGCGAAAUAGUAGAGGGAUGAAUAGUGUUUCAUUAAUAAAAGUGUCCUGUAAAUUAGAAGGUGUCAUAGAAACUAUAAUCAAUAAAUAACUUUUUUUCCCCACGGGUGGUGUUUCUUGUGGGGAUCAGUGACUGGUUUAGGUUCACCCAAAAUGAGUUCAGACUAAAAUUGGUUUGAGUCAAUGCCGUGUCUCUUUUUUCCAGAAAUCAACUAUUUUAUGCAUUGAAUAAAUCAUACAAAGAAAAUAUGAACGCCCGCAAAACCUAAACCCUGGUUGCUAACUUUCUAUGUUUCAGUUCUAUUCACGCAAGAAUAUUAGUUUAAGUUUGGGAAAAAUGGCAACUUACCUAGUGAUUACUUGGUUUUGGUUUGCGACUAUUUACGCAACCAACCAUGAGUUUGACUUUAACGUCAUGGGUUGAAGCCUCCUACAGGAAGGGAGAAAGCUCCACAGCUAGCUCCAAAAGAGAAUUAUCACAUUGAUAGCUCCAGAGAUUCCCAAGGGGACUGAAUCAAAGACAAGUUCCUCACUUUUUCUUCUUUUGAGGCCAAAUAUGAACCAAGGAUCACACAACCUCAUUCAACUUCAUAAGUUUGAUUUCAUGCAGUUGAACACUGGGUGAAGGCCAUGACAAGAAUUGAUUCAAAAAUUCUAUCACUCUUUUAAGUAAUGGAAGAUUAUUAUCUCUGAUUGGCAUCACAACAGCACAUGCUCCUAGAUCUUUCUAGACACUCCAUGCAAUGAAAGCACAAUGGAUCUUGUAACGAUAGAAACUAAGCCAUGCUACAGUACUAGAUGAUGAGGUAAAACUAGUAGACACGGGUGGCAGCCUAUAUGGGAGGGACACAAGUCUAAUUGAUUUGCAUUUCAGCAUUAUAGAUAGGUAUGUUUUGGAAGAUUUGUUCUGGAAAUACCGCACCAAGUAGGAUUCUUUUUCUCUUUAGUGGGUCCACUUGCAUGCCAAUUAACGAGUUGAAAAGUAUGAGCACCUACCUCGUGCUCGUGGAACCGAAGGUCAGUGAAGUGGGGCUCCUUUUGGCCUCGUGUAAACUUGAUUCAGAAGUGAAGUUAAUAGUCUUCCAUUCAGAUGGAUACAUGGGAAUUUUUCUCUUUUAUUUAUUUAUUUAUUUUUUUUUUGUGUGUGUAUGUCAAAGGAUAAUGAAUGAAGCGCGUUAGCUUGUUUUCUGACUGGAACCGCAGAUGUCCAAAUUGGAGUUCCUUCAUUUCUUACUUAGGAUUGUUACAUGUAUAAACAAGGUAUAAGAAAUAUGCCAACGUGUCUUGAGGAGUUAUUGAUUAGAAAUAACAAGUCACCCGACUGUAGAGUUCCAAGAUUUGAAUCUUCAGACCCUAUAGCAGCCUCUGGGGUACGUGGCAUCCUAUAGCAUAUUAAUGAAGGCUUUUUCGAUUUAGACUUCACAAUACCAAUUAAUAUGUAUGCACAAAAUGGAGAUGACCCCAAAAAAAACAGAAUCGCCAUAGUUUAUGAGGUUAAGGUGAUUCUCCACUUAAUAUCUACAUUAGCUAAUUAUGUAAAUCAAAUGAACUUCUAUUUUUCCUUUUUUUUUUUGGUUUAUGUCAAAUAGUAGCCCAUAAUUAACCCAACCAUUAGCCUGUUUGAAUUGAUUUCACAUGCACAAUGUUGUAGUAGUUCAUAUUUUGAAUUUUAUUUUUACAAAGGUAGUUAAGGAAAAUGAAGUAUAAUAAUUAUAAAAGCAGACUAUAUACACUACAAUAAUUGUUAGAAUGGUAUCUCAAAUUCUAAUUUAAAAUAUUAUUUUUUGUAAAAGAAAUAUUAUAUAGAAUAUUUCCUAAUUUUAUAAAUGAUUAUAAUUAGAUCUUUAUAAAAUAAGGAAAGUUGGUAAGAAUAUCUUUAUAAAUAUUUUAGGUCAUGAGAGAAAGAAAUGGGAUAAAAAUGUGAUGAAGAGGUGAAAUAAGAGAGUUGAUUAGGAUAUAGAUGUGAAGAAGAAAGGGAUUCAAUAUAUAUAUAUCUUUCAAUUACCACAUUAAAACCCUGUGAACCUUUUAUAUGGUUUACUUUAUUUUUAUAUUCCUCCUUUAAUAUAUUUACAUUAAUGCUUCCAUUGGCACAACAAUAACGAAUUACAAAUACAAGCAACAAGUCCCAUGUUUUAUUACCAAAAGCAGGUAAAAUCCACCUAAUAUAUUACAAUAUAUUCAUCCAAUAUUUUAGACCAAUUCUUCACCAUAAAUAUCAUAAUGUGGCUUUUGUUCUUUCUUAAAUUUAAAUUGAAUUGUCUUAUAUCAAUUUGUUUGUGAUUUUUUCAUUAACUUCACUUUCAUUUGGUUAUCUUUGGUUUUUGAAAAGUAUUAAGGAAUUAAUUAACAAAAUAAUGUUAAGAAAAAUAAUUUUCUCUCUUUUGAUUUUGAUUUUGUAGUAGAAAAAUAUAAUUAAAAUUAUUUAAAAAGUAUGUAAUUUUAAAUUAUUUAAUAUUUAGAUAAAAAAAAUAAGUCUAAUGAGUUUAAAAUAACAUAUAAAAAUAAUUUAUUUAUUUUAAAUUUAUUUUUUAUUUUCCAUUAUGUUCUCUUUCUCUUUUACUUUUUCAUAUUUUUUCUUACGAAGAAUCAAACACAACCUCAUAUUAUAUGUCAAGUGUUUGUCUAUAUUUGAGCAAUGUUAGAUACGGCCAUGGAUUCAUCAAACUAAACUGAUUUUAAUAGAUACUUCACAAAUUGAUUUAUACACUAAAUCAUUGGAUAGCAAUGAUGCAUUGGAAUUAAACGUAGGAUGAAGCUCGAAGAACACUGUUUGUGUAACAACAUAUUUAUGAAAUUAUGCAAAGGAUGAGCUUCGGGGUAGUAGUACAAGGUCAUUAAUGGAGAGCCGUGUUAAACCUUGAUUGUGAUUGGAUUCCGUUAUCAGCAACAGCAACCUUGUUUGUAACCUUGAAAGUCAUUCUGUCCACAUCGAAACUCCAAUUUGACGUUUGUAAUUACCAUUCCUGGAGUGUUCCUUGAUUGAAAUUUAAAUAAUAAUUGCGGCCCACAAGGAAUAUUUUCGAUUCUGUGGGAAUUUGACAAGGUUUGUUAGAGAAGACUGGUGACAUGUUGACUUCAAUGGUUCAAAUAGGAGACGUAUGUGGAUUUGGGGGGUUUAAUUGAAACUGAGUCCCUAUGGCUUUUUAAUAUUUGCAUUGAGCAGUCUCCAUGUGACUUCCUAAUUCCCACCAACCCUCCUGUCCAUGCUGUGAAACUAAAUUGUAAUUUAUCAGCCUUUGUCAAUGGUUUCUAAAUUAAAGAUAUAGACCAUGCAUGUACUUUAAUAAAAGCAAAUCUAAAGUGUAGAUAGCAGCAAUGGUGACACCCAAUAUUCUCCAUAAAAUAGAAUUAGAAUAAGCAGUGUUACAUUGUUCAUGAUCACCUACAAGCAUACAAGAACUUCCAUGAAUAACUCAUAGCAAUUGCCAACAGGGCGUCGUAGAGACUCAUACAUAGAACACUAUCCACCCAGAGGAAAGGACAAGACCAGUGCGCUGCAGCUCUUAUUUUUCACAUGUAUACCACCACUCGUAAUAACCAAAUUCACUCAGUUGGGAUAGGUGGGAGAUGGUGGUUUGUGGGGUGGCUUGUGGGGAGGAGUUGGAGGAGGCUUUAUUUUCUGAGGCGGCUUGUAUGAGUGUGCAGGAGGAUGCCCGGGAGUGUGACCAUAAUGUGGUGGCUUCUCUCCCGUAGGUGGUUUGCCAAAUGGGCUUGGUGGCUUCUCUCCCUUAGGAGGUUUACCAAUUGGGGUUGGUGGCUUGUGUUCUGGGAGUGGUUUCUCUCCCUUGGUAGGUUUGCCAAUUGGGGUUGGCGGCUUAUGUUCUGGGAGUGGCUUCUCUCCCUUGGGAGGUUUGCUAAUUGGGGUUGGCGGCUUAUGUUCUGGGGGCGGCUUCUCUCCCUUGGGAGGUUUGCCAAUUGGAGUUGGCGGCUUAUGUUCUGGGAGUGGCUUUUCUCCCUUGGGAGGCUUGCCAAUUGGGGUUGGCGGCUUAUGUUCUGGGGGUGGCUUCUCUCCUUUAGGAGGUUUGCCAAUUGGAGUCGGCGGCUUAUGUUCUGGAAGUGGCUUUUUUCCCUUGGGAGGUUUGCCAAUUGGGGUUGGCGGCUUAUGUUCUGGGGGUGGCUUCUCUCCCUUGGGAGGUUUGCCAAUUGGAGUCGGCGGCUUAUGUUCUGGGAGUGGCUUCUCUCCCUUGGGAGGUUUUGUUGGUGGCUUGUGUUCUGGAGAUGGCUUCUCCCCUGGAGGCUUGUGCUCCGGAGGUGGCUUCUGAAAUGGCGGGGGCUUGGGGUAAUGAGCAAGAGAUGGAGUACUGGUGAGAACCACCAUUCCAAGCAACAAUACUAGCAAGCAUGUGGGAGACAUCUUUGAGUAGUUG